GCCCAAGAAGCCCAAGACCAUCGAGAUUAAGGUCGCCUGAGUGUAGACCGUUGUCGGAGCAGUGCCAGUGAGCUGGGUGGCAACCUGCGGGACUCUGGUGAGGAAGAGCAAAUGGUAGAAAGCAGUAGCUGUGCUUCUGAACAUUGUGUGUGUUUGUUUCCCUUGUUACCGCCAAUCAUCCUACCUGAUGUGUCGUCUGGGGUUUCGUUUGAACCAUGCUGGGUUUGGAGCUUUGUGAUGCAAAGCAGAAUGUCCUGAUGCUUUCUUUCUCCAUAGAAAAAAUCUCUCCUUUACCUGAAUGUCACUUGUUAUCUUUUCUUCGCGACCGAGCACGUUCUUCGUUAACAAGGGUUAACAAGGAGACAUGUUAUGCCACGUUAUCCUCACAGGACACGAAAUCACAAAGAAGUUCAAAUCACACAGCAUAUCUUGUGAGACACAUUCGUCGACAUGUGUGCGACACACACCGCGCACCUGGAUCGGAAGAGGAUGAAAUUUGUUCAGGAAAGAGCAUGAUUGUUUUAACCCCAAUUCCAAUCGGAUCCAUAUGCAUUCAAGGGGAUUGAGUGAAUUUCCUAGUAGAUUAAUAUCUCUCUUAAAUCCAUACCAAUUCUCUCCAAACUGAACAAUCCUAGGCAUCUCACCCAAUGUAUUGCGCGUUGAACUGCAUUAGCCUAAUCCUAGGCAUCUUACCCGAUAUAUUGCGUGUUGGGCUGCAUUAGCCUCACUUCAAUGGUGGCCCCGUAUGUCCACUCCCCGCAUAAAAUUUAAAGGUUCAUCAUAUCUCUACUAAUCCUUAAGACGAUAGACUUGGCACAACCAUGUCCCCCUCCAUCUCCACCGUCCGAUUACGAUGCCAUCCUCGCUCACACCUAACACCGGAUCUGCCCCCGCAUGCCUCAUCUACCAUCCAUCCUCGUGCCCCCGCAUGCCUCGCUCCCGCCACCGCCCCUACCAUGCGCACAGCUGCCUCCGCCUAACAACCAUGCGGGAUCCUCGCUCGCGCAUAGCGGCCAACAGCCAUGCGUGCCGCCUACGAUAACGCCAGAUCUAGCCUUACUAUGUACCUGCUCGCCACGGAGAUCAUCGGCUACGGCGACCACGACUUCGCCUUCGCUCCCUACGGGGCCUACUGGAGGGCGCUGCGCAAGCUGUGCACGCUGGAGCUCCUCAGCGCGCGCAAGGUGAGGCAGCUCGCGCCCAUCGGAGACAUCGAGACCAUGUCCCUCGUGAGGGAGAUCUGUUGCUGUUCCUGUGGCGCCCGCGGCGAGCCAGCAGCAGCAGUCAACCUCGGCAGUAUGCUGGUCUCCUGUGCUAACUACAUCACUGGGCUGGCGACCUUCGGAGACCGCUUCAGCAGCGAGCACAAGGCGAAAUUCCUGUCAGCGAUGGCGGUCGUGCUGAGCAGCGGCUCCGGUUUCUGCGUCUCCAACCUCUUCCCGUCGAUGCGGUUCCUGGACGUCGCCACCGGCAUGCGACGCCACCUGCAGGUGGCGCAUGAGCAGCUCGACCAGGUGCUGGACCAUAUCAUCAAGGCGUGCGAGGCGAGGCAGAAGGUCAAGAAUGCUGAGGCGGCGGAAGACGACGAUAUUCUGAGCACCAUGCUUAGAAUCAAAGAUGAGGAGUUCGACUUCCCGUUCAACAUAACACACAUCAAGGCAGUCAUCAUUGUAAGUGUUCUUCCCUUUCCUUUGAAUGGAAUCUUAUAAAUCAAAGAUGAACCUCCUAUCCUAUAUGUGUAGGAUUUAUUCAUAGGAGGCACCGAGACGACUUCGUCUGUGGCUGAGUGGGUCAUGUCCGAGUUCAUGAGGAACCCGGAAGCCAUGGCCAAGCCCCAAGCAGAGGUUCAACGAGCACUCGACAGCAAGAACCCAGGCGACCACGAGUCGCUCAUGGGCUGCCUGAGCUACACCGGCAUGGUGAUCAAGGAGACGAUGAGGCCGCACCCGUCGCUCCCGCUCCUGCUUCCCCGCCUCUGCAGCUAUAGCCAUGUGGGGGAAUGAUAGUCGAAUGAAAUUUGUUAGGGUGAGUGGAGUACGUUCCUUUCAUAUUCAAACAUACAUUCCAGUUACAUAAUAAAAAAUUGACGUUUUAUUCUCUUAUAUGUCUUAUGUGUAGGAUGUAAAGAUUCUUCGGAAGAACUUUAUUAUCGAACUGUUAAGUUACGAGGACAAUUUGUGCAGAUAUGCCAUCCCGGCAAAUAUACAACAGAGAGUUAACAAUAUUGUUAAAAAGAUUAGAUUAGUGUACAAGGUGUCAACAUAUUUACUUAUGAUUAAGCAUUAUAUAUUUACUCUUUAGAAAUUAUUUGUGCGAUUCCAUUUUAAUCUAUUUGGGUAGACAUAUUUAUAUCGUUCUGUGUCUAUGUUUAAUCACAUAUUUUGCCGUCACUAUUGUACUCACGCCGCCCAUCGCUAGGGCCCUAAGUCCAUUGGAGGGUCACAAUUUGUGUUCCGUGGCAUCGCACGGGCACGUUCCUAGUCAACCACGUAUGUUCCGUACGACUCCGUUAAGGAAUAGUUUGGGAACAUUAUUUUUAAGAGAUUUUUAUUUUUUUAAAAGAAAAAAUAAACUAAUUUUACUUGGGAAAAUGAAAAUCUUAUAUAAAAUAAGGUUUCCAAACUGGCUCUAAAUCGAAAGCUCAGCUUCCCUCACACGCACAGCUCCAAACGAUCGUCAUGGCAACACGAUCGAGGAACGAGGACUCCUUGGUCGUCUGUGGCGGUCUUUUUCGUCGAAAGCCCGAAGUGGAGUACCCCAUCUCUCGCCAGAGUUAAGGCCGACUCGCACCCCCUGUUAUCGUGCUACCUCUGCGUCUCUCGUGACGGUCGUCAAGCUCCGACUCGCGCCCGCCUAUUGGGGAUCGCCUUACGCGUCGUCAAGCGCGUGUGAAAGGGAAAUGUGCCCUUGGGACAUUUCUAUAAUUGUUUUGGUGAUUAGAUACCCAACACAUUGUUUUGAGUUUAUAUGUGCUAACUAAGUGAGAAGUGCAAAUCAAAGAGAAAUGUAUGUCUCUGGACUUAGUCAAUUGUUUUUGAUUACUAACAUGUUUAUCUAAGUGCUAGAGACAUGACCAAGAAAAUAGAAAAAGGAUGGAAGAAAGAUUGGCUAAGUAAGCCAAAACCAGCACCAACCUGGCACACCGGACUGUCCGGUGGUGCACCACACAGUGUCCGGUGCCCCAGGCUAGCUCGACGGCGAAUUGGCCGCUCUCGGGAAUCGGCGGGUCAACGUGGCUAAAAAUCACCGGAUUGUACGGUGGUGUAUCAGACUGUCCGGUGAGUCUUCAGCGCCCGCGUCCAAGUACAUCGGCGACGAACUCGUCGCUCUCGGGAAAAGGAGAAAGCGUCGCGGCUAAAAAAUCACCGGACUGUCCGGUGGUGCACCAGACUGUCCGGUGAGUCAGAGCCGCCCGAGCCAACGGUCACCAGCGCAAUCAGGGGGCGACGCGUGGCCCGCGCCAAUGGUCGGUUGGGCACACCGGACUGUCCGGUGUGCACCGGACAGUGUCCGGUGCGCCAAUAGGACCGCCGGCCAACGGUCGGAUGCGACAGAUAAGGAAGGGGAUCGCACACCAGACUGUCUGGUGCACCACUCGACAGAAGGCAAGAAUUGCCUUCCAAAUUGAUCUCCAACGGCUCCUAGCUACCAUGGGGCUAUAAAAGGGACCCAUAGGCGCAUGGAGCAGAACACCAAGCUUGCAAGAAACAUCCUAAGACUCCCAGACUCUGCAAUCACGCAAUCAGAUCAUCGUUCUUGAGAUUUGAGCACCAUUUGAGUUGUAAACUCUCUACGCCGUGUUUGUGUGCUCACUUCUUCACUUGUGUGCGUGUGUUUGCUGCGAUUCGAGUCUUGUGUGCGUUGCUUUUCCUCCCUUACUCUUGUGCUUCUUUGUGAUCUAUAUUGUAAGGGCGAGAGGCUCUAACUAGUUGAGAUUCCUCGCAAACGGGAGAAGAACACUAAACAAAAAGUCGUGGUAUUCAAGUUGAUCAUUGGAUCACUUGAAAGGGGUUGAGUGCAAUCCUCGUCCAUUGGGACGCCACAACGUGGAAGUACGCAAGUGUUAUACUUGGCCGAACCACGGGAUAAAACACCGUGUCUCUUGUGCUGCUCUUCUCUGUGAUUGUUUGUGUUCGCAAGAGCUCGCUUCAUAACAACUUGAUUAACUCGCACUAACACCUUUAUAAUCAAGUUUGUGGCUAUUUAGUGUUUGAUUUACAGAAUCACCUAUUCACCCCCUCUAGGUGCUCUCAAUUAGUAUCGGAGACAUACUCUUCAUCUAAGGGACUAACUGUAACACCCUGAAUUUGGGGGUAUAAAACUUCUUUUCCAAUAUCCACCAAAUUCAGGUGUUACUCUCUCAGUUCUUCGCUUUUCUUCUCUUUUUCCUAAAUAAUGGAGAAUUAUUUUAUACAUAUAAGUUUUAAGCUUAGUAAAAUAAAAUCUUAAAAAGCUUCAAUUGUUGCAUUCAUGCCAUUGCAUAGUGUUUGUGAGUGCUAAGAUUUCUCGAAACACGUUGAAUUAUCUCACAAAUAUUUUCGUGAACUUCUGGAAUCUUUGGAACGUUUUUCGAGUAUUAAAUAUGAAUUUUAGUUUUUCUAAUAUUAAUUAAAUACCUAAAAUUUAGUAUUUGCGAAAACUAUAAAAUUCUGGAAACUCGAUAAUAUAUGUAUAUAUAUUUUCCUCUCGUCGAGUCUGUUCCAGAUCUCGUGUCCUUUUCACGGGAUCGUUAAAAUGUCUUUCCUCACAAACGUCGUGCUGCUCGUGUCUACCCUCGUCGUGCUAACAACCUUCUCUCUCGCGCCCGAUCGUGACGCGAUUCUGCGACGAAUUCGGCAACCACCUCCCACGCUAUCUCCUUUCUAUAUAUACACAACGCCCCAUCGUCGCAUAACCCCUCGUCUCCCUCCCCAGAUCCAAAUCGCGCAGGACCAGGCAUCCCAUCCAGGCGGUUAUUGGUCUUCUUGCGUGCGCAGGUGAGCCCUCUCCCUCUCUCCCUCCUCUGCGUGCUCCCUUUUUUUUUCGAUCAAGCCGCUGUGCCGUGGCCAUGUCCCCUGCGGCAGGGCGUCUUCAAUCCAUGGCUGCCUCCCCUGCGUGCUCCCUCUAUUUUCCUCGGUCGGCGGCGCGGUGUGGCCAGGCCCGACGUCCUCGGGCGCGGCGUCCCGGCGCGGCCAGCGCGCGGCAGCCUGCGCGGCUCGUCCAGCGCGACGCGGGCGACCCCAGCACCCCGGCGUGCAGGCCCCGCGCGCCCUCGCACUGCUCCCUCGCGCGGUCGAGCUGUCCCUACGCAGGCCCCUGUACGUGUGUUUGUACGCGGCUGCAUUCUCCGUGCGGCUGCUCACCACGCCGUGCUGGCCCCUGCGGUGUUUGCCUCUCCUGUUAGCGCGGUGGUCCAAGGCUCCCGGCGAGAUCCCCUGGUGGCCGAUUUCUUGUUCCAUUAGUGCCCAGGUCGGCCUCCCUUCUCUCCAUGCUGCUGGCGAGGGAGUUUUUCAUUUGUGAUCCAUCGUGAGGAGAGAAAGGAAGAAGCUAGCCACAUGUGAUCCUAAGCUUGGGAUCUUCUAUAGCUGUGUUUCGUGUGACCAUAUGUGUGGCCAGCCUCUAGCCAAUAAUAAUUAGCCAUGUCGAUUAAAUUCCGUAAAGUACUAAAUAAUUAAUAUAUGUCAAGUUAUAAAUCUGAUUCCCUUCGUUCAAUUUGCAUUAGCUUCAUAAUAACGCCACCGGCGAGUUAACACUAUUAUUUUAUCGGGAUGUGUGUUUUAACUAAUUAAUUAAUUAUUGUUUAUCUGAUGGCUAUUAAAGUAGUGAUCUAAUUAAAACUAAUAUAUAGUUUUAAUUUGCGCAAGUAUAAAUGGACGUUAACAUGAUUUAUGUCAACUGAAAUGUUUAUAUUUGUUUAACAUGUCUUCAUUCUAAACACAAUACUGUUAAUGAUUUCCCGCUUGUCGUGUUGUUCGCGCACGUCGUCGCCUCGCUGUAGCGUUUGCGAGUUCAUGUCUUGCACUGUAGUAUGCGUAAUACCCGCGAGUUGUCGCGCGGACCGCUCGUGCUAUCUGCAUGUGUCGUUGUUGCUGUUCACAUGCGGUUCGCGCGCGUUGUCGCGUGCCACCUCGUUUAAAUUCCGCGAACCAUUAAAUAUCCAAUAUAUUUGUGUUGAAAAUCCGUUUCGACUUAUUUCUUUUAUGUUAGCUUCGUAAAGCUAUAUUAACGACGUAUUAGGUAACAUUACUUUAUCAUCAUGCACAUUCUAAUAUUAAUUAAUUGGUCAUCUAUUUAUCUGACAGUUAUUAAAGUAGCAAUCUAAUUGAACUUAUUUAUAGUUUAGAUGCACUUUAUAAAUACAUAUUAAUAUAAUUAUGCCUACUUAAAUAUUUUCGAACUAAUACUUGUUUAUAUAAACGAAUUCUCUAUUUAGUUAUUUCUCGCCGUCGCGUGUGCUGUUCCGCACGUGGUGACGUGCUGGUUCACGCGUCGUUCCUGCUAGUCGUGCGCGCUGUUUCGUGUGUUGUCAGCGUGCUGUGUCGCGCGUGUCCGCGCGUCGUUUUCACGCUGUCGUGUUAUUUCGUGUAUCGUAAGUUCGCCUCGCGUAGAAUUUCUCAUGUUAAUUAAAUUACUUAUUUGACUGACAUUCAUUAGCAUAGCGGAUUAAUCGAACUAAAUUAUAGAUAUUACUUAUAAUUUACAAUGUUGAAUUAGAUAUUAUGAUUAACACUCGUUUAGUGUGGACGCGAUAACCUCUCGACCGUAGCCUCGGCCGUCGCGUUUCUUUGUCCUCGUGUGACCGUAGUAACACACUCUAUUUUAUUUUGCGUAUUUUAUUAUGUUUUGCUUGAAUGGUGUAAUGUUCUUAUGCAUAUAUAUGGUUGUUUGUUUGUGACUGUUUGUAUUCGCGGUGCGACGCGAAUAGAUUGCGAUCUGUUCCUGAGCUUCGAGGAAUCGACGGUCAAGCUUCGACGACCAAGUGAUCUAGCUUUUCGAGUUCCACGAAGUUGAAGACCCUGAGCAUCUGUUUGGUGAAGGCAAGUGUCCUCUGACCCAUUAUGUCCUAUUUACUUUAUAAUUCACUGUCCCGCAUACUAUGAACAACCUAAGGAUUUACUAGCUUUCUAUUUACCUUGUCCUUGAUUUACCUUUUGGGUCACUAUGGUUAGCUACAUGCUAGCACUUUACUUUAAUCAAUGAACAUGAUGAGAUACAAUGAUGAUACUAUGAUUUUAUUCUGGAUAUGAUAAUAUACUUGUGGCAUUUAGGGGACUCGGGCUGUUUCCCGAGUACCUCUCCGUAAGGACCUGUUCGUUGAGAGACCACCCGGGAUAACAGUGCAACCAUGAGGGUGAAAUGGGAUGCCCUUAGCUAAUUAAUUAGAGGAACUAGAGGUGUAGUUGCUUCGUCGUCGUGCCGUCAAUGGGGUCCAGGCACAGUGCUUGCUCUGCCGAGGCUGAGUGUCGAGGUUCUUUCGUUUUGCUUUUGUUAGUCACCCUCCUGCGGGGAGAGGUACUGUGUUUAUCAAACUGGAGAAACCUAACGGGCGGCUAUGACCUCUAGGGAAUCUUUGUAAAGGCUACGUAGUGAUACCCUGCCGGACCACCUAGGAAGUGAUCAAUGGGGAGUCAUGAUCCUUGGGCAAAACGGGAAUCACGGCUCAUGGGUAAAGUGUGCGACCUCUGCAGAGGGUAACGAAACUGAUAUAUCAGCCGUGCUCACGGUUAAGAGCAGCCUUGGGAUCCUCUUUGAUUAGAGAUACUUGAUCAGAGAUGUAUGGUUUACAGGUGGUGAUGAGGAGGAUGGUUAUGAUUAUGACUAUGGUAAUGGUAAGUGGUAUUCUUUCCGUUUGGAAAGGGUACUUUGGGUUAAUAACUUGGGUUAACGCUAAAACAUGGCUUUCUACUAGUAAUAAUAACCUGACCAACUAAAAGCAACUGCUUAACUUAACUCCAUAUAAAGCUAGUCCACUACAGCCAAACGGGACAUUUGCUGAGUACGUUGAUGUGUACUCACCCUUGCUUUCACAAAACACCAGGUUGCCUUUGGUGCAACCUAUGCUCAGGUAAAGAAGGUGUCGAGGCGGAUCUCCAGGAGUUCCAGGACUUCGACGAGUUCGAGGAUUAGGCUAGCGACCUCCCCCAGUCAGCUGCCUGUGGUGGGUUGUUUACGUUGGCUACGUUUCGAUUCUGUGUACUUUGAUUUAUAUUAUGUAAAUGGCUCUAGUCUGUAAUAGUAUUACUUACUCUUUAUUGUAAUUCGAAGCAUUGUGCUAUGAUGAGUCAUUUAUGUAAUCGCUGUGUACGUGAAUUACUGAUCCUGGCACGUACAUGGUUCGCAUUCGGUUUACCUUCAAAACCGGGUGUGACAUAAGUGGUAUCAAAGCCGUGCUGACUGUAGGACCGCUGACCUAGAGUAGCAUUGGCCAUCUUAAGGACUUAUUGAUUAUUACUUCACCUCAUCCUUUAUUCUGCUUCAAAAUAUUAGUCACCUCGACUAAUUCUAUGUUGUGCUCCUAUAUGCCCCCUUGCCAAAAGUAUUUUAUUCUAGUAUGGUCUCUACUUCUCUCAAUCUAUUAGAUCUGAUCUUAUUCUUAUGCUUGCGACAUCUUUUUAGAUGCCCCUUGACCAUAACCUUCUUGUCCUUUUGGGAUUCUUUCCUCUUUCGUUAUUAAAUUGCUACCAUUUGGCGAACUCUAGUCCUUUGGUAUUGACAUGCUUGUAUCCCUUUAAUACUCUUGUUUCAAGUACUUACCUCUGAAUUUCUACUGCCUACUUAAACAUUUCAGUUUAUAUGUCCAUGAUCAUCCUGUCUUUUGAGACCCUUUCUUAUUCUGUUGUUAAGCCGCUAUCUUUUCGGCAAUUCAUACUCCCCUGGUCUUGGUAUGCUCGCACCUUCGUAAUCUUGCAUACUUUUACUUUGUAUAUAAAUGCUUACCUUUGCACUCCAAUGUCUGUUUAAAACAUUUCAGUUUACAUACUCUUGACCACCUUUGUUUCUUCAUGAUCCAUGAGCGAUCGUUCUAUUCCUCACAUCCUUAAUGAUCUCAUCGUUUCCAUAUAACUUCUCUCGGUAAUAAUUUCUUUUACUUCAACCAUUCUGUUGGAACCUUACCUACCUUACCCGUGAUUGUCUUCUCCAUUUCGCCAUUUUGUGAGUCUUGCCUUAACUCCAUCCUUUCCUAUGCUCUUUGUUAUUAUCACCUUUACCCUUAACACUUCUAUAUCUUGCAUUGAUGUUCAUCUUAUACCUAACCUUCAAGGUCUCCCCUCUCCCAUCUCAAUCUGAGAGUUGUAUGUUUUACCUAUUUUUCUUUUGAGGCGUAUCAUCUUCUUUAUCCCUUGCGAGUUUUUAUCUCCAUCCUUUGCCCACUUUUGUUUGCUAUUACCUUUACCUUUCUCAUCCCUCGAUCUUACCUUGGUGAUUACAUUAUGUCUGUUGUCUAAAAUCUCCAAUUUCAUAUUCCAACUUGAGAGCGGUGUUUUACUUACCUCACCCUUGGCUAUAUCCUCUUCUUUAUCGUGUGUAAGCUUGGACGUGACUCCAUUCUUGGUUGUACUCAUAACGCUGGCUCUUCAAUGCUUUCAUCUUUUCUCUCAUACCCUUGUCUGUUAUCGCCUUUGACCCUUGGAAGAUUGACGUCUUCUACCUAAACGCGUACCUUGAACUUAUCCUUUAAAACCCUCCCCUUUCUUUCAACCCAGUUUGAGAGUUGCGAGGUACCUACCUCUCCCUUGAUUUAUUUUCACCUCUUGUCGCCUUACAAGUUUAGUGUUAAUUCUAUCCUUUACGGUGUUUUUAUUUGCUAUCACCAUCACCUUGUCGUCUGUCGAUCUUGCCUUGAUACUCAUCUUUAUUCCUACUCUUUAAAAAUCCCCUCUCUUUCACCUCAAUUUGAGAGUGAGAAUUUACCCAUUUGGCCCUGGGCGCACCCUCUCCUUUUUCAUUUGCAGGUCCUGCCUUAACUCCAUUCUUUAUGGUAUUUCUAUCCUUCGUUCUUAUGCUCAUUUACCUUCCCUCUUACAUUCUUGUCUGUUAUCACCUUUAACCCUUGUAAUAUCUAUACGAUUACCUUCACGCUUACCUUGAGCCUACCCUUUAAAGAGUUCUCUUUUCCGUCCCUGUUUGAGGAUAAUGCCUCACCUACUUCACCAUUGAUUGCUUCCCUUUCUUCGACACCUUGCAAGCUUUGCCUAAAAUACAUCAUUUGUUGUGUGUUUGUCCGUUAUCAUCUUAACUCUUGUCAUCCCUCGAUCUUUACCUUGAUGCUUAUCCUAUGCCUAUCUUUUGAAGUACCAUUUUUCCCACUUCAAUUUGAGAAUGGUGUUUUACCUACCCUACCCUUGGUUGCAUUUCUCCCUUGUAGAUCACAGUCCUUGCUUUGACUCCAUCCCUUAUUGUACUUGUGUCCCUAUCCUACACGUUUGGUUCUUCUCCUUGUCCUUCAACAACCUUAGAGAGCAGUUUUUCCCUUUUAAGAAGGACCACCAUUUAAUUAAAAGGAACGUAUAGCAACGAGAUGUUUGUUGUUGUAUGCUUGUGCUGUUUGUCUCUGUGUGAUGACUGAUUUGCUUCUUUGUGAUGAGUGUUGAUGUGUUGUGGCCCUUGGUCCGCAAUGACAUCAGUUUACUAGCUGAUUGCCAUAGAGUUAGUAGUUGGGUGCUCUCCCUUUUCUCUCUUUAAUCCAUCUAUGCUUACCUUUUCUAUCUAUACCCUCUCCUCUUGUGUCUGUCUGGUUGGCAUUCUUAGCCCUCCCUUAAUCAGUCAAGACCAGAGUCGGCAGCAACUUCACCAAGUGUAUAUCAACGCUCCUGUUAAGGGGGGUUAGCCGCUAACCCCAAUGAAGACAAUGCGAUCAACAUCAACCAACAUGAUCAGAGUGGCGCAGCGAAAGCGUGUGUGGGUCCUAACCCACAGGUCCAUGAGAUCCUCAAGAAUUGCGUCGGUUGGUCUCGAGCGUCUGAAAGUCAAAGCAACCAGUCCACAAGUUAAGUUUGUAGAGUCAAAAUCAACUCCAGAAAGCUGUGAGCAACCAAUGAACCAAUCUCAUUUUCUUGCUAGCCUCUUCUUGAAUCUCGAGGGCGAGAUUCUAUUAAGGGGGUUAGAUUUGUAACACCCUGAAUUUGGGGUAUAAAAUUUCUUUUCCAAUAUCCACCAAAUUCAGGUGUUACUCUCUCAGUUCUUCGCUUUUCUUCUCUUUUUCCUAAAUAAUGGAGAAUUAUUUUAUAUAUAUAAGUUUUAAGCUUAGUAAAAUAAAAUCUUAAAAAGCUUCGAUUGUUGCAUUCAUGCCAUUGCAUAGUGUUUGUGAGUGCUAAGAUUUCUCGAAACACGUUGAAUUAUCUCACAAAUAUUUUCGUGAACUUCUGGAAUCUUUGGAACGUUUUUCGAGUAUUAAAUAUGAAUUUUAGUUUUUCUAAUAUUAAUUAAAUACCUAAAAUUUAGUAUUUGCGAAAACUAUAAAAUUCUGGAAACUCGAUAAUAUAUGUAUAUAUAUUUUCCUCUCGUCGAGUCUGUUCCAGAUCUCGUGUCCUUUUCACGGGAUCGUUAAAAUGUCUUUCCUCACAAACGUCGUGCUGCUCGUGUCUACCCUCGUCGUGCUAACAACCUUCUCUCUCGCGCCCGAUCGUGACGCGAUUCUGCGACGAAUUCGGCAACCACCUCCCACGCUAUCUCCUUUCUAUAUAUACACAACGCCCCAUCGUCGCAUAACCCCUCGUCUCCCUCCCCAGAUCCAAAUCGCGCAGGACCAGGCAUCCCAUCCAGGCGGUUAUUGGUCUUCUUGCGUGCGCAGGUGAGCCCUCUCCCUCUCUCCCUCCUCUGCGUGCUCCCUUUUUUUUUCCGAUCAAGCCGCUGUGUCGUGGCCAUGUCCCCUGCGACAGGGCGUCUUCAAUCCAUGGCUGCCUCCCCUGCGUGCUCCCUCUAUUUUCCUCGGUCGGCGGCGCGGUGUGGCCAGGCCCGAAGUCCUCGGGCGCGGCCAGCCCGCGGCUGGCCCAGCGCGACGGCCAGCGCGCGGCAGCCUGCGCGGCUCGUCCAGCGCGACGCGGGCGACCCCAGCACCCCGGCGUGCAGGCCCCGCGCGCCCUCGCACUGCUCCCUCGCGCGGUCGAGCUGUCCCUACGCAGGCCCCUGUACGUGUGUUUGUACGCGGCUGCAUUCUCCAUGCGGCUGCUCACCACGCCGUGCUGGCCCCUGCGGUGUUUGCCUCUCCUGUUAGCACGGUGGUCCAAGGCUCCCGGCGAGAUCCCCUGGUGGCCGAUUUCUUGUUCCAUUAGUGCCCAGGUCGGCCUCCCUUCUCUCCAUGCUGCUGGCGAGGGAGUUUUUCAUUUGUGAUCCAUCGUGAGGAGAGAAAGGAAGAAGCUAGCCACAUGUGAUCCUAAGCUUGGGAUCUUCUAUAGCUGUGUUUCGUGUGACCAUAUGUGUGGCCAGCCUCUAGCCAAUAAUAAUUAGCCAUAUCGAUUAAAUUCCGUAAAGUACUAAAUAAUUAAUAUAUGUCGAGUUAUAAAUCUGAUUCCCUUCGUUCAAUUUGCAUUAGCUUCAUAAUAACGCCACCGACGAGUUAACACUAUUAUUUUAUCGGGAUGCGUGUUUUAACUAAUUAAUUAAUUAUUGUUUAUCUGAUGGCUAUUAAAGUAGUGAUCUAAUUAAAACUAAUAUAUAGUUUUAAUUUGCGCAAGUAUAAAUGGACGUUAACAUGAUUUAUGUCAACUGAAAUGUUUAUAUUUGUUUAACAUGUCUUCAUUCUAAACACAAUACUGUUAAUGAUUUCCCGCUUGUCGUGUUGUUCGCGCACGUCGUCGCCUCGCUGUAGCGUUUGCGAGUUCAUGUCUUGCACUGUAGUAUGCGUAAUACCCGCGAGUUGUCGCGCGGACCGCUCGUGCUAUCUGCAUGUGUCGUUGUUGCUGUUCACAUGCGGUUCGCGCGCGUUGUCGCGUGCCACCUCGUUUAAAUUCCGCGAACCAUUAAAUAUCCAAUAUAUUUGUGUUGAAAAUCCGUUUCGACUUAUUUCUUUUAUGUUAGCUUCGUAAAGCUAUAUUAACGACGUAUUAGGUAACAUUACUUUAUCAUCAUGCACAUUCUAAUAUUAAUUAAUUGGUCAUCUAUUUAUCUGACAGUUAUUAAAGUAGCAAUCUAAUUGAACUUAUUUAUAGUUUAGAUGCACUUUAUAAAUACAUAUUAAUAUAAUUAUGCCUACUUAAAUAUUUUCGAACUAAUACUUGUUUAUAUAAACGAAUUCUCUAUUUAGUUAUUUCUCGCCGUCGCGCGUGCUGUUCCGCACGUGGUGACGUGCUGGUUCACGCGUCGUUCCUGCUAGUCGUGCGCGCUGUUUCGUGUGUUGUCAGCGUGCUGUGUCGCGCGUGUCCGCGCGUCGUUUACACGCUGUCGUGUUAUUUCGUGUAUCGUAAGUUCGCCUCGCGUAGAAUCUCUCAUGUUAAUUAAAUUACUAAUUUGACUGACAUUCAUUAGCAUAGCGGAUUAAUCGAACUAAAUUAUAGAUAUUACUUAUAAUUUACAAUGUUGAAUUAGAUAUUAUGAUUAACACUCGUUUAGUGUGGACGCGAUAACCUCUCGACCGUAGCCUCGACCGUCGCGUUUCUUUGUCCUCGUGUGACCGUAGUAACACACUCUAUUUUAUUUUGCGUAUUUUAUUAUGUUUUACUUGAAUGGUGUAAUGUUCUUAUGCAUAUAUAUGGUUGUUUGUUUGUGACUGUUUGUAUUCGCGGUGCGACGCGAAUAGAUUGCGAUCUGUUCCUGAGCUUCGAGGAAUCGACGGUCAAGCUUCGGCGACCAAGUGAUCUAGCUUUUCGAGUUCCACGAAGUUGAAGACCCUGAGCAUCUGUUUGGUGAAGGCAAGUGUCCUCUGACCCAUUAUGUCCUAUUUACUUUAUAAUUCACUGUCCCGCAUACUAUGAACAACCUAAGGAUUUACUAGCUUUCUAUUUACCUUGUCCUUGAUUUACCUUUUGGGUCACUAUGGUUAGCUACAUGCUAGCGCUUUACUUUAAUCAAUGAACAUGAUGAGAUACAAUGAUGAUACUAUGAUUUUAUUCUGGAUAUGAUGAUAUACUUGUGGCAUUUAGGGGACUCGGGCUGUUUCCCGAGUACCUCUCCGUAAGGACCUGUUCGUUGAGAGACCACCCGGGAUAACAGUGCAACCAUGAGGGUGAAAUGGGAUGCCCUUAGCUAAUUAAUUAGAGGAACUAGAGGUGUAGUUGCUUCGUCGUCGUGCCGUCAAUGGGGUCCAGGCACAGUGCUUGCUCUGCCGAGGCUGAGUGCCGAGGUUCUUUCGUUUUGCUUUUGUUAGUCACCCUCCUGCGGGGAGAGGUACUGUGUUUAUCAAACUGGAGAAACCUAACGGGCGGCUAUGACCUCUAGGGAAUCUUUGUAAAGGCUACGUAGUGAUACCCUGCCGGACCACCUAGGAAGUGAUCAAUGGGGAGUCAUGAUCCUUGGGCAAAACGGGAAUCACAGCUCAUGGGUAAAGUGUGCGACCUCUGCAGAGGGUAACGAAACUGAUAUAUCAGCCGUGCUCACGGUUAAGAGCAGCCUUGGGAUCCUCUUUGAUUAGAGAUACUUGAUCAGAGAUGUAUGGUUUACAGGUGGUGAUGAGGAGGAUGGUUAUGAUUAUGACUAUGGUAAUGGUAAGUGGUAUUCUUUCCGUUUGGAAAGGGUACUUUGGGUUAAUAACUUGGGUUAACGCUAAAACAUGGCUUUCUACUAGUAAUAAUAACCUGACCAACUAAAAGCAACUGCUUAACUUAACUCCAUAUAAAGCUAGUCCACUACAGCCAAACGGGACAUUUGCUGAGUACGUUGAUGUGUACUCACCCUUGCUUUCACAAAACACCAGGUUGCCUUUGGUGCAACCUAUGCUCAGGUAAAGAAGGUGUCGAGGCGGAUCUCCAGCAGUUCCAGGAUUUCGACGAGUUCGAGGAUUAGGCUAGCGACCUCCCCCAGUCAGCUGCCUGUGGUGGGUUGUUUACGUUGGCUACGUUUCGAUUCUGUGUACUUUGAUUUAUAUUAUGUAAAUGGCUCUAGUCUGUAAUAGUAUUACUUACUCUUUAUUGUAAUUCGAAGCAUUGUGCUAUGAUGAGUCAUUUAUGUAAUCGCUGUGUACGUGAAUUACUGAUCCUGGCACGUACAUGGUUCGCAUUCGGUUUACCUUCAAAACCGGGUGUGACACUAACCGCUCGAAGAGAUGGAUCCUAAGGGUAAGGGGAUGGUGGUCAACGAUAAGGAGAAGGAGUUCCUCUUCAACGAGCCAAGAUAUGACAAUCCCACUGACUCAGGCUCGAGUCCCAAGAAGAGGGACGGGAAGAAAAAGAGGCGCAUCAAGAAGAUCAUAUACUAUGACAGCGACGCCUCCUCUUCUUCACCAAGGGAUGACGACGAUGACGACUCGUCCAAAAGAAAGACGGUUAAUCAAAACUACUCCUUUGAUUAUUCUCGCAUCCCUUAUAAUUCAAAUGCUCAUUUGCUAUCAAUUCCACCUAGGAAACCCCCACACUUUGAUGGAGAAGACUAUUCUUUCUGGAGUCAUAAAAUACGUAGUCAUUUAUUUUCUCUCCAUCCUAGCAUUUGGGAAAUUGUGGAAAAUGGGAUGCACUUUGAUAGUACGGAUAAUCCUGUGCUUAUAAAUGAACAAAUUCAUAAAAAUGCCCAAGCUACUACUAUUUUGCUAGCAUCUCUUUGCAGGGAUGAGUACAAUAAAGUGAGUGGCCUAAACAACGCUAAGCAAAUCUGGGAUACUCUUAAGAUAUCACAUGAGGGUAAUGACGCCACCAUGAUCACGAAGAUGGAAUUGGUGGAAGGCGAGCUGGGGAGGUUCACGAUGAUCAGGGGAGAGGAGCCAACAGAGACCUACAACUGGCUCAAAACCCUGGUCAACAAAAUUCGAAGCUAUGGAAGCACAAGAUGGACGGAUCAUGACAUCGUCCGACUCAUGCUCAGGUCAUUUACAAUAAUUGACCCUCAUCUUGUGAAUCUUAUUCGUGAAACCCCAGGUACACCAAGAUGACGCCCGAGGAAAUACUCGGAAAAUUCGUGAGCGGGCGUAUGAUGGUGAAAGAAGCUCGAUACGUGGACGAUGCAUUAAACGGUCCACUGCCCAUCUACGAGCCACAUCCCGUUGCCCUCAAAGCGACUAGCAGCAGGGAGGCGCUACCAAGCAAGGUGGCACAAGUGGAGGCUGCCGAGCUAAAUGAAGAUGAGAUGGCACUCAUCAUCAAGCGCUUUAAGACCGCGAUAAAAGGACGCAAGGAGUACCCCAACAAAAACAAGUCAAGGGGAAAACGCUCCUGCUUCAAAUGCGGUAAGACUGGUCAUUUUAUAGCUCAAUGUCCCAAUAACGAUAAUGACCAGGCACAAGACAAGCACGGGAAGAGGGAGAAAAAGAAGAACUACAGGAAGGCCAAGGGUGAGGCACACAUCGGAAAGGAAUGGGACUCCGACUGCUCCUCCUUCGACUCUAAGGAUGAAGGACUAGCUGCCUCGGCCUUCAACAAGUCUUCGCUCUUCCCGAACGACCGCCAUACAUGUCUUAUGGCUAAGGAGAAGAUGGUACACAUUCGAGACACUCCAAAGUACUCUUCUUCUAGCGAUGAGGAAUCUUCUGAUGAUGAGGUAGAUUACACUGAUUUGUUUAAGGGAUUAGAUAGAGCUAAAGUAGAGAAAAUUAAUGAAUUAAUUGAUGCUCUUAAUGAAAAGGAUAGACUGCUAGAAAAGCAAGAGGAUAUUUUAUAUGAGGAACAUGACAAGUUUAUUAGUGUUCAAAAAUCUCUUGCUUUAGAAUUUAAGAAAAAAGAAAUAUUGUCAUCUGAGCUGUCUUCCUGUCAUGAAUCCAACUCUAGCUUAAAGAAUUUAAAUGAUGAAUUAAAUGCUAAGCUAGAGAAAGUUAAUAAAACUAGUUCAUGUGUAGAGCAUGUAGUAAUUUGCAAUAGAUGUAAAGAUUUUGAUGUUGAUGCGUGUGAUGAACAUGUUACUUCUAUCGCUAAAUUAAACAAUGAAUUUGCAAGUCUUAAUGCUCAACUUAAGACUUGCAAAGAUGAUUAUGAUAAGUUAAAAUUUUCUAGGGAUGCCUACACUGUUGGUAGACACCUCUCAAUUAAGGAUGGACUUGGUUUUCGAAAGGAAACCAAGAACUUAACAAGCCAAAGGACUUCCGUUCUCAACAAGAAGAAAGGGAAGGCCCCGAUGGCUAGUAGUUCUCAAAAGAACCAUGCCUAUAUUUAUGAUAGGAAAUUCACUAGUCAUGCUUUAAAUGAUUGAUGCUAUGACCGCAUUGUUUCUCAUGAUGCUACAUUUAAUUCUCAUGCUAUGUUCGCAUCUAGUUCCACUUUUGUUCAUGGUAGAAGAAGGCCUAGACGUAAUCAUGUUGUGUCUCAUGCGCCUAAUUGCAAUGGUCCUAUUACUGUCUAUCAUGCUUGCAAUGCUUCCUUUGUACUUUUAUGUAAAAAUGCAAAAGUGGUUGCUAGGAAGUUGGGAUCCAAAUGCAAGGGAGACAAAACUUGCAUAUGGGUUCCAAAAACUGUUGUGACUAACCUUGUAGGACCCAACAAGAGUUGGGUACCUAAGACCCAAGCCUAAACUCCUUGCAGGAUUAUGCAUCCGGGGGCUCAAGCUGGAUUAUCGACAGCGGAUGCACAAACCACAUGACGGGGGAGAAGAAGAUGUUCACCUCCUACGUCAAGAACAAAGAUUCUUAGGAUACGAUCAUCUUUGGAGAUGGGAACCAAGGCAAGGUCAAAGGGCUGGGAAAAAUAGCCAUCACAUCCGACCAUUCUAUCUCUAAUGUGUUUUUAGUUGAAUUGCUUGGAUAUAAUUUGUUGUCUAUGAGUCAAUUAUGUAACAUGGGUUAUAAUUGUUUAUUCACAAUAUUGAUGUAUCUGUCUUUAGAAGAAGUGAUGGUUCACUAGCUUUUAAGGUGUACUAGACGACAAGCUCUAUUUAGUUGAUUUUUCGAAAGAGAAUGCCGAUCUAGAUGCAUGCCUAAUAGCUAAGACUAAUAUGGGCUGGCUUUCGCAUCGCUUUCUAGCACAUGUUGGGAUGAAGAACCUUCAUAAGCUUCUAAAAGGAGAUCAUGUGUUAGGACUAACAGAUGUCUGUUUUGAGAAAGACAGACCUUGUGCAGCAUGCCAAGCAGGGAAACAGGUGGGAAGCACUCAUCAUAGCAAAAAUGUGAUGACGACGUCAAGACCACUGGAACUUCUUCAUAUGGAUCUCUUCGGUCCCGUUGCCUAUCUCAACAUAGGGGGAAGUAAGUAUGGUCUUGUAAUAGUUGAUGAUUUUCCCCGCUUCACUUGGGUAUUCUUUUUGCAGGACAAAUCAGAAACCCAAGGGACCCUAAAGCGCUUCUUAAGGAGAGCUCAAAAUGAGUUUGAGCUAAAGGUGAAGAAGAUAAGAAGCGACAAUGGGUCCGAGUUCAAGAAUCUACAAGUUGAAGAGUAUCUUGAGGAGGAAGGCAUCAAGCACGAGUUCUCCGCUCCCUACACACCACAACAAAAUGGUGUGGUAGAGAGGAAGAACAGGACACUAAUCGACAUGGCGAGAACGAUGCUUGGAGAGUUCAAGAUGCCUGAGCGGUUUUGGUCGGAAGCUGUGAACACAGCUUGCCACACCAUAAACCGGCUCUAUCUGCACUGUCUCCUCAAGAAGACCUCUUACGAACUCUUAACUGGUAACAAACCAAAUGUUUCUUAUUUUAGUGUAUUUGGGAGCAAAUGUUACAUUCUGGUGAAGAAAGGUAGACAUUUGAAAUUUGCUCCCAAGGCACUAGAAGGUUUUUUACUAGGGUAUGACUCAAAUAAAAAGGCGUAUAGGGUCUUCAACAAAUCAUCAGGAUUAGUUGAAGUCUCUAUCGACGUUGUAUUUGAUGAGACUAAUGGCUCUGCAAGAGAGCAAGUUGAUCUUGAUGAUAUAGAUUAAGAUGAAGUUCUGACAGCCGCAAUUCGCACGAUGGCGAUAGGUGAUGUGCGACCACAGGAACUGUAGGAACAAGAUCAACCUUCUUCCUCAACACUGAUGCAUCCCCCAACCCAAGACAAUGUACAGGUACCUCAAGAAGAGGGACAAGAUCAAGGGGGAGCACAGAAACAAUAGGCUAUGGAGGAAGAAGCAUCACGGGCCCCUCCAACCCAAGUCCGAGCGACGAUCCAAAGACAUCACCCCGUCGAUCAGAUUCUGGGUGACAUCAGCAAGGGAGUAACUACUCGCUCACGAUUAGCUACUUUUUGUGAGCACUACUCGUUUGUCUCUUCUAUUGAGCCUUUCAGGGUAGAAGAGGCCUUGCAGGAUCUAGACUGAGUGUUGGCCAUGCAGGAAGAGCUCAACAACUUCAAAAGGAAUGAAGUCUAGAGCCUGGUGCCACGUCCAAAGCAAAACGUUGUGGGAACCAAGUGGGUGUUCUGCAACAAGCAAGACGAGCACAGAGUGGUGACAAGAAACAAGGCUCGACUUGUGGCAAAAGGUUAUGCCCAAGUCGCAGGUUUGGAUUUUGAGGAGACUUUUGCUCCUGAGGCUAGGUUAGAGUCAAUUUGGAUUUUAUUAGGCUAUGUCGCUCACCAUUCCUUUAGGCUGUUCCAAAUGGAUGUAAAGAGCGCUUUCCUCAAUGGACCAAUCAAGGAGGAGGUAUACGUGGAACAACCCCCUGGCUUUGAGGAUGACAGGUAUCCCGACCAUGUAUAUAAGCUCUCUAAGGCGCUCUAUGGACUUAAGCAAGCCCUAAGAGCAUGGUAUGAAUGCUUUAGAGAUUUUUUAAUUGCUAAUGCUUUCAAGGUUGGGAAAGCUGAUCCCAGUCUUUUUACAAAGACUUGUGAUGGUGAUCUGUUUGUUUGCUAAAUAUAUGUCGAUGACAUUAUAUUUGGUUCUACUAACCAAAAGUCUUGUGAGGAGUGUAGCAGGGUGAUGAUGCAAAAGUUCGAGAUGUUGAUAAUGGGCGAGUUGACCUACUUCCUUGGAUUCCAAGUGAAGCAACUCAAGGACGGCACCUUCAUCUCCCAAACGAAGUACACUCAAGAUCUUCUCAAGAGGUUUGGAAUGAAGGAUGCUUAGCCCGCAAAGACACCGAUGGGAACUGACGGACAUCUCGACAUCAACAAAGGAUGUAAGUACGUUGAUCAAAAGGCAUACGGUCAAUGAUAGGUUCAUUACUUUAUCUUUGUGCUAGUAAACCAGAAAUUAUGCUCAGUGUAUGCAUGUGUGCUAGAUUUCAAUCCGACCCCUAGGAAUGUCACCUUGUGGCCGUUAAGCGAAUUCUUAGGUAUUUAGUUUCUACGCCUUGCUUCGGGAUUUGGUAUCCAAAGGGGUCUACCUUUGACUUAAUUGGAUACUCAGACUCCGACUAUGCCGGGUGCAAGGUUGAUAGGAAGAGCACAUCAGGGACGUGCCAAUUUCUAGUAAGGUCCCUGGUGUCCUAGAGUUACAAGAAACAAACAUUCGUUGCCCUAUCCACCGCUGAGGCCGAGUACGUUGUCGCAGGACAGUGUUGCGCGCAACUGCUUUGGAUGAGGCAAACCCUCCGGGACUUCAGCUACAAUCUGAGCAAAGUCCCACUCCUAUGUGAAAAUGAGAGUGCAAUCCGCUUGGCGGAUAAUCCUAUUGAACACAGCCGCACUAAGCACAUAGACAUAUGGCAUCACUUCCUGAGAGACCACCAGCAAAAGGGAGAUAUUGAUGUUUACCACAUUAGCACUGAGAACCAACUAGCUGAUAUCUUCACCAAGCCUUUAGAUGAGAAAAGGUUUUGCAGGUUGCGUAGUGAGCUAAAUGUCUUAGAUUCGUGUAACUUGGAUUGAUCUAUAUCAUACAUGUGUUUCAUGCCUUUGAUCAUGUUACUUUGAGCAUUUAAAUCAUUUAUUGCUUAUUUGUGGUGCUCAAGUUGUACAAGUCAUCCCCGGACCUCAUAAGUCUGUUUGCAAAUGAUGCACAUGUUUAGGGGGAGAUGAGCUACAACUUGAUUCCUGUGAGACUAACUUGUUGUUUGAGUACACUUGAAGUAGUCUCGAAGGACCAUUGAAAGGGAAAAUGAACUUGGACGAUGAAAAGACUUCCACUGCACUCCGAUAUAAGUGUAUUUAAAUUCCAAGUUCAUACUAAUGCUCUCAUUGCCUUUUUGCUCUUAUUUGACGUUUUGUUGAGGCAAUGGGGUUAAAGGGGCCAAAAGUUUUCCCGUUUUGGUGCUUAAUGACAAAGGGGGAGAAAUUAAGGGCCAAAUCAACUAGAUCAGCCAACCACUUGUAAAUUUCAAAAAUAGUAGAGUUAGAAUUUGUAUUUUGCACAAAUGACUCUUAUUGCAAAAUUUGGUCUCUUAUGGGGGAGAAUUUUGAUUAUGGGAAAAAGGGGGAGUUUUUGACACUUGAUCAAUUUUACUCUUGCAAUAUCUCUCUAUUUGCCCAAACAAGUGUGUUUGACUUAGAGAUAGGAAAAAUGAUUUGAUUUGCAAAAACAAACCAAGUGGUGGCAAAAGUGAUCCAAAUAUGCCAAAUACUAAAGGUAGAAAAAUCUGGUCUUAAAUUUGCACUUCUUAAUUGCUUUUUAAUGUGUUGGCAUAAAUCACCAAAAAGGGGAGAUUGAAAGGGAAAUGUGCCCUUGGGACAUUUCUAUAAUUGUUUUGGUGAUUAGAUGCCCAACACAUUGUUUUGAGUUCAUAUGUGCUAACUAAGUGAGAAGUGCAAAUCAAAGAGAAAGGUAUGUCUCUGGACUUAGUCAAUUGUUUUUAGUUACUAACAUGUUUAUCCAAGUGCUAGAGACAUGACCAAGAAAAUAAAAAAGGAUGGAAGAAAGAAUGGCUAAAUAAGCCAAAACCAGCACCAGCCUGGCACACCGGACUGUCCGGUGGUGCACCAGAUAGUGUCCGGUGCCCCAGGCUGGCUCGGCGGCGAGCUGGCUGCUCUCGGGAAUCGGCAGGGCGACGUGGCUAAAAAUCACCGGACUGUCCGGUGGUGCACCAGACUGUCCGGUGAGUCUUCAGCGCCCGCGCCCAAGUACAUCGGUGACGAACUCGUCGCUCUUGGGAAAAGGAGAAAGCACCGCGGCAAAAAAAUCACCGGACUGUCCGGUGAGUCAGAGCCGCCCGAGCCAACGGUCACCAGCGCAAUCUGCGGGCGACGCGUGGCCCGCGCCAACGGUCGGAUGGGCACACCGGAUAGUGUCUGGUGCGCCAACGGGACCGUCGGCCCAACGGUCGGUUGCGACAGAUAAGGAAGGGGAUUGCGCACCGGACUGCUAUAGUAGCUGUCUGGUGGUGCACCGGACUGUCCGGUGCACCACUCGACAGAAGGCAAGAAUUGCCUUCCAAGUUGAUCUCCAACGGCUCCUAGCUGCCUUGGGGCUAUAAAAGGGACCCCUAGGCGCAUGAAGCAGAACACCAAGCUUGCAAGAAACAUCCUAAGACUCCCAGACUCUGCAAUCACGCAAUUGGAUCAUCGUUCUUGAGAUUUGAGCACCAUUUGAGUUGUAAACUCUCUGCGCCAUGUUUGUGUGCUCACUUCUUCACUUGUGUGCGUGUGUUUGUUGUGAUUCGAGUCUUGUGUGUGUUGCUUUUCCUCCCUUACUCUUGUGCUUCUUUGUGAUCUAUAUUGUAAGGGCGAGAGGCUCCAACUUGUGGAGAUUCCUCGCAAACGAGAGAAGAACACUAAACAAAAAGCCGUGGUAUUCAAGUUGAUCAUUGGAUCACUUGAAAGGGGUUGAGUGCAACCCUCGUCCAUUGGGAUGCCACAACGUGGAAGUAGGCAAGUGUUAUACUUGGCCGAACCACGGGAUAAAACACCGUGUCUCUUAUGCUGCUCUUCUCUGUGAUUGUUUGUGUUCGCAAGAGCUCGCUUCAUAACAACUUGAUUAACUCGCACUAACACCAUUAUAAUCAAGUUUGUGGCUAUUUAGUGUUUGAUUUUACAGAAUCACCUAUUCACCCCCUCUAGGUUCUCUCAGCGUGACCGAGUAACUCUAGCUCACAAAUCACGCCAUAAGAGCUCGUCAAUCACAUGGCCAAGCAACUCCAGCUCAUCAAUCUUGCAUCCAAGAAUCGUGUCCUACGCGCCCUCGAGGCGCGAGACCGAGGAGCUCCGCGUCCUCAAGCGUGCGGGCGAGGAUCUGCGCCAGCUUGAGAAGAUGUACAUGGCGUUGGCACGUGGAGGAUGAAGAGGAAAUUUGUUUUUUCUUUUUUGUUUACUUUUUCUUCGAUAUGUUUGUUUGACGAUGACAUUCGCAAUAUUUGUUGUGGCGUGUUUGAAUUGAAUUCCAUUCUAGUAAUCAUAAUUUAGACAUAAACUAAUUAACUUAAUAUAUCUUUAUAUGUAAUAUAUUUGUAUAUUAUAUUUAAUCACAUAGGAGAAUUAGUUAUACACUACAACUAUACUAUAGAGAAAGAAGUAGAAAAUUUAAGAUAGGCCUAAAUGUAAAGUUUGGAAAUUUUUUUAUUAUCACAUUCUAUAAAAUAACCUACUCCAUUAGUUAGAUUUUAAUUCCUUAAAAUGAAUUGAAACAAACGAGACCUAAGAAAAAUGGUUGGAGAUUCACUAUAUAUAGAGACAAUAUUUUAAUAAAAUAUAAUAAAAUAUACUCUCACUGAUUGUAAAUAAAUUUUGUUUCUCCUUUUUAGCUUGAAAGGAACUUUUCCCUACCCAAGAGUGCGAGCUAUUAGCUUGUCACUCCGUGCCAGGGUUGGAUCACGGUUUACAAAACUGUUUACUCUGAUAAAACCGCUACCCAGCGGUAACGGUUUAUCUACGGUAAACCGGUGGAAACCUGUAAAAACCAGCCGGUUUGACCAAUUCAAAUCAAUUUAAAUUUGAAACGGUUUACCGGCGAAAAACCGAUGAAAAACCACCGGUUAACCGCGAAACGAACGGUUUUUGCUGUUUUUUACAGAAAAAUGGAAAAAUUUGACAAUAUUUAUUUGUAGUUUGCUCAAUUCACAUAGCACAAUAAAUAUUAAUUGAUCCACACGACGUGUGUUCACCAAAAUAACAUACAACAUACACUCAAAUACAAGUUCUUUUACAACUCUCCAACGAGGCAACGACAUGUAGGUCGACUUAUUUCACAAUACUCACAUGUUCAUCUCAAGCCAUAUUGAUAGUAUUCAGGCAUGUUGGAAGAAUCGUGAUAUUGUUUCAAUUUGUCAUAGUGACAGUGAUAGGUCUAUACAAAAUAUAUGAGAUACAUUAGCGAGAAAACAAGAACGACAAAUAAAUACUCAUCCACAAAACAAAAAAACAUACCGAUAUGUGUGUUUGGUGUUGUAACAUCCCAAUUUUGAUUUCCAAGGUUAGAAACCCUAAACUCCUAACCCCCCCUUCCUUUUUUAUUAUUUAUCUCUUAAGACCCCAUCUCAUGAAGCAUUAUAUUCAUCAUAUGCAUACACCAUGAUUGCUAGUAGCACUUCACAUAGAAUAUUUCAUUUUGGGCACCUAGGAAAUUUAGAUGAAUAUUUGUUAAAAGGAAACAGAGAUUAAGGGAAAGAAAAGUGAAAAGAAAAAGGAAAAAGAAAAAAAGAAAACCCUUCCCUCUCGGCUGGGCCGAAUCCGGCCCAAGCUCCCCCCUCUCUCCCUCGCGCCCGCGCUCCUCCCUCCCUCGCGGCCCACGCGGCCCAUCUCCCGCGACGCCUCGCUCUCCCCUGACAGCCCGACCCCACCCGUCAGCCGCACCUGCCCUCUCUCCCUCGCGAUGUAACACCCUGAUUUUGGGGGUAUAAAAUUUCUUUCUAAUUACCACCCAAAACCAUGUGUUACUCUUCUUUUUCUCACUCUAGGCUUUCUCUCUCUAGAUUCUUUCUCCCUUUUUUCUUUUUGAUUAGAAAUAGCUUAAACUAGUGGAGGUUAAUUAUUUAUUUUUGUCAAAAACUUAUGAGUCAUGAUAUGUUGCAUCAUGCUGAGCUUAAAAUAUUCUUUGAAGUAUUGCACAAGUUUGAAUUUAUUUGAAUUUGAAACCUAGUUUGAAUUUGGAUUUGAAAACCCUAUAGAAAAAGAAAUAGAAAAGGAAUUAGAAAAUCCAGAGAAAAAGAAAAGGAGAAAGCAGCCCAGUCGACCCACUAAGCCCAGCCAGGCCGCGCGCCCGCGCGCCCGCGCCGCCUGACAGGCGGACCCCGCCUAUCAGCGACAGAUCUCCCUCGCGCGCGCCCUCCCUCUCUCGCUCGCUGCCCAAUGGGGGCAACCUGUCGUUGCCAGUUUUCUUCGCCCGUUCGCUCCCUCUCUCUCUGUCUCGCGGGCCCGGAUCGCCAGUCGCUGAGCCGUUGCCCCGCGCCGUCGCCUCAUUUCGCUUAGCUCCACCCUCUCUCGCGCUCUGCCCAUGACGCCAGCCACCGCCAGAGACCCGCGCCCGUGUUCCCGGCCAUCUAGCUCGCCGGAGACCGCUCCAAGCCUCCUCGAGCUCUGCCCGAGGUGAGACACUCGUCCCCAUGCCCAAUUUCCCCUAUUGUGCCCUGUGUUCGGCCAAUUUCACCUUCGCCGGUGCUCGGCCGCGGCGGACCGCCGUGCUCGCGCAGUGACCGGCCGAUUAAGCCCGGUUUAGUUCACCGGAGUAGGUCCCUGUGUCACCCCUACCUCUGCUGAAGUUAGCCAAGGCCUUAGCGCGCUUUAAUUCCCCUCCUCGUGGCCGGAAUGGCUCACCGGAGUUACUCCGGCCCGCCCGAGGCUUUCUCACUGCCGUUCUCCCCUCUCUGCCCGUGGAUUCGUGGCCUCUUCCCCGCCAUUGAGUUCGCCGUGGCGCCCUCUUCCUCUCUGCCCAACUCCGGCGACCCCGGAGCAACCCUAGCUCGUGCCAGCCUCAACUCCGGCGACUUCACCGCCGUGGAGAGGAGCGGUGCCGCCCGCAGCCGUCUGUUUCCCAUGGUCUGAUCCCCUCCGUCUGAUUCAGAUCGAACGGCUCAGAUCACGGCUAACACUUCGCGCACGCACGCCCUGACUCCCUGGCCCGCCUGUCAGCGCCCAACCCCCCGGGCGCUGGGCCCGCUCGGUCAGCGCGCUCUCCCCCUCUGUCGUUGACACUCACUGGCCUGCCUGUCAGCGCUCGCCCGCUCGCGCGCGCGCGCUUUCGGCCGCAGAUCUAAUCUCGGCCGUCGGUUUCUGAUCUAGCGGUUAGAUUAACCCGAUACCCCUUCGCGCGGUAGUUUUCUUAAAGAGACCCUCAGUUUAUUAGAAAUCAACCCGCCGUCCCUGGUUUUCGCGCGCAGGACCCUGUAAUCUUGCAGAUUUAACCCUGGACUUUUAAAUAUUCACAGAAUUAGACCUAAUUUCAUAUUUUGAAUUCCCAAACUUGUUUAUUUCAUAACUUUUGCAUAUGAACUCCAAAUUUAGUGAUUCAAAUUGCAAAAUGUUCAUAGAAUUAUUCUCCGUUGAAAUAAAAUGGUUUCACUUACUGUCUGUACACUCUAAUUUUUAGGAUUGAAUAUGAACUAAUGUAGAUGUAUGCUUUAUUUAUUUAAUAAAAUAAAUAAGAGGAGAACCUUAGAGAUUUAAACUUGUUUAAGCUUGUGAGAUUAAUAAUAUGUAUUACAUAAGUUCAUCUCUGUUCUAAAUUUUAGGUCACAAUAAAAUAUGUUGAACUAUGUUUAUGUACUUGUAAGUAACAUUUAGGGGAAAUAGUAAUCUAUUUUCAAAUAAAGUUAAUGUAUGUUAUAGUUUAUGUUAUACUUUGAAUUCAUUAUCCCUUAUGUAGUAUUGUGUCUUUUUAAGAUGUGUUCCAAUGUUUGUACAUGUUUGGUGUGAUGUUCAUUUGUACUUUCCAAAUGUAUUGAAUGCAUGCUCGCUUUAUUUAGACAACGAGCAGUCCGAGGUUCCUGAGUGUGUUGUUGGAGACCUCCCUGAGCAACAACCUGGUGAAGGCAAGUGUCCUCUAACCUAUUAUGUCCUACAUACUUUAUAUUUCACUGCCCCGCAUUACUUUAUGGAACCUAAGGAUUGACUAGUCUGUAUUUACCUUACCUUUGUUUACCUUUUGGGUUAUCAUAGUUAGCAUGUUGAUAUUGCCUUAACUUAAUCAAUGAACAUGAUGUGAACAUUUAUGAUACGAUACUAUUAUCCUGAUUAUGUGGAUGAUCUUGUGAUACCUUAGGGGGCUCAGGCCUUUUUCCUGAGUACCUCUCCGUAAGGACCUGUUCGUGGAGUGACCACCCGGGAUAACAGUACAACCAUGAGGGUGGAAUGGGAUGCCCUUAGUUGAUUAAUUAGGUGAACCUGGGGGUGUAGGUUGCUUUGCCAGAGGGCCGUCAAUGGGGACGGGGCGUAGUGCUCGCUCUGCCAAGGUUGGGGUGCAGAGGUUCUUUCGAUUUGGUUUUGUUAGUCACCCACCUUGGGGAGGUGUACUGCGUUUGUACGACUGGCGAAACCUAACGAGCAACUAUGCACCAGGGGAGUCUUUGUAAAGGCUACGUAGUGCAUCUCUAGCCAUUCACCUUGGUAGUGAAGAUCGGGUCUGUACAACCCAGGCUGGAAAGGGAUCACGACUUGUGGGUAAAGUGUACAACCUCUGCAGAGUGUUAAAAACUGGUAUAUCAGCCGAGCUCACGGUUAAGAGCAGCCUUGGGAUCCUCUUUGAUUUGAAGAACUUUGGAUACUUUUAUGAUGAUGGUUAAUAAUGAUGUUAUAAAAUCUGAUCUCUGGUAUUUCCUCUUUGGAGGAGGUACUUCUGGGUAAUAACUGGGUUGAUUACUAAAACUUGGCUCUACUAAUAGUAAUAAAUACUUGACCAACUAAAAGCAACUGCUUGACCUCAACUCCAUAUACAGCUAGUCCACUUUAGCCAAACAGGACAUUUGCUGAGUAUGUUGAUGUGUACUCACCCUUGAUUUACACACCACCCCCACCCCAGGUUGUACCCAGUGUACUCAGUGCUCAGGAGGUGAUGCUGGCAACAUGGAUCACUUCGAGGAGUUCUAGGAAUAUGACGAGUUCUAGUCCUUUAUUAGUGGCAAACCCCCAGUCAGCUGCCCGUGUAGGCUUAGCAUCUACGUUUCGUAUUUUCGCACUUUGAUAAUUAUGUUGAACAAUGGUUAUGUAAUAGACUAUGUGGAUGUCUCUGACAUCUUGAUGUAAUAAAGUAUCUUUUCGCUAUUUAUUUCGAGCAUUGUGUGAUGAUGUCCAAUUAUGUAAUCGUUGUGUAUGUGAGUUUCUGAUCCUGGCACGUAUAUGGUUCGCAUUCGGUUUACCUUCCAAAAUCGGGUGUGACAUAAGUGGUAGCAAAGCCUUGCUGAUUGUAGGACCGCUAACCUAGACUAGAAUGGUCGACCUAAGGACUAUAGACCCCUACUCUUACCUUGACCUUAGAGUUCUUUCAAAAGUUGGUCAUCUUGACCAACUCUAUGUUAUUUACUCAUCUCAAAAGUUGUCUCACUUUUCUUUCUGUUUACUUUAUGGUCUCAUAGUUCCACUCUUACUCUUGUGCUUACGAUGUCUUUUUUUAGAUGGCCCAUAUCAGGUGCAUGGUGUCAGGUCAGUCUAGCCAGCUGGAGAGACUGCAUCGUCGCUUGCACGAGGAGCAGGAGCAGGACUAGGAGCAACAGGACUCUUCCCCUUGCCAUAGCAGGAGGUGGAGUCUGAGAGGCCUCCUUCCCCUGCACCUCAGCCAGAGAUGCCUCCUGCACCACCUCAGGGCAUCCCAGCUGCUGGAGGAGACCCUGACGGAGACGGAGACGACGCCGACGCCGGUGGCAGUUCGAGCCACGACACGGAGCCCUCGGAGGAGCCGGAGCCAGAGGGAUGGAUCGCUAGACCCAUCACUCGUGACGCUGCUCACGGGUGUCACUUCCACGACGCUCUCGAUACCUUGCUGCGUCAGGCCUUCGACCGACACACAUGGCCUAUCGAGUACCGUUGUGUAGUCUACCAGCAUCGUCGAGGGCUAUACCCGGACUAGUGGGAGGCUACUUGUUUGGUGCGUCGUCCGGACGAUGAUCUCCGGGGUGCAGAAGCCUUUUCAGAGCACUAUUCUAUUACUGAGAGGGAUAUUGCCGAGGCAGCCAUGCAAGAUGCAGCACGACGAGCACUUUCUCAGUAUUGCUAGUUGUUCAGCGGGGUAGCUGAUGGCCUCAACUUGAAGUACUACCCUUGUCGUUCGACCGGCAGUGCUGGAGGUGUGAUUGUCUCGCCAGUGGGUGAGGGCAAUCCCAGGCUGAACAACAUGGUCAACUUGGUUGUCGUGCUCAACACAGAGUUGGACCACGCCCUUGACGAGUUGGGCAAGGUUCGGGCAGAGGUUGUGGAAUUGCGUGCUGAGUGUGCAGCACGCCACUAUCUGGAUGGUGGUUCUCCCGCCCCUGUCGGGAUUCAGCACCCUUACCGUUAACCGCCCUGUGGUCGCUUCGACUAUGGUACCCCAGACUGCAGGACCCGGAUAGAUUUGGAUCCGUAGAUCGACAGAGUCGGAGUCUGUAAUAAUUCUUAGUUCAGUGUCUCAGUCUAGUCAGUCUAGUUAGAGUUAGUUUGCUUAUUUUAUGUUGGAUGCUUGUUAUGAUGGACAUGUACUGAAGUUGGAUCUUUGUAAUGAUUGUCAACAAGGUGUGGGUAUCCCCUGCAGCUUGGUGUAGUUAUUAAUAAAGUCAGUUAUUUAGUUAGGUAAUCCAUUUAUUUCUACUUUCCUCUUUAUCUGAGAAGCUGUCAGUGAAGAUGGUCAUUUGUUCAGUGCUAUGAAGAUUUUCUAUACAUCUUUUCUUAUGCUGAAAGACUGCCAAGUCAGAUUUGAUAUAUGUGUGUGAUUUCUACAGAUGUCUGAGAAUAGGCGCAGAGGUGUGAGGCGUGCUCAGUCUGAACAGCAGGCACCCCAAGAGGAAGCAGCCCCGCAGUAGCAUUUGCCAUCGCCACCCCUGAUGACUAUCGAGCAGAUGUUCUAGAUGCAGACCGAAGCAGUCCAGGCAAUUGGUCAGACAUUAGCAGCCAUGCAGCAGGUGGCAUUAGCAGCCACCACCGCCUCAUCCUCCAGUGCAAGUCCAGAUGCCACAAGUGCCCAGAGACAAGCGGGCAGAGUUCAUGAUGGGCCAUCCCCCAGUCUUUGCCCAUUCUGCCGAUCCCAUGGACGCUGAAGAUUGGCUGCGUACCGUGGAGCGUGAGUUGCACACUGCCCAGUACAACGAUCGUGAGAAUGUGUUGUAUGGUCCCCGACAGCUGAGGGGAGCAGCACAGUCUUGGUGGGAGUCCUAUCUCGCCACCCAUGCCAACCCUGAAGCCAUCACUUAGGAGGAGUUCAGGGAUAACUUCCGUCGCUACCAUGUGCCCGAGGGACUGAUGAUAGUGAGGAAGGAGGAGUUUUUUGCCUUGAAGCAAGGUCCCCUAUCCGUCAGUGAGUACAUGGACAAGUUUCUGCAACUAUCGCGUUAUGCCCUAGAGGAUGUCAACACGGAUGCCAAGAGGCAGUACCGCUUCUUGAGAGGAUUGGUUGAUCCCCUCCACUAUCAGCUAAUGAACCACACCUUCCCUACCUUCUAGCAUCUGAUAGACAGAGCAAUCAUGACAGAAAGGAAGCGUCGGGAGAUGGAGGACAUGAAACGCAAGAUAGGUUGGCACAAGAGAUUACCAUAUGCAGAAUUCUCUUACAACAACAGCUACCAAGCCAGUCUGAAGAUGUCACCAUUUGAAGCGCUCCAUGGGAGGAAUUGCAGAACUCCAUUGCAUUGGGAUCAACCUGGUGAAAGAUAGGUGUUCAGUCCAGAUAUUUUGCUUGAAGCCGAAGAGAACAUCAGGAUGGUUUGAGAGAAUUUAAAGGCAGCGCAGUCCAGACAGCGAAGCUAUGCUGACACUCGAAGAAGAGAACUCAGUUUUGAAGUGGGAGACUAUGUCUACUUGAAGGUGUCACCCAUCAGAGGAACCAGAGGUUUGGAGUCAAAGGCAAGCUAGCACCUCGUUAUAUUGGACCGUAUCAGAUUCAAGCCAGACGUGGAGAAGUGGCUUAUCAACUUAGCUUACCAGAGAAUCUGUCAGCUGUGCACGAUGUGUUCCAUGUGUCUCAGUUCAAGAAAUGCUUGAGAGUGCUAGAAGAGAAGUUGCCAGCAGAGGAUAUUGAAGUUCAAGAAGAUCUGACUUAUAUUGAGAAGCCAACUCAAAUUCUGGAGACAGCAGACCGGGUCACUCGGAGAAGUACCAUCAGGAUGUGCAAAGUCAAAUGGGGUCACCACUCAGAAGAAGAAGCAACCUGGGAAAGAGAAGAUGAUUUGAAAGCCAAGUACCCUGAGCUCUUUUCUAGCGAGCCCUGAAUCUCGAGGGCGAGAUUCUUUUAAGGAGGAUAGGUCUGUAACACCCUGAUUUUGGGGGUAUAAAAUUUCUUUCUAGUUACCACCCAAAAUCAUGUGUUACUCUUCUUUUUCUCACUCUAGGCUUUCUCUCUCUCUAGAUUCUUUCUCCCUUUUUUCUUUUUGAUUAGAAAUAGCUUAAACUAGUGGAGGUUAAUUAAUUAUUUUUGUCAAAACCUUAUGAGUCAUGAUAUGUUGCAUCAUGCUGAGCUUAAAAUAUUCUUUGAAGUGUUGCACAAGUUUGAAUUUAUUUGAAUUUGAAACGUAGUUUGAAUUUGGAUUUGAAAACCCUAUAGAAAGAGAAAUAGAAAAGGAAUUAGAAAAUCCAGAGAAAAAGAAAAGGAGAAAGCAGCCCAGUCGGCCCACUAAGCCCAGCCAGGCCGCGCGCCCGCGCCGUCUGCCUGUCAGCGGCAGUUCUCCCUCGCGCGCGCCCUCCCCUCUCGCUCGCUGCCCAGUGGGGCCAACCUGUCGGCGCCAGUUUCCUUCGCCCGUUCGCUCCCUCUCUCUCUCUGUCUCGCGGGCCUGGAUCGCAAGUCGCCGAGCCGUUGCCCCGCACGCCCAUUUCUUCUCUCUCUGAGCCGUGGGCCUGCCCUGUCAGUUCCGCCCCCUCCGCGCUCGCCGUGGACCGGCACGUGCGCACUCGCGCACGUCGCCGGAUUUCUCGGCCACGACGCCCGCCCACACGCCCAGCUCCCUUCUUAGAGCCCCGUCAGUGCCCCGCGCACACCCCUCGCCUCAUUUCGCUCAGCUCCACCCUCUCUCGCGCUCUGCCCAUGUCGCCAGCCGCCGCCGGAGACCGACGCCCGUGUUCCUGGCCAUCUAGCUCGCCGGAGACCGCUCCAAGCCUCCCUGAGCUCCGCCCCAAGGUGAGACACCCGUCCUCGUGCCCAAUUUCCCCUAUUGCGCCCUGUGUUCGGCCAAUUUCACCUUCGCCGGUGCUCGGCCGAGGCGGACCGUAGUGCUCGCGCGGUGGCCGACCGAUUUAGCCCGGUUUAGUUCACCGGAGUAGGUCCCUGUGUCACCCCUGCCUUUGCUGAAGUUAGCCAAGGCCUUAGCGUGCCUUAAUUCCCUCCCCGUGGCUAGAAUGGCUCACCGAAGUUACUCCGGCCUGCCCAAUGCUUUCUCGUCACCGUUCUCCUCUCUCUGCCUGUGGAUUCGUGGCCUCUUCCCUGCCAUUGAGUUCGCCGUGGCGCCCUCUUCCUCUCUGCCCAACUGUGGCGACCCUGGAGCCACCCUAGCUCGCGCCAGCCUCAACUCCGGCGACUUCACCACCGCGGAGAGGAGCGGUGCCGCCCGCAGCCGUCUGUUUCCCUUGGUCUGAUCCCCUCCGUCCGAUUCAGAUCGAACGGCUCAGAUCAUGGAUAACGCUUCGCGCACGCACGCCCUGACUCCCUGGCCCGCUUGUCAGCGCCCAGCCCCCUUGGCGCUGGGCCCGCUCGGUCGGCGCGCUCUCCCCCUAUGUCGCUGACACUCCCUGGCCCGCCUGUCAGCGCUCGCCCGCUCGCGCGUGCGCGCUCUCGGCCGCAGAUCUAAUCUCGGCCGUCGGUUUCUGAUCUAGCGGUUAGAUUCACUCGAUACCCCUUCGCGCGGUAGUUUCCUUAAAGAGACCCUCGGUUUAUUAGAAAUCAACCUGCCGUCCCUGGUUUUAGCGCGCAGGACCCUGUAAUCUUGCAGAUUUAACCCUGGACUUUUAAAUAUUCACAGAAUUAGCCCUAAUUUCAUAUUUUGAAUUCCCAAACUUGUUUAUUUCAUAACUUUUGCAUAUGAACUCCAAAAUUAGUGAUUCAAAUUGCAAAAUGAUCAUAGAAUUAUUCUCUGUUGAAAUAAAAUGGUUUCACUUACUAUCUGUACUUGUUUAUUUCACUAAUGUAGAUGUAUGCUUUAUUUAUUUAAUAAAAUAAAUAAGAGGAGAACCUUAGAGAUUUAAACUUGUUUAAGCUUGUGAGAUUAAUAAUAUGUAUUACAUAAGUUCAUCUCUGUUCUAAAUUUUAGUUCACAAUAAAAUAUGUUGAACUACGUUUAUGUACUUGUAAGUAACACUUAGGGGAAAUAGUAAUCUAUUUUUAAAUAAAGUUAAUGUAUGUUAUAGUUUAUGUUAUACUUUGAAUUCAUUAUCCUUUAUGUAGUAUUGUGUCUUUUUAAGAUGUGUUCCAAUGUUUGUACAUGUUUGGUGUGAUGUUCAUUUGUACUUUCCAAAUGUAUUGAAUGCAUGCUCGCUUUAUUUAGACAACGAGCAGUCCGAGGUUCCUGAGUGUGUUGUUGGAGACCUCCCUGAGCAACAACCUGGUGAAGGCAAGCAUCCUCUGACCUAUUAUGUCCUACAUACUUUAUAAUUCACUGUCUCACAUUACUUUAUGAAACCUAAGGAUUGACUAGUCUGUAUUUACCUUACCCUUGUUUACCUUUUGGGUUAUCAUGGUUAGCAUGUUGCUAUUUCCUUAACUUAAUCAAUGAACAUGAUGUGAACAUUUAUGAUACGAUAUUGUUAUCCUGAUUAUGUGGAUGAUCUUGUGAUACCUUAGGGGGCUCAAGCCUUUUUCCAGAGUACCUCUCCGUAAGGACCUCUUCGUGGAGUGACCACCCGAGAUAACAGUACAACCAUGAGGGUGGAAUGGGACGCCCUUAGCUGAUUAAUUAGAUGAACCUAGGGGUGUAGUUGGCUUUGCCAGAGGACCGUCAAUGGGGGCCGGACGUAGUUCUCGCUCUGCCAAGGUUGGGGUGCAGAGGUUCUUUCGAUUUGGUUUUGUUAGUCACCCACCUUGGGGAGGUGUACUGUGUUUGUACGACUGGCAAAACCUAACGAGCAACUAUGCACCAGGGGAGUCUUUGUAAAGACUACGUAGUGCAUCUCUGGCCAUUCACCUUGGUAGUGAAGAUCGGGUCUGUACAACCCAGGCUGGAAAGGGACCACGACUUGUGGGUAAAGUGUACAAUCUCUGCAGAGUGUUAAAACUGGUAUAUCAGCCGAGCUCACGGUUAAGAGCAGCCUUGAGAUCCUCUUUGAUUAGAAGAACUUUGGAUACUUUUAUGAUGAUGGUUAAUAAUGAUGUUAUAGAAUCUGAUCUCUGGUAUUUCCUCUUUUGAGGAGGUACUUCUGGGUAAUAACUGGGUUGAUUACUAAAACUUGGCUCUACUAAUAGUAAUAAAUUCUUGACCAACUAAAAGCAACUGCUUGACCUCAACUCCAUAUACAGCUAGUCCACUUUAGCCAAACGGGACAUUUGCUGAGUAUGUUGAUGUGUACUAACCCUUACUUUACACACCACCCCCACCCCAGGUUGUCCCCAGUGUACUCAGUGCUCAGGAGGUGAUGCUGGCAACAUGGAUGACUUUGAGGAGUUCCAGGAAUAUGGCGAGUUCUAGUCCUUUCGUAGUGGCAAACCCCCAGUCAGCUGCCUGUGUAGGCUUAGCAUCUACGUUUCAUAUUUCCGCACUUUAAUAAUUACGAGCCUUUGGUUGAUGAUCAAUGGCUACACAACCCCCAUUUUGUCGAAAAUAGCCACGAACGACCAUUUUCAAUAAUACCGAAGGCUAACACCUACGGAUUUUUGACCAUGAAAUGGUCUCCACCAGAAAUCCAAGAAUGUGAUAUAUGGCAAGGAAACCUAUGUGGGGUGAGGUGACAAUUUUCAAUAAUAUCGAAGCCUAACACCUACGGAUUUUUGACCAAGAAAUGGUCUUCACUAGAAAGCCAAGAAUGUGAUAUAUGGCAAGGAAACAUAUGUGGGGUGAGGUGUACGAGCCUAUGGUUGAUGAUGAAUGGCCACACAACCCCUAUUUUCGUCGAAAAUAGCAUGAAUGACCAUUUUCAAAAAUAGUGAAGGCUAACACCUAUGGAUGUUUGACCAAGAAAUGGUCUCCACCAGAAAUCCAAGAAUGUGAUAUAUGGCAAGGAAAUAUAUGUGGGGUGCAAUGAACGAGGCUCUGGUUGAUGAUUAAUGGCCACACAACCCCCAUUUGUGUCGAAAAUAACCAUGAAUGACCAUUUUCAAUAAUACCAAAUGCUAACACCUACAGAUUUGUGACCAAGAAAUGGUCUCCACCAGAAAUCCAAGAAUGUGAUGUAUGGCAAGGAAACUGUCGGAGAGGGAAUGCUCCGGCCGGGUGGCGGAUCGCACCCGCCCUAAAUCCUAAGAUGAGGAGGGGCCUAAGCGUUUUGCCUGCUAGAUGGAAUCGGGAAGAACACAAGAACACACAAGGGUUUAGAGUGGUUCGGGCCACCGGAGUGUAACACCCUACCCCACUGUGUGAUGUAUUGAGCUUGAGAGCUCGUAUGAACUUGUGAGCCUAAGUUGGGUCUAAGUGUGUCUGCCUUGUAACGUCGUGUGCUCUCCCUUUAUAGUUCAAGGGGGGCACGUACAAGGGUGCUGGGCCCCGACAUGUGGGCCCAGGGGCAAAACGGAGGGAAUACAUAUAGAAGUAUCCAAUGCCAAUGCCACCCAGAAGAUCUCCGAGUGCCACAAUGUCCGUAGUGCAUACAGUAUUGAUAUCCUGCGCUGCUUCCUCGGUAACGCGCGAGUCAUGAUGAUCGUAGCGCAUGCGGCAGUAAGGUCGUGCCGCCUGCCACGGGAAUGGACAGGCACGCUGAGAGCACCUAGAGGGGGGGGGGGUGAAUAGGUGAUCUUGUAAAAUUCAACAACUAAUAGCCACAAAUCUUGGUUAUACAAAUGUUAGUGAGACUAAGUAGUUGCGAAGCGAGUUCUUGUGGCCAAGACAAUCACAAAGAGAUCAACACAAGAGACAUGUGAUUUUAUCCCGUGGUUCGGCCAAGUAACACUUGCCUACUUCCACGUUGUGGCGUCCCAGUGGACGAGGGUUGCACUCAACCCCUUUCAAGUGAUCCAAUGAUCAACUUGAAUACCAUGGCUUUUCUUUGCUUAUCUCUUUUUCCCAUUUGUGAGGAAUCUCCACAAGUUGGAGUCUCUCGCCCUUACAACAAAGAUCACAAUGAAAGCACAGAGUAAGGUUGGGAAGAGCAACGCACACUAGAAUUAAAUCCACACCGCAAACACGCACACAAGUGAGAAGAUGAGCACACAAAACACGCGCAGGGAGUUUACAACUCGAAAAGUGCUCCAAUCUCAAGAUCGAUGAACGAUUGAGUGAAAGUGAGGACUAGAAGUCUUGGAAUGCUUAGAGUGUGCUUGGUUGACUCCUCCAUGCGCCUAGGGGUCCCUUUUAUAGCCCCAAGGAAGCUAGGAGCCGUUGGAGGCCAACAAGGAAGGCCAAAGUUUCCUUCUAUCGGGUGGUGCACCGGACAGUCCGGUGCACCACCAUACAGUCACUGUAGCAUGUCCGGUGCGGAUCUCCUUCCUAUUUUGGCGUAGUCGACCGUUGCAACUCUGGGCUGGUUGGCGCACCGGACACUGUCCAGUGCCCCCUACCGACCGUUAGCGCGGGCCACGCGUCGUUCGCGGAUUGCGCGGCCGACCGUUGCGCUGGCGACCGUUGGCUCACCGGACAGUCCGGUGCACCACCAGACAGUCCGGUGAAUUAUAGCCGUACGCCACCAAACUUUCCCGAGAGUGGCCAGUUCGCCAGAAGACAGCCUAGCGCACCGGACACUGUGCCAGACUGAGUUGAGUAUUGGCUGCUCCAAGCCAAGUCCUUUUCUUCUUCUCUUUUCUCUGUUUCUAGCACUUAUACAAAAUAUGUUAGUACUCAAAACAAUGUACUAAGUCUAGAAACAUACCUUGUUACAUGAUUUGUACUUCUUGCUUGUUUGACACAUAACCAUCUCACUUAGUAUGUGUUGGACAGUUAAUCACACAAAUAUAAUAGAAAUGGCCCAAGGGCACAUUUCCCUUUCACAUGCCGCCUGCGGGAUGGUCUGGUCGCCGUCCGCCAGCGGAGUGGCAGGGCUCAUUAAAUGCCAAGGCGGCACAUCACCUGCCAGUGGGAUAGACAGGCGGAGCGUCUCAUCCGCAAUAAAUGCAGAGACCACGCGGCCCAGAGGCCUUACGUCAGGCUCCGCCCGUUGGCUUAUGUCAUGAGCAGCGUGCCACGUGGCAGCAUCGGGGCUCCGCCUGAGUGGGGAGCAGAAGCGUACGCGGUAUGGCCCGGACACGUGUUAGCUCCGGACCCCCGCCUGGCCUUGAUUAAGGCCUGGGUAUUCUUUGUCCCAGAAUCCCGGGACCCUGCUGAAGGUGGCCGGACCCCCACACAGAGAGGUCCGGGACCCGUACCCGGGGUCCGGUCAGUACCCGCGGAGGUCCUGGGCCCUGCCCGGAGGUCUGGUCCGUAUAUGCAGGGGUCCGACACUUUCCUAUGGGGCUCCGGACUCCUGCCGACACCUUGGAGUGUAUCAUCUUCUUCGGCCACGUGGCGGCCCCGGAGCCGUCUGCUUGGUGGGGUCGGGUGUUGUUCGCCAUGCGACUAGAGACAACUGCGUGGACACCGCGCCUUCAUGCUGUGGUAAGGGGUACCCCUGUUUUAGGGUACCGAUAGUGGCCCCUGGGCCCGCCUCAGGGGAGGAUACGAGCCUGCAGGUGGGGCCAAAACUUGACUGUCGAUUUGUGCACCGCUUCCGUGCAUUUGCUAGCGUAAUCACUGCCAGACCGCCUUCGGUCACACCAACUGCCACAUUUGUCCCCGCGGCUGACUGACCCGCUAGAAGGGAAAUGUGCCCUUGGGCCAUUUCUAAGUAUUUUGGUGAUUGAGUGCCAACACAAGUGCUUUUGUGCUAAUCUAUGCAAAGUGGUGGACAAAGUGCAAAUCAUGUCAAAAGGUAUGUUUCUAGACUUUGUACAUUGUUUUAUGGACUAAUGUAUUAUGUCUAAGUGCUGGAAACAGAAAAAUUGAGUUGGAGAAGAGAUGGCUAAGUUCAGCCAAAGUCUGCUCAGUCUGGGUGCACCGGACUGUCCGGUGGUGCACCGGACAGUGUCCGGUGGUGCACCGGACAGUGUCCGGUGCGCCAGGCUGGCUCUGGCGAACAGACUGCUCUCGGGACUUCGACGGCGGUGUACGGCUAUAAUUCACCGGACUGACCGGUGGUGCACCGGACUGUCCGGUGAGCCGGUCACAGGCGAACUCGUCGCUCUCGGGAAGCCAUCAACGGCGUACGGCUAUAAUUCACCGGACUGUCCGGUGUGCACCGGACUGUCCGGUGAGCCAACGGUCAGUCGGGGCAACGGUCGGUCGAGGAUUCCGCGCGUGACGCGUGGCCGAGCCAACGGUCACAUUGGUGCACCGGACUGUCCGGUGCGCCAACGACUUUUAGACUCCAACGGUCGGCUUCGCCAAAUAAGGAAGGAUAUCUGCACCGGACUGUCCGGUGGUGCACCGGACUGUCCGGUGCACCAAUCGACAGAAGGCAAGAUCUGCCUUCCAGGAAUGUUCCCAACGGCUCCUAGCUGCCUUGGGGCUAUAAAAGGGACCCCUAGGCGCAUGGAGGAGAACACCAAGCAUUCUCACAACAUUCCUAAGCACCAAGACUUCGAUUCCGCGCAUUUGUUUCUUUGUGAUAGCAUAUAGAGCUCUAGUUUAGUUGUGAACUCAUUGGGUUGUGUUGCGAGCUCUUGUUGCGACUUGUGUGCGUGUUGACACUCUGAUUUUUGUGUCUUGUGUGCGUUACUCAUCCCUCCCUUACUCCGUGCUUCUUUGUGAACUUCAAGUGUAAGGGCGAGAGGCUCCAAGUUGUGGAGAUUCCUCGCAAACGGGAUUAAGAAAAGCAAAGCAAAACACCGUGGUAUUCAAGUGGGUCUUUGGACCGCUUGAGAGGGGUUGAUUGCAACCCUCGUCCGUUGGGACGCCACAACGUGGAGUAGGCAAGCGUUGGUCUUGGCUGAACCACGGGAUAACCACCGUGCCAUCUCUGUGAUUGAUCUCUUGUUGGUUAUUGUGUUUUGUUGAGACUCCUCUCUAGCCACUUGGCGAUUAUUGUGCUAACACUUAACCAAGUUUUUGUGGCUUAAGUUUCAAGUUUUACAGGAUCACCUAUUCACCCCCCCUCUAGGUGCUCUCAAUUGGUAUCGGAGCCGUUCUCUUCACAAAGGGACUAAUCGCCCGAAGAGAUGGAUCCUAAGGGGAAGGGAAUCGUGAUCAACGACAAGGAGAAGGAGUCCUUCGUCAACGAGCCGAAGAAUGACAAGCCUACCGACUCGGGCUCGGGCCACAAACGUAAAGACGGGAAGAAGAAGACGAGACACAUCAAGGAGAUCGUCUACUACGACGACAGCGAUGAGUCCACUUCUUCCCAAAAGGAUGACUACGACUACGAGAAACAAAAGACAGUUAAUUCGAAUUUUUCUUUCGAUUACUCUCGUAUUCCUCAGAGUUCAAAUUCACAUUUGCUCUCCAUUCCUCUCGGCAAGCCUCCACACUUUGAUGGGGAGGACUACGGAUUUUGGAGCCACAAAAUGCGUAGUCACCUGUUCUCUCUCCAUCCAAGCAUAUGGGAGAUUGUUGAGAAUGGAAUGAAAUUUGAUAGCUCGGAUAGUCCUAUUUUUAUUAAUGAGCAGAUUCAUAGAAAUGCACAAGCUACUACUGUGUUGUUAGCCUCCUUGUGCAGGGACGAGUACCAUAAGGUGAGCGGCUUGGACAAUGCCAAACAAAUCUGGGACACCCUCAAGAUCUCUCAUGAGGGGAACGACGUCACCUUGCUCACCAAGAUGGAGUUGGUGGAGGGCGAGCUUGGACCAUUUGCGAUGAUAAGGGGCAAGGAGCCAACCCAAACAUACAACCGGCUCAAGUCCCUUAUCAACAAAAUAAGGAGCUACGGAAGCACGCGAUGGACGGACCACGACGUCGUCCGCCUAAUGCUAAGGUCCUUCACUGUACUUGAUCCACAUUUGGUGAACAAUAUUCGUGAAAAUCCUAGGUACACCAAGAUGUCGCCCGAAGAAGUCCUUGGAAAGUUCGUAAGCGGGCGAAUGAUGAUCAAGGAGGCUAGGUACGUGGACGACGCGUUGAACGGUCCAAUCCAUGAGCCACAACCCAUUGCUCUCAAGGCAACGAGGAGCAAGGAGGCGCUACCUAGCAAGGUGGUGCAAGUUGAGGCGGCCGGGCUCAAUGAUGAAGAAAUGGCCCUCAUCAUCAAGCGCUUCAAGACAGCGCUAAAGGGUCGCAAGGGACAACCAAGCAAGACCAAAACCAAGGGGAAGCGCUCAUGCUUCAAAUGCGGUAAGAUUGUUCAUUUUAUUGCUAACUGUCCCGAUAAUGGAAGUGACCAGGAACAAGGGAGCAAGAGGGAAAAGAAGAAGAAUUACAAGAAGGCCAAGGGCGAGGCACAUCUCGUAAAGGAGUGGGAUUCGGAUUGCUACUCCUCCGACUUCGACAAUGAAGGACUCGCCGCCACCGCCUUCAACAAGUCAUCCCUCUUCCCCAACGAACAUCACACAUGACUCAUGGUGAAGGAGAAGAAGGUAUGUACUCGGGAUACCACUUAUGCUUCUUCAAGUGAUGAUGAUUCUAGUGAUGACGAUGAGAUAGACUAUUCUAGUUUAUUUAAAGGAUUAGAUAGAAUUAAAAUUGGCAAAAUUAAUGAGUUAAUUGAUGCCUUGAAUUACAAGAAUAGGUUAGUAGAAAAGCAAGAGGAUUUGUUGUAUGAAGAGCAUGAUAAAUUUGUUAGUGCACAAAAUUCACUUGCUUUAGAAGUUAAACGAAAUGAAAUGCUUUCUUGUGAAAUAUCUACUUGCCAUGAGACAAUUUCUAGCUUAAAGAGCAUAAAUGAUGAUUUAAAUGCUAAAUUAGAAAUAUCUGGUAAAUUAACAUCUUGUGUAGAGCAUGUUGUGAUUUGCACUAGGUGUAAGGAUUUUAAUGUUGAUGCUUGUAGUGAACACCUAGAUUGCAUUUCUAAAUUAAAUGAUGAAGUAGCUAGUCUUAAUGCCCAACUUAAGACUAGCAAAAGUGAAUUUGACAAACUAAAAUUUGCAAGGGAUGCCUAAACGAUUGGUAGACACCCCUCAAUUAAGGAUGGUCUUGGCUUCAAGAGAGAAGCCAAGAACUUGACAAGCCAUAAGGCUCCCAUCUCCGCCAAGGAGAAAGGGAAGGCCCCUAUGGCUAGUAGUGUGCAAAAGAACCAUGCUUUUAUGUACCAUGUUAGGAGACAAUCUAGAAAUGUUUAUAGGAGUUGUAAUGCAUAUGAUGCUUUUGAUUCUCAUGCCAUGUUUGCUUCUAGUUCUUCCUAUGUGCAUGAUAGAAAUGUUGGAAGGAGAAAUGUUGUUCAUAAUAUGCCUAGGAGAAAUGUUGUUAAUGUUCCUAGGAAAGUUAAUGAACCUUCUACAAUAUAUCAUGCUUGCAAUGCUUCAUUUGCCAUUUGUAGAAAAAAUAAGAAGGUGAUUGCUAGGAAGUUAGGGGCCAAAUGUAAGGGAGACAAGACUUGCAUUUGGGUCCCUAAGACAAUUGUGACUAACCUUGUAGGACCCAACAAGAGUUGGGUACCUAAGACCCAAGCCUAAAUUUGCCUUGCAGGUUUAUGCAUCCGGGGGUUCAAGCUGGAUUAUCGACAGCGGAUGCACAAACCAUAUGAUGAGGGAGAAGAAGAUGUUCACCUCCUACGUCAAAAACAAGGAUUCCCAAGAUUCAAUAAUAUUCGGUGAUGGGAACCAAGGCAAGGUAAAAGGGUUAGGUAAAAUUGCUAUUUCAUCCGAGCACUCUAUAUCUAAUGUGUUUUUAGUUGAGUCUCUUGGAUAUAAUUUAUUAUCUGUUAGUCAAUUAUGCAAUAUGGGAUAUAAUUGUCUAUUCACAAAUGUAGAUGUGUCUGUCUUUAGAAGAUGUGAUGGUUCACUAGCUUUUAAGGGUGUACUAGACGGCAAACUUUAUUUGGUUGAUUUUGCAAAAGAAGAGGCCGGUCUAGAUGCAUGCUUAAUUGCUAAGACUUGCAUGGGCUGGCUGUGGCAUCGCCGCUUAGCACAUGUGGGGAUGAAGAACCUCCACAAGCUUCUAAAGGGAGAACACGUGAUAGGUCUAACCAAUGUGCAUUUCGAAAAAGAUAGACCUUGUGCAGCUUGUCAAGCAGGGAAACAGGUGGGAGGCUCUCAUCACACCAAAAAUGUGAUGACCACAUCAAGACCCUUGGAGAUGCUUCAUAUGGACCUCUUCGGACCCGUCGCCUAUCUAAGUAUAGGAGGAAGUAAGUAUGGUCUUGUUAUAGUUGAUGAUUUUUCCCGCUUCACUUGGGUAUUCUUUUUGCAGGAUAAAUCUGAAACCCAAGGUACCCUCAAGCGCUUCCUCCGGAGAGCUCAAAAUGAGUUUGAGCUCAAGGUGAAGAAGAUAAGGAGCGACAACGGGUCCGAGUUCAAGAACCUUCAAGUGGAGGAGUUCCUUGAGGAGGAAGGGAUCAAGCACGAGUUCUCCGCUCCCUACACACCACAACAAAAUGGUGUGGUAGAGAGGAAGAACAGGACGCUCAUCGAUAUGGCGAGGACUAUGCUUGGAGAGUUCAAGACCCCCGAGCGUUUUUGGUCGGAAGCCGUGAACACGGCUUGCCACGCCAUCAACAGGGUCUAUCUUCACCGCCUCCUCAAGAAGACUUCGUAUGAGCUACUAACUGGUAACAAACCCAAUGUGUCAUAUUUUCGUGUAUUUGGGAGCAAGUGUUAUAUUCUUGUGAAGAAAGGUAGAACCUCUAAAUUUGCUCCCAAAGCUGUAGAAGGGUUUUUAUUAGGUUAUGAUUCAAAUACAAAGGCGUAUAGGGUCUUCAACAAAUCAUCGGGUUUGGUUGAAGUCUCUAGCGACGUUGUAUUUGAUGAGACUAAUGGCUCUCCAAGAGAGCAAGUUGUUGAUCUUGAUGAUGUAGAUGAAGAAGACGUUCCAACGGCCGCAAUGCGCACCAUGGCGAUUGGCGAUGUGCGACCACAGGAACAAUUGGAGCAAGAUCACCCAUCUUCCUCAACAAUGGUGCAUCCCCCAACCCAAGAUGACGAACAGGUACCUCAAGUGGAGGCGCAUGAUCAAGGGGGAGCACAAAGUGAAGAGGAAGAAGCACCUCAGGCACCUCCAACCCAAGUUCGAGCAAUGAUUCAAAGGAAUCAUCCCGUCGACCAAAUUUUGGGUGAUACUAGCAAGGGAGUAACUACUCGUUCAAGAUUAGUUAAUUUUUGUGAGCAUUACUCCUUUGUCUCUUCUAUUGAGCCUUUCAGGGUAGAAGAGGCCUUGCUAGAUCCGGACUGGGUGUUGGCCAUGCAGGAGGAACUCAACAACUUCAAGCGCAAUGAAGUUUGGACACUGGUGCCUCGUCCCAAGCAAAAUGUUGUGGGAACCAAGUGGGUGUUCCGCAACAAACAGGACGAGCACGAAGUGGUGACGAGGAACAAGGCUCGACUUGUGGCAAAAGGUUAUGCCCAAGUCGCAGGUUUGGACUUUGAGGAGACGUUUGCUCCUGUGGCUAGGCUAGAAUCAAUUCGUAUUUUGCUAGCAUAUGUCGCUCACCAUUCUUUCAGGUUGUACCAAAUGGAUGUGAAGAGCGCUUUCCUCAACGGGCCGAUCAAGCAGGAGGUGUACGUGGAGCAACCCCCUGGCUUCGAGGAUGAACGGUACCCCGACCACGUGUGUAAGCUCUCUAAGGCGCUCUAUGGACUUAAGCAAGCCCCAAGAGCAUUGUAUGAAUGCCUUAGAGAUUUUUUAAUUGCUAAUGCUUUCAAGGUUGGGAAAGCCGAUCCAACUCUUUUCACUAAGACUUGCGAUGGUGAUCUUUUUGUGUGCCAAAUUUAUGUCGAUGACAUAAUAUUUGGUUCUACUAACCAAAAGUCUUGUGAAGAGUUUAGCAGGGUGAUGACGCAGAAAUUCGAGAUGUCAAUGAUGGGCGAGUUGAACUACUUCCUUGGGUUCCAAGUGAAGCAACUCAAGGACGGCACCUUCAUCUCCCAAACGAAGUACACGCAAGACUUGCUAAAGCGGUUUGGGAUGAAGGACGCCAAGCCCGCAAAGACGCCGAUGGGAACUGACGGACACACCGACCUCAACAAAGGAGGUAAGUCCGUUGAUCAAAAAGCAUACUGGUCCAUGAUAGGUUCUUUGCUUUAUUUGUGUGCUAGUAGACCGAAUAUUAUGCUUAGCGUAUGCAUGUGUGCUAGAUUUCAAUCCGAUCCUAAGGAGUGUCACUUAGUGGCUGUGAAGCGAAUUCUUAGAUAUUUAGUCGCUACGCCUUGCUUCGGGAUCUGGUAUCCAAAGGGGUCUAACUUUGACAUGAUUGGAUAUUCAGAUUCCGACUAUGCUGGAUGUAAGGUCGAUAGGAAGAGUAUAUCGGGGAUGUGCCAAUUCUUAGGAAGGUCCCUGGUGUCGUGGAAUUCUAAGAAACAAACUUCCGUUGCCCUAUCCACCGCUGAGGCCGAGUACGUUGCCGCAGGACAGUGUUGCGCGCAACUACUUUGGAUGAGGCAAACCCUCCGGGACUUUGGCUACAAUCUGAGCAAAGUCCCACUCCUAUGUGACAAUGAGAGUGUUAUCCGAAUAGCGGAAAAUCCUGUUGAGCACAUCCGCACAAAGCACAUUGACAUCCGGCAUCACUUUUUGAGAGACCACCAGCAAAAGGGAGAUAUCGAAGUGUUUCAUGUUAGCACCGAGAACCAGCUAGCCGAUAUCUUUACCAAGCCUCUAGAUGAGAAGACCUUUUGCAGGCUGCGUAGUGAGCUAAAUAUCCUAGAUUCACAGAACUUGGAUUGAUUUAUAGCAUACAUGUGUUUAUGCCUUUGAUCAUGUUCCUUAUGCAUUUUGUUGCUUACUGUGGUGCUCAAGUUGUACAAUCACUCCCCGGACCUCACAAGUCCGUGUGCAAGUGAUGCACAUAUUUAGGGGGAGUUGUGCUACAACUUGACCCUUUGAGACUAACCAUUUGCUUGAGUUUGCCUGUUUUAGUCUCAAAGAAGGUUUGAAAAGGGAAAAGGUGGACUUGGACCAUGAAAAGACUUCCACUGCACUCCGAUGAGAGGGUAACUUAUUCCAAGUUCAUCUCAUGUACUCUUAUUGCCUUUGUACUCUUAUUUGAAGAUUUUGGUGAGGCAAUGGGGUUAAAGGGCCAAGAUUGAUCCCGUUUUGGUGCUUGAUGCCAAAGGGGGAGAAAAUAAAGGCCAAAGCAAUAAAUGGAUCAGCUACCACUUGAGAAAUUUUGAAAAUAGUAGAAUAGAGCUUUUGGUUUGUCAAAACUCUUUUAUUGUCUCUUUUGUCAAAAGUUGGCCUCUUUAUUGUCUCUUUUGUCAAAAGUUGGCUAUUGGGGACUUGUUCUCAAAUGCUAUGAAUUAAGAACAAGGCAACAUAAAAUGUUAAAUGUUAAUGCCCUUCGUUCGCCGAAGCAUUAUUUCCUCAAGGAUUUAAUGAACUUCGGACGAAGGUUAAAAACGGUGCAAUUACGAAGGUUGAAUCUUCGGAAUCGAACUCUCAGAGAUUAUAUAAAACAAUGCGAAGUAUGAAGCAUCAAAGACAAGUAAAUUAUAAGUAAACGUCAUCAUUUUUAUAUUAUAUAAACUUGAUGUAUCCAAAUAUUAAAUACAUUUAUACUUCUGCCUUGGCAAAGAAUAAUUUCCGAGUGAUGCGAUUGCAAUUACAGGAAUGCGUGAACAGUAAAGGAAUACUGUUCACUAUUUAUAGGCACAGGACACAGCCUGUGAGGAAUUACAAUUAUGGCCCUCAUAAAAGUUUACAACAUUGACUCAGACCUUUAUUGGCUAAAAAGUCAUUCUAUCUUUAAGUCGGUUCGACCCUUCAUCUUCGGAUAUGUUGCAAUACCGAAGCUUCAUGAAUGGUUCCUUCGGCGUCACGUAUGAGCAGCUUCAGCCGAAGCUGUCUCUUUCUACAGGACCUUCGGCGACGAAGCAUGGUCCCAACAGUAGCCCCUUCGCGGUGCUAGAUCGUUUUUCGUAACGAGCUUGAUCCGUGAAAAAAGUCUCUUAGGCUUCAGGAAGCCGAAGGUCCGAAAAACACCUUCCCUGAGCUCGUUGUCGAGAAACGAUACAGUUUCCGAGCGCGUAGCGGUCCCACCCUGCAGGUUUACUAUUUGGUCUCUGCGGCCCACCGCGCAGCGGGUGUGAGCAGCUGUUUGCCUGGUGUAAAAAUCUUGACGAUUCACCUUCUUACCUGCAGUACUAUAUAAACAGACAGGUAGGUGUGAAGUUACCACAACAUUCAUUGCUAUUGCACUGUUUUGCUGCCAAAAUUUUUAACCAUAGCCGAAGCUUGACUCUCGCAAUCAGACGAAGCUCCAGUUUAGAGCCUACUUCGUCAGAAGAAAAGCUUCGGGAGAAGAAGUUUUUUAGUUCCCAAGAAAUCUUUCAAGAAAUUCAGAAUUAAAUGGCCAGAGUGCGCUCUACCGCUAGAGUUGAGCGUGAGGGAGGUGAAGCCGAAGGAGCAGAGACCGUUCCUAUCUCCGAAUCAAUGCGACGAUCCGGACUGGUGACCUCGGAAGGAAUCUCCACUGCCGAGACAGAACAGACUGUUGCCGAUACAGAACAAGUUGCUGCCGAAGCGGAGGAAGGAGAUAUUGAGGAAGCUGAUUCCGAUGAUGAUUACCAUAUCGCCGUACCGAGCAAGCCCAGCCAUUUGGACUUCGGAAAGUCGACUGUCUCCAAGGCUGAUUUCUCCAAAAUGGUGAAGUCGGGCUAUUUCAGUGAAAAUGAGAAGAAGCUGCUUCGCUUCGGGGGGGAGGAAACUACCCCGAAGCCAGAAAAGGAUGAAAUAGUUAUUUUCAAGAGUUUUCUGAAAGCUGGGUUGAGAUUUCCUUUGAAUAGAAUGAUUUCUGAUGUGCUACAAAGGUUUGGGAUCUAUUUUCAUCAGCUGACUCCUAACGCCAUUGUCAGGCUUAGCGUUUAUAUCUGGGCCCUCCGAAGCCAGGCGGUGGAGCCGUUUGCCGACAGCUUCUGUCGAGUUCAUGAGCUGCAUUACUAGACUAAGGCCAGAAAAGAUGGAUUGCAUGAAAAUUUUGGUUGCUAUAAUUUUGCCUAUCGGAAAACCACAAAGUUUCCUGUGAUCAGCUACCGAAGCAAAUGGCCGGCAGGCUGGAAGUCAGAAUGGUUUUAUGUCAAAGUUGACGAAGACAAAGAGAAGCUGGUUCAGAGCCCUCUUGAACUGAUCUUCGGAGAAGCAAGACCCCGAUGCAAAAUGACAGUAGAAGGUCCAACUUGGGCUGCACUGGGUGAGUUCAAAAUUAUUGCAGAACAUAUUGGUACUAGAGAUUUAGUGCAAGAAUUUCUGGCCUUCAGGGUAUUUCCAACUAUGAAAGAGUGGACUAUGCCGAAGCUUAAAGGGGAAAAGAAAGAGGGGGAACUCGUUCGACUGCCCUAUUAUUAUAAGUUUAAGAAAUAUUUUAAAGCACCCUGUCAAGAAUGGCUCGAUACAAUUGAAAUAAUGAGUAAUGAAAUUCUUGGAAAUUACUCCAAAAAAGAGGACCAACUGAUGACAGCAGCCUUCGGCACUCGGCCGAAGCGAAGGCUGAACAGGGUGCUUGAUGCUAUAGGAUUUGAAUAUGCUGAUUAUGGUCGACUAGGCGGAGAUGCCGGAGGCCCGAAGCGAAAAAGAAUUGUCAGCGCUACUGACGAAGAAGUCGCCAAGGUGGCCAAAAAGAAAAAGAAAGAUUCUGAAAAACUUAGCCCUGAAGAGUUAAACCCUGAGCCGAAGGUGGCCACUACAAGAAAGAGAAAAAGUGCAUCUCCAGAGCCGGAAACGCUGGUUCGAGAAGAAGAUACUCCUGCUACUCCUUCUGCUAUUGAAGUAGAAGAGAUUAUGAAGGUAAUGACUGAACCCUUGCCUAUCAGGCUAAGUCCGCUGGCGCUGGAACUGACAAAGUUUUUUCAGAAGGACAAGGCAGCUUCGGCAGACGAAGGUCCUGUACUGCCGAAAAAACGAAGGAUUAUUCAAAUAGCAGAUGUAAUUCAUGGGACACCGUCUCCAACACCGGCAUCAAAAAUUGCCAUUGAUCAAACUGCUAAAACUGCCGAAGCUAAAGGCGCCGCAGCCGAAGCCACCAGAACGGAAAUUUUCGAAGCCGAUACUGGCGCAGCCGAAGCUGCCGAGGCUGAAAUCGGGGCCUCAGAAGAUCCAAACCUAGAAGAGACACUUGAAGUUAUUGAUAACAUACUCCUAAAAAUGACUGAGGAGGAAUCUGUUGUGGCUGCGGCAAGCACAACUACUGAAAAGGGGAAAAAACAAGCUGAGGACAUUUUGGAGGAAGAAGAUUUUGAAUUUCAAGAUUUACUUGGGCAAGGACUGACAGACGCUGAAAAAGCAGAGCUUAAAAAAUGUGCUAUAGCCUGCGGAUAUAAGCCAGGGGCUACACUUUUCGGCGGUGUUAACGAAGGAAAACUGAGGUGCCUUCGAAACCGCAGCGAAGCUAAAAUUGUUAGAACUCUCUGCAAAAACAUUGGCUUGCCGAAGCUAGAAGCAGACCUGUGCCGUUAUCAACGACACCAUAUCGCCGGAAGCUUGCUUUAUGCUAACUUCAAGGUAACAAAUAUUUUUGUUAUUUUAUUACUAUUAUUAUUAUCUUUUAGGUCAUGUUUUAACGAAGAUCGUUUCGACAGAGCAUAUUAUUAAACAAGGUUCUAAAAAUGCAACAAGAUCUGGAAGAAGAGAAAAACAAAGCCGUCAUUCAAGAUUUGGCUGAAAAAGUUGAAAAUUACGAAGCUAAUCUGAAAAAGAAAGACUUCACAAUCCAGGACCUUGAAAUCAUGGUCAAAGAGCACGAAGGUGCAUUAGAAAAGAAAGAUUUUGUUAUUCAUACCAUGGAGGGUUCUUUGGCUGAAGUCCAAACUGAGAAUAACAAGUUAAAGAAUGAAUUGCUGCGACAGUCAGAAAAAUUCGAGCAAGAAAAGAAAUAUCUUGAAGCAAGCCUCAAAACUGAAGUGGAUAAAAAUUCAAAUUUGCAGAAAUCUUUUAAAGAACUUCAGGAGAAAUGCUUAAGCUUCGGCAGCCGAUGCGUGCAGCGGCUGAAGGAUGUGUUUCACUCUGUUGGAGCUAGCUCUGCGAAAUUUACACCUUCAGCUGAAAAUCUGCCCAGAACAUUAGAAUAUAUUGAAGGCGAAGUUGAUGCCCUUGACGAAGUUAUUGGUGGGCACGCCGACUUCUGCGCCCUGGUAGCUUCUCGGGGCACAACUAUUGCUUUUUUGAAGGCUGGCUGCACGCAUGGAAACAUUGUGAACAGACCAAACUUCAGCUUGUCAGCAUCAGAUCUGAUAGAUAUCCCAAGCCUAGCCCGAAGCAUUGGAAAUAGAUUCAUGACCCAGAUCUGGGUAAGUGGCGAGCGAAAAAUGGCAGGUGACGAAACUCGAAGCCAUCUUAAGCCGGUAAGAAACUUAUGUUUGUUACUUUUACCUUCUCCUUUGAAAUUUGCACCUUUCUUAUUCUGCUGUUUGGUAUACACAGGAUGCCGAAGCUGAAGAAUGACGAAGCUGAAGUUUGACGAAGCCGAAGAUGAAACCUAGGCUGAAGUUUAAAGUUGCUUAGAAUAUGCUUUCGUGCAAAAAUUCUGGAGAAACUCUUGUAAUAUAGCUAUGGAACAACUCAUGUAAAUUUGUACAUACCUUGUAAUAUAUUCUGUCUCCCUUAUCCGCAUACAGUCUGCUUUGCUGUGGACGAAACUUCUCUUUUGAGCCAAAGGCGAAAAACACCUUCCCUUCUUUUCGUACACAACGAAGCAUAAAAAAAUUUUUCCUUCGAAGUUUUUCCUCAUUUCUGAAGCACUUGUCUUCUUUGUGUAUCAUGAUGAUGAUUCUAUAUAUGUCUAAAUGAAUGUUUAUGAAUGCAAAUGACAUGAUGACAUGUACUGUGCAAAUGAAUAUUGGGACACAUGUUCAAAAACCAUAAGCAUAGCCCUUCAUCCCCUCAAGAAUGAUACAAAUCUUUUUGCCGUUUACUUUUCGGCUUCACCGUUUACUUUUCGGUGUAUCAGCGUUGACUUUUCGCUGUAAGCCUCCCUUGGGAGCUUCUUCGCCUUUUACUUUCAGCGGAAUCAGCGUUUAUUUUUCGUUGUAAGCCUCCCUUAGGAGCUUCUUCGCCUUUUACUUUCAGCGGAAUCAGCGUUUAUUUUUCGCUGUAGGCUCUGCAUUCCCUUAGGAACGACUUUUGAGCUUCUCCCUGUUUCCUUUUCUUUUUUCCUUUGUGUUUACAUUUACAUUUUUUGGGGAUGUCAUUCUCAUAGAACUGAAAUAAGGAAAAUUACAUGUUGUGGCCCCAUUAAAAACCUUUCUCCCCCUUUGGAAAGGAAAAGGGUGCCACAAAAAAGAAUAUAAAAAAUUACAUCAAACUAAACAUAAUAUCGCCGAAGCUCAUCUGCAUUCCACGAUCUAGGAAUAUCGUUGUCGUCCAUAUCCUUCAAUCUGUAGGAACCGGGUCUUGACGAAGAUACUACUAAAAAGGGGCCUUCCCACUUCAGCUGUAGUUUGCCUACUGUCUCAGGAUUGGCUACUCUUCGAAGUACCAAGUGUCCUGGUUCAAUGUUCUUAAGCUUAAGUUUUCUGUCACGCCAUUUUAUUGUUUCAGCUUGAUAUUUAUUGAUGUUUUCCACAGCUUGAAGUCUGAUCCCUUCAAUAGCAUCUUUUUCUACAGAGCAAUCAGCUUCGUUUUCGCCUUCUGCCGAAGCUACUGUCCUUAUUGAUCCUGUUUUGGCCUCUUUUGGGGUUAUUGCUUCGUCACCGAACAAUAGUUUAAAGGGUGUAAAGCCUGUUGAUCUUGACAUGGUUGUAUUAUGACUCCACACCACUUUGAUUAACUCGUCUGGCCACUUUCCCCUGGGCUGAUUGAAGAUUGACUUCAUUAUUCCUGUCAUUAUGAUCCCAUUGGCUCUUUCGACAAGUCCAUUUGACUCUGGGUGUCGGACUGAUGCAAAAUGGAUCUUCGUGCCGAUUUGAUCACAAAAUUCUCUGAAGGCUUCAGAAUCAAACUGUGUCCCAUUAUCCACAGUAAUAGCCUUCGGCACUCCGAAGCGACAAACAAUGUUUUGCCAGAAAAACUUUUGAAUAGUAAAUGAAGUUAUUGUGGCUAAGGGCUUUGCCUCAAUCCAUUUGGAAAAAUAUUCCACUGCCACCACCACAUAUCUUGAGUUCCCCUGUGCUGGUGGUAAUGGGCCUAGCAAAUCAAGACCCCACCUUUGCAACGACCAAGUGGGUUGUAUUAAUUGAGUUAAAGACAAAGGUUGUUUUUGAUCCCUUGCACAUUUUUGACAACCUUCGCACUUUUGUACUAAAUCCGCUGCAUCCGAAGCUGCCUUUGGCCAAUAAAAUCCUUGGCGAAAAACUUUCCCGAGCAAGGGCCUAGAUCCAAUGUGAGAUCCACACAGACCUGCAUGUAUGUCCUUCAUUAAUUCUAUACCUUCAGAUCUGGAUAAACACUUGAGCAAUGGGGAACAGACCCCACGCUUGUAUAACUCCCCUUCUAUUAUGACAUAUGGUCGAGCUCUUGCUUCUAUUCUCCUGUUAUAAGCUUCGUCGUCUGAAAGAAAAUUACCCUGAAGAAAAGAGAUGAUCUCAGUUCUCCAAUCUUCACUAUAAACAGGGGAUAUGUUAAGGAUUGCUCUUUCAAGAAGCUCGACCGAAGGUGCUUUUAUUGUUUCAAAAAAUACUUCCGAAGGUAUAGGCAGCCCCUGGGCUGCUGACUUGGCCAAUAGAUCAGCAUAUUCAUUUUCUCCACGAAGAAUAUUUUUGACAGAGAAACCUUCGAAGGAAGCCUCAAUCCUUCGGACUGUAUCUAGAUACUUUUCAAGCUUCGGAUCUCUUGCUUUGUAGCUCUUGUCAAUAUGACCAGAGAUAACUUGAGAAUCAGUUUUAAGAAUGGCCUUCUGAUUCCCAUUGCCUUUAAUUUCCGAAGACCCAAAAGCAGAGCUUCAUACUCAGCGAUGUUAUUUGUGCAACUAAAAUCAAGUCUUGCCACAUAACAAGUUUUAACUUUGGAAGGUGAAACCAACACAGCAGCCGCUCCUGCUCCGAAGGUUUCCCAAGACCCAUCGCAAAACACUGUCCAUGCUUCGACAUCUUUAUUUGUUUCUUCCUCCUGAGCCCCUGGCGUCCAGUUAGCAAUGAAGUCUGCUAACGCCUGUGACUGAAUCGAAGAUCUAUGAACAUAAUCAAUACAAAAUUCAUUGAGCUCUGCAGCCCAUUUUCCAAUCCUUCCAGUAGCUUCUCGGUUUCUCAUAAUAUCCUUCAGAGGUUGUGAAGAAGGAACAAUUAUGUUGUAAGCUUGAAAAUAGUGCCGAAGCUUCCUGGAGGCCAUCAAGACAGCAUACAGUACCUUCUCCAAUUCUGUAUAAUUUUUCUUUGAUAAACUAAGAACCUCGGAUACAAAAUAUAUUGGGGCCUGCCUCUUAACUUGGCCUUCAAGCUUCUCCUGAACAAGUGCUGCACUUACCACUGAGUGCGAAGCUGCCACAUAUAAUAACAAAGGAGCCCCUGGCGUAGGUGGAGUUAAUGUUGUUAGAUCUAUCAAAUACUGCUUCAGCUCUUCGAAGGCCUUCUGCUGGAUUGGUCCCCAUUGAAAGACUUCGGCUGACUUCAGCACUUCGAAGAAUGGUAAGUUUCUCUCUGCUGAUCUAGAUAUGAAUCUGUUGAGAGACGCCAGCCUUCCUGUCAAUCUUUGAGCCCCCUUUUUGUACUUGGUGGUUCCAUUCGAAGUAUAGCUUCGAUUUUGCUUGGAUUAGCCUCGAUUCCCUUUGUUGAGACUAGGCAACCGAGAAAUUUCCCCUUCUUUACUCCGAAGACACAUUUUUCUGGAUUCAAUUUUAGACCAGCCUGUCUAAAAUUAGCGAAGGUCUCCUGCAAAUCAGCAAUAUGGUUAUCUUGCUUCGUGCUUUUUACAAUGAUAUAAUCAACAUAAGUUAGCACAUUCCUGCCUAUCUGAGAAUGAAGGACCUUCGCUGUCAUUCUGCUGAAACUUCCUCCGGCAUUCUUAAGCCCCUCAGGCAUUCGAAGGUAACAAUAUGUCCCACUAGGGGUUAUGAAGCUGGUUUUUGGUUCAUCCUCCUUCUUCAUCCAUAUUUGAUGAUAGCCUGAAUAGCAAUCCAGCAGACUCAUAAGCUCUGAUGAAGCUGCUGCAUCAACUAAGGAAUCUAUCCUUGGCAAUGGAAACUCGUCCUUCGGAUAGGCCUUAUUGAGAUCAGUAAAAUCGAUACACAUUCUCCAUUUACCAUUGGCCUUCUUCACCAUAACAGUGUUAGCCAACCAUUCUGGGUAUUUUACCUCUCUAAUAACUCCGGCACUAAGGAGUCUUUUCACUUCAUUCCGAGCACCUUCGGCCUUGUCAUCAGACAUUUUCCGAAGCCUCUGCUUUCUGGGUCUGAAGGAUGGAUCAACAUUGAGCGAAUGCUCAAUGACAUCCUUGUUAACUCCACAAAGAUCAUUAGCUGACCAAGCAAAAACAUCUUUAUUGUUGAACAAAAACCUUAUCAAGGUUUUCUCCUGCUCUUCGGACAAUUGAGAUCCCAAUAGCACCUUCUGCUCUGCUAUAUCUUCACAUAAGAGCAUGGGUUUCGGCUGGUCAGCCGAAGCAGCUUUUUCCCUUCUGAACUUGUAUUGCUCACAAGCUUCAGUUCUAUCUAUAUUAUGGAUUGCUUUUGAGUCUGUCCAAUUUCCUUUGGCUCUUCUGGCAGCUUCUUGACUUCCAUGAAUAGCAAUGGGCCCUUGGUCCAAAGGUAUCUUCAUGCAAAGAUAAGCUGGAUGCAGAAUUGCUUCGAAGGCAUUAAGAGUACCACGACCAAUGAUUGCAUUGUAAGGGUAUUCCAUGUCAACAAUAUCAAACACAAUUUGUUCAGUCCUUGUGUUGUUGAUAAAUCCGAAAGCCACUAACAUUGAGAUUUUGCCGAGUGCUACAAUCUGCCUUCCUCCGAAGCCGCAAAGGGGAUGUGUAGCAUCAAGAAUUUUAUCUUCGGGCUCUUGCAUCUAUCUGAAGGCCUUAGCAAAUAUGAUAUCAGCUGCACUGCCUGUAUCAACCAAAACAUUGUGGACCAAAAAUCCUUUGAUAACACAAGAGAUAACCAUAGCAUCAUUGUGUGGGUAAUCGCCAAUGUUGGGGACUUGUUCUCAAAUGCUAUGAAUUAAGAACAAGGCAACAUAAAAUGUUAAAUGUUAAUGCCCUUCGUCCGCCGAAGCAUUAUUUCCUCAAGGAUUUAAUGAACUUCGGACGAAGGUUAAAAACGGUGCAAUUACGAAGGUUGAAUCUUCGUAAUCGAACUCUCAGAGAUUAUAUAAAACAAUGCGAAGUAUGAAGCAUCAAAGACAAGUAAAUUAUAAGUAAACGUCAUCAUUUUAUAUUAUAUAAACUUGAUGUAUCCAAAUAUUAAAUACAUUUAUACCUCUGCCUUGGCAAAGAAUAAUUUUCGAGUGAUGCGAUUGCAAUUACAGGAAUGCGUGAACAGUAAAGGAAUACUGUUCACUAUUUGUAGGCACAGGACACAGCCUGUGAGGAAUUACAAUUAUGCCCCUCAUAAAAGUUUACAACAUUGACUCAGACCUUUAUGGGCUAAAAAGUCAUUCUAUCUUUAAGUCGGUUCGACCCUUCAUCUUCGGAUAUGUUGCAAUACCGAAGCUUCAUGAAUGGUGCCUUCGGCGUCACGUAUGAGCAGCUUCAGCCGAAGCUGUCUCUUUCUACAGGACCUUCGGCGACGAAGCAUGGUCCCAACAUUGGCCUCUUGUGGGGAGAAGUGUUGAUUAUGGGAAAAGGGGGAGUUUUUGAAAUCCUUGAUCAAUUUCCUUUGGAAUACCCCUCUAUGUCUCUACAAGUGAAUUUGACUUAGAGAUAGGAAUUUGAGUUUGAUUUGCAAAAACAAACCAAGUGGUGGCAAAGAGUGAUCUAUAUAUGCCAAAUUUGAUUCAAAACAACUUUGAGUUUUCAUUUGCAUGGAUGUUGCACUUGUUCUAGUUGCUUUUUGUUGUGUUGGCAUAAAUCACCAAAAAGGGGUAGAUUGAAAGGGAAAUGUGCCCUUGGGCUAUUUCUAAGUAUUUUGGUGAUUGAGUGCCAACACAAGUGCUUUUGUGCUAAUCUAUGCAAAGUGGUGGACAAAGUGCAAAUCAUGUCAAAAGGUAUGUUUCUUGACUUUGUACAUUGUUUUAUGGACUAAUGUAUUAUGUCUAAGUGCUGGAAACAGAAAAAUUGAGUUGGAGAAGAGAUGGCUAAGUUCAGCCAAAGUCUGCUCAGUCUGGGUGCACCGGACAGUGUCCGGUGCGCCAGGCUGGCUCUGGCGAACAGGCUGCUCUCGGGACUUCGACGACGGUGUACGACUAUAAUUCACCGGACUGACCGGUGGUGCACCAGACUGUCCGGUGAGCUGUUCACAGGCGAACUCGUCGCUCUCGGGAAACCAUCAACGGCGUACGGCUAUAAUUCACCGGACUGUCCGGUGUGCACCGGACUGUCCGGUGAGCCAACGGUCAGUCGGGGCAACGGUCGGCCGAGGAUUCCGCGCGUGACGCGUGGCCGAGCCAACGGUCACAUUGGUGCACCGGACUGUCCGGUGCGCCAACGGCUCUCAGACUCCAACGGUCGGCUUCGCCAAAUAAGGAAGGAUAUCUGCACCGGACAGUGUCCGGUGGUGCACCAGACUGUCCGGUGCGCCAAUCGACAGAAGGCAAGAUCUGCCUUCCAGGAAUGUUCCCAAUGGCUCCUAGCUGCCUUGGGGCUAUAAAAGGGACCCCUAGGCGCAUGGAGGAGAACACCAAGCAUUCUCACAACAUUCCUAAGCACCAAGACUUCGAUUCCGUGCAUUUGUUUCUUUGUGAUAGCAUAUAGAGCUCUAGUUGAGUUGUGAACUCAUUGGGUUGUGUUGCGAGCUCUUGUUGCGACUUGUGUGCGUGUUGACACUCUGAUUUUUGUGUCUUGUGUGCGUUACUCAUCCCUCCCUUACUCCGUGCUUCUUUGUGAACUUCAAGUGUAAGGGCGAGAGGCUCCAAGUUGUGGAGAUUCCUCGCAAACGGGAUUAAGAAAAGCAAAGCAAAACACCGUGGUAUUCAAGUGGAUCUUUGGACCGCUUGAGAGGGGUUGAUUGCAACCCUCGUCCGUUGGGAUGCCACAACGUGGAGUAGGCAAGCGUUGGUCUUGGCCGAACCACGGGAUAACCACCGUGCCAUCUCUGUGAUUGAUCUCUUGUUGGUUAUUGUGUUUUGUUGAGACUCCUCUCUAGCCACUUGGCGAUUAUUGUGCUAACACUUAACCAAGUUUUUGUGGCUUAAGUUUCAAGUUUUACAGGAUCACCUAUUCACCCCCCCUCUAGGUGCUCUCACCCGCGGCCCCCACGCAUGAUGGUUUCGCCGGGCCACGCGCGAGGCGCCUCGAUACCGCUGCAUUGGUUUGAAAAAUUAUUACCUUCUCUGUGUUCUGCGACGGCCCUGAGGCGGCGCAGUACUGCCGCGAAUGGCGGUUCGACUUCUCUGCACUCAGGAACCGAGACCCAAGGAGUAUGACUCAUGGCCCUGGGCCCCUGUGUCAGCGACUGGCCCGUUGUUUUUGGCGGAGAUGAAGGAGGCAUACUACCACGGGCGACGGUUCACUCCUCGUGGCAGUUCGCCUUCUCAGCACUCGGAGGCCCGCACACCAUCUGUAUGACUUGUGGGACUGGGCCCCCGUGUCAUAGGCUACGCUGCUUCAAUGCGCGCCAGGCGAGAUUUCCUGUGGCGUCUCGGGGUGCGAGCGGGAGAGUCUUCCUUGAAAAGGGAUUCACUCCGCGUGCAGCAGCUAUACUUUCGUAAUCUCUCUACUUGCUGCGCCCUUUCGCCUUCGAGCUCUCCGCCCCCCUUUGCCUUUGCGCUCCUCUGCUUUCCGCCGCCGAAGUCGUCAUGGCCUUGCUAGUCUAUCUCGAGCGCUUCCAGCCCGAGGCGGCACACAACUAGGUGCGCAACCUGCUCGGAUGGAGCGCGCCGGUGUUCGCCGGAGGGAUCCGCACCGGCACCACUCCCCUCGGUGAUCUCGCCGUCGGGGAGUUCGUGUUCUUCGUCUCCCACAUCUCCUGCGGGUUGGUGCUGCCGAUUUGGCCCUUCUUCCUGCUGUAGCUGGGGGAGCUCGGCCUCCAACAUCAGAACCUCAGAUCCCACUCCAUCCUUUAGGCGGCCUAUGUCCACCCACCUCAGCGAGAUGUUCGUGGAGGCGACGCUUCUUUCACCAGCACCUUCACCCGGACAAAAGGGCGAUGAGCCGCGACCUUCCAGAAAUGGAAAACGGGCUGAGCUGCGGCUCCAUCUUCCGCAUGGACUUCACUGCCUCCUGCAGCGGCCUUAUCAGCUUCUCCCGGAGCUUUACCAGCACCUCAUGGUACGCCUCCAUGAACUGAUUGAGCUCCAUCUCCGUCUCAGCGGCCAGGCCGCCGAGUGCCGUGUGCUGCCACACCUCCAUCUCUUUGGCUUUAAUGGCCUCGACGUUGCCUCCAAUGAGGAGGGCUCUUUCGCCUUGAUACACGCACCGAGGGGGCUGCCGCCGUGUUCAGGGUGAGCGGCAGGCCUGUGCCUGGCAGCUGCAACUGAAGACGUCGCCUAGGAGGUCGUACAAGAUGUUGUGGAGACGGCGACCGCGCGCUUCCAUUGUGACCCUGCUGGUGUCGAGCAGCUCAUACCUGUAGAAGUGAGGCUAGGGUUCCGCUUGAAGGCGGAUGUAAUAACUUUCGUUUUUGUAAGAUACUUUUGAGAACUAUCAAUUUAACAGUUCUUAUCUUGUAUGGUAUUUGUUGUUGUUGUGUGCAGUGUUACCAACUCCUCUCCUGGUACCUGGCCCCCCUGGGAUGUAGACUCGACGUGUCGAGACUGGAUACCAGCUUAUUCAAGGAAGAGUUGGUGACCCAGCCUCCAGGAGGUAGCCUUGACCUGGACCUGUGUCUGUACACAGCUUUGGCUAGGGAGCGUUAGUAGCACACCCAUAGGAUCCAUCGUCAGGUAUCAGCCAUCCUUUGAUUUAUGCAACAGGACCUGCAGGAUUGAGCCUAGGAGGCCAAGCCGUGUGUCCGGACCCCAUGAAUCAUAGCUCUAGAUACUAGGACACCCAUCGUAGAAUGGUGGAGCGUGCAGGCUUACGGUAUGGAACCAGGCUAAGCGGCUACACGCCUCCGGACCAUCCUAGGAGACGUGUGUCCAUUCUCUAGGACCGGACCCUAGGUUCCCGAACCCACAGGGCUAUAGUUCCAAGUACUAGGGUACCUGUUGUAGAGUGGUGGAGCGUGCAGGCUUAGGGUAUGGAACCAAGCUAAGCGGCUACACAGCUCCGGACCACCCUAGGGAACGAGUACCCAUUCUUUAGAACUGCCCCCCGGGCUGCCGGACCCCCUGCCUUCGUUGAGGGGUCCUAAACUGCAAGCCUAGCCACUCAAUUUGGACGUCAUCAUACCAGCAAGGAUAGGAAGCCGUAUGGGUGGGUUAGAUAAAAAAUAAUAUUCGGAGACCGUAGCAGAAUAAAACUAUCACAGAAGCAGGUCUGAGGGGGUAAAUCCUUUCUUUAUAACUUGACAUGCAUGAAUGUAGGCCAACAGGUCAGGCUUAUGAGGGUAGACCUCACCGAGCUGGCGUACACGUAUGCACAACCUAGCUACAAGAAGAAACCAUAACCCCUCGGACUCACUGCUGUGGGUAGUACUUAUAGAAAUGCUCUAUGUUACAGGGAUUGGGAAGAGGCACUCCUUCAGUUGUGGCGAGGCGGACACCCCCAGGUCGGCAUGCUUCCGUCACCUUAAAGGGUCCUUCCCAACUGGGGGGGAGUUUGUGGAGCCCUUCUCAGUUCAGUACUUGUCAUAGGACUAGGUCCCUGACCUCGAGCUCCCUGCUAUGCACGAAUAGUUGGUGGAGGCGCCUAAGCGCCUGGCUGUAUCAUGCAUUUCGGAUCGUUGCGUGCCACCUGCGUACGCCGAUGAGGUCCACGUCCUCACGCCGCAGCUGUUCCUGCAUAGACUCAUCAAAAUACUGGACCUGUGGGGAGCCCAUAAGGGUUUCCGGGGGAAGGCAGGCUUUGGCCCCGUAGACCAGGAGGGACGGGGUCUCCAUGGUGGCCCGUCUAGUUGUUGUCGCCGGAGUCGGAGUUUUCGGUGAAGACAUCCUUCAGGACCCCCUCGGGUGACUGAUACCCGAGGUCCUGAUCUCCCGCAGCUACAUGGAAGUAUGUUGCCAUCACGGCGGUGUCUCCACCUGCUGCCGUGAUGGUGGUGACAUAAACCUGCAAAAAUUCCGACGGAUUUGACGUACCGUCGUACUUCUCUGGCAGGUGCAGUCGGAACUUGGAUGGCCAAGUCACCGCACGGAGAUGAUAUGCCAGCGCAGUGUAGCCUACGCCGGCCAAGGGGACACCCACCUGGAUCCGGGCGCCUGUUGGAGUCUGUGGUGCAACCGCAGCGAAGUCAUAGUCGAGGUUGCGACCCUCGACGUUCUGUCGAUGCUCACGCGCCCUCUCCAGAGAGACAUGGGCAUCCUCGCCCGCACGCCUGCGGUUGAGUUCUGCCCGUAGGUCGUUAGACCUCUCCAUGGAGGCUGGAGCGUCCUCUCCCGCUCGCCAGCGGUUGAGCUCCGCCCGCAGGUCCUCAGUCGGCGCGGCCCUCACCGAGGGCGAGCGCACAGUCGCCAACACCUCAUGCUGACGUCGGGAUGACCGAGGCCUAGGCCUGGUUGAGCUAGAGUGCGCCAUGCCUAGCAGGCGGUCGACGUAGUCACGCCACUGCCUCAUGGACCCUGGCGAGGCCGUGGAGCUAGGAGGGUGGCGCAGCAGUUCUCUGGUCGCAGACAGCGCCCCAGGCAUAGCCCGAGACGCCCUGGACGUCUGCGCGGGAGUGUGCUGCCGCGCAGAGUGCACAGCAGCAUCUGCGCUAGGCACAGGGAAGUUAUUGGCCCAUGGUGUGGAAGAGGCAGCCGCCUCCUCCACCAUGAAGUCCUCGGGCAUGAAAUCAUGGUGCUUGACGAUGUGGACCAUGGCGUCGAGCAGAAGAACAAGCAAAAACCUAAAGCCUAGCCCCCUACCUGGCGUGCAAAAUGUCGGAGAGGGAAUUCUCCGACCGGGUGGCGGAACGCACCCGCCCUAAAUCCUAAGACGAGGAGGGGCCUAAGCGUUUUGCCUGCUAGAUGGAAUUGGGAAGAACACAAGAACACACAAGGGUUUAGAGUGGUUCGGGCCGCCGGAGCUUAACACCCUACUCCACUGUGUGAUGUAUUGAGCUUGAGAGCUCGUAUGAACUUGUGAGCCUAAGUUGGGUCUAAGUGUGUCUGCCUUGUAACUCUGUGUGCUCUCCCUUUUAUAUUUCAAGGGGGGCACGUACAAGGGUGCUGGGCCCCGACAUGUGGGCCCAGGGGCAAAACGGAGGGAAUACAUAUAGAAGUAUCCAAUGUCAGUGCCGCCCAGAAGAUCUCCGAGCGCCACAAUGUCCGUAGUGCAUACAGUAUUGAUAUCCUGCGCUGCUUCCUCGGUAACGCGCGAGUCAUGAUGAUUGUAGCGCAUGCAGCAGUAAGGUCGUGCCGCCUGCCACGGGAAUGGACAGGCACGCCGCCUGCGGGAUGGUUUGGUCACCGUCCACCAGCGGAGUGGCAGGGCUCAUUAAAUGCCGAGGCGACACGUCACCUGCCAGUGGGAUAGACAGGCGGCGCGUCUCAUCCGCAAUAAAUGCAGAGACCACGCGGCCCAGAGGCCUUACGUCAGGCUCCACCCGCUGGCUUACGUCACGGGCAGCGUGCCACGUGGCAGCAUCGGGGCUCCGCCUGAGCGGGGAGCAGAAGCGUACGCGGUAUGGCUCGGACACGUGUUAGCUCCGGACCCCCGUCUGGCCUUGAUUAAGGCCUGGGUAUUCUUUGUCCCAGAAUCCCGGGACCCUGCUGAGGGUGGCCUGGACCCCCACACAGAGAGGUCUGGGACCCGUCCCGGGGGUCCGGUCAGUACCUGUGGAGGUCCUGGGCCCUGCCCGGAGGUCCGGUUCGUAUAUGCAGGGGUCCAGCACUUUCCUAUGGGGCUCCAGACUCCUGCCGACACCUUGGAGUGUAUCAUGUUCUUCGGCCACGUGACGGCCCCGGAGCCGUCCGCGUGGUGGGGUCGGGUGUUGUUCGCCAUGCGACUAGAGACAGCCGCGUGGACACCGCGCAUUCAUGCUGUGGUAAGGGGUACCCCUGUUUCAGGGUACCGACAUAAACAUAUGUGGGUGAGGUGUAUGAGCCUCUGGUCGAUGAUCAAUGGUCACACAACCCCCAUUUUUGUCAGAAAUAGCCAUGAACAACCAUUUUCAAUAAUACCUAAUGCUAAUAACUACGGAUUUCUAACCAAGAAAUGGUCUCCCCCAGAAAUCCAAGAAUGUGAUUUAUGGAAAGAAAACAUAUGUGGGGUGAAGUGUAUGAGCCUCUGGCCGAUGAUCAAUGGCCACACAACCCUUAUUUUUGUCAAAACUAGCAUGAAUGACCAUUUUCAAUAAUACCAAAGGCUAGCACCUAAGGAUUUUUGACCAAGAAAUGGUCUCCACCAGAAAUCCAAGAAUCUGAUGUAUGGCAAGGAAACAUAUGUGGGGUCAGGUAUACGACCCUCUAGUCGAUGAUCAAUGACCACACAACACCCAAUUUUGUCGAAAAUAGCAUGAAGGACCAUUUUCAAUAAUACCAAAGGCUAACACCUACGAUUGACCAAGAAAUGGUCUCCACCAGAAAUCCAAGAAUUUGAUCUAUGGCAAGGAAACAUAUGUGGGCUGACGUGUAUGAGCCUCUGGAUUAUGAUCAAUGUCCACACAACCCCUAUUUUUGUUGAAAAUAGCAUGAACGACCAUUUUCAAUAAUACUGAAACUAACACCUACAGAUUUUUUACCAAGAAAUGGUGUCCACCAGAAAUCCAAGAAUGUAAUCUAUGGCAAGGAAACAUAUGUUGGGAGCAAUGAACGAGGCUCUGGUCGAUAAUUAAUGGCCACACAACCCCCAUUUGUGUCAAAAAUAACCAUGAAUGACCAUUUUCAAUAAUACUGAAUGCUUGAAAGCUCUCUUGUGGGUUUUGGUGUUUGGAUGACAACUCAAUUAAAGGACUAACAAGUGUACUAAGUGUUGAACAGGUGCUUAAUGUAAAGCUAACAGGGUUCAACACAAGUGAACAAGUGUGAUGGUCCAAGGACUAGAUGAUGGAUAGAUAAUGGGCAUCACAAGUAAGAUGGACAUUGCAUAAAGUGAGACUCGGGUGCGUAGCUCGGAGACAACUGAUCAAGCCAAGGAUGGAGGCAAGAAGAGCUUCAAGGUAUCAAGUGCACGGGAGAAGGUCAAAGAGGCUGAGGAACCCAAAGCCAAGGGUGAAGAAGAAGGCUUGCAAAGUCAAGGGUGAUCGAGUUGAGAAGAGCUAUGGCACAUCAAGGAUCACUAAAUGAGGACGUGACUUACAACCAAUGAGGAAACAUCUACAGUUAUGUGGUGUAAGUCAUAAGGCUCAAGAUCAAGCUCUAAGAAGGGAACAAAGUCACUAGAAGGAGAACAAAUGUCAAAAUAAGAACUGGAAGCAGCUUAAAAGAGCUAAGUGCACUCUGACCUUUAGUUUGGGUUGUUCCCAUGUUUGGAGAUAUUCUAUGUGACCUUUGCAGGAUGUUGGAGCUCAGAAAUGUUAGUCUAGAUCAAGUUAAGCUGACUUGAUGAUUUAUGAGUCCAACAUCAAUCUUAAGCAUGUCAAAUGAUAGAGAGGUGAAAGUCCAAGAGAAGGUAUAUUUCUAGACUUAGUACAUUGGUUUUUGUGUACUAACGUAUUUGUCUAAGUGUUAGAGACAGAGAAAAGAAGAAAAGAAAAGAGAUGCAAAAGGCUUGGCUGUGUACAGCCAAGACUCAGCUCAGUCUGGCACACCGGACUGUCCGGUGGUGCAUCGGACAGAGUCUGGUGGUGUACCGGAUAGUGUCCGGUGCGCCAGGCUGAACUCUGGUGAACAGGUCGUUCUCGGGAGAAGUCCGGCGGUGUAUGGCUAUAAAUCACCGGACUGUCCGGUGGUGCACCGGACUGUCCGGUGAGUCGGAUGAGGCGAAGUCGCCGCUCUCGGGAAUCAAGUCAACAGCGUACGGCUAUAAUUCACCGGACUGUCCGGUGGUGCACCGGACUGUCCGGUGAGUCAACGGUCGGCCGCGCAAUCCCCGCGUGACACGUGGCCGAGCCAACGGUCAGAUGGGGGCAUAGGACUGUCCGGUGCGCCAAUGGCUCCUAGUCUACAACGGUCGACUGCGCCAAGUUUGGAAGGAGAUCCGCACCAGACCGUGAAUAGUAGAUGUCCGGUGGUGCACCGGACUGUCCGGUGCGCCACCCGACAGAAAGCAAGUAUUGCCUUCCAAAUGGGAUUCCAACGGCUCCUAGGCACCUUAAGCCUAUAAAAGGGACUCCUAGGCGCCUCCAACAAAGGAAUAAGUACAGCCAACAAGUGUAGACAUCACUCUGAUCAAUUCUCACUCUCCCUCUUGUGUGUAUCUCUCUAGUUUGUGUAGAAGGCAAAGCUUUAAGCCUUUAGAGAGUGGAGAAGAGCUGCUAAGAGCUAGAGCAAGGUCUUGAGCAUAUCGUUACUCUGCCGAAGUGCUGCCAAGAAGAUUGUAAGCAGCCGCGGUUUCGUUGUAACCAACUCAACAUAGUGGAAGGCUCUAUCUGUCUGACUGACAGAUCUGAGCAAACGGAGGAAGGAGUUGAAAUAGACUCUAAGCCCAGGUGUGGCUAACUCCAACGAGGACUAGGCAAGCAUUUCAGGUUUGGCCAAACCUCGGGAUAAAUUCCUGUGUCCACGUGCUCUGCUCUGUGUUGUGUGCUGAUUCUGUCUUAUUCAUUUCUUACAUCUGCACUUCACUGCUUACUUGUGGUACUAGCUUUCUUUGAAGUGCAGGAUAAUCUUUGUCACACCCGGUUUUGAAGGUAAACCGAAUGCGAACCAUGUACGUGCCAGGAUCAGAAAUUCACGUACAUAGUGAUUACAUAAAUGACUCAUCAUAGCACAAUGCUUCGAAUAACAAUAAAGAGUAAGUAAUAAUAUUACAGACCAGAGCCAUUUACAUAAUAUAAAUCAAAGUACACAUAGUAGAAACGUAGCCAACGUAAACAACCCAUCACAGGCAGCUGACUAGGGGAGGUCGCUAGCCUAAUCCUCAAACUCGUCGAAGUCCUGGAACUCCUGGAGAUCCGCCUCGACACCUCCUUCUUUACCUGAGCAUAUAUUGCACCAAAGGCAACCUGGUGUUUUGUGAAAGCAAGGGUGAGUACACAUCAACGUACUCAGCAAAUGUCCCGUUUGGUUGUAGUGGACUAGCUUUAUGUGGGGUUAGGCUCAAGCAGUUGCUUUUAGUUGGUCAGGUAUUUAUUGUUAGUAGAAGCCAGAUUUUAUCAUAAAACCCAAGUUAUAAUCCCAAAAGUACCUCCUGAGAGAGGGAAUACUAGAAUUCAUAAUUAAAGUCACCAUCAUUAACCAUCAUCAUUAAAGUCAUCAUCCAAGGUGUAUCCGGAGUAUCUCUAAUCAAAGAGGAUCCCAAGGCUGCUCUUAACCGUGAGCACGGCUGAUAUAUCAGUUUCACUACCCUCUGCAGAGGUCGCACACUUUACCCAUGAGUCAUGAUUCCCUUUCUGCCCGGGGAGAGCUAAUCCCCAUUGAUCACUCCCUAGGUGGUCUGGCAGGGUAUCACUACGUAGCUGUUACAAAGAUUCCCUAGAGGUCAUAGCCGCCCGUUAGGUUUCUCCAGUUUGAUAAACACAGUACCCCUCCCCGCAGGAGAGUGACUAACCAAAAAGCAAAACAAAAGAACCUCGGCACUCAGCCUCGGCAGAGCAAGCACUGUGCCUGGACCCCAUUGACGGCACGACGGCGAAGCAACUACACCUCUAGUUCCUCUAAUUAAUUAGCUAAGGGCAUCCCAUUUCACCCUCAUGGUUGCACUGUUAUCCCGGGUGGUCUCUCAACGAAUAGGUCCUUACGGAGAGGUGCUCGGGAAACGGCCCGAGUCCCCUAAAAUGCCACAAGUAUAUCACCAUCGUAUCCAAAAUAAAAGCAUCGUAUCAUCAAGUAAUUCUCAUCAUGUUCGUUGAUUAGAGUAAAGCGCUAGCAUGUAGUUAACCAUAGUAAUCCGAAAGGUAAACAAGGAUAAGGUAAAUAGAAAGCUAGUAAAUCCUUAGGUUAUUCAUAGUAUGCGGGACAGUGUAUUAUAAAGUACAUGGGACAUAAUGGGACUGAGGACACUUGCCUUCACCAAACAGAUGCUCAGAAUCUUCAGCCUUGUAGAACUCGAAGAGCUGGGUCAUUUGGUCGCCGAAGCUUGACCGUCGAUUCCUCAAAGCUCAGAAACGAAUCGCGAUCUAAUCGCAACACGAAGCGAAGACGAACAGGCACAAGCAAACAAACAUAUACAUAUGCAUAAGAAUAUUACACCAUACAAGAUAAAAUGUUAUAAAAGCGAGCAAUAUAAAAUAGAGAGCGCUUCUACGGUUACGCAAGAAUAUGAAACACGUCGGUCGGAGCUACGGUCGAUAAGUUAUCGCGUUUAUGCUAAACGAAUAUGAACUAGGACAUUUAAUUCGGCACUAUCAAAUAUAAAUUAUAUCUACUAUUUAGUUUUGACUAACUUACUAUUUUAAUAGUGGAGGAUUAAACGAAUAUUUAAUUAAAUGACAUGAGUGAUUAUAAGCGACCGAUUUAAUAUCGCGCGUGGACAGCACCCGAUAUGCAAAAAAGGCAAUGCGUGCGAAUGACGCGUGAAGACGCGUGACAAUACGCGAAAUAGGGCGCGACCAACACGCGAAACCACGCGUGCGACAACGCGUGCGAACGACGGCGCACGCGGACAGCACGCGAACGGCACGCCAGGAACACUAACCAAUAUCGCCAUUAUAAUAAACAAUUAUUAAUUAAAAAACAUUCGAGUAGACAUAAUCAUAUUAACAUGUAUUUAUAAAGUGCAACUAAAAUUGUAAAUUGGUUCAAGUAGAUUGCUACUUUACUAACUAUCUGAAAAAUAAAUAAUCAAUUAAUUAACUAAAACAUGUAUCACAAUGAAAUAGUGUUACUAAUACGUAAACAACGAGGUUACGAAACAAGUCGAAACAGAUUUGAGACUUAAAAAUAUUUUGAAUAUUUUAUAUCUCGCAGAUUUAAUAGAAUGUGGCGUAAUCUAAUUGGUCAAAAUAUGGCCACACGGAGGACCAUAUGAGCAUGGGUGCCGAGGAUCCGUGGGAUUUGGAGCGGACGCUACAACGUGAAACAUCUAUAUUGACCAACCGUAGGGCGCCAUGUGGCCUGGAGACUAGUUUUUUCCACCACCCACGUGAUGCAUGCCGACAUGCAUGGGAGUCAUGCGUGCAUGGGUGGGCGAGCACUCGGCCACCGCUCAAUCGGCCUUUGGCCGCGACCAGCCAUGGCUGGUCGGCCAUGCAUCCAAGGGCUGGGCGUUUCACGGUUCGAUGUCGGCAGCGGAGGUGCGGUUGGCCGGCGAAGGAUAGAAAUGACAACAGCUAGCGCAGAAACAAAAUAAAGAAAAAUGGCUCACCGGAGAACGGGAAGGGCUCGUCGGAAGAAACAACUUCGUGCGUGGCAGGGACCCCUCGACACAGCGACGAGUGCGGCGAGACCUCCAGCUAGGACAUCGGUCCUUUCUCCACGGUGACAAAUGAUGCGACGACGAGCUCUGCAUGGGACCUCUGCUCGACGGCGGGCGCGGCGCCGGGGCGACUGCGUGAUGCAAGGGGUGGUUGCUGCAAGGUUGAGGGACAGAGAGCAGGUGCCGACUGUUUGAAUGGGACUAUGGGAGCGGCUAUAACGGACCAUUGCUAAAUUCUUGCGUCGUGGCCAUAUAGUGCGGUAGAGGUUGUUCACACACGGAAGAGAUGGUGGUGGGCCUGCGGCGCAGCAGCCGAGUGCGGCGCUGGUGCUUCCCCCACGCGUGCUAGCAGGUAGAUAUGAAUAUACAUAUAUGUUUAUAUGAAUAUAUCUAUUUAUAUUAGAUCAUGUCCCGAUAAUUUAAUUUGAUAGUUUUUCCUUCUUUCGAGUGUGAACACCGCCAAGAUCAUUUUAGCAAACAGAAAGAAAAUGUACCUCGGCUUAAAAUAUAAUACACAUAUUUAUUUAAAAUAGCAUCUAUAAAUUCCAUGUUAACUCCCCAUUUAAUAACAAACAAAAGAGGAAAAGAAAGGAAAAGAAAAUGUAACACCUGAAUUUUGAGAGUAGAUAAAAGAAAAUUUUAUACCCUCAAAAUCAGGGUGUUACAAAUCUAACCCCCUUAACAGAAUCUCGCCCUCGAGAUUCAAGAAGAAGCUAGAAAGAAAAACAAGGUUGGUUCACUUCGAUUCAAUUUUAACACUACCAGCUUAACUUGCUGACAUGAUACUUUGACCUUCAGAUAUUCACGAUCAACUGAUGCAACUCUUGAGGAUCUCUUGGACCUAUGGGUUAGGACCCACACACGCUUUCGGUGCGCCACUUUAAUCGUGUUGGUUGAUGCUGUUCGCAUUGUCUUCAUUGGGGUUAGCGGCUAACCCCCUUAACAGGAGCGUUGAUAUGCACUUGGUGAAGAUGUUAUCGAUUUUGAUCUUGACCGAUUAAGAGAGGUUGGUUGGAGGUUGCCAACCGGACAGGUGCAAGAGGGAAGGGUAUAGAUAGGAAAGGUACACAUAGAUGAAUUAAAAAGAGAAAAGGGAGAGCACCCAGAUACCUAACUCUAUGGCACUCAGCUAGUAAACUGAUGUCAUUGCGGACCAAGGACCACAACACAUCAACACUCAUCACAGAGAAGCAAAUCAGUCAUCACACAAAGACAAACAGCACAAGCAUACAACAACAAACAUCUCGUUGCUACACGUUAAUGUUAACUAGAUGGUGGUCUUUCUUGAAAAGGGAAUACCUACUCUCUAAGGCCGUCGAAGGACGAGGAGAGAAACAAGACGUGCAUGAUAGGGGCACGAGCACAACAAAGGAUGGAGUUAAGUGGCCAAGAAAAUGAUACGACCAAGGGCAUAAUGGGUAGAACACCACUCUCGAGUCAAGAUAUAAAAGAGUGGAUUUCAAAAGGCAGACCUAAGAUAAGCAUCAAGGCAAGAUCUAGUGAUUACAAAGGUAAGGGGACUAUCAAACAAAAGCUACGACUGGCAAUGUGGCAGAGGAAAAGGGAACGACCAAGAGUGGGAUGGGUAAGACAACACUCUUGAACUAAAACGAGGGAGGAGGCUUUAAAAUACAGGUACGAGAUAAGCAUCAAGGUAAAGAUCAAGGGAUGACAAGGGUGAGGGUGAUAACGGGCAAAUAAACAAAAAAGGAUGUAUUUUAGACAAAACGUGCAAGGCGUCAAAGGAGGGGAAGCAAUUAAUGGUGAAGUAGAUGAGGCAUUAUCCUUGAGCAGAGAUCGAAAGGAGGAGGUUUUGAAGGGUAGGUUCAAAGUAAGCAUGAAUGUAAGGGUAUAGAUAUUACAAGGGUUAAAGGUGAUAACAGACAAUAAUGUAAGAGAGGAGGUAAAUGGACAUAAGAACAAAAGAUAUAAGUAACAUAAAGGAUGGAGUUAAGACAAUACCUACAAGUGGAAAAGAAGAGGAUACGUCCAAGGGCCAAAUAGGUAAAUUGCCACUCUCAAAUUGAGGUGGAAGAGAGGAGAUUUUUAAUAGUCAGAAUAAAGAUGAGUAUCGACGCAAGAUCGAUGGAUGAAAAGGUGAUGGUGAUAGCAAAUAAAAAACACAGCAAAGGAUGGAAUUAAGACAAAACUUGUAAGGCGACAAGGAGUGAAAAGAAAUCAUGGGAGAGAUAAGUAACUCAUAGCUCUCAAACUAGGUUGAAAGAAAGGGGAGGCUUUUAAAGGAUAAGUUCAAGGUAAGCAUUUAGGUAGAAUACCUCAAUAUCGCAAGGGUCAAAGGCGAUAACAGACAAGGGUAUGAGAGAAAAGAUGAAGGCAUGGGAGAGCCAGUGGUAUGAGUACAACAAAUAAUAGAGUUGCGUCCGAGCUUAUACGCGGUAAAGAAGAGGAUAUAGCCAAGGGUGAGGUAAGGAAAGUACCGCUCUCAAAUUGGGAUAGGAGAUUGGAGAUUUUAGAGAAUGAACAAAGUGUAAUCACCAAGGUAAGAUCUAGAGAUGAGAAAGGUAAAGAUAAUACCCAACCGAAGCACAACAAAGGAUGGAGUUAAAAACCCGCAAGCGACAAGGAAGAGGAUACAACCAAUGGAAAAUGGGUAAAAUACAACUAUAAAAUUGAGAUGGAAGAGAGAACAUUUUAAAGGACAGGUAUAACAUAAGCAUCAAGUAAGAUAUAGAGGUGACAAGGGUAAAGGUGAUAAUGAUGAAAAGCAUAAUCCGUGGACAGAGUUAAGGCAAGAUUCACAAAAUGACUAAGUGGAGAAAACAAUCAAGGAUAAGAUAAGUGAGGUUCCAACAUAAGAGUUGAAGUAAAAAUUCAUUGCCGAAGGAAGUUACAAGGAAACAACGAGAUUAUCACGGUUGUGCAAAAUAAAAUGAUCGCUCAUGGAUCAUUAAGAAAUAGGGGUGGUCAAGGACAUGUUAACUGAAAUGUCUAAGUAGGCAGUAGAAAUUUAGAGGCAAGUAUUUGAAACAAGAGUAUUAAAGGGAUACAAGCAUGUCAAUACCAAAGAACUAGAGUUCGCCAGAUGGUAACAACUUAAUGACGAAAGAGGAAAGAAUCCCAAAAAGACAAGAAGGUUAUGGUCAGGGGGCAUCUACAAAGAUGUUGCAAGCACAAGAGUGAGAUCAGAUCUAAUAGAUUGAGAGAAGUAUAGACCAUACUAGAAUAAAAUACUUUUGGCAAGGGGCAUAUAGGAACACAACAUAGCAUUAGUCGAGGCGACUAAUAUUUUGAAGCGGAAUCAAGGAUGAGGUGAAGUAAUAAUCAAUGAGUCCUUAAAACGGCCAUUGCUACUCUAGGUCAGCGGUCCUACAGUCAGCAAGGCUUUGAUACCACUUAUGUCACACCCGGUUUUGAAGGUAAACCGAAUGCGAACCAUGUACGUGCCAGGAUCAGAAAUUCACGUACAUAGUGAUUACAUAAAUGACUCAUCAUAGCACAAUGCUUCGAAUAACAAUAAAGAGUAAGUAAUAAUAUUACAGACCAGAGCCAUUUACAUAAUAUAAAUCAAAGUACACAUAGUAGAAACGUAGCCAACGUAAACAACCCACCACAGGCAGCUGACUGGGGGAGGUCGCUAGCCUAAUCCUCGAACUCGUCGAAGUCCUGGAACUCCUGGAGAUCUGCCUCGACACCUCCUUCUUUACCUGAGCAUAGAUUGCACCAAAGGCAACCUGGUGUUUUGUGAAAGCAAGGGUGAGUACACAUCAACGUACUCAGCAAAUGUUCCGUUUGGUUGUAGUGGACUAGCUUUAUGUGGGGUUAGGCUCAAGCAGUUGCUUUUAGUUGGUCAGGUAUUUAUUGUUAGUAGAAGCCAGAUUUUAUCAUAAAACCCAAGUUAUAAUCCCAAAAGUACCUCCUGAGAGAGGGAAUACUAGAAUUCAUAAUUAAAGUCACCAUCAUUAACCAUCAUCAUUAAAGUCAUCAUCCAAGGUGUAUCCGGAGUAUCUCUAAUCAAAGAGGAUCCCAAGGCUGCUCUUAACCGUGAGCACGGCUGAUAUAUCAGUUUCACUACCCUCUGCAGAGGUCGCACACUUUACCCAUGAGUCAUGAUUCCCUUUCUGCCCGAGGAGAGCUAAUCCCCGUUGAUCACUCCCUAGGUGGUCUGGCAGGGUAUCACUACGUAGCUGUUACAAAGAUUCCCUAGAGGUCAUAGCCGCCCGUUAGGUUUCUCCAGUUUGAUAAACACAGUACCCCUCCCCGCAGGAGAGUGACUAACCAAAAAGCAAAACAAAAGAACCUCGGCACUCAGCCUCGGCAGAGCAAGCACUGUGCCUGGACCCCAUUGACGGCACGACGGCGAAGCAACUACACCUCUAGUUCCUCUAAUUAAUUAGCUAAGGGCAUCCCAUUUCACCCUCAUGGUUGCACUGUUAUCCCGGGUGGUCUCUCAACGAACAGGUCCUUACGGAGAGGUGCUCGGGAAACGGCCCGAGUCCCCUAAAAUGCCACAAGUAUAUCACCAUCGUAUCCAAAAUAAAAGCAUCGUAUCAUCAAGUAAUUCUCAUCAUGUUCGUUGAUUAGAGUAAAGCGCUAGCAUGUAGUUAACCAUAGUAAUCCGAAAGGUAAAGAAGGAUAAGGUAAAUAGAAAGCUAGUAAAUCCUUAGGUUAUUCAUAGUAUGCGGUACAGUGUAUUAUAAAGUACAUGGGACAUAAUGGGACUGAGGACACUUGCCUUCACCAAACAGAUGCUCAGAAUCUUCAGCCUUGUAGAACUCGAAGAGCUGGGUCAUUUGGUCGCCGAAGCUUGACCGUCGAUUCCUCAAAGCUCAGAAACGAAUCGCGAUCUAAUCGCAACACGAAGCGAAGACGAACAGGCACAAGCAAACAAACAUAUACAUAUGCAUAAGAAUAUUACACCAUACAAGAUAAAAUGUUAUAAAAGCGAGCAAUAUAAAAUAGAGAGCGCUUCUACGGUUACGCGAGAAUAUGAAACACGUCGGUCGGAGCUACGGUCGAUAAGUUAUCGCGUUUAUGCUAAACGAAUAUGAACUAGGACAUUUAAUUCGGCACUAUCAAAUAUAAAUUAUAUCUACUAUUUAGUUUUGACUAACUUACUAUUUUAAUAGUGGAGGAUUAAACGAAUAUUUAAUUAAAUGACAUGAGUGAUUAUAAGCGACCGAUUUAAUAUCGCGCGUGGACAGCACCCGAUAUGCAAAAAAGGCAAUGCGUGCGAAUGACGCGUGAAGACGCGUGACAAUACGCGAAAUAGGGCGCGACCAACACGCGAAACCACGCGUGCGACAACGCGUGCGAACGACGGCGCACGCGGACAGCACGCGAACGGCACGCCAGGAACACUAACCAAUAUCGCCAUUAUAAUAAACAAUUAUUAAUUAAAAAACAUUCGAGUAGACAUAAUCAUAUUAACAUGUAUUUAUAAAGUGCAACUAAAAUUGUAAAUUGGUUCAAGUAGAUUGCUACUUUACUAACUAUCUGAAAAAUAAAUAAUCAAUUAAUUAACUAAAACAUGUAUCACAAUGAAAUAGUGUUACUAAUACGUAAACAACGAGGUUACGAAACAAGUCGAAACAGAUUUGAGACUUAAAAAUAUUUUGAAUAUUUUAUAUCUCACAGAUUUAAUAGAAUGUGGCGUAAUCUAAUUGGUCAAAAUAUGGCCACACGGAGGACCAUAUGAGCAUGGGUGCCGAGGAUCCGUGGGAUUUGGAGCGGACGCUACAACGUGAAACAUCUAUAUUGACCAACCGUAGGGCGCCAUGUGGCCUGGAGACUAGUUUUUUCCACCACCCACGUGAUGCAUGCCGACAUGCAUGGGAGUCAUGCGUGCAUGGGUGGGCGAGCACUCGGCCACCGCUCAAUCGGCCUUUGGCCGCGACCAGCCAUGGCUGGUCGGCCAUGCAUCCAAGGGCUGGGCGUUUCACGGUUCGAUGUCGGCAGCGGAGGUGCGGUUGGCCGGCGAAGGAUAGAAAUGAUAACAGCUAGCGCAGAAACAAAAUAAAGAAAAAUGGCUCACCGGAGAACGGGAAGGGCUCGCCGGAAGAAACAACUUCGUGCGUGGCAGGGACCCCUCGACACAGCGACGAGUGCGGCGAGACCUCCAGCUAGGACAUCGGUCCUUUCUCCACGGUGACAAAUGAUGCGACGACGAGCUCUGCAUGGGACCUCUGCUCGACGGCGGGCGCGGCGCCGGGGCGACUGCGUGAUGCAAGGGGUGGUUGCUGCAAGGUUGAGGGACAGAGAGCAGGUGCCGACUGUUUGAAUGGGACUAUGGGAGCGGCUAUAACGGACCAUUGCUAAAUUCUUGCGUCGUGGCCAUAUAGUGCGGUAGAGGUUGUUCACACACGGAAGAGAUGGUGGUGGGCCUGCGGCGCAGCAGCCGAGUGCGGCGCUGGUGCUUCCCCCACGCGUGCUAGCAGGUAGAUAUGAAUAUACAUAUAUGUUUAUAUGAAUAUAUCUAUUUAUAUUAGAUCAUGUCCCGAUAAUUUAAUUUGAUAGUUUUUCCUUCUUUCGAGUGUGAACACCGCCAAGAUCAUUUUAGCAAACAGAAAGAAAAUGUACCUCGGCUUAAAAUAUAAUACACAUAUUUAUUUAAAAUAGCAUCUAUAAAUUCCAUGUUAACUCCCCAUUUAAUAACAAACAAAAGAGGAAAAGAAAGGAAAAGAAAAUGUAACACCUGAAUUUUGAGAGUAGAUAAAAGAAAAUUUUAUACCCUCAAAAUCAGGGUGUUACAAUCUUAAGACAGGAAUUUCAAAUCCGCUGCAACCUACUCGAAGGGUUCUUCACUCCACUGCGUUCUAGUCUUCGAGUAGAGUAAGAAUUUAAGUUUUAAAGUGAUAAUUUUUAUUCGCCUAUUCACCCCCCUCUAGGCGACAUCCAGAUCCUGUUCCCGGGCAAAGGGAACUUUCAAUUGGUAUCGGAGCUAGGCCUCUCCAGUGUGGGCUUAGCCAUCCGGAGAUGACGAUGUCGUCACAAGAGGUAACUGUAGAACUUUUAGGCGAUGGUUCUAAUUACAAAUCUUGGUCUGUCUCUAUUUAUAAUGCUUUCAUGCAUAUUGAUCCUGAUUUGAGACAGAUCUUUAGUAGAAGUAUUUUUUCCUAUGAUAUUAGUAAAAAUCCUUCUAAUGCUGAACUAAGAUGUUUAUCUCUCAAUCACCGUGCUUGCAACAUCUUAGUCGACUCUCUUUCUAGAAGUGCUUAUUUUGCCAUCAUGAGUAGUGAUAGUGAUUUAUUUGUUGAUGCUCAUGAUUUAUGGAGUAGAAUUAAAGGAAAAUAUUCUGUGGCAAAUUAUAAUGCUCCUACUCCCUAUGUUACUUGUGAUACUAACCCUUCAAAGGGAGAAGAAAAGUGUUGGGCACCAAAUGAUGAAUCCACCUCAUCGACAGGUUUGUUCUCCACUAGUAAUAAAUGUCUUAUUGCUAACAAUGACGGUGGAAACGAAAGCCAUGAUGAGGAGGAAUAUGAGGAUGAUAGCGAGGAUGAAUCUUCAUCACCACAAGGUACAUUUUCAUAUAUUGCUUCCACUGACAUUAAUGACAGGGAAAAUGAGACUGAUGAUGUGGAAGAAGAGGAGAUUCGCCGUUUCUACAUCCAUCUCAACAAAGAGGACAAAGCACUCUUGGUUAAGCUGUUGAGAAGGAACAAGGAACAAGGCGAGACGCUUCUCAGGCUAGAGGAGUCCCUCAUCAAAACCAACAACAGCCUGGAGAAGAUGACCAAAGAACAUGAGGAGCUAAAGUGCUCUCAUGAUGAUUUGGUCCAACGGUAUGAAUCUGUUUUAAUUGAGCAAAGAAAUAAUCAUGAUGCAUUAUCUAAUGUUGCUCAACUUAAAACUGAAAAUUUCAUGCUUAGGAGUCAAGUAGAAAUGAUAAAUUUAGAAAAACUUGCUCUAGGUGAAAAGAAUGAUUGGUUGUCAUAUUCUCAUAGUAAACUAGUUGAUGACCAUAUCAUGCUUAAUGUUGCUCAUGAGAUUGUAAUUACAAACUUAAAUUCAUGUGAACCUCAUUCUUGCACAAGUACACAUCUAGAUAAUAUAUCGUCAUGUGCUAACCCCUGUCGCUCAAAAGAAAGUGAAUGUUUGAAUGAGCAACAAGUUGUAGGGUCAAAAAGGAAAUUGCUUGGGAACAAGAAACAAAGACAAUUAAGGAGAAGACGCCAUGCUCAACUUCCUCAAGAUAUCUGCGAAAACAUUGUGAAGAAGCUUGAGGAAGGAGAAACCGCAGCAAGGGUCAAACUCCUUGAAAAAGAUGUUCCUAAAGCAAUAAGUGAAGCAAUCAACAUGAUACAAGAAAAAGGUAAUGAUUCAAUCAAUCAUGUUAUUUGCACUAAUAGUUUCUCUAUGUCAUCUAAAAGUAACAAGAGAAGAGGAAAACAGAGAUGCUUCAAGUGCAAGGCGUUAGGCCACCUCAUCGCAUCUUGUCCAUACAAAGACAAGGACGAAGGGAUAAGGAGAUGUUUUGGAUGCAACAACAAGGACCACAUGAUCACUUCAUGUCCGGUCAUGAAGAAUCAAAGAUGUACAUUCUCCAAGAUGACUCUCACCAAGGAAAAUGACAAACAGCAAGCGUCAUGUCAGGUUGAGCAAUGUUUCUGCUACAAGUGUGGUGAGCAGGGUCAUCUAUCCAAGGUAUGUAAUGAAGGUAAGGUUCCUAAGCAAGUGAAUUUGUCUCAAUCUCAUUCGCUUAGGAGACCCAAAUCAUACACUUGUGCUAGAUCUAUAACGAGAUCACCUAGAACUAGCACAAAGACUAUUUGGGUACCAAAGGCACUUUUAGUCGAACGUCAUGGACCCAUCCUAAGGUGGGUACCAAACUGUGCUAACUAGACCAUGCAGGUGCCUUGAGAUGGACUGGAGACCAUGGGAGAGCUUAAGACGGUUAACUCAAACUCUAUGCUUAAGCUGUUAAUUGUUUUGGUGUUUAUUCAUUGACCCAAGGUUGAAUUAUUGUGAGACACUAAUCCCAUGUUCAUCUCAAGUGAAAUAAGUUGUAGAGGUCCUUAAUCAUUAUUGGUGAAUCAAGCAAAGGACCUUGAUUGCGCAUCUGGCUCUCCAAAGGACGGUACCUGUGCUUCUUAAGUGCAUUAUCAGUAUUACUCUUAAAAGUUGAUUGUCGUGCUAUCUGUCCUUGGAGUAGUUACGCUUUUAAGAUUGCUCGUGUUGAACCUUGUUAAUAAUUGAUUCAUGAUUUCAAAGAUCACAUUCAUGUUUGCUUAAUCAUGACUGGGUGCUCUAUAAGUCAUAUCUUUUGAAUCAUUCAUUGGGUAGCUUAUCAUUUGAGAUAUUUACCAUGAUUAACCCUUUAUGUGUUCAUGGAUAAACCUAUAUCCUUUUGUAAAUCAUGCUAUACGUGUGUAAUGAGUAACCUAUGUGUGCAAGCAUGACAUCUUGUUUAGUCCAUGUUCACAUGAUUACCCUAUUUUGGCACUAUGUGUUAUGCCUCUAAUGCAUCCUCUCGAGCUAUGAAGUGCAUAAACAAUAGGGAACUUGUGGUAAUAACUGGUGCUCUCAUGGCCAUACAGGUAAAAGGCAAAGGUAUGGAAAAUGGAACUAUGCAAUUUCAUUAAAUAUCUUGAAGUUCCAUUGAUUGUGAUCAUAGCUAUGUUCUUGCAUUUCAUUAGUAGUAUCUUGGCUUAGGUGACUUAUGCCUUAAAAUGUUGUUUCUCUUGGUGUACCUAAGAAAAAUGUUCUUAAUCUUGAUGUGAUUAGGCAUUGUGCUUUAUUUGCAUGAUCUUGUCGUUUUCAAUUGGCAUAUAUGGUGAAAUGAUUAUCAUGUAUGAAGCAUGCCUAGGUUGCUUGUAAAAUGUUAUACUUCUUGAAGCAUGCAUUGUUGUAUUAAGUCAACCUUUCAUUUGGUAUUCAAUUGGUAUCUCUUUGUGAUGAAAUUGAGAGUAUGCCUUGACCAAGAUAUGUUGUGAUCCCCUCUAGUUCUGAGAAAGCUAGAAUGUGCAAAGUGCAAGUUAUUCAAAUACUUGAUGCACAAGUUUAGGGGGAGCACACAUAACUUGUGUCAUUGGAGAUGAAUUGUUUCUUGAGCGAUCUUGUAUAGUCUCAAGGUGGAAAAGAGAAGAUGAGCAAGAAAUGGAGCAAUCAGGACUUGGGUACCUCUGUAAGUCAAGAAAUUGGUAUCUUAAGUCGUGAGUAAUUGCAUAUUUUUAGAUUGCUCAUGCUCUAUAAUAUUUGGUGAUACUAGAUGCUUAUCCUUAAAUAUCAUGGAGCUAUGAUAAUAAAUGACCUUUCAAUUGGUAGCCGUGAUAGUUUGCUUCAAUUGACAUCUUUUGAUAAUCACUAGAAUAGAAGCUUCAUAUUGUGCCACAAUACUAUAACUUGCUCUAAGCUUGGUGUCUUAGCAACAAGAAAAAGUUAGGAUAAAGGAUCAGGCACAAGUGUGGAGAAGCUCCCGAGAGAUUAAUACUUUCAAGAUGGGAAGUACAUCACAACAUGGUAAAGGUACAAAAGGAAGUAUUGAUAUUUUGCGUAAAUGUAUCUUAAUAUCUCUGGUGCAUAUGUUUAAUGAAUAAGGGGGAGUUUUGAUAGUGUGUUUUCCUCCUUAACACCCUGCUGUCCCUUGACAUCAUCCUAUGUUCUUGCUUGAGUAUGGUUUUUGGUGUUUAAUGUCAAAGGUGGAGAAGUUGUGCAUUAAAGCUUAUCUCAACCUGAGAGGAAAGCUUAUCCUAAGGGGUGAUGUGUUAGUUUAUCCUAAGGGGUGAUGUGUUAGUUUGAGCUUUGCUAGUGUGUUAUUGUGUUAUUGAUAAUUCUUAUCAUAUGCUUCUUGCAGUAUUAUAUGUGUUGCAUCAUAUGGACCAGUGCUUCCGUUGCUAUGAAUUAAUUGGCAUCUAUUGUGUUCAUUCUGUAAUAGAUAUUCAUAUGGGUAAUGGUGCAUGUGGUUAAUGGAUUAAUGGUGCUUUAAGAUUGCUUUAAUUUGGUAUCUUAGUUUAAAUUGGUAUCUUAAUGGUGAAUAGUGGUAGGUUGAUAUUCCUGUGAUAUAUCCACUCAAUUGAAUGGUGUUUAACUCUGAUUCUGUGCAUUUGUGUGUUAUACGCAUCCCACAGGUGCUAAGGUAUAGCAAUGCUUCGAUUUAGCCUAAGUAUGUGCAUUUUGGCAUUUAAGGCCAAAGCUAAGAUUUUAAUGUAGGCACAUAUUUAGGAGGAGCAUUCUACAAUCUUAGAGCUCAAAAUUUGUGCUUUAAAUUUCACUCUUAUGUAAGCUUUAAUUGUGUUGCCAUCAAUCACCAAAAAGGGGGAGAUUGAAAGCUCUCUUGUGGGUUUUGGUGUUUGGAUGACAACUCAAUUAAAGGACUAACAAGUGUACUAAGUGUUGAACAGGUGCUUAAUGUAAAGCUAACAGGGUUCAACACAAGUGAACAAGUGUGAUGGUCCAAGGACUAGAUGAUGGAUAGAUAAUGGGCAUCACAAGUAAGAUGGACAUUGCAUAAAGUGAGACUCGGGUGCGUAGCUCGGAGACAACUGAUCAAGCCAAGGAUGGAGGCAAGAAGAGCUUCGAGGUACCAAGUGCACGGGAGAAGGUCAAAGAGGCUGAGGAACCCAAAGCCAAGGGUGAAGAAGAAGGCUUGCAAAGUCAAGGGUGGUCGAGUUGAGAAGAGCUAUGGCACAUCAAGGAUCACUAAAUGAGGACGUGACUUACAACCAAUGAGGAAACAUCUAUAGUUAUGUGGUGUAAGUCAUAAGGCUCAAGAUCAAGCUCUAAGAAGGGAACAAAGUCACUAGAAGGAGAACAAAUGUCAAAAUAAGAACUGGAAGCAGCCUAAAAGAGCUAAGUGCACUCUGACCUUUAGUUUGGGUUGUUCCCAUGUUUGGAGAUAUUCUAUGUGACCUUUGCAGGAUGUUGGAGCUCAGAAAUGUUAGUCUAGAUCAAGUUAAGCUGACUUGAUGAUUUAUGAGUCCAACAUCAAUCUUAAGCAUGUCAAAUGAUAGAGAGGUGAAAGUCCAAGAGAAGGUAUAUUUCUAGACUUAGUACAUUGGUUUUUGUGUACUAACGUAUUUGUCUAAGUGUUAGAGAUAGAGAAAAGAAGAAAAGAAAAGAGAUGCAAAAGGCUUGGAUGUGUACAGCCAAGACUCAGCUCAGUCUGGCACACCGGACUGUCCGGUGCGCCAGGCUGAACUCUGGUGAACGGAUCGUUCUCCGGAGAAGUCCGACAGCGUACGGCUAUAAAUCACCGGACUGUCCGGUGGUGCACCGGACUGUCCGGUGAGUCGGAUGAGGCGAAGUCGCCGCUAUCGGGAAUCAAGUCAAUAGCGUACGGCUAUAAUUCACCGUCCGGUGAGUCAACGGUCGGCCGGGUCAACAGUCGGUCGCGCAAUCCGCGCGUGAUGCGUGGCCGAGCCAACGGUCAGAUGGGGGCACCGGACUGUCCGGUGUGCACCGGACAGUGUCCGGUGUGCACCGGACAGUGUCCGGUGCGCCAAUGGCUCCUAGUCUGCAACGGUCGACUGCGCCAAGUUUGGAAGGAGAUCCGCACCGGACCGUGAAUAGUAGAUGUCCGGUGGAGCACCGGACUGUCCGGUGCGCCACUCGACAGAAAGCAAGUAUUGCCUUCCAAAUGGGAUUCCAACGGCUCCUAGGCCCGUUGGGUCUAUAAAAGGGACUCCUAGGCGCCUCCAACAAAGGAAUAAGUACAGCCAACAAGUGUAGACAUCACUCUGAUCAAUUCUCACUCUCCCUCUUGUGUGUAUCUCUCUAGUUUGUGUAGAAGGCAAAGCUAUAAGCCUUUAGAGAGUGGAGAAGAGCUGCUAAGAGCUAGAGCAAGGUCUUGAGCAUAUCGUUACUCUGCCGAAGUGCUGCCAAGAAGAUUGUAAGCAACCGCGGUUUCGUUGUAACCAACUCAACAUAGUGGAAGGCUCUAUCUGUCUGACUGACAGAUCUGAGCAAACAGAGGAAGGAGUUGAAAUAGACUCCAAGCCCAGGUGUGGCUAACUCCAACGAGGACUAGGCAAGCAUUUCAGGCUUGGCCGAACCUCGGGAUAAAUUCCUGUGUCCACGUGCUCUGCUCUGUGUUGUGUGCUGAUUCUGUCUUAUUCAGUUCUUACAUCUGCACUUCACUGCUUACUUGUGGUACUAGCUUUCUUUGAAGUGCAGGAUAAUCUUAAGACAGGAAUUUCAAAUCCGCUGCAACCUACUCGAAGGGUUCUUCACUCCACUGCGUUCUAGUCUUCGAGUAGAGUAAGAAUUUAAGUUUUAAAGUGAUAAUUUUUAUUCGCCUAUUCACCCCCCUCUAGGCGACAUCCAGAUCCUGUUCCCGGGCAAAGGGAACUUUCAAUGCUAACACCUACGGAUUUUUGACCAAGAAAUGGUCUCCACUAGAAAUCCAAGAAUGUGAUGUAUGGCAAGGAAACAUAUGUGGGGUGAGGUGUACGAGCCUCUGGUCGAUGAUCAAUGGCCACACAACCCCUAUUUUUGUCGAAAAUAGCAUGAACGACCAUUUUCAAUAGUACCGAAGGCUAACACCUACAGAUUUUUGACUAACAAAUGGCCUCCACCAGAAAUCGAAAAAUGUGAUCUAUGUCAAGGAAACAUAUGUGGGGUGAGGUGUACGAGAUUCUGGUCGAUGAUCAAUGGCCACACAACCUCCAUUUCUGUCGAAAAUAGCCAUGAACAACCAUUUUCAAUAAUACUGAAGGCUAACACCUAUGGUUUUUUGACCAAAAAAUGGUCUCUACCAGAAAUCCAAGAAUGUGAUCUAUGGCAAGGAAACAUAUGUGUGGGGAAUUGUACGAGCCUCUGGUCGAUGAUCAAUGGCAACACAACCCCUAUUUUUUGUCAAAAAUAGCAUGAACGACCAUUUUCAAUAAUACCGAAGGCUAACACCUACGGAUUUUUGACCAAUAAAUGGUCUCCACCAGAAAUCCAAGAAUGUGAUCUAUGGCAAGUAAACAUAUGUGGGGGAAAUGUACGAGCCUCUGGUCGAUGAUCAAUGGCCACACAACCCACAUUUUUCUCGAAAAUUGCAUGGACGACCAUUUUAAUAAUACCGAAGGAUAACACCUACGGAUUUUGACCAAGAAAUGGACUCCACCAAAAAUCCAAAAAUGCAAUCUAUGGCAAGCAAACAUAUGUGGGGUGAGGUGUACGAGCCUCUAGUCGAUGAUUAAUGGCCACACAUGACACAACCCCCAUUUUUUUCGAAAAUAGCAUGUACGACCAUUUUCAAUAAUACCGAAGGCUAACACCUACGGAUUUUUGACCAAGAAAUGGUUUCCCCUAGAAAUCCAAGGAUGUCGAAAAUAGCAUGAACGACCAUUUUCAAUAAUACCGAAGGCUAACACCUACAGAUUUUUGACCAAGAAAUGGUCUCCAACAAAUAUCCAAAAUUGUGAUCUAUGUUAAGGAAACACAUGUGGGGUCAGGUGUACGAGCCUAUGGUCGAUGAUCAAUGGCUACACAACCCCCAUUUUUGUCGAAAAAUAGCAUGAACGCCCAUUUUCAAUAAUACCGAAAUCUAUCACCUACGGAUUUGUUACCAAGAAAUGGCCUCCACCAGAAAUCCAAGAAUAUGAUCUAUGUCAAGGAAACAUAUGUGGGGUGAGGUGUACGAGCCUCUGGUAGAUGACUAAUGGCCACACAACCCCCAUUUUUGUUGAAAAUAGCAUGAACGACCAUUUUCAAUAAUACCGAAGGCUAACACAAACAAAUUUUUUACCAAGAAAUGGUCACCACCAAAAAUCUAAGAAUGUGAUCUUUGGCAAGGAAACAUAUGUGUGGAUAGGUGUACGAGCCUCUGGUCGAUGAUCAAUGGCCACACAACCCUCAUUUUUGUAGAAAAUAGCCAAGAACUACCAUUUUCAAUAAUACCGAAGGCUAACACCUACAGAUUUUUCACCAAGAAAUGGUCUCCACCAGAAAUCCAAGAAUGUGAUCUCUGGCAAAGAAACAUAUGUGGGGUGAGGUGUACGAGCCUCUGGUCGAUGAUCAAUGGCCACACAACCCCCAUUUCUGUCGAAAAUAGGUAUGAACGACCAUUUUCAAUAAAACUGAAGGCUAACACCUACAGAUUUUUGACCAUGAAAUGGUCUCUACCAGAAAUCCAAGAUUGUGAUCUAUGGCAAGGAAACACAUGUGGGGUCAGGUGUACGAGCCUCUGGUCGAUGAUCAAUGGCCACACAUCCCCCAUUUUUGUCGAAAAUAGGAUGAACUACCAUAUUCAAUAAUACAGAAGGCUAACACCUACGGAUUUCUCACCAAGAAACAGCCUCCACUAAAAAUCCAAAAAUGUGAUCUAUGGCAAAGAAAAAUAUGUGGGGUCAGGUGUACGAACCCCUGGUCGAUGAUCAAUGGCUACACAACACAUUUUUUUUGAAAAUAGCGUGAACAACCAUUUUCAAUAAUACCGAAGGCUAACACCUACAGAAUUUUUACCAAUAAAUAGAGUCAAACAGAAUGUGAUCUAUGGCAAGGAAACAUAUGUGGGGUGAGGUGUCCGAGCCUCUAGUCAAUGACCAAUGGCCUCACAACCCCCAUUUUUGUCGAAAAUAGCAUGAACGACCAUUUUCAAUAAUACCGAAGGCUAACACCUACGCAUUUUUACUAUGAAUUGGUCUCCACCGAAAAUCCAAGCAUGUGAUCUAUGGCAAUAAAACAUAUGUAGGAUGAGGUGUACGAGCCUUUGGUCGAUGAUUAAUGGCCACACAACCCCUAUUUUUGUUGAAAAUAGCAUGAACGACCAUUUUCAAUAAUAUCGAAGGAUAACACCUACAAUUUUUGACCAAGAAAUGGUAUCCAAUAUGUGACACCCCAGGUGUCAGUUUCGUGUUAUGAUGGGAGAUUUAUCCUAAUCUCGGAUGCUCAGUGAAACUUCCUAUUUCUCGCUCGCGUAUGUCUCUGAUUAUCCAGAUUAUUCAUCCACAUUUCACCGAAUUUGGAGUUAUUCAGUCUCGCAGAAGGCCGAAUUUGGAGCCUGUUAAAACUUUUAUUCUCAGCGCGAAUGCAAACUCUAAAAUCAUUCUCGACUUAUAAAUCUCAUCUGAAGCUCAUUUAAUCAAACUCUCGACGGCCGUUAUUUGCUCUGAGCUCGAGACCAAUUCCUCGAACUUCGACCGAUGUCCGACUAUUUUAUCCGGAUCCAUACUCGCAAACGAAAUACUCAGUGUGUCAAUAUCUAAUUAAUUAUUAUCCGACUUGGCCAAAUAUCUCUGUGUCCGAACCAAACUCAAAACCCGCUUCGACAGUGCUUUUUAAAUAUCAGGAUUCACCUUCUCCGACUAAAAAUCCGAAAGCCGGUCGUAUCUCAAGACGAUUUUAUUUCGAAUCAUGUGUAGGGAAUUAUUGUCCGAGCGAAAUCAAAUCAAACUCUUGGUCAAGUUAAUCGCUCAAUAUUCCGUUCGUCCGGACUCUAGUUCACUCUAUUUUGCGUACAGAUGAAAUCCGCAGGAGCAUUUUAUUCCGGAAAAUAUUUAGCGCGGCCCGUUUGAGUGUUUUGGGUCAAGCCCAUUCUAGCCCAAUUGGCCCACUAAGAAACCCUAACCCUAGCCAUUCUCUAUAAAUAGGGGUGCUCUUUCCUUGCUUGGCUAUUUUGCACUCCCACCCCUAGCCGCCACUCUCUUCUUCUUCCUCUCCCACACGCACAGCCCUCUUCUCUCCUGUUCAUGGCGCAGAGAAUCUCUCUGCCGAGCUGCUCCCAUGGCGUCCAUCCCUUCCUCCCUCUCUCUGCUGUCCAUGGCGAGCAACCGAGUGCCCUCCCUGUCCUCCUCCUAGCGCGCUCCCUCUCCCUUGGUGCGUCAUGGCUCCUCCUCAUGGCGCCCCCACUCCCACACCACAUUUUCUCUCUGAUCCGUGGCACACGGCAGCCAUAGCCCAUGUCGUCUUCCUCCCCUUGGUCGCGGCUUUCUCUGCUUGUGGGCGGGGUUCCCGGCAGGAGCCCUGCCAUGGCCGGACCGGCCCCUAGCUCGAGCAGUGAGCUCACCGUUGCCCAUGGCCGACCUCCUCUGCACAGCGACCGCCUCCCCCUUCUCUUCCCUGCCCGUGGCCAGGGAACGCCUAGGCCCCGACGCCUCUGCUCGGCCAGCAAGAAGCCAACACCCCUCUUCUGCUCGACCACCACUGUGUGCAGGAGUUUCUUCUCCAUUGAUGCCGCCCAGCUCUAGGCCGAGCUCCCCCUCUGCUCGAGCUUGGGUCGUACCUCCGCCGGCCCUGCUCCUCUCCAUCGAGCCGAGCUUGUUGUCCCUGCCAUGGUGGAUGCUCGACACCCGUGCUCCAUUCCCCCUGCUUGCGUGCUGCGGCGCAGUGCCCCGUGGUGCUGCUGGGUGCUCGACAAAAUGCGCAGCAAGCCACGCGCUACAGCAGCAUCGAUUAGGUUUGUUUGUGGUAAGCCAAUUUAUUAUUUCGGGAAGUGUUCGAUUAACGAUCAGAUUAUAUAUUGUGGUAAUCACGGUGAUUCUUUAUGUGUUGCACAUAUGCGUCGUGGUUAUAAUAAAUCGUGGUUAAAUGCCUUGUCCUAGGAUAAUGUGUUGGUUGUCGCAAAUUAAGUAAUGCGUAGGGUAUGCUUAGUGUUUCAAGCAGUGCCCAUAAGUAGUCUACAUUGUUUUGUAUUAUAUAUAAAUUGCUGGUAUAAGUUUGCACGGAGAGUGUGCCAUUGAACAAGUGUGCCGAAGUGUGUUACAUCAAGUGUUGCGUUAGGUGGCAUGGUUGCGUAGAAAAAUUUGAGGGCCGUCGAGUUGUGCUUGUCUGAUGUGACGACAAGAAUUAAAAAUGUCUGCCAAUUUUAUACGAAGGGCGAGUCUGUGGGUGAUUGUGUGUGCCGAGAUGCGUUGUAGUAGUAAUUGCGUUAAGUUAAUUGGUAGUGUCUCGAAUACACGCCACAAUGUGGUUGUAUGCGAGACGAGGUUAUGUGCAUGGUGGGUUUAGUAAAAAUCCAUCGGUGUCACUUGUGUUAAGUUGAGGUUUAUUUGUGCGUGGAAAGUAAUAAUGUGUUUAAUACUUAGAAGUCUUAGUCGAUGGUAGAAAUUGUCUCGGCUUAAAUAGAGGGGUGGUGACAUGCCAAGGUAGUCAUCAUUUCCUCUAUGUUUAUAAGUCGAGUCGAGUCGAUGCGCAUUAUGUGUUCGUUAAAUUAUGCUUUGCAUAUAGUGUAUGGUUGUGCUCUUGGAUUCUAGUAGCCACAUCGGGUGGUCAAGUAGGAUCAUUGUUGGGGGUCUGCUUCAUCGCCGAAGGUCCCAUAAGAAGAAACACCUUCGAAGGAUUGACACAAAGCCGAAGCUAUCAAUCAGAGAGCUUUGGAGUAUAUUUCCAGAUACACCGACUUAAAGAUGAAAUGACCAAUCGGCCCAUGAUAGCUUGUAUUAUGAUUGUAAUCAUUUGUAAAGGGCAUGAAUGUAAUUUCUCAUAGACUGCGUCAUGUGCCUAUAAAUAGAUGAACAGUACCCAUGUACUGUUCACGCUAUCUUGUAUUCGCUCGUGUGCAACGCUCGGAUUUUUGCCUUCUGUCAAGUCGAAGGUACAAAUGUAAUUAAAUAUUGUUUUUAUCUAUCCAAGUUUAUAUAAUGAAGAUAUGUGAAUGAUGUUAUAUGAUUAUUCAUGUUAUCUUUCAUGUUUCAUAUGCUUUGUCUUACAUUAACGUAUACCGUGAUGAUGAAGGUACGUCCUUCAUGACCUUCGUCCGAAGAUCGUUAUAUCCUAAGGGAAAUAAUGCUUCGAAGGACGAAGGACAUUAACAUUUAAUACUUUAUGUUGCCUUGUUCUUAACUCAUAGCAUUUGAUAACAAGUCCCCAACAUUGGCGCCCACCUCCGGUGAACUCACUUCCACUGUUGAGCUAAUGGCUUCGUUCAACAAUCAAGCUGAAGUUGCUUCGGCUACAAAGCUGGUGCUCCUGAUAACAUGCGGUUCAUGCUCAGAACAGGCCAACAAGAAGCAGAAGAAGGAGGCUCAGAGAAGGGUGCAACAUGUUGGGCUGCAGGGACCCUUCAUCAAGUCAAAAUGGUCUCACAUCCCAAUCACCUUCUCCCAGGAGGACCUUCAGCUCAAGGAUUACCCUCAUAAUGAUGCUAUGGUCAUAUCUUGUGUCAUCAAGAGAUUUCUGGUCCACAAUGUUUUGGUUGAUACAGGCAGUGCAGCGGAUAUCAUAUUUGCUAAGGCCUUCAAACAGAUGCUAGAGCCAGAAGACAAGAUUCAUGAUGCUACACACCCUCUUUGUGGCUUCGGAGGAAGGCAAAUUGCAGCACUCGGCAAAAUCACGAUGUCAGUGACCUUCGGCUUCGUCCACAACACAAGGACUAAACAGGUUGUGUUUGACAUCGUUGAUAUGGAAUAUCCCUACAAUGCAAUCAUUGGUUGUGGGACACUCAAUGCUUUUGAAGCAAUACUUCAUCCAGCAUAUCUAUGCAUGAAGAUACCUUCAGAAUAAGGGCCCAUUGUUGUUCAUGGUAGUCAGGAAGCUGCUAGAAAACCCGAAGGAAACUAGACAGACUCAAAAGCGAUCCACAAUAUAUAUGGAACUGAAGCUUGUGAACAGUACAAGUACAGAAGAGAGAAGACUGCUUCGGCUGAUCAGCCAAAACCUAUGCUUCUAUGUGAAGACAUAGCAGAGCAGAAGGUACUGCUGGGGUCUCAGCUAUCUGAAGAGCAGGAGAAAACUUUGAUAAGGUUUUUAUUCAGCAACAAAGAUGUUUUUGCUUGGUCGGCCAAUGAUCUUUGUGGUGUCAACAGAGACGUCAUUGAACAUUCACUCAAUGUCGACCCAUCCUUCAGGCCAAGAAAGCAAAGGCUUCGGAAAAUGUCUGAUGAUAAAGCCGAAGGUGCUCGGAAUGAAGUAAAAAGACUUCUUAGUGCUGGUGUUAUCAGAGACGUAAAAUAUCCAGAGUGGCUAGCCAAUACUGUUAUGGUGAAGAAGGCCAAUGGCAAAUGGAGAAUGUGUAUUGACUUCACGGAUCUCAACAAGGCCUACCCGAAGGACGAAUUUCCAUUACCAAGAAUAGACUCUCUUGUAGAUGCAGCAGCUUCUUCAGAACUUAUGAGUGUGCUGGAUUGCUACUCAGGAUAUCAUCAAAUAUGGAUGAAGAAGGAGGAUGAGCCAAAGACUAGCUUCAUAACUCCUAGUGGCACCUAUUGUUAUCUUCGGAUGCUUGAGGGGCUCAAGAAUGCUAGAGGAAGCUUCAGCAGAAUGACAGCCAAGGUCCUUCUUUCCCAGAUAGGCAGAAAUGUGCUAAUAUACGUUGAUGAUAUCAUAGUAAAAAGCACGAAGCAAGAAAAUCACAUUACUGACCUGCAAGAAACAUUUGCUAAUUUCAGGCAAGCUGGCCUGAAAUUAAAUCCAGAAAAAUGUGUUUUUGGAGGAAAGAAGGGAAAGUUCCUUGGCUGUCUAGUUUCAACGAAGGGGAUUGAAGCUAACCCAAGCAAGAUCGAAGCUAUCCUUCGGAUGGAGCCGCCAAGCACAAAGAAGGGGGCCCAACGGUUGGCAGGAAGAUUGGCUUCAUUUAAUAGAUUUAUAUCUAGAUCAGCAGAAAGAAAUUUGCCAUUCUUUGAAAUACUAAAGUCAGUCGAAGUCUUUCAAUGGGGCCCAGCUCAACAGAAAGCCUUCGAAGAGCUGAAGCAAUACUUGAUUGAUCUAACAACAUUAACUCCACCUGCGCCAGGGGCUCCAUUACUAUUGUAUGCGGCAGCUUCGCAUUCUGCAGUGAGUGCGGCGCUUGUAUAGGAGAAGCUUGAAGGACAAAUUAAAAAGCAAGCCCCAGUAUGCUUUGUCUCUGAAGUUCUAAGUUUAUCAAAGAAAAACUAUACAGAAUUAGAGAAGGCGUUGUAUGCUGUCUUAAUGGCCUCCAGGAAGCUUCGGCAUUAUUUUCAAGCAUUCCACAUAAUUGUUCCUUCAUCACAGUCUCUGAAGGAUAUUAUGAGGAACAAAGAAGCUACUAGAAGGAUUGGAAAGUGGGUUGCGGAGCUUAACGAAUUCAGUAUUGACUAUGUGCAUAGAUCCUCAAUUCAGUCCCAGGCGUUAGCAGACUUCAUCGCUGACUGGACGCCAGGGUCUCAGGAAGAAGAAGCAAAUAAAGAUGCUGAAGCUUGGACAGUGUUCUGCGACAGUUCCUAGGGAACCUUCGGUGCAGGUGCGGCUACUGUCCUAGUUGCACCUUCCAAAGUCAGAACAUGCUAUGCAAUAAGGCUUGAUUUCAGUUGUACAAAUAAUAUUGCUGAAUACGAAGCUUGACUUUUGGGACUUCGAAAGUUAAAGGCAAUGGGGAUAAGAAGGGUGGUCCUUAAAACCGACUCUCAAGUUAUUUCUGGUCAUGUUGACAAGAGUUGCAAAGCAAAAGAUCCAAAGCUUGAGAAAUAUCUGGACACAGUUCGAAGGCUUGAAGCUUCUUUCGAAGGAUUUUCUGUUAAGAAUAUUCCACGAGGAGAAAAUGAGCAUGCUGAUCUGCUAGCCAAGUCAGCAGCACAGGGGCUCCCUCUACCUUCGGAAGUAUUUUUUGACACAAUAAGAGCACCUUCGGUGGAACUUCUCGAAAGAGCAGUGCUCACAAUAUCUCCCGUCCAUAGUGAAGAUUGGAGGACUGAGAUUAUAUCUUUCCUCCAAGGUAACUGUCUCUCGGAUGAUGAGGUUUAUAACAAAAGAAUGGAGGCAAGAACAAGACCAUAUGUCAUAAUAGAAGGGGAGUUAUAUAAACAUGGAGUUUGUUCCCCACUUCUCAUGUGUCUAUCGAGAACCGAAGGUAUAGAACUGAUGAAGGAGAUACAUGCAGGAUUGUGUGGAUCUCAUAUUGGGUCCAGACCCCUUCUGGGAAAGGUUUUUCGACAAGGAUUCUAUUGGCCGAAGGUAGCUUCGGACACAGCAGAUUUGGUUCAAAAAUGCGAAAAUUGCCAAAAAUGUGCAAGAGAUCAGAAGCAACCUUCGUCAUUGACUCAGCUGAUACAACCAACCUGGCCAUUGCAAAGAUGGGGCUUGAAUUUACUAGGUCCACUUCCACCAGCGCAGGGCAACUUGAGAUAUGUCGUGGUGGCGGUAGAAUAUUUUUCUAAGUGGAUCGAAGCGAAGCCUUUGGCGACAAUAACUUCGGCUACAGUCCAGAAAUUUUUCUAGCAAAAUAUUGUUUGUCGCUUCGGCGUUCCGAAGGCUAUAACUGUGGACAAUGGAACACAAUUUGAUGCUGAAACAUUCAAGGAUUUCUGUGACCAAAUUGGCACGAAGAUUCAUUUUGCAUCAGUAAGGCAUCCGGAAUCAAAUGGGUUGGUCGAAAGAGCAAAUGGCAUUAUAAUGACGGGAAUAAUGAAGCUAAUCUUUAAUCAACCCAGAGGAAAGUGGCCAUAUGAGUUGAUUAAAGUGGUGUGGAGCCACAAUACAACUAUAUCAAGAUCAACAGGUUUUACACCGUUCAAAUUAUUAUUUGGUGAUGAAGCCAUAACCCCAGAAGAAGCUAAAGCAGGGUCAAUAAAAACAACAACUUCGGCAGAAGACGAAGCUGAUUAUCACGUAGCAAAAGAUACUAUAGAAGGGACCAGACUUCAAGCUGUGGAGAAUAUCAAUAAAUACCAAGCUGAAACAAUAAAAUGGCGUGACAGAAAAGUUCGGUUGAAAACAUUAAGCCAAGGCAUUUGGUGCUUCGAAGAGUGGCUAAUCCGGACACAGUAGGCAAAUUGCAGCUGAAGUGGGAAGGACCCUUUUUGGUGGUAUCUUCGUCGAGGCCCGGUUCUUACAGAUUGAAGGAUAUGGACGGCAACGACAUUCCUAGAUCUUGGAAUGCGGAUGAGCUUUGACGGUAUUAUGUAUAAAUUGAUGUAACCUUUUACAUUUUUCUUAUGGCACCCUUUUCCUUUCCAAAGGGGGAGAAAGGUUUUUAAUGGGGUCAUAUUUUGUAAUUUUCUUUUCUUAUUCAGCUCUACGAGAGCAAAAUCCCCCAAAAUAUGUAAAUGUAAAAUCUGAGCAUGCACCAUUGAGUGCAGAGAAAAAGGAAAAAACAGGGAGAAGCUCGAAAGUCGUCCCUAAGGGGAUGCAGAGCACGACGAAGCUACAAAAAAGCUGUUCCUAAGGGAGCGCAGCGUAAGUUUUCUGCUCAAAAGUCGUUCCUAAGGGAAUGCAGAGCUAAAUACCACCGAAAUAUAAGGCGAAGCACGAAAAAUCAACGCGAAUACCGCCGAAAUAGUAGGCGAAGAAGUUCAAAAGACGUUCCUAAGGGGAUGCAGAACUUACACCGAAAAAUAAGCAGUGCAACCGAAAAAUAAACGGCAAAGAGACUUCAGUCAUUCCUAAGGGAAUGAAGGUUAUGGAUGUGGCUUCGUAUGUGUGUGUUUGGGCCUUCAUUUGCAUGAUACAUUACAUCAUACAUUGCAUUCAUAAACAUUCAUUUAGACAUACAUAGGAUCAUCAUCAUCAUAUCAUACAAAUACAGACAGUUGCUUCGGCUCUAAGGAUACAGCUUCGAAAGCAGAUUUAUGCUUCGUUGUGUACGAAAAGAAGGGAAGGUAUUUUUCGCCUUCGGCUCAAAAAAUAUAAGUUUCGUCCACAUCAAAGCACUUCAUACAUUGAUGGAAAGGUAAAAAUAUAUUACAAGGUAUGGACAAAUUUACAGAGUAGAAUCUAAUUCUCAAAUUACAAUAUUCUUUACAAAGGAUAAUACAAGAGUUUUUCUAGAGUUUUUUCACAGCUAGGUUUUUGGCUUCAUCAUCAUCUAUAAAGCUUCGGAUCGUCUGCUAGGCUUCGGCUCAACGCUCCUCGGCUUCGUCAUCCUGUACAUAUUAAAGCAUUAUAAGGUAAAUUCAAGUUUCAAGGAAAAGGUAAGCACAAGGUAUGAGUUUAUUACCGGUUUAAGGUGACUUCGAGCUUCAUCACCAGCCAAGUUUCGCCCGCCCUUUGCCUAGAUUUGAGUAAUGAAUCUGUUUCCGAUGCUUCGGGCCAGGCCGGGGAUGUCAUCUAAGUCUGCUGGUGACAGGCUGAAGUUUGGUCUGUUUACAAUAUUUCCAUGUGUGCAACCAGCCUUCAUGAAAGCAACAGUCGUGCCUCGAGAAGCUAACAAGGCACAAAAGUCACCAUGUCUAGCUAUAACUUCGUCGAGGGCAUCGACUUCACCUUCAAUAUGAUCAAAUGUGCCUGGCAGGUCUUCAACCGAAGGUUUAAAUUUUUCGGAGCUGGCUCCAACUGAGUUAAAGACCUGUUUCAACCGUUGAAUGCACCGGGUGCCGAAGCCUAAGCAUUUUUCUUGCAGAUUCUUGAGUGAUUUCUAUAUAUUUGAACUUUUUUCAGCUUCGGUUUCGAGUCUUGCUUUGAAAUCUUUUUUGUCUUGCUCAAAGCUUUUUGAUUGUAGGGAAAGUUCACUGUUCAAUCUGGCGAUCUCGGCUUGAGCUUCUACCAGUGAACCUUCCAUCGUUUGAAGCAUGAAGUCUUUCUUUUCCAGGGCAGCUUCAUGAUCUUUAAUCUUCUUCUCUAAGCCCUCAAUUAUAACUUCGUUUUUCUUGUCCUUGAGGUCUGUUGCAUCCUCAAGGCUUUGCUUAGCAGUAAGCUCUGACAAAAUAACCUUCAUAAAAAACAUUAUAUCAAAACAAUAAAGAGUUAAGGAAAGAUUUUUACCUUAAAAUUAGAAUAAAACAGGCUACAGGCGAUAUGCUGUCGUCGGUAUCUGCUGAGAUCAGUUUCGAGCUUCGGGAAACCAACACUUUUCGACAAAGUGCUAACAACCUUCGCCCCAACUCGGUCCCUAAGGCAUCCUAUAUUUUCUUCGGCAACACCACCGAAGAGCAGCGCUCCUGGCUGGUACCCGCAAGAUAUGGCAUAUUCCUUCAGCUCUUCUUUUUCAGCCUUUGACAAUUCUUGCCCAAUUAUGUUUUGAAAGAUGAAAUUUUCUUCUUCCAAAGUAUCUUUGGCAUGCUCUUUCUCUUUUCCAGGCAUCUUCUCCCCUUUUUCAGGCACUGCAGCCGGGGUUUCCUCAACGGCUGCAACAAUUUCUUCCUCAGCCAUAUUCAAAAUCAUUUCAUCAAUAUCAACGAGCGUGUUUUCCCAAUCUGUGGCUUCGGCUGCUGCAGCUUCAGAAGUAGAAGCUUCGGUAGGAGCAGCUUCGGCUGCUGCUGUUUUCGGCGCUGAGGCUGAUGGCGGUGUCUCUUCAAUAGCCUCAAUGACAGUAAUAAUUCUUCGCUUUUUUGGUUCAUUAGGCUUCUCGGCAGCCGAAGGCUCCUUCUUCUUCUGUAAAAGCUUCAUCAAUUCCGGUCCCAACGGACUUAGCUUAUUAGGUAGAGAUUCAGUUAUUACCUUUAAAAUUUCUUCUACGUCAGUGAUAGAAGGUGUUGAGGGAACUUCUUCCAAAUCAGCUUUCGGCUUCGGAGCUGGAGCCUUUCUUUUCUUCAACACAGCCACCUUCAGCUCAUGACUGGAUUUUUUUUCUUUUUUGCCAAAUUCUCAUCUUCUUUUAUCAUUCUGGCAGCUUGUCUUUGUAUAAUACUGACAGCCCUUUUUCGCUUUGGCCCUUCGGCACCUGUGCUUAACCUUUCGUAGUCUGGGUAUUCAAAUUUCAAAGCGUCCAUUACUCGGUUUAACCUUCGUUUUAGCCGAGUGCCGAAGGCUGCUAUCAUCAGUUGAUGUUUUUUCGUAUAAUUGCCUAAGAUCUCAUUGCACAUAACUUCAAUUGUAUCCAACCAUUCUUGGCAGGGUUCUUUGAAGUGUUUCUUGAACUUAAAAUGAUAGGGCAGCCGAACAAGUUCAUUCUUCUUCUCUCCUUUAAGCUUCGGCAUACCCCAUUCCUUUAGCGUUGGGAAUACCCUGUUGGCUAAGUAUUCCUGAACUAAAUCCCUGGUACCAAUAUGUUCAGACACAAUUCUAAAUUCGCCCACAGCAUCUGGGCAUGAUGCCCCCGGCGGCAUGUUGCGCUGAGGCCUAGUCAACCCGAAGGUUAGCUCCAGCGGGCUCUGAACUAGCUUCUCCUUUUUCUCAUCAAUCUUAACAUAAAACCAUUCAGUUUUCCAACCGGUCGGCCACUUAGUACGGUAGCUAACCACCGGUGUCUUCAUGUCUUUGCGGUAAGCAAAAUUAUAGCAGCCGAAGUUCUCGUGCAGUCCAUCUUCUCUAGCCUUUGUCUAAUAGUGAAGUUCGUGUACCUAACAGAAGGCUUCGGCAAGCGGCUCCCCUCCUUGGCUUCGGAGAGCCCAAAUAAAGACGCUGAGCCUAACGAUAGCGUUAGGAUUCAGCUGAUGAAGAUAAAUCUCAAAAUUUUCCAACACAUCUGCAAUCAUUCCGUGCAGAGGAAACCUCAACCCUACUUUGAAGAAGCUCUUAAAAACUACCACUUCAUCAUUUUCUGGUUUCGGGAUGGUCUCCUCCCCGCCAAAGCGAAUCAACUUCUUCUCGGCUUCCCCGAAGUAGCCUAGCUUCGUCAUCAUGGGCAUAUCAACUUCGGAGACAGUCGACUUCCCAAAAUCCAAAUGGCUGGGCUUGGAUGACAUAGUGGUGUUAUAAUCAAUCUCUUCUUCACCAGUAUCACCCUCUUCAAUAUCUGCCUGCUCGGCUUCAGUAGCAGGUGCACCUUUGUCAGAAGCGCCCUCCGUCACAACCAGUCUCGACCGCCUCAUAACUUUGGAGAUUGGGGCAGUUUCAGCAGCUUCGGUUUCCUCUCUGUCGCGUGUAAUCCUAGCUGUCGAGCGCACCCUAGCCAUUUGAUGCCGACUCUCUUGCGUUUUGACAAAGUUGAUUAUUUUUUAUCUUUGCCGAAGCUCCCUCUUGUGAUGAAGCUAAAGCAAAACGAUGCUUCGAUUGAGAGUACAGUGAAUAAGCUUCGGUUGUGGUCAAAUUUUUUGGCAGCACAACAGUGCAAUAGUAGUAAAUGCUAUGGUAACUUCACACCUACCCGUCUGUUUAUAUAGUGCUGCAGGUGGGAAGGUGAAUCGUCAAGCCGCUCGCACCCGCUAAACAGUCGCCCGCACUCACUGAACGGUGGACCAUAGUGCCCAAGAAGGUGAAUCACCAGAUCGCGCGUACCCGUUGUAUGGUGGGACCACCUUUCACUCGGGAUAUUUAAAUCGUUUCUCGACAACGAGCUAAGGGAAGGUUUUUUCGGACCUUCGGCAUACCGAAGCCUGAGAGAAUUUUUCACGGUUCGAGCUCGUUACGAAAAACAAUCUGGCACCGGAAGGGGUUACUGUUGGGGGUCUGCUUCGUCGCCGAAGGCCCCAUAAGAAGAAACACCUUCGGAAGAUUGACACAAAGCCGAAGCUAUCAAUCAGAGAGCUUCGGAGUAUACUUCCAGAUGCACCGACUUAAAGAUGAAAUGACCAAUCGGCCCAUGAUAGCUUGUAUUAUGAUUGUAAUCAUUUGUAAAGGACAUGAAUGUAAUUUCUCACAGGUUGCGUCAUGUGCCUAUAAAUAGAUGAACAAUACUCAUGUACUGUUCACGCUAUCUUGUAUUCGCUCGUGCGCAACGCUUGGAUUUUUUCCUUCUGUCAGGUCGAAGGUACAAAUAUAAUUAAAUAUUGUUUUAUCUAUCCAAGUUUAUAUAAUGAAGAUAUAUGAAUGAUGUUAUAUGAUUAUUCAUGUUAUCUUUCAUGUUUCAUAUUCUUUGUCUUACAUUAACGUAUACCGUGAUGAUGAAGGUACGUCCUUCAUGACCUUCGUCCGAAGAUCGUUAUAUCCUAAGGGAAAUAAUGCUUUGAAGGACGAAGGACAUUAACAUUUAAUACUUUGUGUUGCCUUGUUCUUAACUCAUAGCAUUUGAGAACAUGUCCCCAACAAUCGUAACACAAGUUGUGUAAUGGAGUUAGUUGUUUUGGGAUAAUUAUUAAAUUGCUCUGUUCACAUGAUGAAUAGGUAUGUUUAUAAAAAUGUUGUAGUGUAUGUUGUGUCUCAGUCUGCGAUCAUAAUAGGCAAGCCGACGUGUAUGUUAUUAGCGGGCUAUGUCGUUGCUCUAGUUAGCCGAAUUGUUAGAUGGUUUGGUUAAGCUCGUAAUCACGAUGAUUUGCUUGUUUUAGUCUAAAUUUUAUGGUUAUGGUCGUGGGUAAAAAAAUAGUAGUGCUCAUGUGGUGUCUAAGUUAAAAUGCAAACUAGUGGGUGAAAAGCGCCUCGAUAUGCAUACAUGCCGGAUUUGAUGAUUUUGGUGAAUGCGUUGAUUAAUUGUGUAUGUUAAUUCUAGCACACGAAAUAAUUUGUAUAAAAAUUAGUAAGUCUACUUAUUGGUCCUCAUUGAUUAUUUUAACUCUAAAAAAUGGUAAAGUGUUAGAAUAAUUCAAGUCUCUAGAGCGUGGCAAUUCUUGAAUUAUAUAGGAGCUGAAAUUUAUUAAUUGUUGUUUUGGGCUGCACGCGCUAUUUUUGUCGUGUUGUAUGUUUGAUGAACUAAAUCAUGUUUUCUGUAGAAAAGUCAUAUAGAAGAGCUGUAGAUAACUCUACAUCUUACUUGUUAAAAUUUGACAAGCAUAAGUCUAAUCAUUUAGAAGUUAUACUUUUCGCAAAUUCAGUAACUGAAUCUAUCCAAUUUCUGUACAGAUUUCAGAAAUUAAAUUGUUUGCUUAAGUUAAUGUUACAAUCUGUUCAUGGUCGUUAUAAGAAAGUUGUAGAUGCUUUUCUUAUCCUUCUUGUGUUAAAAUUUCACAACCAUAAACCUGAUAGUUUAAGAGUUAUGAAUUUUACAAACUGGUUGCUGUGUUCUGUCCACUGUCAGAACAGAUUUCGAAAACUGUAAUGUUUGAUUUGAUUAAACCUGGAAUCAGUUCUUGGUGAUUAUAAAAGUUAUGUAGUGCUUUUGUCAAGAUUUCUAAAAAGUCUUGGAUCACUCUUUUUGGUGGUGUGAAGAUUAAGUUAUGGAUGUUUAAAGUGUGAAGACUGAAUCUGUCCAGUUCUGGACAGCACAGCCUUCAUAGUGUAUUUUACCCUUGAUACAUAUUAAACCAGCUAGGGAUGUUUACAAAUAAUUUGUAGAAUAUUUAUUUAGCUUUCCAUAAAGUCUAAGAUCACUUUGUUUAGAUGUCUGAAUCUUUAGUUGUGAAUUUUUGAAGUUGCAAUACUGAAUCUAUCCAAAUCUGGACAGAGCUGUUGUAUUAGCACGUUUUGACCUUGCUAAGUGUUGAAUCAUGUUGUGAUGACAAUACCAACAUUGUAGAGAACUUUCUAAACUUUACACAAAAUUCUAGUUUUCUAUUUUUGGAUUAAUAUUUGAAAAGCUUUGAUUAAAACAAGUAGUUGUUGUGCUGCUGUCCUAAAAUUCUGCAAGUGCUUAUUUGAUUGUUGAGUUCACCCGUUUGUCUAAAAAUGCUUAGUUAGCACUUAACGGACAUAGACUUGUAAUGUCUAAACUUCGGUUAACAUGCGUUCCAUGAUUAAUGUGCUCUUGAGUAGUUGGUUGUGGAUAGGAAUCUCUCCUAUGUUGAACUUGUGUUUGGGAUGCUUUUGUGUGAUUGUCGGUACCCUAGAACAGGGGUACCCCUUACUGCAGUGUGGAGGCACGGUGCCCAUGCGGCUACCUUUAGUCACGUGGUAAAACAGCGCCCGACCCCACCACAUGGACGGCUCCCGGGUUGCCACGUGGCCAGAGAAGAUGAUAUACUCCAGGAUAUCAACAGUAGGUCCGGACCCCAUGGGAAAGUGCCGGACCCCUCUACGUACGGACCGGACCUCCGGGUAAGGUCCAGAACCUCCACGGGCGUGCCCGGACCCCUAGGACGGGUCCCGGACCCCCCUGUACGGGGUCCGAGCCACUCACAGUAAGGUCCCGGGAUUCCGGGACAAAGAAUACCCAGGCCUUGAUCAAGGUCAGGCGGGGUCCGGGGCCGACACGUGUCCGGACCUGUCGGGGACCAUAAUUAGGGGUACCCUCAAGACUCCUAAUUCUCAGCUGGUAACCCCCAUCAGCAUAAAGCUGCAAAGGCCUGAUGGGUGCGAUUAAGUCAGGGAUCAGUCCAUUCGAGCGACUCGAUCACGCCUCGCCCGAGCCUAGCCUCGGACAAGGGCAGCCGACCCCAGAGGGUUUCCGUCUCGCCCGAGGCCCCCCUCCAACGGCAGACACAUCUCCGGCUCGCCUGAGGCCCUGCCUUCGCUAAGAAGCAACCCUGACUAAAUCGCCGCACCGACCGACCGAAUCGCAGGAGCAUUUAAUGCAAAGGUGGCCUAACAUCUUUAUCCUGACGUGCGCCCUCCGGCAGAGCCGAAGUGACCGCCGUCACUUCGCCGCUCCACUGACCGGUCUGACAGAAGGACAGCGCCGCCUGCGCCACUCCGACUACAGUGCCACUCGACAGAGUGAGACUGACAGGCAGUCAGGCCCUGCCGAAGGCACCAUAGGAAGCUCCGCUCCGCCCGACCCAGGGCUCGGACUCGGGCUAAGUCCCGGAAGACGACGAACUCCGCUCCGCCCAACCCAGGGCUCGGACUCGGGCUAAGACCCGGAAGACGGCGAACUCCGCUCCGCCCGACCCAGGGCUCGGACUCGGGCUAAGUCCCGGAAGACGGCGAACUCCGCUCCGCCCGAUCCAGGGCUCGGACUCGGGCUAAGACCCGGAAGACGGCGAACUCUGCUCCGCCCAACCCAGGGCUCGGACUCGGGCUCAGCCCCAGAAGACGACGAACUUCGCUCCGCCCGACCCUAGGGCUCGGACUCCGCCCUGGCCUUUGCCGACGACCUCCGCCUCGCCCGACCCAGGGGCUCGGACUCGGCCUCGGCCAUGGAAGACAGACUCGACCUCGGCUUCGGAGGAGCCUCCACAUCGCCCAGCCUAGGGCGCAGGCCAGCCACGUCAACGGGAAGCGCCAUCAUCACCCUACCCCAAGUUGACUCGGGCCGCAGGGAACAAGACCGGUGUCCCAUCUGGCCAGCUCCGCCAGAUAGGCAAUGAUGGCGCCCCGCACGCUCUGUGACGACGGCGGCUCUCAGCUCUCUUACGGAAGCAGGUGGACGUUAGCAAGGACUCGACCGCUCCAACAGCUGUCCCUCCGCCAGGCACCAUCGCUCCUCUGACGGCCACGACAUCACACCAGCAGGGUGCCAAGAUCUCUCCGGCUGCCACAUUGGCAUGUACUUAGGGCGUCAGCUCUCCCCCGCUAGACACGUAGCACUCUGCUACACCCCCAUUGUACACCUGGAUCCUCUCCUUACGCCUAUAAAAGGAAGGACCAGGGCCCUCCUAGAGGAGGUUGGCCGCGCGGGGACGAGGACGGGACAGGCGCUCUCUUGGGGCCGCUCGCUUCCCUUUCCCGCGUGGACGCUUGUAACCCCCUACUGCAAGCGCACCCGACCUGGGCGCGGGACGAACACGAAGGCCGCGGGAUUCCCACCUCUCUCACGCCGGACUCCGGCCGCCUCGCUCUCUCCCCCCUUUGUGCUCGCCCACGCGCUCGACCCAUCUGGGCUGGGGCACGCGGCACUCACUCGUCGGCCUGAGGGACCCCCGGUCUCGAAACACCGACAGUUGGCGCGCCAGGUAGGGGCCUGCUGCGUGUUGACGAACAGCUUCCCAUCAAGCUCCAGAUGGCAGUCUCCAGCAACCUCUCCAACCCGGGACGGUGCUCUGUUUCGGGAGCCUUGAGUUCAUGUCCUUCGACGGCAGCUACGACAUGAUACUCCUUCCACCGCUGCACGACAACGACAAUGGCAGCCGACAGCCCGCCCUCCGGCGGCGGAAUCGACGACGUCUUCCCCGCGUGGUGGAAGAACGACUUUCGAGCUCGCCCCGUCCUCUCCCCCGCCAACGGAGGAGGAGGCGGGGCAACCAAGGCCAAGCAGGAGGCCGCGCCUCGUCGGCUGUCGAGCGAGUCGACGUCCCUAGCGCCCCAACGAGGGGCGCGUCGGGCGUCAACCUCGCGUUUGAGACGAAGGCGAGCGCCGUCUCCCCGCGACACGCCAAACCCAAGCAAGUGGACGACGCCAGCGCGCUUGCGAAAAGCUUGCAGGACGUCGCCCUCAUACCUGAGGCGACGGUGCAGUCAGUCCUCGACGUGACUUCAUCGCCGCUUGACGACCAAAAGGUACCGACCGAUUCCCAUCCUAUGUCAUUUGGACUCAGCCUCAACCCGCCUAGCGACCUUGCUUUGGCGGGCGCUCUCGUAGAGGCGAGUUCAAACCCUCUGGGGUUUCGCAUGCGGUCGCCUUGGGACCGGUUGAUGGACGUCUCGACCUACGAGCCCUCUGGGUCCGAGGAAGACGACGAUCCCAACAUCUGUUGGGAUUUCUCUGGAUUUGGCAACCCCAGUGCCAUGCGGGACUUCAUGACCGCAUGCGACUACUGCCUCUCCGACUGUUCCGACGGUAGCCGCAGCCUCGACGACGAGGGCUGCGGCCCAAGCCGCGAAUGUUUCCACGUCGAGCUAGGGGGUCCCUCCGAAGGCAAUCAUCUCGGCAUGCCGGAGGACGGCGAUCUCCCUAGGCCGGUGCGUCGCGCUGACAUCCUGCGGGAGCUAGCUGUGGUCCCCGUUCCGGCGGGGGGUUACGACCCACAGCUCGAGCAAGUCCGCGGGGCGCAGGCCAGGCUCGACGAGGGAGCAGGAGCGCUUGAGCCGAUCCGCCGAGACGUCGGGCAGGUAUGGGCGGGCCAACCCCCGGCCGGAGAAAUACGUCACCUGCCCCAGGGUCUCCAGCACCGCGUCGCCGAUGACGUCAGGGUCAGGCCACCGCCCGCAUCCAGUGGGGUCGGUCAGAACCUGGCUGCAGCAGCGAUGCUCCUCCGCGCGAUGCCGGAGCCAUCGACCACCGAGGGUCAGCGAAUCCAGGGGGAGCUCAAGAAUCUCCUGGAAGGCGCCGCGGUCCGACGGGCCGAGAGCACUGCCUCCCGAAGGCAAGGAUACCCCUCGGAACCUCAUGCCGCGACUUCCCGAUUCAUGCGGGAAGCCUCGGUCUAUACCGGGCGCACGCGCAACACCGCGCCUGCGGCCCCGGACCGCCUCGGCAACAAGCACCAUCAUCGCGACCGUCGGGCUCACCUCGACGAAAGGGUGCGCCGAGGCUAUCACCCCAGGCGUGGGGGACGCUACGACAGCGGGGAGGAUCGAAGUCCCUCGCCCGAACCACCCGGUCCGCAGGCCUUCAGCCGGGCCAUCCGACGGGCGCCGUUCCCGACCCGGUUCCGACCCCCGACUACUAUCACAAAGUACUCGGGGGAGACGAGACCGGAACUGUGGCUCGCGGACUACCGCCUGGCCUGCCAACUGGGUGGGACGGACGACGACAACCUCAUCAUCCGCAACCUCCCCCUGUUCCUCUCCGACACCGCUCGCGCCUGGUUGGAGCACCUGCCUCCGGGGCAGAUCUCCAACUGGGAUGACUUGGUUCAAGCCUUCACCGGAAAUUUCCAGGGCACGUACGUGCGCCCCGGGAAUUCCUGGGACCUCCGAAGCUACCGGCAGCAGCCGAGAGAGUCUCUCCGGGACUACAUCCGGCGAUUCUCGAAGCAGCGCACCGAGCUGCCCAACAUCACCGACUCAGAUGUCAUCGGCGCGUUCCUUGCCGGCACCACCUGCCGCGACCUGGUGAGCAAGUUGGGUCGCAAGACCCCCACCAGGGCGAGCGAGCUGAUGGACAUCGCCACCAAGUUCGCCUCUGGCCAGGAGGCGGUCGAGGCUAUCUUCCGAAAGGACAAGCAGCCCCAGGGCCGUCCAUCGGAAGAUGCUCCCGAGGCGUCUACUCCGCACGGCGCCAAGAAGAAAGGCAAGAAGAAGUCGCAAGCGAAACGCGACGCCGCCGACGCGGACCUUGUCGCCGCCGCCGAGUACAAGAACCCUCGGAAGCCCCCCGGAGGUGCCAACCUCUUCGACAAGAUGCUCAAAGAGUCGUGCCCCUAUCAUCAGGGGCCCGUCAAGCACACCCUGGAGGAGUGUGUCAUGCUUCAGCGCCACUUCCACAGGGCCGGGCCACCCGCGGAGGGUGGCAGGGCCCGCGACAACGACAAGAAGGAAGAUCACCAAGCAGGAAAGUUCCCCGAGGUCCGCGACUGCUUCAUGAUCUAUGGCGGGCAUGCGGCGAAUGCCUCGGCUCGGCAUCGCAAGCAAGAGCGCCGGGAGGUCUGCUCGGUGAAGGUGGCGGCGCCAGUCUACCUAGACUGGUCCGACAAGCCCAUCACCUUCGACCAAGCCGACCACCCCGACCACGUGCCGAGCCCGGGGAAAUACCCGCUCGUCGUCGACCCCGUCGUCGGCAACGUCAGGCUCACCAAGGUCCUUAUGGACGGGGGCAGCAGCCUCAACAUCAUCUACGCCGAGACCCUCGGGCUCCUGCGCGUCGAUCUAUCCUCCGUCCGAGCAGGCGCUGCGCCCUUCCACGGGAUCAUUCCCGGGAAGCGCGUCCAGCCCCUCGGACGACUCGACCUCCCCGUCUGCUUCGGAACUCCCUCCAACUUCCGAAGGGAGACCCUGACGUUCGAGGUGGUCGGGUUCCGAGGAACCUACCACGCGGUACUGGGGAGGCCAUUCUACGCGAAGUUCAUGGCCGUCCCCAACUACACCUACUUGAAGCUCAAGAUGCCAGGCCCCAACGGGGUCAUCACCGUCGGCCCCACGUACAAACACGCGUUCGAAUGCGAUGUGGAGUGCGUGGAGUACGCCGAGGCCCUCGCCGAGUCCGAGGCCCUCAUCGCCGACCUGGAAAGCCUCUCCAAAGAGGUGCCAGACGUGAAGCGUCAUGCCGGCAACUUUGAGCCAGCGGAGACGGUUAAGGCCGUCCCCCUCGACCCCAGUGGCGACACCUCCAAGCAGAUCCGGAUCGGUUCCGGGCUCGACCCCAAAUAGGAAGCAGUGCUCGUCGACUUUCUCCGCGCGAACGCCGAUGUCUUCGCGUGGAGUCCCUCGGACAUGCCCGGCAUACCGAGGGAUGUCGCCGAGCACUCGCUGGAUAUUCGGGCUGGAGCCCGACCCGUCAAGCAGCCUCUGCGCCGAUUCGACGAGGAGAAGCGCAGAGCGAUAGGCGAGGAGAUCCACAAGCUAAUGGCGGCAGGGUUCAUCAAAGAGGUAUUCCAUCCCGAAUGGCUUGCCAACCCUGUGCUUGUGAGAAAGAAAGGGGGGAAAUGGCGGAUGUGUGUAGACUACACUGGUCUCAACAAAGCAUGUCCGAAGGUUCCCUACCCUCUGCCUCGCAUCGAUCAAAUCGUGGAUUCCACUGCUGGGUGCGAAACCCUGUCUUUCCUCGAUGCCUACUCAGGGUAUCAUCAAAUCAGGAUGAAAGAGUCCGACCAGCUCGCGACUUCUUUCAUCACACCCUUCGGCAUGUACUGCUAUGUCACCAUGCCGUUCGGUUUGAGGAAUGCGGGUGCGACGUACCAGCGGUGCAUGAACCAUGUGUUCGGCGAACACAUUGGCCGCACGGUCGAGGCCUACAUCGAUGACGUCGUAGUCAAGACGAGGAAGGCCUCCGACCUCCUUUCCGACCUUGAAGUGACAUUCCGAUGUCUCAAGGCGAAAGGCGUCAAGCUCAAUCCCGAGAAGUGUGUCUUCGGAGUGCCCCGGGGCAUGCUCUUGGGGUUCAUCGUCUCCGAGCGGGGCAUCGAAGCCAACCCGGAGAAGAUCGCAGCCAUCACCAGCAUGGGGCCCAUCAAGGACUUAAAGGGUGUACAGAGGGUCAUGGGAUGUCUCACGGCCCUGAGCCGCUUCAUCUCACGCCUCGGCGAAAGAGGUCUGCCUCUGUACCGCCUCUUAAGGAAGGCCGAGUGCUUCGCUUGGACCCCUGAGGCCAAGGAAGCUCUCGAGAACCUGAAGGCGCUCCUCACAAAGGCGCCUAUCUUGGUGCCUCCAGCUGACGGAGAAGCCCUCUUGGUCUACGUCGCCGCGACCACCCAGGUGGUUAGCGCCGCGAUUGUGGUCGAGAGGCAAGAAGAGGGGCAUGCAUUGCCCGUUCAGAGGCCAGUCUACUUCGUCAGCGAGGUACUGUCCGAAACCAAGAUCCGCUACCCACAAGUUCAAAAGCUGCUGUAUGCUGUGAUCCUGACGAGGCGGAAGUUGUGACACUACUUCGAGUCUCAUCCGGUAACUGUGGUGUCAUCCUUCCCCCUGGGGGAGAUCAUCCAGUGCCGAGAGGCCUCAGGCAGGAUCGCAAAGUGGGCAGUGGAAAUCAUGGGCGAGACAAUCUCGUUCGCCCCUCGGAAGGCCAUCAAGUCCCAGGUCUUGGCGGACUUCGUAGCCGAAUGGGUCGACACCUAGCUACCGACGGCUCCGAUCCAACCGGAGCUCUGGACCAUGUUUUUCGAUGGGUCGCUGAUGAAGACGGGAGCCGGCGCGGGCCUCCUCUUCAUCUCGCCCCUCGGGAAGCACCUACGCUACGUGCUACGCCUCCAUUUCCCGGCGUCCAACAAUGUGGCUGAGUACGAGGCUCUGGUCAACGGGUUGUGGAUCGCCAUCGAGCUAGGGGUCCGACGCCUCGACGCUCGCGGUGACUCGCAGCUCGUCAUCGACCAAGUCAUGAAGAACUCCCACUGCCGCGACCCGAAGAUGGAGGCCUACUGCGAUGAGGUUCGGCGCCUGGAAGACAAGUUCUACGGGCUCGAGCUCAACCACAUCGCUCGGCGCUACAACGAGACUGCGGACGAGCUGGCAAAAAUAGCCUCGGGGCGAACAACGGUUCCCCCGGACGUCUUCUCCCGGGAUCUGCAUCAGCCCUCCGUCAAGAUCGACGACUCGCCCGAGCCCGAGGCGCCCUCGGUCCAGCCCGAGGCGCCCUCGGUCCAGCCCGAGGCGCCCUCGGUCCAGCCCGAGGUACCCUCGGCACAGCCCGGGGCACCCUCGGCUCGGCCCGAGGCGCCCUCGGUUCAGCCCGAGGUACCCUCGGCCUCCGAGGGUGAGGCACUGCGCAUCGAGGAGGAGCGGAGCGGGGCCACGCCUGAUCGAAAUUGGCAGACCCCGUACCUGCAAUAUCUCUGCCAAGGAGAGCUACCCCUCGACCGAGCCGAGGCUCGGCGGGUAGCACGACGCGCCAAGUCAUUCGUCUUGCUGGGCGAUGAGAAGGAGCUCUACCACCGCAGUCCCUCAGGCAUCCUCCAGCGAUGCAUCUCCGUCGCCGAAGGUCAGGAACUCCUCCAAGAGAUACACUCGGGGGCUUGCGGCCAUCACGCAGCGCCUCGAGCCCUUGUCGGGAAUGCUUUCCGGCAAGGCUUCUACUGGCCAACGGCGGUGGCGGACGCCACUAGAAUUGUCCGCACCUGCGAAGGGUGUCAAUUCUAUGCGAAGCAGACCCACCUGCCUGCUCAGGCUCUGCAGACGAUACCCAUCACCUGGCCCUUUGCUGUGUGGGGUCUGGACCUCGUCGGCCCCUUGCAGAAGGCGCCCGGGGGCUACACGCACCUGCUGGUCGCCAUCGACAAAUUCUCCAAGUGGGUCGAGGUCCGACCUCUGAACAGCAUCAGGUCCGAGCAGGCGGUGGCGUUCUUCACCAACAUCAUCCAUCGCUUCGGGGUCCCGAAUUCCAUCAUCACCGACAACGGUACCCAGUUCACCGGCAGAAUGUGGCGGAACUGCCCGAAUUAUUCCAACUUAAGUGCCUAAGCCCCGCCUUAGAGGCUAGACCACACUUAAAUGGGAAUAACCCGUCAAUCCCUCGGAUCUAGUCCGACACGGCCACUGACAGGAUCAAGUACCACAGUCUCACUCGAAGGUGAGUCACAGAGCAAAUACAAUAAAGCAUAAAACUAUACAUGUCACAAUGUUAAAUUAUUACAUCAUCAUCAUCAUCAUCGGAGUUUUGCAAAAGUAACCAUCAUUGUUCGAAAUGCAGCGGAAAUAAACUAACGGUAAAUAAAUAGAGAGAUGGGGAAGCCUGUCCCAUCACUCCUCAUGCUCCUCCUCAGCCGAGGCAGGGUCCCACUCGACAGUCCAACCCGGUGGUAAGGUGGACGGCCAAGUCACUCCAGCAACCAUGUCCUCCAGAGAACCUGUAAAAAUUAUGCCACAAGCAAGGCUAAGUAUACUAAUACUCAGCUAGACUUACCCGGUGUGAGGAGUCUACUCCUCUACCUCUAGACAUGCAGCUGUUUGGCUGUGGGGUUUGGUUGCCAAAAGCACUAGCUGAGUUUCUACAUCAAAGUUUUAACUUAGUCAAAGUUAAGUGUGACUCUCUUAAGGCUAAAAAUGGACUAUCUACUCAUACAUGGUAGCAAACAUUAUUAACAAUCAACAUCUUAUCUCAACUCAUCACACUUCCACUUAUUACUCAAUGCAGUACAAUGGAUCAAGCAGUCUCAUUAGCUGCGAGAAGCAGACGAUUCGAAUCGAGUUUUUAUCCUUGCAAGGUAAACCUAAACACACGACAUGUAGGGGCACUCCGUCCCCACACACAUCAACCGUCCCCAUCGAUUCCCUGGCAACAGAUCAGGGCUCACCGCCUUGGCGUACAAUGCCCCACUGACCCCGACUGGCCGUCGUGCAGUGACCGCACUUGUACCCACCAUAACCGGAAUGGGAGACCUCGUCUCAGGUCGCGUGAGGGGAUAUGCCUGCGGGCAGGUUCACUCAGGUACUAGGCUUACCGAUUUACCAUAUUUCUCGGUAUGUGUUUAGUACGUUCAAACGCUUGACACAGGUAUCCGCACGUUAAUCCUUAUUCCAUUUUCCAUCUCGUGAACAACCAAUCCCCAUGGAUUGUUAUCCACCAAUUAGUAUCAUGACAGUGUGAAAGUGGGUACAAUCAAUUUCCUGAUCUCGCGCGAGUGCUAGAAAAAUCACUCGUCUUCUACCGAGAUCCUAAUUAAAUAAAGCAACUACUCGACCUGUCAUACUAGUAUUCAUCUCAAAAGGAUUCCUGAGAUCAUGCAACUAGGGUUUCAAACAAUUCCUACAGCUAAGUGCACAAUCAAUCCUACAAUCAUUAAGUGAAGUAAAAUAGCAUAAUUAACAGGUUAUGCAUAAAACCGGGGCUUGCCUUCCAAAGCAGUGGCAGGCAGGUCCUCUGGUGCGGGCUCUGGUGCUGGAUCUGGGGCUACCUCCUGAGCAGCUCCUUGCUCCGGCACGAGGAUGUACUCUCCGUCAGCAAGAUUGCAGUCUAUCGAAAUGCAAUGAACAUGUAUGUCAUGAUUAUGCAAGAUUUAAGAACAUUAAGCUAAAAGAAACUAAGUUAAGAAGUAACUUAGGGUUUUCUUAGUCACACGGGGCUUCUAGUGGUAUAUAUAUAUAGAUACAUAGACUUAUGACCCUUUAAACUUAGGUUUUCUUUUAGGAUAACAUAGUGGUUUGGUAUUGCCUUGAUAUAUUUUAGUGGACAGAUUACAAAGUUUUUGGGGCAACAUUUAUUCACAUCUUUCAUUUUUCUUUCCUUAAUUUCCAUUUAGGGCUUUUAGUGUAGGUUUGGACUACAACAGGGUUUUAAUAAUUUCCAAAAAUUCUGUAAAAAUUACAAUGGGUUGUUACUGACUAUUCUAGCUUGUUUUAAGAAUUUGAGGCUUAAAGUAUAAAAGUUAGGCUUUAAACAAAAAUAACAAAAGUUAGGCAAAAUGGGCCACUUCACACUACACCUCUUAGUUAGGGGUAGGUUCUGUCCUAAAGGUUAUUUUUGUUGGCAUCCUCUGGUAAUACUAGGCUUUUGUGCCAAAAACCACAGAAGGCUAAGGGGUGGUUGUUUAGUUAUGAUUUUCUAAAGUUUAAUGUCAAAAGGCACUUUCUACUACAUUGUUAUUUGAAAAAUGUCAAACAGCAGAUUUCAUAUUUUUCCUAAGUUCUUAAUAACAAAACAUUAACUAUCCCAAGGGUGGGGGUGCUUUCACCUUGGGGUUAUUUUUGUAGGGUUUUUCUAAGUUUCCCUUGUUUUAUUAAAAUAAAAGGUAUCCUACUUAUUUUAUACUAAAACAGGGUAUGAUAUAUUUUUCCAGUGAACUAUAUUGAAUAAGUAACCUAACAAAAAUAGAGGUACUCUCUGGUUCAUUAAUUAAAUUACAUUUUCUAUUUUCCUUAUCCUUAAGCAUAUUAUAGAAUAAGGGGCAAAAACUAACUUAAUGGAGUGGACAGAGAGGUUUAACAUUUUUAAACAGGUUAGUAGGUAAAUAUAAACUUCUCCAAAUUUUCCUAACCCUAGUCAAAUAGCCUAACUAUUUUUCUUACUAUUAUUUAGCUUUUGGCCAAAACUAACAUUAAAUCAUAACUUUUAAGUUUUCCACAGCACCAAGGGGUUUUAUAAUUUUCUUAAAUAGGCUACAUUAAUUGGAGUCUGACAAAAUUGGUUUGACCAAAUUUGGAUGAUUUAAACAGAAGUUAUGCAUUUUUCAAGUUGCUGUCCAAUUUAAAAACAGAUUUAAUUAAGGUUUUCUGGAAAAACAGUUUACACCGAGGUCCCUGGGUUUAAACUAAAUCCAUCCUCACAAAUCUACCCCCACGCCACUAUUCCCCUGUGUCUCUGACAUUUCACAAAACCCCCUGACCUUUCUUCCCUCUCACCCGCAGUCCUUUCCCUCACUGAAACAGUAACCGCGGGAAAGAAAAGGGCGGCGCGGCUUACCGGCGGCGAGGGAGGUCCGGCGAAGGGUGGGGUCGGCUCGGGGAGACUCUGGCGGUCACGUCGAGGUACGGCUCGACGUCGGAGAUGGCCGGAAUCGCCCGGUCCACGCUGGCAGGCGGGUGUCCUCGUCGGCGGCGAGUAUACCGGCCAAACCACGGCGAACUGGUUCAAUCCGAGGGCACGGUGAGCUUCCUGGGGUGACGUAUAGGCUAUCUGUGCAGUGAAUCGAGAAAUGGCUCAAUGAUUUACCCGGUCCACGCACUCCGGCGGGGUUGAGAGCUCCGGCGACCGUGGACUGGCCUCUCCGGCGAAGUAGGCUUCGAUUCCUCGCUCGAGGAGCCUCACUGAGUUGUGCACACUCGUCUCCGAGGGUUGGAUGGGGCUGGGGAAAGCUGGACUGGCCGGUCUACGGCGGCAGAGGGGUUGGGCGGCCGCGGAUUUGCUGCGCACGGGCAAACGGCGACGAGCUAACUUCGGUGAGGUGUGGAGGGUGCGCAGAAGGGUGUAACCGAAGCCUGGGAGGGCUUUAUAAGCUCGGGCGCGGGCCACGGCGCUGGCUUGGCUCGGGCGCGGCGCGGGGCAUGCGGGGGCGCGCGCGAGCGUGCUCUGGCACGGGCAGAAGGCGUCGAACACGUGGAGGUGAGUUUCUUCCAGUGUUCAAACGUCUCCAGAGAUCGCAAACGUGCGAAUCUCGCCAUGAAUCCGGCGCAGACCCCUCCUGGCACCUAGGGCUAUCUCACAUGUGUGAGUUCCAAGGGAUGAUACGCCCUAGAUCGGGAGAUAGACGGGCGCCAAAUCUGGCUUGUCUCCCUGCCCGCUCAGCGACAAAACUGAUGUCAAGUGCUGUCAAACGUCUGAGUCUCGGUCUCAAAUUUCUCCAGGGGGUGCCUUAAGUGGUAUAGCACAUUUUUGGUAUAGAACCCAAGUGGUUUUGGCGCCAUCUUCAAAGUGAACACGGCUGGUCUUUGAAUUAGGGCUAAAAUGUGACUUAGAGGGAAAUAGAGAGCUCUAGCUCUCUCUCCACUUGGAGAUUUGAAUUGGGGUUUCUCCAGGGGUCUUUUUGCAAUAUUUCCCUCCCUUAAUUGAUGGUUACAAGGUUAGUUAGGGUUUGGGUACAAGUUACACAUGCUUUGCACACUUGAUCACUCUCUUUUCCCCCCUUACUUAGGGUUUUGGAAGGUAGGGCUUUGGAGAGGUCUAGGGUUCUUCUCCCCCUAUUAUCCAAGGUAGUAAGUGUGCAAGGAUUAGAGUAAUGCUUCUUAUGUCAUUGACAACUUGAUUAGCACAUGAGCUCCAAAGUUCCUAUGUGGUGCCCUAAGUCUUCACCAUUGUGAACACAGCUUCUAGUGCCAAGGUGUGCUCUAGCCAUGGUAAUACCUGGGGUGUUACACAGAAAAUUCUUGGAUUUCUGCGAGGAUCACCACAUCCGGGUGGACUGGGCUGCCGUGGCUCAUCCCAUGUCGAAUGGGCAAGUAGAGCGUGCCAACGGCAUGAUUCUACAAGGGCUCAAGCCUCAGAUCUACAACGAUCUCAACAAGUUCGGCAAGCGGUGGAUGAAGGAACUCCCCUCGGUGGUCUGGAGCCUGAGGACAACGCCGAGCCGAGCCCCGGGUUUCACGCCGUUCUUCCUGGUCUACGGGGCCGAGGCCGUCUUGCCCACUGACUUGGAAUACGGCUCCCCGAGGACGAGGGCCUACGACGAUCAAAGCAACCAAGCUAGCCGAGAAGACUCGCUGGACCAGCUGGAAGAGGCUCGGGACAAGGCCUUACUACACUCGGCGCGGUACCAGCAGUCCCUGCGACGCUACCACGCCCGAGGGGUCCGGCCCCGAGACCUCCAGGUGGGCGACCUGGUGCUUCGACUGCGGCAAGACGCCCGAGGGAGGCACAAGCUCACGCCCCCCUGGGAGGGGCCAUUCGUCAUCGCCAAAGUUCUGAAGCCCGGAACGUACAAGCUGGCCAACAGCCAAGGCGAGGUCUACGGCAACGCUUGGAACAUCCAACAGCUACGUCGCUUCUACCCUUAAGAUGUUUUCAAGUUAUUCAUAUACCUCGCACCCACGCAAAGUUUAGUCAUCAAGGAAGGGUCGGCCUCGACUCGGCAAAGCCCGACCCUCCCUCGGGGGCUAAAAGGGGGGGAACCCCCUCUGCGUUGAAAUUUUUCUCGAAAAAAAAGAUCUCUUCUGCCAGAAUAUCUUUCGUGCUUUUUGACUACUUCGAAAAGUGGAUCCUGAAAACGACGGAGUACACGUAAGCAGCCAAGGCUGACCGAGCCGAGGGACUCCUAUGCCUCCGGGAUACGGAUACCUCACUCAUCACCUUCUGCGAGAAGUAACUCGCGUUCGGAUAAAGUGACUCUGCGGACCGAACAAGUCUUUACGUUCGGAAGCUCUUCUGCCGAAGCGAUCCUUCGAGCCUUCUCGACUGAGUCGGUGACAGGGCCUCAUGGACGGGUAAAGGUGCGCGUAAGCGGCAAGGCCGACCGAGCCGAGGGACUCCUACGCCUCCGGGAUAUGGAUACCUCACUCGUCACCUUCCGCGAGAAGCAACUCUAGCCCGCACAAACAUCCCUGUUACCGACAAAAAAGUCCAGAUACUCGAAACAAGAGGAAAGGAGACGCAGCUUUACAACACAGCGAGGGUGUGUAUUCUGGCCUCGGCGGCCGCAGAAGGCACACGCUACAAGACACUCUGAUCCUGCAGGCUCGGGUCUUGGCGCUGGAAGGGGGCAGCAGCACCCUCGACAUCGACGACACCUUCGGCGAGAUCCGACCUAGCCUCGGACGGCGACGCGGUCUGAGGAUCUCCGCUCUAGAGGACGACGUCAUCAUCACGCCCGGGCAAUCGCUGCCAGGGACUUCUCCGGGAAUCCGGCCCGAGCAGGCGGCUCGGCCGGUUACCCCUGGGGCCUCGGCCAACCAUCUUCCAAGGGCGCCAGCCCGACCCGAGGCCUCGGCUGAUCGACUCCGGCGUCGGUCCCGCUGACGGGCAACCCAGCUAGGCUCCGGCCAACCAGGUUUCAUUUUCGAGCCAACUCCGCCUCUGUUCAUGCUGAUACCGCUACCCCUGGCCUCGGCUCGUCGAAGAGCGGCCAAGGGGUCCCUUUAACUAAGCUAGAGGAGCCUCAGACAACAAGGCCGACCGAGCCGAGGGACUCCUACGCCUCCGGGAUACGGAUACCUCACUCGUCACCUUGACACGGGGCGACUCAUGCUUGGUGAAGCGGUUCAGAUAAUCAACAGGCGAGUCUUAGUGCUCGAAAAUGAGGAAAAAACACGGCUCCGAGCCAAAAUUACAUACAUGUUCAGGCCCCGAAAGCCAUAAUGAACAAAACACUGGCAUUCGAAGUGCCAUUACAAACGGAACUCCGGUUCCCCCUCCGCAGGUACGAACAACCCCACUCGAUUGGGGUGGGCCUGCGGAGCAACAAAAGACCGACGAACGGCGCGCCGUCACCUGCUCCAGCAGCGGCGACGACGACGACUUCUGCCCCGGGGGGCCGAACAACGGCAGCACUGACCUCAGGGCGGAUGCUGCUGCCAGGAGGCCCCUGUCCAUGCCCAAACUCGUGAGGCAAGGACGGGCAGGAGGCCGUAGAGUUGGAGGUCGGUCCGUGGCCAGCCUUGGCUAUCAGCGCCGGCGAAAGAACCUCUUCAAGCUGUCGUGGCAGACGCCGGCGCUGCGAGCGGCUCCGAAGCCACUCGCGUCCAAGAGCCAGGCACGGUGCAGCUGCCGGCGCCACGGACGACGACCGCCCUUCCCUCCGAUCACUGAGUGAAGGAGCGGGCCGCCGCCCACGCAGGGGCCGACCCCAACUCGGCACACUCCCCUCCCCAGCCUUGGUGAUGAAAAUCCUUGAGGCUGAGGGAGGGGCAGAGGCCGCAGCCCGGCUCGCUUUCCCCCACCAUCAAGCUGGAGGUCACCAUCUUGGGUGACCGCCGGCGGAGGGGUGCAGCCGGGCUGCAUGAUGAAAAUCCUUGAAGCCGAACGAUGGCUGAAAGGUACCAACUCCCACGGAGUUGCGUUCCUCCAACGAUAAGGCGAAAAGACGGCGGGCAUCCCCCAUCCGGGGGCUUGGAAGGUGGAAAGACGCGAUGCAUAAGGAAGGGAGAAGACAUGGUCGCCUUCCGAAAGGGAUCGCCCUCCUUUUAAAGGCCACUCUCCCUGCUUGCGCCUCCAACCGUCACGGGCUGAGUCUUCUCCAACACGCUCCAAGGUCCUCCCCUGCGGCGCGGGGGCUGGGUCCCACAUGUCAUGCAAACCGGCUCGGAGCAGAAGAAGCCAAACCGCCGCGCGUGGUGCACACAACUGCCCAGCGGUUACAAGUGACCCUCCACUUUUGCCCAAACCAACGGGCGAAAGAGGCGGGCAGCCAUGCAGGCGGCAUGCAACCGCGCCAAGUGGACGCGCUUCUCCGACCCCCGACACGCCAGCGUGGAGGCCCAGGCCCACGCGUCACGCAACCGGCGCGCCGGAUGCUGCAUGCAAGCAACUGUACCACCACUUGCGCCACCACCGCGCCUCCUCGAUUGCGGAACCAGUACCGCGACUCGAGGCGACCCAGCGCACGACCCAGCGGCGCCAGCCUGACGCGGCGGUCAAACGCGGCCAAAAGUGGGCCGGCAGUAAUGGCGGUGGCAGGCGGGCGGGAGCAGCGGUCACGUCGUCAGCCAGGCUCACAUCCCAUCCGGGGGCAGCAAGAGAACCCCCUCUCACGGCGUGAAGACGACGCGCCCAUGAUCCGUUCCUCGAGCGGCUCGCGCACGCGCAACGGCCGCCCCGCCAACCACUCGCCCCGUCGCAUUAACUCCGCGGCAGGACAGGCGGCGCUUCUGGCAGGAGAAGCGGGCGACGCUUCGCCUUCACCGAAAUAACCGCGCCAAAAAAGGUACGCCGCGUCGUUUCGAUUCCGUAUCUUUUUCGUUUUUUCCUCUUUCUCUAUCUCUUGCAACAGGGACCGGGAAAGGGGGAUACCCUGAAAAGGAUCCUUCCCCAUGAAGGAACCAGGCUCCGAGCCUCCUUACUGAUCAGAGGUUCGAAGGCUGGCCCCCCGAUGGGUUCAACAGCCGCCUCAGAUCGCGUGGGCCCUACACCCACUACUGGUCAGAGGUUCGAAGGCCGGCCCCCCGAAGGGUUCCACGGCCGCCUCAGGCUACCCGGGCUCCGCGCCCAUUACUGAUCAGGGGUUCGAAGGCUGGCCCCCGAAGGGUUCACAGUCGCCUCAGACACCGAGCGAGGGAUGACCAGGGGUAUGUUCGAUACAUAACCGAGGCUCGGGCUGCGCUCCCGAGAUACCCUAGGACAUUUCCGAGACCAGCGGGAGCGAUCUUGUAACGGAAUCCCAUCGGAGGGAGGCAUCGAGCCCUCGGACCCCGUCGCUAGGGGACCGGGUCCGGCAGAUCACCCGCAGGUACUUUUGGGCGUGCCUCUGGGCCCCUAGCCGACCCCUAACGAAUGGGGCACGGACGUCCACUCGGAUUACCCGCUUGCAGCUCACCGGAGACACCAUGUUCGGCGCCCAUCGAGGGUAACAUGGCGCUUUCCCCCCCCCUACUCCUUGCGGAAAGGCGACGUAGGGGCGUAUGUAAAAAAGCCGAGUUUGUCCCUGAUCGCCCUCUCGCCCUGUGCAGAGGCUCGGGGGCUGCUCUCGCAAACCCAGCUCUGGCCAAACCGUUGACAGCGUCAACAUACCAGCCCGAGAACUUGGGCCCCGACCGUACACCCGGGCUACGGCCAGUUCGCAUGAGGGAACAACCAGACCAGCCGAAGCGUUACGCAAGGCAAUAAGACCUCGAAGGAGUGAAACCACUCCUCCGAGGCCUCGGGGGCUACACCCGGCGGGUGCGCUCGCGCGCACCCACCGGAACAAAAUGCAACCGAGAAAGGCUGGUCCCCUUGCAAAAAAGUGCGACGAAAGCCUCCAAGCGAGAGUUAACACUCCCUUCGAGGCUCGGGGGCUACUGUCGGGGACCAUAAUUAGGGGUACCCUCAAGACUCCUAAUUCUCAGCUGGUAACCCCCAUCAGCAUAAAGCUACAAAGGCCUGAUGGGUGCGAUUAAGUCAGGGAUCAGUCCAUUCGAGCGACUCGAUCACGCCUCGCCCGAGCCUAGCCUCGGACAAGGGCAGCCGACCCCAGAGGGUUUCCGUCUCGCCCGAGGCCCCCCUCCAACGGCAGACACAUCUUCGGCUCGCCCGAGGCCCUGCCUUCGCUAAGAAGCAACCCUGACUAAAUCGCCGCACCGACCGACCGAAUCACAGGAGCAUUUAAUGCAAAGGUGGCCUGACAUCUUUAUCCAGACGCGCGCCCUCCGGCAGAGCCGAAGUGACCGCCGUCACUUCGCCGCUCCACUGACCGGUCUGACAGAAGGACAGCGCCGCCUGCGCCACUCCGACUACAGUGCCACUCGACAGAGUGAGACUUACAGGCAGUCAGGCCCUGCCGAAGGCACCAUAGGAAGCUCCGCUCCGCCCGACCCAGGGCUCGGACUCGGGCUAAGUCCCGGAAGACGACGAACUCCGCUCCGCCCGACCCAGGGCUCGGACUCGGGCUAAGACCCGGAAGACGGCGAACUCCGCUCCGCCCGACCCAGGGCUCGGACUCGGGCUAAGUCCCGGAAGACGGCGAACUCCGCUCCGCCCGACCCAGGGCUCGGACUCGGGCUAAGACCCGGAAGACGGCGAACUCUGCUCCGCCCAACCCAGGGCUCGGACUCGGGCUCAGCCCCAGAAGACGACGAACUUCGCUCCGCCCGACCCCAGGGCUCGGACUCCGCCCUGGCCUCUUCCGACGACCUCCGCCUCGCCCGACCCAGGGGCUCGGACUCGGCCUCGGCCAUGGAAGACAGACUCGACCUCGGCUUCGGAGGAGCCUCCACAUCGCCCAGCCUAGGGCGCAGGCCAGCCACGUCAACGGGAAGCGCCAUCAUCACCCUACCCCAAGCUGACUCGGGCCGCAGGGAACAAGACCGGUGUCCCAUCUAGCCAGCUCCGCCAGAUAGGCAAUGAUGGCGCCCCGCACGCUCUGUGACGACGGCGGCUCUCAGCUCUCUUACGGAAGCAGGUGGACGUGAGCAAGGACUCGACCACUCCAAUAGCUGUCCCUCCGCCAGGCACCGUCGCUCCUCCGACGACCACGACAUCACACCAGCAGGGUGCCAAGAUCUCUCCGGCUGCCACAUUGGCAUGUACUUAGGGCGUCAGCUCUCCCCCGCUAGACACGUAGCACUCUGCUACACCCCCAUUGUACACCUGGAUCCUCUCCUUACGCCUAUAAAAGGAAGGACCAGGGCCCUCCUAGAGGAGGUUGGCCGCGCGGGGACGAGGAUGGGACAGGCGCUCUCUUGGGGCCGCUCGCUUCCCUCUCCCGCGUGGACGCUUGUAACCCCCUACUGCAAGCGCACCCGACCUGGGCGCGGGACGAACACGAAGGCCGCGGGAUUCCCACCUCUCUCACGCCGGACUCCGGCCGCCUCGCUCUCUCCCCCCUUUGUGCUCGCCCACGCGCUCGACCCAUCUGGGCUGGGGCACGCGGCACUCACUCGUCGGCCUGAGGGACCCCCGGUCUCGAAACGCCGACAGGACCAUACCGCGUACGCUUCCGCUCCCCGCUCAGGUGGAGACCCGAUGCUGCCGCGUGGCCGACUGCCCGUGACGUAAGCCAAUGGGCGGAGCUUGACGUAAGGCUUCUGGGCCGCACGUCCUCUACAUUUAUUGUGGAUAGGACACGCCGCCUGACAGGCGAUGUGCCGCCUCGGCAUUUAAUGAGCCCUGUCCAUUCCACUAACAAGCGAUAUGCCGCCUCAGCGUUUAAUGUGCCCUGUCCACUCCGCUGACGGGUGGCGACCUGGCCAUCCUGCAGGCGGCGUGCAUGUCUAUUCCAUUGGCAGGCAGAACGCCCAUGCUGCGGCAUACGUUGUGUUCAUCAUCACUCAUACGUUGCCAGGGAAGCAUCCGCUGCACGCCAAUGCUACGCAGACCGCGGAUAUCACGGCGCAAGGAGAUUGCACUGGCGACUAGCAUUAGUUGCUCCAAGUAUUACAUCUGUUAUGUUCCUGGGCCCGCAUGUCGGGGCUCAGCACCCUUGUAUGUGCCCCCCUUGAGCUAUAAAAGGGGAGGCACGCAACAUUACAAGGCAGACACACUUAGACGCUCACAAGUUCAUACAAGCUCUCAAGCUCAAUACAGCACACAGUGGAGUAGGGUAUUACGCUCCGGUGGCCCGAACCACUCUAAACCCUUGUGUGUUCUUGUGUUCUUCCCGAUUCCAUCUAACAGGCAAAACGCUUAGGCCCCUCCUCAUCUUAGGAUUUAGGGCGGGUGCGUUCUGCCACCCGGUCGGAGAAUUUCCUCUCCGAUAGUGAUUAAUAUAAGAACUAAUGAAAAGCCAUAACAAUUAAAUAAAUGUCUGUAUGUGUGAUGUCGUGUUGCGUUGGUUAAUUAUAGGUAUUAAUCGUCGUCUUUUCCAGUGGUGUUGAUGUUGUGUGCUCGAUGAAGUGUAGACAGCUAAUGCCAACAUGUGGUUGUCUACGGUGUCUUCCAAUUUAAUGUUUAUUUGGCCACUGUGUCUUUGUAUAUCUUGUGCUACUUUUGUGCUACUUUCAUUAUAUUCAUACAUAUGUAUCUUGCAUCUCAUUUAUGACCAAGAGAUGAUGAUCGUGCACGUGAUCACUACAAAACAAGCACCCCUUUAGCAAUGCAUAUAUGUGUUGCAAAAAGCUCAGAUAUGGGUUGCUAAGGUCUAUACCAACGUAUAAUUAUGUGUUGUCUAUACUUACGUUGCUAAGAUCUAUAACAACACUUAUACAUACAUUGGUAAAACCAACAGUUAAGUGUUGCCAUGCUAGAACGGAUAUUCAGGGACUAUAGUAACGCUUCGAUGUGUAGCAAGAAAUGAACUAGGUAAUAAAUAUUAUUAUUACAAUAAUUUAGUUUGAAUACAAAUGUAAUCAAUGUAGCUGAAAAUUUAUAUAUUUUACCAAACCCAUACACAAACUAUAAACAAAUAUAUUUAUUAUUUAGAAAUAAAAUUUUGAAUUACAAUAGUAUCCACAUACAACGUCAUUUUUUCUUGUUCUGUACAAAAAUUGUAAGGGGAAAAAUAGUAUCAAAACCAUAUUGAAAUCUACCACCUCUCCAUUCUCUAUCUCUAGUGCAACCAUCCUCCAUCUCUAGUGUAACGAACUCUCUUCAUUGAUUUGUGUUCAUCCAUUCUUAGUCAACAAAUGAACUUGCUUCACAUUACUGCUUGGUGAUAAGAAGACACCAAUGCAAAAGAUGCAUCCAGCUUCUUUGCCAAUCAUGGCAGUUUCAAGAUGCAGAGUUUCUUUAAGAUUGUCUGCCUUCUUUACUUCCUUGAAUUCAUCCAUACAUUGCUGGUUGUAGUGCUACCUAAGUUAUUAUAUGUAUCUGUUGGGGCAAAGACGAAGAUGCCACCCUUCGCUCGAUGCCUUCGCCGAUCUCACCGGACCAACGGAGGCGAAGCGGCCGGCAGUUCCCACCCUUCGUCCAACACGCUGCAAGACGAAGGCCUACGACGAGGUCGCUCCGUCUCGUGUCCUCGUCCAACACGAAGGCCCAUGUAGAAUUUGGCCCAUUGUAACAGGCCCCGCGUGGCUGAGCGCAUUACGGGCCCGAUUUGUGAAGGCUUUUUUGUAAUGACAGUCUGUAACCCUGCUUUAUGGGAAUAUUCCGGGGAUGACCUAGGCACCUGAGGGCACAUGCGUCCUCAACCCACGACGCUGGGUACUCAGGCACCUAUAAAUAUCCCCGCACAGUGCCCUUGAGAGGCUAGAUUAACAGAGCAAUUGCCUUCUUGAGCUAAAACCUUGUUUGCAUUACUUUCACUCCCCCGUUGGAUCAUCUUGCUCGGGAGAGCAAGUUCCAACAUUUGGCGCCCACUGUUCGUGCUACGAAAAACACCCGCGAUGGCACCUAAGAGAGCUAGCUCGAAGGCAGCCCCAUCCGUUGACGAAGCGGCGAAGGCAGCGCUGCUGGCCGAGAAAAAGGGCAAGGCCCUUGCCGACACCACCCACCAAGAAGCCUGCGAAGACGACGCACUCAGCAAGAGGCAGCGCAAUGAACAACCCACACCCGAAGGCAGUCUCCGCACCUGCAGCUCCGGAGGACAACCGCAACCUCCCCCAGGCUUCGCUCCACCGGAGGGCGCGGACACCACCGAGGACGGCGAAGUCAUCGGCGUUUCAGCAGAGGAACAGUUGCGUGCCUUGCGCAUGAAGAACCGCAACCUCCAGAAGCAAAAAGAGAUCCUCGAGGCCAAGCGCCAACGUGUGUCUGCGCAAGCCAAGGUGCACCAGAUGAUAAGCGACGAAGAGCAAAAGGCUCAGGAGCUUGAGCAAGAGAUCGCGCUCAUGCAGCGCGAAGGCCAACUCGAUCUGCAACACGGCCCACCCCUCCAACAGCGCGCGCAAAUCGAAGACAUGUUUAUCCCUCAGCGCGGACACGCCAUCCCGCACGCCGCAGCAUUCCAAGGUGUCAACUACCUUGACGAGCGGAGUCCCCUGGCGCCACACCUGCAAGUGUCACCAUGGCCCGCCAACUUCAGGGCAGGGACCUAUUCCAAGUACAACGGCAGCACUGACCCAGCACAGUAUAUCAUGAGCUAUCAGGUCGCCGUUGCAUCAUCCGGAGGGGACGACGCCACGAUGGCCAAGUCAUUCAUCAUUGCCCUCGAAGGCCCGGCCCUCACCUGGUACACCAGGUUGCCCCCGUUGUCCAUCGACUCCUGGAGAAGUCUCUAGGACAAAUUCCUGCUCAACUUCCAAGGGUACCGCCCAGACACCGACGUGUUGGCUGAACUUUCACUCGGCAAGCAGCUGGAAAGAGAAACUUUGUGGGAGUACUACCGCAAGUUUCUGACUCUCAAGUCACAACUGCCUUCGGUUGAUGACUAAAUCGCCAUUCACUACGCCAUCAGUGACCUUCGGGCUGGCGUCCUUUACAACCACUGCAUCAGAGAUCCGCCCAGGAACCUCCAGGAGCUGUAUCAGCUAUUCGAAAAAUACGCCAGAUCUGAAGAGCUCCACCAGCGCAAAGUCGAGCCUCAGAGGAAACCUAGAGACCCUCCGCAGUCCAGCCGUACGUGGACGAGGCCUUCGCAGGCAGACUCCGGUUGGGACGGCCGCAGUCAGCAGCAGGUACAUAACAUCGCCAACCAGCACCCCGCUGGUGAGGCCCCUCGCCGCCAGGAGUAUCCCCCCAGGGCCGCGGAAACAUAACUCGUGGUCGAGGCCGAGGACGUGCGCAGCAGCCGCGCAGAUUUUACUGCUUGUUCCACGGUGAAGACUGCGCGCACCCUACAAGAGACUGCCCAGAGACGAAGGCCACCAGAGAUAGGAUGGCACGGGCACAACCAGCCGACAACCCUAGAGUUGUCGCGCACACAUAUCAACAACCCCCUCAGCCAUACAACCAUAGCCCCGCUCCGCAUCCACCUCACCACGCAUACCAACACCACCAGGAGGUACAAAUCGUACCUCCCCCACUCCCACCUCCACACCCGCAACAGCAAAACAUCCACCACCCCAACCACCCCCAAGCCCCAAAGCAAGAAGACUUCGCCGAUCAGCCAUAUCGCGGAGUCAUUCACAUGAUCACUGGGGGGGUCCAGCGUCGACUUCGACACGAAGCGACAGAAGAGGGACCACUACCGCAGCAUCAACCACGUUGCCAUCACCGGUCCAGUCGUGCAGACAAAGUGGUCCCAUGUGCCAUUGACCUUCGACGCCCGAGACGUCAACCUGCGCAGCGCACCCCACAUCGACGCCAUGGUUAUCAACUGCAGCGUGGCAGGCUGGGACCUGCACAAAGUCUUAGUCGACAAUGGCAGCCAAGCGGAUAUCAUUUUCCUCCAUGCCUUCGACCGUAUGGACAUCAGCUACAGCUUGCUUAAGCCUUCGGACAACCCACUGUAUGGCUUCGGCGGCAAGGGCACCUUUCCUGUCGGCAAAAUAGAGCUACCCCUCUCCUUCGGUGUAGCACCCAAUGCACGAAGUGAGCAAGUCACGUUCGACAUCGUCGACAUGGUGUACCCAUACAACGCCAUAAUGGGUCGGGGCUCCAUCAACAAGUUUGAGGCAGCCAUUCACGGACUUUACCUGUGCAUGAAGAUCCCAGGUCCGUAAGGCGCGAUCUGUGACAGAACCUCCCAAGUAAUUAGGCCCACCUACAGUUGUCCUUGUCCAACGGACCUCAGACAAUCCUGUAGGUGCCCCUGAACUACUUGACAAGUUCGGUAUCUUUCCUUACCUUUCUAGGAACGUCUCACCCGUCUUGCAGACAUUACAGAACAUCGGAGAUAUAGAAAUGCGGAAGCUUUUACAUAAACUUACAUUUAUUUAGAAAGUAAGAUCAAGUUACUUAUUACAGACCAGAGCUAUAAACGAGUGCUGAGUAGUAUUAUUACACAUACCAAGGGAGGUAAAAAAUCCUCCCGAUAACUAUCAAAUAAAAAGUCCUAUAUGGGGGACCACGUCCUCCCGCAUCUUCAUUCUUGUACUUCUUCAUUUGAUACCACCUUGGAGCAAAAGCAACAAAACUUUGUCGCUUCCUCACCUAAAAACAACGAAGGGAUAAACCCUGAGUAUGGAAUUACUCAGCAAGUCUUACCCGACUAAGGAAAAGACUCUCAAGGGUAUGCUGGAUAAAUAGGAGUCAAGGAGAGGCUUUAGCAAAAAUCAACUUAUACUUUUGCAGAAGUAGCUUACUAAAGUGAGUCCUUACUUUCAAUAUUUUAACGCCAGAUUAUAUAUCAAUAGACUCUGUUUGCAUCUAGUCUAAUUUCAUCAUCUCAUCAAUGCAACAUCCUUUUUAUUCAUAAUGUUCACAUCCUGACUUAGGUUGCAGGGCAGUGACCAAGUCUUCAUAACCGCGAAGGUACGGCGAUCCGAAUCGAUUAUACUCAGCUGAGGAUCUCCAAUCACACGACAUAUGUAGCACUUAACCCUUGCAUAUGUCAACCCACCACCGGGGUUCUUAAGACCAGAUCAGGUUCACGCAAACCGAGAGCACAGAUACACCACCGUCCAGCCUCUUGCCACGGAGGGUACACGCUACUCUCGCCACCGCUCCACGCCCAUUUCGUGUUAUCUUAUUCUGGCCUUAGUCUGCCCGAGGCAAGGCUUACCCAUGACGAGGCAUGUGACCAGUUAAAGGGUCCUCGAUCAUGAAGCCUACAUACGCAUCAAUCCUUAAUCAACUUGGGUAGAACAUCACCUGUUCCUAACCCAAGUCUCGAUUUACAUACUUCCAUCCUUAGGAUUGUUUCUGUUCCCAAGGAUGAAAAGAGCAUCACAGGGAGCUUUGCAGUAAGAUCCCACCAUUGCUCCAAAUGAAAAUAUUCUUGCAGGUAGAAGCCAUCCUUUCUCGAGCUAAGCUAAGGACAACCUCUAUCCACAAGAUCUAAGCAGGGCUAAGCAUUUUUGUAAAUCAUAUUUUGAUACUUCACAGAAGUAUCUAUAAAGGUAUGGAUAUCAAGGAAAGCAAUGCAUCAACGGGUUCCAAGCAACUCCUACGAACCUAAUGCACAUUUCACUAGACUUAAAGUGUGCGAAAAUUAUUUAAAAACACAAGGAAAGGGGUUGCAUGCACCGGGGCUUGCCUUCGUUCAUAGGUGAGUCAGGCUCGGACUCGCAGAUGUCGAAGUAGAGCCAAGUCUCUGACUGAGAUUCCAAAGGUGGUGGUGUCUUCUCUUCAGUCACUUCACUCCCUUCUCCGUUUUCUAAAUAUAACCAUAUAGGUAUAUAUAUAAGAAUGAAUGCCAUGUAAUGCUCAUGAGAGUGCAAAGAUAAUAAAGAUUUAUUAACUAAGUCUUGAAUACAACUUUCCUUCAUGGAACUCCGAGAACUUAGGGUUUCCGGAGCCAGUAAAGGAGUUCAAAGGGCAGGGGUAGGGUUUUGGGUUCUAGUUAUCAAACAUGGUCUAAAUCAAUUCAAAUUCUACCCAUGGCUUUUAAUUAAUGUUUUAAGUUCAUAUAAAAAGUUUGGGAAAUUUUGGACUUACCAUUUAUUUUCUAAAAAUCCAGAACUAAUGGUUCAAGCUAGUUUAAAUGCCUCAAAAUUCCUUAUUUCCUUUAAAAAUCAUAAAAUUAUUUUUAUUAAAUCCUAGGGAAAAUAAGAAGCCUAGGAAAAUUGGUUUCACAAUUUUAGGAAUUUUCUGUAAUUUUCUACAAUUUAUUUGUCUCUGGAAGAAAAAGAAAAAGAAAAACGAAUCAACAGUACUGGGCCACUUUAGCCUAGGCGGCCCAGCAACACAGGGAAUAAGGUCACGCGCCCGCGCACGCCCGCGCCUGCGCGCCCGCUGGAUACUUUGUAGAAAAGCCCUCGGAUUAACAGCUAAAUCGAAAUAGGUCCGUUCACUAUUGCAUCAAGUCACUGACGGUUUGCAGAAAUGUCCUCGGGUUUCUAUUUCUUCCCCACGAGUACCCCUGGCCACGGCGUGUUCGCCGCCGAGCACCAUGCGACUUGUUCCAGCCACGAUUGGCGGUGGCUGUCAAAAAUGGCUACGGAAUGGACAUUCCCGACCUAAGGCGAUCCGAGAACAUCCAUCAAUUUUGACUGGCACACCAAGAAAGUGUUCUGUCCACGUUCAUGGCGGAAACAGGGACGUCGAGCCCGUGUUCUUAAUUAUCUACGCCCGAAUUGGUCAAACGGAUGCUAUGGUGAGCUUUAAGUGCCUACAUAGCUGCUAGAACAACACUUGAGAGAUGCAGAGCUUUACCAGAGUGGUCUGGCCACGGAUGAGAUGUUCUUGGCGGCGCGGUGGACUGAAUUGGGGGAAAAUGGCAAUUCUCCGGCCAGGGUGACUAAUCGAGGACAGGAAGGGUUGCUACAGCUUCGCAAUUUGGAGACGAAGGCCGGAGCUCGGUUGAUUUGAGAAAAGGGGGCGAGGACGGGGUGAAUUUAUAGCCGCGGUGAGUCACUGCCGCGGUCACGGUGAUAACCAUUGCUGGCCCGAGCUGGUGAUCAGCGAUGGCACCGAGCACGGCACUCCCCUAGAGCUUGCCACGUUCAACCACGACCGUAAGGCAGUCAAAUCCGUGAUGGCGUGGCUGAACAGAGGAGGGCGGCGCCGGUGAUCGGACACGGCCGGAAGGAGGAAUGACCGCGUGGCAGCCGGAGUUAGUGCCCUCCACCGCGGCGGUCCUAUCCGGAGGAAAAAGAUCUUCGGGGAAAGAUGCUCGCCGCCCGAACAUCUCGACCCCGGCACCAAUCGUGGCGCGGAUAGGUCGUCGGCGGUGAGAUUUUUCCACCGCGGCGAUCUGACCCAUAUCUGCUUUCCCCGAAGCACUGUACCAUGGCCAACUCCAUCAGACAGCCUGACAGAGCGUUUUGGAGCUUCAUUUUCUCUUAAUUUCUAAUGACAACACAAGUCAAGAUCUGCAGCAAAAGUGUAGAGCAAUAUUCCAUCUACAACUUUGUAAUAUGGUGAUGCCACAAAAAGUCACCGAAUCAUGUCUGAAAUUGGGUUUGAAGUUGGUGAUAGUUCAGUGUUAGUCUGAAAAUUCAGACCAAACCAGUCUGACAGCCUGACUUCAGGCUUAAAUAUCUCUGGAUUUUUCUCAACAAGUGAGCUUACAACCUUAAGCAAAGUUGUUCUCCAUUAAUUGGUCUACAAACUUGUUGUGGUCACUUUGGGCAAAAUCCCUAUAUUUUAAAAGAUACAGGGCUCCAAAGUUGAACCAACUAAACUGAAUUUCAGACUUAGGCUCUAUAGUGCUUAAGAGGUGAUUUUUGCAAAUAAGCCCAAAACUUAGGGUUUAACUUGCAAAUUCACAUAUUUGUGAACCAAAUGACUUAAAAUACUUAUUUGACUUGGGUUUUUGCACUUUAGUCCAAAAGUGGACUAAUUUUGCACAUAAGCCCCUAGGGUUUGGUUUUAGGGUUUUCCAGGGUUCCAACUAGGGUUUCUAGUAUCCCAAGGGUAUAAAUGUGAUUCAACUUUAUUUUUGGGGAUAUUUUACAACUAUUUCCCUAAAGCCUUUAAGUUUUCUCAAUUUGGUUUAGGUCUUACCCCUUUAAUCCCUAUUUAGGGUUAAGUUUCUUAUCCAGGGUUCUAUUUGUAAAACACUAAAAACAAUACAACUUGUUUGAAAUUUUUACCUAGUGAAUGCAUUCUAGGUGGAUCAAACAUAUGCAAUGCUAAUGCUAUGAUGUCAUGCUCAAGUUUUAGUUAUAGUAACACCAGGGGUGUUACACGAUCGCAGUCUACGGCAACCAGCAGGCCGCACGCAACAUAGAAAGAGACUUCGUUCCUGGGCAAAGGAACGUACACUGCCUCACGGCCCAGCGCGAGGUCCCCGAGUCUGCCAGCCCAACCGCCAAAGAACAUGACAAGGCACAGCUGCAGAGCAACGAUGGGACCAAGACUGUUCCCCUCGACCAGGCAACGCCCAAGCAAACGGUCACCAUCAGCGAAGACCUCACUUCGCAUGACGAGGAGAGACUCCUCUGCUGUCUAUCCAAAAAUAAAGACGUCUUCGCCUGGUCCACCCUCGACCUGGUCGGAGUCAGUCGCUCCAUCAUCGAGCACAGCUUGGGAAUCGACCCUUUGGUGAGGCCGAAGAAAUAGCGGCUCCGCAAGAUGUCCGAUGAGAAGACAGAAGCCGCCAAGGCCGAGGUACAUCGCCUACUUGAGGCCAAAUUUAUCGAGCCAGUCGCCUACCCCACAUGGCUCGCCAACGUAGUGAUGGUGCAGAAGAAGAGCGGCAAAUGGCGGAUGUGCAUUGAUUUCACCAGUCUCAACAAAGCCUGCCCCAAGGACAACUUCUCGCUGCCUCGGAUCGACAAAAUUGUCGAUAGUGCGGCCGGGUGCGAAGUCAUGUCACUCCUUGAUUGCUUCUCCGGCUACCAUCAAAUAUAUAUGAAGGAAGAAGACAAGGCAAGCACCAGUUUCAUAACACCCUUCGGCACGUAUUGCUUCAUCAGAAUGCCGGAGGGACUUAAGAACGUUGGGUCCACAUUCUCUCGGCUCACCAAAACGGUGCUCGAGAGACAGGUCAGCAGAAACAUAUUUACGUAUAUGGACGACAUCGUCGUCGCCAGCAGAAGCAAGGAAGACCAUCUGGCUGACCUCGCUGAAACAUUUGCGAACAUGCGGGAUGCACGACUUCGCCUAAACCCUGAAAAGUGCGUCUUCGACGUUCGCCAGGGGAAAAUAUUGGGCUACCUGGUGUCGCACCGCGGGAUCGAAGCAAAUCCGACCAAAAUCCAGGCCAUUAUCAACAUGACGCCCCCGCAGUCAGCCAGAGACAUCCAACGACUGACAGGCAGAUUGGUCGCCCUCAACAGAUUCAUCUCCAAAUCCACAGAGCGAAGCCUCCCUUUCCACAAAACACUCCACGGCGCAAAAGACUUCGCAUGGGGACUAGAGCAGGCGGCGGCCUUCGCUUCAUUAAAGCAGUACCUGUCAGAGUUGGCGAUUCUUACAAGCCCCAACCCCUCGCUACCCGUGUUGCUCUACAUUGCAGCUUCGCCGCAUGCGGUCAGCGCAGCACUGGUUCAAGAGCAGGACAGUGAGGGCACGAUCAAGCAAUAUCCAGUUUAUUACGUCUCUGAAGUACUCAUGACAUCAAAAUGCAAUAUGGCGGAACUGGAAAAAAUCGCCUACACAGUUGUUAUGGCUUCGCGCAAAUUGCGCCAUUAUUUUGAAGCGUUCAAGGUCCGGGUCACCUCAGAUAGGGACUCGGCGAAUUGUUUAGAAACCCAGAGGCAUCAGUCCGGAUUGCCAAAUGGGCAGCCGAACUCUCCGGCUACCAUAUUACAUUCGAGCCUAGGACAGCCAUCAAGUCACAAGUCCUGGCAGACUUCAUCGUCGACUGGACUGGGCCAAUAACGCAGCCAGACAUGUCCGCAAAGGUGUGGACAAUCCAUUGCGACGGCGCAUGGUGCCAUGCGGGAGCAGGCGCCGCUGCAGUCAUUACCUCACCCACAGGGGUCAAGCACAGAUAUGCAGCAUGCCUCAGCUUUGCUUUGGAGUCUGACAGAUGCACCAACAAUAUAGCAGAAUACGAAGCUGUCAUCCUCGGCCUUCGCAAGCUAAGGGCACUUGGUGUCACCACCUGCAUCAUCAGAACAAACUCCAAGGUAGUCGUCGGCCAAGUCGAGAAAGACUACGCAGUGAAGGACCCCGCACUUAUGCAGUACCUCGCGGCUAUCCGCAGUCUCGAGAGGCAAUUCAAAGGUUUCACCUUGCAGCAUGUGGACCGAGCCAAGAAUGAGGAGGCUGACGCAUUGGCCAAGGCAGCCGCCAGAGGCGAGGCCCUGCCCUCCGACGUAUUCUACCAUGUCAUCGGCACGCCAGCCGCCCACAGCCCAGAGGGCCUCCAAAUAACCAAUGACAUCGAGGGCCACCGCAUAGUCAACCUCAUCAUGACCGAAGACUGGCGGGCACCAAUAACCCUGUUCCUGCAGGGGUACUAUCAUCCAACCGAUAUCAACGAAGCCAAGCGCCUCAAACACCGAAGCCGGGACUUCGCACUCGUCGACGGCCAGCUUUACAAGAAGGGGGUCAGCCAACCCAUGCUUAAAUGUGUCACCGAGACCGAAGGCGUCCAAAUCCUAUGCGAAGUCCAUAGCGGGACUUGCGGCUCUCACGCAGGGCCUAGGGCCCUAGCCGCAUAGGUGAACCGACAAGGCUUCUAUUGGCCCGCCAUGAUCUGCGCCGCAAAUCGGAUCACAAGGUCAUGCGAAGCCUGCCAGAAGUUUUCUCCAUGCUCUACAAGCCCUUCGCAAUUCACAAAGCUAAUCGCCCACACGUGGCCCCUUCAGCGCUGGGGCCUGGACAUCGUCGGGCCGCUACCCAUGGCCCAAGGGAAACCUCAAGUUCACCUUCGUCGCCGUCGAGUAUUUUACCAAAUGGAUCGAGGCGAGGGCAGUAUCCACAAUAACAUCGAAGACUGCCCAGAAAUUCUUCUGGCAAAACAUUGUUUGCCGGUUUGGAGUCCCGUCUGAGCUCACAGUUGACAAUGGCCCUGUUUGGCACAGCUUAUUUUUAGCUUCUUCACAAAUUUAAGCAGAGGUUCUGCCAAACAGAUAGCUUCUGCAGCAGCUUAUCAGUUCAGCUGCUUCUCAGAAUACACUAAAAGCAGCCAACAAGCAGAAUCUGCUUUUCACCAGCUUCUUAGAUAAGCUGUUUUUUCAACAAGCACCAGCUGUGCCAAACAAGGCCAAUGGCAAGCAAUUUGACAGCCAAGACUUCAGGGAUUUCUGCUUCUCCAUUGGCACCAAACUUGCCUUCGCCUCAGUGUACCACCCACAAUCCAACGGCGUCGUGGAGCGCGCCAACGGCGAGAUUUUCACAGCGAUCAAGAAAAUGCUCCUCGACGACAAGAAGGGUAAAUGGGCCGACCUGCUACCUGAAGCAGUCUGGGCACUGAACACGACUGAGUGCCAGUCUGUAACCCUGCUUUAUGGGAAUAUUCCGGGGAUGACCUAGGCGCCUGAGGGCACAUGCGUCCUUAACCCACGACGUUGGGUACUUAGGCACCUAUAAAUACCCCCGCACAGUGCCCUUGAGAGGCUAGAUUAACAGAGCAAUUGCCUUCUUGAGCUAAAACCUUGUUUGCAUUACUUUCACUCUCCCGUUGGAUCAUCUUGCUCGGGAGAGCAAGUUCCAACAGUAUCCAUCCACAUAGAAAAAAUAUAACCUGGAGUAUCAGCUAGUAUAAACCUAUAGAAAAGAUGUACUUGCCUAUCUCAAGUCAUGCUAGGAUUGUGACAGAACCGGUGCUAUUAUCUUGAGUCAUGCUCCUAUAGUUUUUGAGAGAAAGAUUUCCUUUCAAAUCAGUGGCGGACUCACCACCCAGGCACCACAGGCGGUGGCCUGGGCUGCUUUGCCUACGGCAAUGGAGAGAAGCAAGCAAGCAUCAUACGCUUAAUCCUACGGCAAUGGAGAGAAGCAAGCAAGCACAAGCAUAGAGGAUAGCAACUUAAUCUUGCCUAGGCUGUCCUCAAAUCCUGGGUCCGCCACUGUUUCAAAUGUCUACUUGUACAAUAAAACAUUUAGUUGAUAAACUGCAAAGGGCAAAGACGAUAUAUGAAUGUAGGUACACGUAGGGUCUUAAAACACAAUCACAAUGGUGUUAUGGCGUCAUAUGAGGCUAAGAGUAACUGUGUAACCUUUGUCGAAGCAGCAGGGUCCCAGGCUGUAGGUACUCCCUGAGUAACAUGAUCAUGCAGUAUAAUUCAUGAUUUUGAUAGUGCAAUGGUAUGUAGUGAAAUAUACCAAACAUCAAAGGCAAGUGACUUGGUGUUAUCCACAUAUUUUUGCCAGUACAUGAAAAAAAAUCAAACAUGCUGGAAGAAAAUUUUCCUGUCAUGACAAUUUAUGAAGAAACAUCACCACUUCAUGACUGAACCUAAAAUCUGUAGAUGGAUCCAAGUUCUGUCAGCCCAUCUCCUUCCAGAGAUCCGAUUACAGAGGAGGAGUUGUCUGCUAGGGUAAGCCAACUUCCAAAGUUCUUUCAGGGCACCCUGUAAUAGAAAAGAAGAUGCUAUUUCUUCUGAAUCACAUUGCCUUCAUCAGUCAUGAAUAUCACGUACCAAAAUUAAUCACAUUUAUCACAUUCUUCCCAAAAAUAAUUUGGUAUUCAUUUGAUAAGAAAAACUAGAUGUCACAAAGGUAAAACUAUCUACAGAAUGAGAACCUGAUGCUUGACAGAGGAGUAGUGAUAUGGCACAAAUAUCCUUGUCUCAACAAUCUUAACCUUUCUUCAUAAAAGUGAAACUGUUAAGUGUCAAAUACCAGAAUGCAGUGUCUUAACAAAGUUGCUCAAUAUAAACAUAAUGUUGGCAACCCAGAAGGAAACCGUGAAUACAGAAAGCUACUCGUGAGAAGGUUAAAAAUAGGUGAAAAUUGUUGGAUUAUAAGCAUGUAUGUCAGCGGGGAGGAAAUCAUUUGAAAAGAAAUUGACACCAGAAUUUUAAAUAAAGGUUCUCAUAAAUUUAGGGACCUGUCCUUGAAACAGAUAAAUCUUGUAUUACCUGUAUUUACUCAUAAGUAUAAUUUGGGCUAUAUAAAGAUGGAAAUAUUUUUUCAUCACCAUGAUCAAUACUUCUUAAGUUCUUCGCUACAGCCAAAAACAUGCAACACAAGGUGUAGAAAAUAAAAAAUAGAACCAAUCAUGAUCUAUAAGCACCGUGAUAACAAAAAAAUGCAAUUCCCUAACCAGACAAUUAGAAUUUACCUCAUAACUCGAUUUCUUGCUCUUAUUUUCCUUUCAAGAAAAUAUAUUGGCAGCAAAAAUUGAACAGUGCUCCCCAUCUUCCCUUCUCUUCAUUCUAAUACUUAAACGUGGGAGAGAAAGGUGGGAGAAGUAAUAUGCAAAAUAGAAGUUGAAUUACAGUUAACUGCUCCAUGGUAUGUCUUCCUGUUUCAUGAUUUCUGCAGCUUUGCCCCUUUUCUAAUGUAACAAAAAAAAGUAAAGAGAGUUUCAAGAUGGUAAAAUCUUAACUGUUAGAAAAAUAAAUCAUCCGCAUAGUUGGAGCAAACAUGAAAAAAUGAGGGGAGGGGAGGAUUUGGCGAGUGUUGAAUUUCGAUUGUGUCGCUAUACAUAAAUUAACUCAACCAAAUUGUCAUCAAGCAUUCUAGGAGGAGGGGAAGACGUUGGAAAAAGAAUGGCGGAAAGUACAUUACCCAAACCAUCCCCUCCACAUGAUCGGCAUCAGAUCUUGAGGUUACCAGCUCCAUAGCGCUUCUUUACGGAAGAGCUUCCAUGGACGAAUCCUCUCUGCUAUGUAUGUCCCUAAUACAGGAUAGCAGUGAUGAUCUUCAUCACUGGCAGUGCAACGAUUCAAUGUCGACCACCUCCUCCUAUUCCUUGUCAUUCGCCAUGUGGCCGCGUCGGCCUGUGCGUGCCGAGGCAGUGGCGUCUGCUCAGGCAUUGGUGGCGUCGCUGCGCCGUCCACGGACACGCGGAGGAGGGUCGGGGCACCAUGAUAGGAGGCACCGCGUGCAGGCAGAGGACGCGAGCGAGAUUGUAUCUCUUGCAGGUGCGAGGAAAGGUGAGGAAUAAGCAAUUCGAGUUGUGCUGGAGACUCCCCUUCCUCCGUCGUCAACGACGUUGCUGGGCCAUCCACGACUGAUGGAUCUUCACCGUCGGCGUCAGCCUCGGCCAGGCUGACGCGGCGGCGGUGGGAGAUAGGGUUCCUUGCAGGGGCGAAGGAUGUGAGGGAGGAAAGAAUAGAUUUUUUUUGUGUUGUCUCAGAAUCAUCUGGAACCUGGCGGUCCAGCGACCCUGCUUAGAUUGUGAGACCAGUUGAUGAGAUCAGACGGGUGAAAAAGGAAAAUAUCGACGUGGAUACCGUCUAGAUUGAGCUUUGCGCCCGCGUUUGUAUAUAAAAAAUAUAUAUAUACUAGUCGGUUGCCCGUGCGUUGCGACGGCUUACAAUAAUACCCACGUAAACUAUCCAUCAAUAAUAUUUCAUGAUUUUUUAUUAAUUGUCUUCGCUCUCUGUAUAAUAUAUUUUUUGAUUUGGCUAACUAAUGUUAUUAUUUACUCUAUGCAAAUAUGUCUUGGUACAACACGGCCAAUGAAGUGAGCGAUUAGAAAAGAGUUCACAACGAUUGACUAAAUGAACAGAGAUUAUAAAAUAACAUAAUUCAAUCAUACAGAGACCAAAUAAGAGAAAGUUUGUGAGAUCAAGUUUAUAAAAUAAGUCCCGUUUAUAAAAUAAGUCCCAUGAAGUCAAACUUAUAAAAAAGAUAGAUCAAAAUAUGGAGUGAUUGCUAAAGUCAGGCAUCAAUAAAAAAUGGAUACGCUCCAUAUAAAUUAUGCUACUUCGUAGCAAUUACUAACGUUUAAAACCAACAAAUAACCUUUCAUUUUGUUGUUAGUGUGACAAAUCAUUGCUGCUUCAUCCAAUUCAGCAACCUCAAACACCAUGUAGUCCAUUGCGCCAAUGUUGUCUCAGAAACGAUCUAAUGCUUGCAAGAGCAAAGAACUUCGUGCCAUGCUUGGGUUGUAGCCUCGGCCCGUAGUGCUGGCCCGGCCCGACACAAUUAUUUUUUUUAUUUUACAAAAAUCAUAUAUACCUAUAUACAAUUUAUAUUCAAUAUUAAAAACAUCUUAGCGUGAUGUUCUACUAGUUAGACAGUUUCACCCAGUGUCUCCCGCCCUUCUUCCAUCAGGGUAUGGGUUCGAACCUCACCUCCUGCACCGUUUUUAACAUUUUAUGUUGUUGCCAUAGUUGUGGCCCGCGUGCAUCUAGCCCGUGUCGGGUGUCGUUACGCUGAUUUAAUUAAAUGGAUCUAUGGGCUAACGGGCUAGCCCGACAUAGUUAGUAGGCUGGCAUGACGUGCAUGUGCCAUAAUUGUGGCUCGCGUGCAUCUAGCCCGUGUCGGGCGUCGUUUGACAUCUAUAGACGUGCAGCAGAUUAAUUUAAAAUAGCUGUGAGGGGUUAUUUGUAAAAAAAAUGACGUAUGACGACCGUUGAAACUGGUGCUUUAAGUAUAGUAUAGAUAGACUAAUAAUAAUAAUACUAUAAUAUAAUAAUAAUAAUAAUAAUAAUAUUGAACAAUUGUUAUGUAAUAGACUCUAUGGAUGUCUCUGACAUCUUGAUGUAAUAAAGUAUCUUUCCGCUAUUUAUUUCGAGCAUUAUGUGAUGAUGUCCAAUUAUGUAAUCGCUGUGUAUGUGAGUUUCUGAUCCUGGUACGUACAUGGUUCGCAUUCGGUUUACCUUCCAAAACCGGGUGUGACACGCGACCGCCCUCUCUCUAGCAGGCGGGCCCUGCUUGUCAGCCCCUUUCCCCCUCGCCCGUGAUCGGCCAUCGACACAUUCGCCGCUGGCCACCGCCCGCCCCGUUUCCUCGCCAUUAACUCGUUUCACCUGCACAAAUUGGCGCCUUGCGUCCCCGCGCACUGUGAUCGAGCCAUCCCACACUCCUCCCCCGAGCUCAAUCGAGCUAGCGCCGCCGCGCCUCCCUCCGCUCCGGUGACUUCUCCCUCCCCUCUCUAGUAGCCUAAAGUUCAAUUAAGUUAGCUCAUGAGCUUCACCACCUCCCCACGAUCACGAGGCACCAUCUUCGCCUCCCCUGUCGCAAUGCGUGACCUCACCGGCGACCUCACCGCCGCGGAAGCCGCCACCCCGCCGUGGGCCGAACGUACCAAGCACUUAUCGGCCAAAUUGGCCCCUCCACCAUGACCUCCUACCUCUACCCAUGCUUCACCACCUCCCCAACCACCCUGAACCGGGUCGCUGGCGGAGAACCAUCGUCAAGCUCCGGCGACCGGUUUUCCCUCCCGGCCGAACCCCCCGUCACCCCCUAACGCCGUUUCUCCCCCCCCCCUCGCUGGCAAUUGGGCCCGCGCCCACGGCACCGUCCCCGCGCCGCUCCCGCUGGUGGGCCAUGUUGGGCCGCCUACCCGCGUGGCCGCGCGCGCCCCCCGGGCUGGGCUGAAAUCCCCCCGGACCCAGCUAACCGAGAAUCCUUUAUCUUUUUCCUUUUCUCCUUUUUCUUUUCCUAUUUUCAUAUAUAUAUAUAUGUAUAUAUAUUGAUAUUUUAUGCACAAAAAAUAAGUCCAAAUAUUUUAUAUGGCACAAAAUAAUAAUAUUUAAAACUUGGCACACAUCACUAAGCCACCAUGGUUGAUGUAAUGUUCAUUGCCUGUUUUUGCUAGGCGAAGAGGGAUUCGAUCCUCCGGAAAUUGUAGCUCUAGAAGAAGGGCAGGAGCCCGACCUUUCGGAGAUAGACCUUUCGUGCCAAGAGAACUUCGACGAAGGCAAGUCCAUUCUUCCCUUGAUGCAUGAAUUACCUAUUCUUUCUACCACUGCCUAAGCCAGGAUUAAGGGUUGGGUCCUUUGCAUUGUGAGUAGAGAGAUAGCCCACAUUAAAGAACAUCUUUUGAGUACAAAAUGUGGGAAAGGGUGGUGUUUCUAAAAAGGAGUAAUGUUUUCAAAAAGUGUAUGAUGAAGGGUAUUCACCCUUAUCACCUUUGAGUGGGAUGAUCAGGGACUCCCUGGUUUAGGGGAGGGCCUUAGGUGUUGGCUCAUCCGGGUUAGGUGUGAGCAGAAGGAUUGUCCCCUCAUAUAAGGACCGAUUUGUCAUCCUUCACUACCUGUACUCACUUUAAAGUACAACCACUCGAGACUGUAUGGGCAGUGUUGGAACUUGCUCUCUGCCGCAAGGGGAUCCAACGGGGGGAGUAGUGACGUAAACAGGGUUCUCGCGUAAGAUGGCAAUAGCUCUGUUAACCUAGCCUCUCACGGGCACUGUGCGGGGGUAUUUAUAGGUAUCUGAGCGCCCUGCGUCCUGUGUUAAGGACGCAUGUGCCCUCAGACACCUAGGUUAUCCCCAGAAUAUUCCCAUAAAGCAGGGUUACAGACUGUAAUUACAGGGAUGCCUUUACAAAUUAGGCCUGUAACAUGCAGCGGCCACGCAGGGCCCGUUACAAUUGGUCGGAUCACACGUGGGCCUCUGCGCUGGACGAGGCCGCACGGUGGGAUGACCUCGUCGCAGGUCUUCGUCUGAUGUCGUAUGGGGCGAGGGGUGUCUUCGCCCGUUGUCUUGUCUCUGUUGGACCGACGACCACGGCGAAGGCUUCGAGCGGAGGGUGACGUCUUCGCCUUCGCCCCAACAUUUGCCCUGCGAGGGACCAGUUCAACUAAGUCAUCUGGUGCCGAAGACGUCGCUAGAUGGUGGAGACGCUGCCCUCGCUCGAAGUGGUUCCGCAGGGGUUUUUGACAUGACCGUUGAUUGACACCGUACUGUUGGACUGCGGGUUUCCCGAAGCGCCGCGCUCUGUGUAUAAAAGGGGGCGGGGGGCGGCGCGUUUUGAACUUCAUCCUUCCGCGCUCCGUGAAAACCCUAGCCGCCUUUUCCACCGUCUUGCUGCUCGUCUGCCCUCCUUGCUCCUGUUCGCCGGAGAUCUGGCGCGAGUGAAGCAAACCGCCCGCCGCCAUCGACGGUACGUAGCGAUGUCGACCUCCUCUUCUUCCGCUGCCGCUACGCCGCCGGCCGACGCGUCGUCUGAGGAAACGCUGAGCACUUUGGCGGCGGAGGAGUUGCGCGCCGGCGAUACGGUGGAUUUUGGUGUGUCGCGGAUGUCGUCGGUCCGCGUGCAAGAUAUGCAGCGGCUGGGUUACUUUGGCAGCGGAGUCGCCCAUGUCCCGGGGACGGAGGAAGUCCCCGCGCCGGAAGGUGAGUUGGUUGUGUUCGAGGCGUUCUUCGCCGCCGGUCUCCGCCUGCCUGCGCACCGAUUUGUUGGAGAAGUCCUGCGCAGAUUUAGCGUUCAGGUCCAUCAGCUGACUCCGAAUGUCGUGGUGGCACUGUCGAAGUAUGUCUGGGCGACGACUUCGUACGGCGGGCAGCCAUCGGUCGAAGUCUUCGCGAAGUACUAUUGCCUGCACUGGCAGAAGAGGAUGAUUGGGGAUGAAGUUGCCUAGUUUGGGUCCUGUACAUUUACGCCGAAGACCGGCAAGACCACGAUGGAGGUAGUGGAGUUGGUUCCCUGCGCCCGCAACAAGUGGGGCAAUUGGCAAGAUUUUUGGUUCUACGUUGCGGAGGGUACCGUCGAAGACCAUCCAGGGCUCCCCGUGUCUGAGAUGUGCUCGCAUUUCUACGCAGCAUACCCGCCCUUUGAAGUGGCGGAGGAGGAUGCGGACGAAGGGGCCCUUCAGUGCGCCGCCGGCCUGAGCAGUGGGCGGGAUUUGGUUGAGGAAUUUAUUGCGUACGGGGUAUGGCCUUUGGCGCAUGGCUGGGCGUUGGGCGAAGUGUGCCCUCGCCGGAUGCCUUCCCAUGGUGGGAAGCUGGUGCGAAGUCCUAUCUUCGCGCUGGAUCUGCAUAGCCGCGAUCCGGCUGCCUUUGUGCGUGAGGCGGAGGAUGGGGCGGUGCGGAUCGUUGGUCGGUACGUGCCGAGGACAGAAGGCCAGCGUAGCUGGGAUAUCCGCGGGUCGAAUGACCGUUUGAACAGGGUUUUUGAAUUGAAUCGACUGUCGUAUGGCGGUUAUCCCGGCCAGGACGAUGUGGAUCGUCGCGGGAAGAAACCGGUGGUAGAGUCUGGAGACGACCCCGCGCCGGCGGCCGCCCCGUCCUCUAAGAAGAGGAAACUAGGUACUGCUAUGGGAGGACUUGGGGUUUCCGAUGGUUUUGCUAGAGAAUUGAUGAGAACAUGCGCGGCCCCGGGGGGAAGGAUGUCUUCGCCCGAGCUCCGGGAGUCUUCGGCGCGGAUGCUGAGGGUUACCGGGGGUUGGUGGCCUAGGAAUGUUCCUAUCCCCCGUGCGGCCGGCGAAGACUCUUUUACAUCUCGCAUGGUCCGUGAGUGGAAAGUGUUUCCUUACGGGCGGAAUAUUGUUGCUGUUGUGUCGGCAGUGAUGGACAAGGAUCGCCAACGAGCUGCACAGAAGCGCUAGGCGGUCGUCAGGCUUCAUGAAGCCAGGCCGAAGAGGCAGCGGGGGGCUGCGAAGGCUACGUCCCCCGGCGGAGGUCAGCCGUCGUUGACGGCGAAGUCGGUCGUCCCUGCAUCCAGCAGGGCGCCGGAGGCUGUGGCUGCCGCCGGUGGUUCCAAGACUGCGAAGGCUGCACCGGCGUCCGGCAGGGUGUCGGAGGCUGUGAAGUCGGCCCGAGGGUUGCCGCCGCCGGGAAAGCGCGUCGCCGACUUCGCCACCGACAUUAGUGUGGACGACUAUCUUGUUGGUAAGACGCUGGCUCGGUUUUUUUUUAAUUUGUUGAUACGUCGCAGGGUCGGACGAAGGCCAACUUGUCGUUGUUCCGCCUGCCACGGCGACCAUGGCGGCUGCCGUAAUGCCAAAGGCAAAGGGUGGUGCUCUUAGUGCUGGCGGCGAGAUGCCGGCACUUGCUGCUGUGAGGGACGAGGCGGGCGCUGUGUCCCGCCGGCUGGAGGAGAUGAAGGAGGCACUAAGUCAUGUACAAUGAGCUAGACUUCGGUUCGGGCUUUUUUUUUGCUUCGUUGGGGCUGUGGUCUUACGUGUGUUUUGCAGGCGGCUGACUUCGCCGGCCGUGCGGCGUCGGGGGCCCUUACGGCCGUUGUGUCUGCCGAAGUCGAGAGACUUCGGACGCAACAUGCCUACGCCGUCCGGGAAAAAUCAGCCGCCGACAGUAAGUGCCGCAAGCUAGCGGACAAGGUGGCCGCGCUGGAGGGGGAGAAGACUGACCUCCGGCGCCAAUUGGUGGAGGAGAGGAGGGAGGCCAAUGAGGCCCUCGCCAAGGCGCAGGCUACACUGGCGGAGGCCAAUUUGGCGCGGGCGGAGGGCAGGCUUGCCAGGGAGCGCGCCGCGCAGUUGGAGGAGCGGCUCAACGCCCUGUAGGGCCGUGUGGAGAGGACCGAGGCCGCGACGCGCACGGAGGCUGAGCGGACGCGCAAACAGCUUAUGGAUUCAUACCAUGAGCUGGGCGCGCGGACCGGUGACUUCGAAGUGCCGGACCGAGAGCCCGGGCUUCGCUGCCUGGAGUGGGUACAGGAGGAGUUUCAGGCACUCCCCACUAUCGUGGAGGGGUUUAUGUCGUAUGCCUCCCUGGUCACCUACGAGGGGGUGAUGAACGCGCUCUCUCGCGAAGGGUGCCGGCACUUUGAGGUCUUCGACCAAGCCGAUGAGGAUUUUGAGCGAGAUAUCUACAAGGUUGAGGACCCUAUAGUGAAGGAGUCCACCGGAGCCAUCUACGACCGGAUGUGGGGCCUGCACGAUCGAGAGGUGGUUAGGGAGCGGGCGGAGACGGCGAGGGCUCAGGUAACGUUUGGCUUUUGUUUGACGUUUGCUGGAUGUGGGCUAUGUGUGAGUUUGCUGAAUUUGUGUGCUGUGUCUUAGGCGGCGCGUGGCGAGAGGGUGGACGAUUUCGGGGCGUUGAACAGCGCGCUGCCUGACCCGGAGUCGAACCCGGUGGAGGCCGUGUCCGAGGUCGCCCUGGAGCCGCCCCCGGAGACUGCCGAAGGCGUUCUUGAUGCCCCCGCAGCCGCUGCGGCCGGCGAAGGCCCACCCCUGGAGACCGCCGAAAACGUUCCUGAUGCCCCCGCAGCCGCUGCAGCCGGCGAAGGCCCACCGCCAACUGCUGUGUCGAGGGUUGAAGAUCCUGCGACGGUGGCGGUGGAGGCGACGGCGGAGGCUCCCACAACGGCUGGGUAAUCGCAGGUGGCGUAAUGGGUGUGGGUAGUUAGGGAAUUUUGGAUAUGUUGCUGAAUCUUGGUUGCUGCGCAGGUUCAAGAUUUUGGGCCUGCGCACGCAACCGCCACUACUAAUUUUUUGGCGGCUUCGACCGUGGAUGAUGUUAAUAAAUCGGAUGGGUCUACAUCUAAGUUUUCUGAUUUUGGUGACUCCGGGAGCUCGGUUGAGUGGACUGAGGAGUCGUCGGAUGAGGAUUUGGACUACUUUGCGGCCUUGGAUGCGGCAGCGGCGGAGGCGUCACCGCGCGCUGCGGAUGCAGAAGAUGUGUCUGGUCCGAGUACUGGGCGUAGGCGGCGAAGGGCGGUUGCGAAGCGUAGAGUGAGUGGGGCGGACAGCGGUCGACUUCGUGUGAGUAGGGCCGGCCGGCAGGAACUGUUGUCCUUGCCGGCCGCCGUGAGUACGGGUGAGGGGGAAUUGCGGAGUCUUUUUGCGGGUGAGGAGCUUAGGAUAAUGUUAUUCAACUAUAGGGAGAUGGGAAUUAUUCCGAAGGCUGAGCCGAUGUAGAGUGUGAUGCCCUCGCUUGUACAUGUGUAAUGGCUUGUAUGAUGAAGUUGUGUGCCCUCGCACAUUUGGUUAUGCUAGCGAAGGCGUUACGCACUUGGUCGGGUGUAAUUGCUAUGCUGGACUGGUGUGCGUGUAGUCGGUCUUUGCGCGGACUGUUGCACGGACAGGUGUAAUUGUUAUCGCGCUAGCCCGGCUGCGCCCGUAGGCGACUUUUGCACGGAUAGUCUCCGCGGUAGACUUCAGUUUUUCGCACUUGUUGUGCUAGUCCGGCUGCACCCUUAGGCGACUUCUGCACGGUAAGUCUUCGCGGUAGACUUCAGUUUUUCGCACUUGUUGUGCUAGUCCGGCUGCACCCUUAGGCGACUUCUGCACGGUAAGUCUUCGCGGUAGACUUCGGUUUUUCGCACUUGUUGUGCCAGUCCGGCUGCACCCUUAGGCGACUUCUGCACGGUAAGUCUUCGCGGUAGACUUCGAUGUUUCGCACUUAUUGUGCUAAUCCGGCUGCACCCUUAGGCGACUUCUGCACGGAGUUGUCGCACGCGAGGGUGGCUAGCGCUGAGCCUCGCGGUGACUUCGUAUUGGUCGAAUGUCGAAGACCGUCGUCGCGGUCUUUUUUCGACGCAUGUUUUUGCGGGGGAUUUUUCACUUGUAUAUUACAUGGCUCCGCCUCGUUAAAAACCUCACCCCCCGGGAGGAAAAGAGUGCGGGCCAGAAUAAGAUUGUUUUUGCGAAUUACAAGGGCGAAUCAGCCCUGAUGAGUCAAACAAAAAAUUUGCGGAGGUUGUCGAUGUUCCAGGAGUGCUCCAGGUCUUCGCUGUUUGGCGUUGUGAGCCUGUAAGCGCUGGGGGAAGCUUUUGUCUUGACUAUGAAGGGGCCCUCCCACCUGGGCUCUAGCUUGCCCCUGGACUCUGUCCGAGCUGUACGGACGAGUACGAGGUCCCCUUCGUUGAAUUCCCUUGGGAUGACUGCAUGGUCGCGCCAUGCUUUUGUCUGGGCUUGGUAUUUGUUUAGAGCUUGUAGGGCGAAGACUCGGUCUCCAUCGAUGAGAUCCUUUGAAGUGGGCUCGUCCGCGUCGGGGACGGCUGAAGGAACUGUUCGCGGGGACCCAUGUUUUAUUUCUUGUGGGGUCAUGGCCUCCGAUCCGUAUAGAAGGCAGAAAGGAGUGAACCCGGUCACCCUGCACUCAGUCGUGUUUAGUGCCUAGACCGCCUCGGGUAACAAGUCGGCCCACCUGCCCUUUUUUCGUCGAGGAGCAUCGUUUUGACAGCUGUGAAGAUUUUUCCAUUGGCGUGUUCCACAACUUCGUUGGACUGCGGGUGAUAGACUGAGGCGAAGGCGAGCUUGGUGCCGAUGGAGAAGCAAAAAUCCUUGAAGUCUUGGCUGUCAAACUACUUGCCGUUGUCGACUGUUAGUUCGGACGGUACUCCGAAGCGGCAAACAAUGUUUUGCCAAAAGAAUUUCUGGGCAGUCUUUGAUGUUAUUGUGGAGACAGCCCUUGCCUCGAUCCAUUUGGUGAAGUACUCGACAGCGACGAAGGCGAACUUAAGGUUCCCCUGAGCCGUGGGUAGGGGCCCGACGAUGUCUAGGCCCCAGCGCUGGAGAGGCCAUGUGUGGGCGAUCAGCUUUGUAAAUUGCGAAGGGCUGCCUGAUCGAGGGGAAAACUUCUGGCAGGCUUCGCAGGACCUUGUGACCCGAUUUGCGGCGCAGAUCAUUGCGGGCCAGUAGAAGCCUUGGCGGAUCACCUUAGCAGCUAGGGCCCUUGGCCCUGUGUGAGAGCCGCAGGUACCACUGUGGACCUCGCGGAGGAUCUGGAUACCUUCGGUUUCGGUGACGCAUUUGAGCAUUGGCUGACUGACCCCCUUCUUGUAGAGUUGGCCCUCAAUCAGUGCGAAGUCCCGGCUUCGAUGUUUGAGACGCUUGGCCUCAUUGAUGUCGGUUGGGUGAUAAUACCCCUGUAGGAACAGAGUUAUUGGUGCCCGCCAGUCUUUGGUCAUGAUAAGGUUGACUAUUCGGUGGCCCUCGCUGUCAUUGGUUAUUUGGAGCCCUUCGGGGCUCCGGACGGCUGGUGUGCCGAUGACGUGGUAGAACACGUCGGAGGGCAGGGACUCGCCUCUGGCGGCAGCCUUGGCCAAUGCGUCGGCCUCUUCAUUCUUGGCGCGGUCCACAUGCUGCAAAGUGAAUCCCUUGAACUGUCUCUCGAGACUUCGGAUGGCCGCGAGGUAUUGCAUGAGUGCGGGGUCCUUUGCUGCAUAGUCUUUCUCGACCUGGCCGGCAACUACCUUGGAGUCUGUUCUAAUGAUGCAGGUGGUGACCCCAAGGGCCCUCAGCUUAAGGAGACCGAGGAUGACUGCUUCGUAUUCUGCUAUGUUAUUUGUGCAUCUGUCGGAUUCUAGAGCGAAGCUGAGGCGAGCCGCAUAUCUGUGCUUGACUCCGGUUGGCGAGGUGAUGACUGCCGCGGCGCCUGCCCCCGCAUGGCACCAUGCGCCGUCGCAGUGGAUCGUCCAAACCUUUUCUGUGGACGGGUCUGGCUGUGUUAUUGGCCCAGUCCAGUCGACGACGAAGUCUGCCAGGACUUGUGACUUGAUGGCUGUCCUAGGCUCGAAAUUGAUGUGGUAGCCGGAGAGUUCGGCCGCCCACUUGGCAAUCCUCACUGAUGCUUCCGGGUUUCUGAACAAUUCGCCGAGUCCCCUGUCUGAGGUGACCCGGACCUUGAAUGCUUUAAAAUAAUGGCGCAAUUUGCGCGAAGACAUAACGACUGCGUAGGCAAUCUUCUCCAGUUCUGUCAUGUUACAUUUGGACGGCGUCAGCACUUCGGAGACGUAAUAAAUUGGGCACUGCCUGAUCACGCCCUCAACUGCCUGCUCCUGCACCAGUGCCGCGCUGACCGCAUGCGGCGAAGCCGCAACAUAGAGCAGCAGAGGUAACGAAGAGUCGGGGCUUGUAAGGACUGCCAACUCCGACAGGUACUGUUUUAAUGAGGCGAAGGCCGCUGCCUGCUCUGGUCCCCAAGCGAAGUCUUUUGCACCACGGAGAGUUUUGAGGAAAGGGAGACUUCGCUCGGCGGACCUGGAGAUGAAUCUGUUGAGGGCGGCCAAUCUCCCCGUCAAGCGCUGGACAUCUCUGGCGGACUGCGGAGGCGUCAUGUUUAUGAUGGCUUGAAUUUUGGUUGGGUUGGCCUCGAUGCCGCGGUGUGAUACCAGGUAGCCCAAUAUUUUGCCUUGGCGAACGCCGAAGAUGCACUUUUCUGGGUUUAGGCGGAGUCGUGCGUCUCGCAUGUUCGCGAAUGUCUCGGCGAGGUCAGUGAGAUGGUCCGCCUUGCUCUUGCUGGCGACGAUGAUGUCGUCCACAUAUGUGAAUAUGUUUCUGCCAACUUGCCCUUCGAGCACUGUCUUGGUAAGCCUGGUGAAGGUGGACCCGGCGUUCUUGAGUCCCUCCGGCAUUCUGAUGAAGCAAUAUGUGCCGAAGGGUGUUAUAAAACUGGUGCUGGCCUUGUCUUCCUCCUUCAUGUAUAUCUGGUGGUAACCGGAGAAGCAGUCGAGGAGUGACAUGACUUCGCAUCCGGCCGCGCUAUCGACUAUUUUGUCGAUCCGCGGCAACGGGAAGUUGUCCUUUGGGCAGGCUUUAUUGAGACUGGUGAAGUCGAUGCACAUUCGCCACUUUCCGCUCUUUUUCUGCACCAUUACAACGUUGGAGAGCCACAUGGGGUAAGCCACCGGCUCGAUGAAUUUGGCUUCCAGGAGGUGGUGUACUUCUGCCUUGGCGGCCUCUGUCUUCUCGUCGGACAUCUUGCGAAGCCGCUGUUUUUUCGGCCUCACCGAGGGGUCGAUUCCCAGGCUGUGCUCAAUUAUGGAUUGGCUGACCCCGACCAGGUCGAGGGCUAACCAGGCGAAGACAUCUUUGUUCUUGGACAGGCAGCAGAGGAGCUUCUCCUCUUCAUGCGAAGUGAGGUCUUCGCUGAUAGUGACUGUCUGCUUGGGCGUGGCCUGAUCGUGGGGGACAGUCUUGGUCCCGUCGUUGCUCUGGAGCUGUGCCUUGUCGUGCUGUUUAUCGGUUGGGCUGGUGGGCGCGGGGACCUCGCGCUGGGCCGUGAGGCAGUGCACGUUUCUUUGACCGGGCACGAAGUCCCGCUCUAUGUUGCGCGCAGUCUGCUGAUUGCCGUAGACCGUAAUAACGCCCAACGGACCUGGUAUCUUCAUGCAUAGGUACAGUCCGUGAAUGGCUGCUUCGAACUUAUUGAUGGAGCCCCGGCCCAUGAUGGCGUUGUACGGAUAUACCAUAUCCACAAUAUCAAAGGUCACUUGCUCACUUCGGGCAUUGGGUGCUACACCGAAGGAGAGAGGCAGCUCUAUUUUGCCGACAGGAAAGGUGCCCUUGCCGCCGAAGCCAUACAACGGGUUGUCCGAAGGCUUGAGCAGGCUGUGGCUUAUGCCCAUGCGAUCGAAGGCGUGAAGGAAGAUGAUGUCCGCUUGACUGCCAUUGUCGACUAGGACUUUGUGCAGGUCCCAACCUGCCACGCUGCAGUUGAUAACCAUGGCGUCGCUGUGGGGGGCGCUGCGCAGGUCGACGUCUCGUGCGUCAAAGGUUAGCGGUAUGUGGGACCACUUUGUCUGCACGACUGGGCCAGUGAUGGCGACGUGGUUGACGCUGCGGUAGUGGUCCCGCUUCUGCCGCUUUAUGUCGAAGUCAGUGCUGGACCCCCCAGUUAUCAUGUGAAUGACUCCGCGAUACGGCUGAUCCGCAAAGUCUUCCUGCUUUAGGGCGUGGGGGAUGUUUUGAUGAUGUUGGUGUGGUGGUGGGGGUGGGGGAGGUACGAUUUGUACUUCCUGAUGGUGUUGGUAAGCGUGGUGCGGUGGAUGCGGGGCGGGGGCGUGGACAUAUGGUGGAGGGGCUUGCUGAUAAGUGUGCGUGACAACUCUGGGGUUGUCGGCUGGCUGCGCCCGUGCCAUCCUUUCUUUGGUGGCCUUCGUUUCUGGGCAGUCUUUGGUUUGGUGGGCGCAGUCUUCGCCAUGGAAGAGGCAGUAGAAUCGGCGCGGCGGCUGCGCACGCCCCCGACCCCUACCGCGAGUUCCAUUUCCGCGGCCCUGGGGGGGAUAUUCCUGGCGACGAGGGGCCUCAGCAGCGGGGUGCUGGUUGGCGAUGUUGUGCACUUGCUGUUGAUUGCGGCCGUCUCGACCGGAGUCUUGCUGUGGAGUCCUCGUCCACGUGCGGCUGGACUGUGGAGCAUCUUUAGGCUUCCUUUGGGACUCAACCUUGCGCUGGUGGAGCUCUUCGGAUUUGGCGUAUUUUUCAAACAACUGAUAUAAUUCCUGGAGGUUCUUGGGCGGAUCUCUGAUGCAGUGGCUAUAGAGGACGCCGGCGCGAAGGCCACUGAUGGCGUAGUGGAUGGCGAUCUGGUCAUCGACUGAUGGCAGCUGUGACUUGAGUGUUAAAAAUUUGCGGUAAUACUCCCGCAGAGUCUCCUUUUCUAGCUGCUUGCAGAGCGAGAGUUCGGCCAAGGCGUCGGUGUCUGGGCGGUACCCUUGGAAGUUGAGCAGGAACUUGUCCCGGAGACUUCUCCAGGAAUCAAUGGACAGCGGAGGCAACCUGGUGAACCAGGUGAGAGCUGGGCCUUCGAGGGCGAUGAUGAAAGACUUGGCCAUUGUGGCGUCGUCCCCUCCGGAAGAUGCAACGGCGACCUGAUAACUCAUUAUGUAUUGCGCUGGGUCGGUGCUGCCGUUGUACUUGGGAUAGGUCCCUGCCCGGAAGUUAGCGGGCCAAGGCAUCACUUGCAGGUGUGGCGCCAGGGGACUUCGCUCGUCGAGGUAGUUGACCCCUUGGAAUGGCGCAGCGUGCGGGAAGGUGUGGUCGCGCUGGGGGAAACGCGGGUCUUCCGGUUGUGCGCGCUGUUGCAGGGGUGGCCCAUGCUGCAGGCCGAGGUGGCCUUCGCGCGUGUCUUCCAGUUGUGCGCGCUACUGUAGGGGUGGCCCGUGCUGCAGGCCAAGAUGGCCUUCACGCUACAUCAGCGCGAUCUCCCGUUCGAGGUCCUGGGCCUUCUGCUCUUCGUCGCGUAUCAUUUGCCGCACCUUGGCUAGUGCGGACACGCGCUGGCGCUUGGCCUUCAGUAUCUCUUUCUGCCUCUGGAGAUUGCGGUUCUUGAGGCGCAGGUAGGACUGGGCACUCGGUUAACCGAAAUUUUUCGGUUCGGUUUUUCGGUUUUUUUUAAAGUUCGGUUUUUGAAAAAUGCCAACCGAAAUUAUCUUUAGAAAAGGAAAAACCGGACCUCCGGUUAACCGUAUAGUUCGGUUCGGUUUUCGGUUUAACCGAAAAAACCGAACUAGGCUGUGCUGUGUUUCAGACUUUCAGUACCCUGUCCGCCGGCUAGCUGGCUGUGUAGUCCGAAAAAAACAAAUAGCUAUGUGCUGCAUAGUACACGCCUACACGGCUUCCGUCCCAGCACUCGGACGACUCCAAGGCCUGAUCGCCUGCUAUUGCUAAUUUGCUAUGCCAGUGCUAUUGCUACUGACCGAUUGCCAGUGCUGCAUGCCUACAUAGAAUAAUACAAGGAAUUCUGAAUUGCUAUUCUGCAUGCCGACGGGAUUGAGCAAGGGUGCCUGCACCUGGGCCCAGGCAGCGUGAGGGGCUGAGAGCCGGAGAAGGCCCAAGACAGCAAGCCGCGUUUCUGAAGACUUGGGCUGAAAUGGGAUUAUAGGCUGAUGGGCUAACAGUUCGGUUUUUCGGUUUAAACCGAACUAAAAACCGAAAACCGAACUAAAUUUCGGUUUCUGAAGAAUGGUAACCGAAAAAUAUAACGGUUUGAUCGGUUCCGGUUUUUUCGGUUUCGGUUCCGGUUUUUUCGGUUUCGGUGUUCGGUUUUCGGUUUUUAUGCCCAGGCCUAGGCGCAGGGCGCGCAGCUGUAGCUGUUCUUCCGCUGAGACGCCGAGGACUUCACCGUCCUCGGUGAGGUCCGCGCCCUCUAGUGGGGCGAAGCCUGUGGGUGGCUGCGAUUGUCCUUCAGGGCCGCAGGUGCGGAGAGUGUCGUCUUCGCAGGUGUGGCGAGUGUCAUCUUCAGUGGUUUCUUGGUGGGUGGAUUGGGUGAGGGCGAGGGCCUUGCCCUUUCUUGCGGCAAGUAGCGUUGCCUUCGCAGCCUCGUCAGCCUUCGAGUUAGCUUUCUUGGGUGCCAUCGCGGGUGGUUUUUUCGUAGCACGAACGGUGGGCGCCAAAUGUUGGAACUUGCUCUCUGCCGCAAGGGGAUCCAAUGGGGGGAGUAGUGACGUAAACAGGGUUCUCGCGUAAGAUGGCAAUAGCUCUGUUAACCUAGCCUCUCACGGGCACUGUGCGGGGGUAUUUAUAGGUAUCUGAACGCCCUGCGUCCUGUGUUAAGGACGCAUGUGCCCUCAGACACCUAGGUUAUCCCCAGAAUAUUCCCAUAAAGCAGGGUUACAGACUGUAAUUACAGGGAUGCCUUUACAAAUUAGGCCCGUAACAUGCAGCGGCCACGCAGGGCCCGUUACAAUGGGUCGGAUCACACGUGGGCCUCUGCGCUGGACGAGGCCGCACGGUGGGAUGACCUCGUCGCAGGUCUUCGUCUGAUGUCGUAUGGGGCGAGGGGUGUCUUCGCCCGUUGUCUUGUCUCUGUUGGACCGACGACCACGACGAAGGCUUCGAGCGGAGGGUGACGUCUUCGCCUUCGCCCCAACAGGCAGUCACUCAUUCUGAACUUGUACCGUCCAAACCCCAGGGUUAUGAUGGCUGGGGAGCACCGGGAAGAUAAGGAGGGGGAAUGUUUUGUCCGGUUUGGGCAUGGCAGUGGCCUGACUCCUUCCGGUAUAACCGUUAAGGUAAGGACGUGCAAGGAAGGAAAGAGAGCCGGAUUCGGGUCUCAUUGGCCAUGAGACCGCAGAGCCAGACUAGUGGGUAAAGUGUACCCCUCUGCGUAGAGUUUGAAACCUAUUCGAAUAGUCUGUGUCCACUGGAAUGGACGAGUCUGGUGUGGUAUGACAAUUAGUGUUUUGAUCUCCAUAAACAUGGAAGUGUGUGUUGGUGUUUUUGGAAAUGAAAAAUAGUGCCACGGGAGCAGGAAGCUCAGUGGUGGUCGAGUGUGAAAAUGUGCUACUUCUCUCUCUGGGGUAAACCAUCAAAGUAUUGUCUUUAUCUAAAAAGAAGAGUGACUUCAGCUCCACCAUAUCAAGCAUGUACUAUAUAGGUCCCUCUCUCUUUACGGGCGGGAUGGGCUUGCGGAAUAUCUAGUGUAUUCACCCAGAUUUAUUUAUGUUUUUCAGCAGCUGAAGACUUCUUUUCUGCUAUGUUCGACUAGAAGGGGGUUGUGUCUGCACCCAGUCUGCCUAUGGCUUGGGCUAGAUGAUCUUCCAUUGUGCUUUGUAUUCCAGGCUCGCUAGAGCUUGUAUUUUGGUAUUGUAAUAACUUUUAUUCGAAUCUAUGUACUAUUUGAAGAAAGGAAUGUGGUUACUAGCCUCCUGGGACUAGUAAUUGUAUCACAUUCGAGUCCCAAAGGAUUGGGACGCUUCAGGUGAUAUCAGAGCCAUAGGACUGGCCGUAGAUCGCAGCCCCAACCUUAAAAGUUUGCCUUAAAAAGAAAAGACCCCUUAACCUCUAAAAGAAUCUUCUCUCCUUUCCCCGAUAUUAACAAACCCUUCUCCUCUUGCUACCAGAUGGAAGGAUCCUUUGUCAUUAGGACAUCCUACUGCUCGGAGGUGGAAGGAUUCCCUCACCUUCUGCGGAGUUGCGCGCUUCGCAUGGGGAUCCGCAAGAAGCCGGAGUACGUCUGGAAAGAAUACCGUGAGAACGGAAUUGAGAAAUGCUCUAUGGCAGUCUACCUGGGAGAAAGCCGAAACUACCCAAAUCACCCUCCCUUCCAAGUCACCGCCACUGGACACCGCUUCCCAGACACAUGCCAGAAUGCUGCCCAAAGAGCCCUCCGCCAGCUAUGCCAAAACUAUAGCAGGGAAGUCUCUGAGACACUCCUUCGCUACUUUACACCCAGCAACAAAAAUACUCCUACCUGGAGGAAAAGACUUCAGGCCUUGUCAGGGAGAGAUCCUAAUGAAGAUGACCCUGCCAUAGUCUACAUGGCCGGAUAUCUCCAUACCCUUGACAACCACUAUGACGACCUUUUCUCCCACUAUACCCACCUAAAUUCCCGGGUGGAAAGCCUAGAGCAACAAAUCAAGGAAUUGAAGGAAGAAAAGGCGUCCCUCCAAGAAAGUCUCGAGAUGGCGGAAGGCAAAGAAGCCAACACCCGUGAAGCAUACCGGACUCUGAAGAUGGACUAUGCUAAGAAGUUAAAGAAGCUCGGCCCCGCUAAGAAGAUCUGGAAGCAGACUAAAAGCCAAGGAUGCCAGACUGACCGAAAAGAGGAAGCCCCACCAACACUGCCUCCCUCAAGGAUAGAAAACUUUUCAGACGUUGAGGAGGUGUCCCUAGCUAGCCUUGACGAUCUUCUCACGGAGUUUGGGGACACCCUAGAAAACGAUCGUGUAGUGUGAUCUAUGGCAACUGUAUGCUUGUAAUGAACUUGAGUGCUGAAUAAAAUAAUGUGUUUGAAAAAAAUAUGGCAUAUGCAUAGUAGUAAUCCUUGCUCUCCUCUGGUAGAAGGGAGUGAGACCCACCUCCCCGCACCUUCGGAGCUGCCAUUAGACUUAGCCCAAGUUCUGGACAACCAAACCCAACUCAUUGAGGUCCUCACAAGAAGCCUCGAGAACCAGCGCCCCAUUGGAGGAAGGCCUCAGGACAGGAUGAGUGAGUUUCUAAGGCUCAAGCCUCCCACAUUUGCCGGAUCCAGCAACCCGCUCGACGCUGAUGACUGGCUGCGCACAGUAAAAAGGAAGUUAGAGGCCAUCGGAUGCCCUAAAAACCAGCGUGUUCAUCUUGCUGCUCAUCAACUUUCCGGGAUGGCCCCAUCCUGGUGGGAUACUUUCAGCGUUGCCGUCAGAGAUGCUACCUGGGCAGAAUUUGAAGCCGCUUUCCAAGAGCAUCAUGUGCCCCUAGGGAUCAUCCAGCUCAAAUUUCAGGAGUUAACCCAAGGAGGGAGAUCUGUCAGUGAAUACGUUCACAAGUUCACAGAAUUGGCUCGCUAUGCGCCGGAUGAUGUCAGCACGGAAGCCAAGAAGAUGUCCCAUUUCUUGAAGGGGCUGAGACCAGAACUCAAGACUAUCCUCGCCAGCCAAGAUUUUCUUAGCUUCUCGCACCUCUAAAACAAGGCCAUACAAGUGGAAAGGGCUAGAGAAGAAGAAAAGGGUCACCUCAAGAGGAAGUUUCAAGUCCUCUGAGCUCAGCAGCAGGACAGGCACCAGAGAGUUCGAUCUUUUGGGUUUCCUCCCAAGGGACCAAGCUUCAACAAGCCAGUAGGGUCCGCUCCAUCACGUUUCAGCCAAUAGGGUCAAAGUUCCCACCAUGCCCCAUCUAUUGCAAGUAACCAACCUCCAGCCAAUGUUUGUUGGCACUGCGGAGACCCCAGUCACUACAAGAAUAAUUGUCCUCAGUUGAAGACAUCCGUGCCUACCUACUCCAACUCGGUGAAUGGCCCCAAGAAUGCUCCAGCACCCAUCUCCAAGGCACCCUCCUCCAACAGCCAGCUAAGCAAGACCCAGUUUCAUGGCAGGGCACGAGUGAACCACGUCGACGCUCAAGAAGCUCAGCAAGCCCCGGGAGUAGUGCUCGGUGAGUUCCUAGUUGAAUUUACCCCUGAUGCUGUACUUUUUGAUUCAGGAGCAUCCCAUUCAUUCAUAGCCACUAGUUUGUGGAAAAGCAUGGCAUUCCCACUGCAUCUCUAUAGAUUCCCUUGGUCACCCGAACCCCAGGGUCAGACCUUCUAUGCCGCCUCAAAUGCUCCCAAGUCAGGAUUCUUUUAAGUGGGGUAGUGUUCUUGGCAGACUUAGCCGUACUACCAUCCCACGGAAUUGAUGUGAUCUUAGGAAUGGAUUGGUUAACCAAGCAUAAUGGUGUCAUAAGUUGCGCAGAUAAGACCAUUCUUCUCACUGACCACCAAGGAAAGUCAUUUUCGUGUAAGGCUCAGCCACCAACUCAAGACCCAAUGAUAUUUAGCCUAGCAACAGAAAGCAUAUAUGUGGUAGAAGAAUUCAUGGAUGUAUUCCCAGAAGAAUUGCUAGGAAUGCCGCUAGAAAGGGAGGUAGAAUUCUACAUUGAUCUAAUCCUAGGCACCGCACCAAUCGCAAAAAGACCGUACCACAUGGCUCCCACAGAAUUGGCAGAACUGAAGCUUCAGAUCGCAGAACUUCAAUAGAAAGGGUACAUUCGUCCCACUUCAUCUCCUUGGGGAGCACCAGUCUUGUUCGUCACCAAGAAGGAUGAAAGCAUGAGAAUGUGCAUUGACUACCGAUCCUUAAAUGAAGUUACAAUCAAAAACAAAUAUCCACUACCUCGGAUUGAUGACCUCUUCGACCAGCUUCAAGGAGCCAAGUACUUCCCCAAGAUUGAUCUAAGGUCAGGAUAUCACCAGCUGAGAAUCAAGGAAGCAGACGUUCAGAAGACGACAUUUGUCACCCGGUACGGACAAUAUGAGUUCACAGUAAUGCCCUUUGGACUAACCAACACACCCGCCUUUUUCAUAAAUCUUAUGAAUAAGGUAUUCAUGGAAGAGUUGGAUAAGUUUGUCGUAGUUUUCAUUGACGACAUCCUUACCUAAUCAAAGAGUCACAAGGAGCAUGAGCAGCACCUCUGGAUUGUCCUCGGAAGACUCAGAGCACAUAAACUCCAUGCUAAGCUCAGCAAAUGCGAAUUCUGGUUAGAAAAGAUAGCCUUCCUCGAGCAUAUCCUAACAGCAGAAGAGAUAGAAGUGGACCCAUCCAAGGUAGAAGCAGUGUCCAAAUGGAAGCAACCAUCCAACGUUAGUGAAGUUCGAAGCUUCUUGGGAAUGGCGGGAUAUUACCGCCGUUUUAUCAAAGGAUUCUCCAGCAUAGCAAGACCUAUGACCGAGCUCCUCAAGAAAGACAAUAGAUUCGUGUGGACCCCAAAGUGUGAGGAAAGUUUCCAAAUCAUAAAGAAGAAACUCACGACCGCACCAGUAUUGACACUACCAGACAUCCACCAGAGUUUCGUCAUCUUCUGUGAUGCUUCAAGGCAAGGUUUGGGAUGUGUGCUUAUGCAAAAUGAGAAAGUCAUCGCCUACGCAUCACACCUACUCAAGCCUCAUGAGCAGAAUUAUCCAACACAUGAUUUGGAACUAGCAGCCAUAGUGCAUGCCCUAAAGAUAUGGAGACAUUACCUGAUUGGGAACAAAUGUUAUGUUUUCACAGAUCACAAGAGCCUAAGGUACAUUUUCACCCAACCAGAUCUGAAUCUCUAUCAGCGAAGGUGGCUGGAAUUGAUUAAUGAUUAUGACAUUGAGAUCCACUACCACCCCGGAAAGGCCAAUGUAGUAGCAUACGCCCUCGGCUGGAAACCUUUCGGGGAGAAAGCAACCAACUUUUUAGAAGACUGUAAGAAAGAAUCACCUCAGCUGAAUGCUUGUUUAAGAGACAGUGGCAGCAUAGAAGUUAAACCGAUGCUAGAAGAUCUCAUACACAAAGCUCAGUGCUUGGAUACCGAAACGGCAAGACUUGCAGAAAAAGCUCGCAAGGAACAACUCUCAGACUUCAGGACAGAUGAAGAAGGGGCCCUUUGGUUCAAAAACCGUCUAUGUGUACCGAAAGGAGAGGCACAAGAAAUCCUACUCGAUGAAGCUCACAACUCAGCCUACUCUAUCCACCCAUGGACCACCAAGAUGUAUCUAGACCUCAAGACCAGAUACUGGUGGAGAGGAAUGAAAAAGGAGACAGCCCAGUAUGUGGCCCGGUGUGAUACUUGUCAGCGAACUAAGGCAGAGCAUCAGAGGCCUGCAGGUCUACUGCAACCUCUCCCAGUGCCCAAAUGGAAGUGGGAAGAAAUAGACAUGGAUUUCGUAAUCAGACUGCCUCGGACCCAAACAGGGAACGAUUCUAUCAGGGUUAUAAUCGACCGUCUUACCAAUGUAGCACACUUCAUUCCAGUAAAAACUACCUUCGAAGGAGCCACCCUUGCCCGGAUAUAUUUCAAAGAAAUAGUCAGACUCCAUGGCAUUCCACGAAAGAUAGUAUCAAACAGGGGAACACAGUUCACCUCAAAAUUCUGGAUGAGUCUUCAGCAAGCUAUGGGCACCAAGCUGGAUUUUAGCACCGCUUACCAUCCCCAAUCAGACGGACAGACAGAAAGAGUCAACAAAGUCCUCGAGGAUUUGUUGAGAGCUUGUGUGUUAACCUUUGACAGGAACUAGGAGUUAGUUUGCCAUAUGCAGAGUUUUCUUAUAACAACAGCUACCAUACCAGUAUCAAGAUGUCACCUUUUGAAGCCUUGUAUGGAAGGAAGUGACAGACCCCUCUGAUGUGGUCCAACGUAGGGAAAAGGACACUGGAGGGGCCUGCUUUCAUUAAGGAGGCAGAAGCGAAAGUUGCCUUGAUCCGCAAAAGACUACUUGAAGCUCAGAGUCGGCAGAAGAGUUACGCAGACAACAGAAGGAGAUAACUCAGUUUCGAGGAAGGAGAUUUCGUCUACCUCAAGGUCUCCCCAAUGCGCGGAGUCAAAAGAUUCCAAGUUAAAGGAAAGCUGGCUCUGCGAUUCGUCGCCCCCUAUCCUAUCAUCGACAGAAUAGGACCCAUAGCCUACCGCCUUCAAUUACCAGAGUCCAUGUCAGAUAUCCACAAUGUGUUUCAUGUGUCUCAGCUCCACAAAUGCUUGAAAGUACCAGAGAGUCACCUCACAGAAAAAACAGUUCAAACUGAGAAAGAUCUGCAGUACCGAGAAAAGCCAGUGAAGAUUCUCGAUUCAGCCAUCCGAAAGACCCGAAACUCAAAAGUAAGGCUCUGUAAGGUUCAGUGGAGAAGAGAAGGAGAAGAGGUGGCUACCUGGGAGAGUGAGGACUCAUUGAGGAGGUAAUACCCUUAACUUUUCUCGAAAUCAAUCUGAAUCUCGAGGGCGAGAUUCUUCUAAGUGGGGUAGGUUUGUAACAUCCCAAUUUUGAUUUCCAAGGUUAGAAACCCUAAACUACUAAACCCCCUUCCUUUUUUAUUAUUUAUCUCUUAAGACCCCAUCUCAUGAAGCAUUAUAUUCAUCAUAUGCAUACACCAUGAUUGCUAGUAGCACUUCACAUAGAAUAUUUCAUUUUGGGCACCUAGGAAAUUUAGAUGAAUAUUUGUUAAAAGUAAAAAGAGACUAAGGGAAAGAAAAGCGAAAAGAAAAAGAAAAAAGAAAAAAAGAAAACCCUUCCUUCUCGGCUGGGCCGAAUCUGGCCCAAGCUCCCCCCUCUCUCCCGCGCGCCCGCGCUCCUCCCUCCCUCGCGGCCCACAUGGCCCAUCUCCCGCGGCGCCGCGCUCUCCCCUGACAGCCCGACCCCACCCGUCAGUCGCACCCGUCCUCUCUACCUUGUGACCGCCCUCUCUCUAGCAGGCGGGCCCCGCUUGUCAGCCCCUUUCCCCCUCGCCCGUGAUCGGCCAUCGACGUGUUCACCGCCGGCCACCGCCUGCCCCGUCUCCUCGCCAUUAACUUGCUCACCUGCACAAAUUGAUACCUUGCGUCCCCGUGCACUAUGAUCGAGCCAUCCCGUCGCCACUGCCUGCCCCGAGCCAUCCCGUCGCCACCACUGCGCGCCAUCAUCGCCGCCGCGGCAUGCCUCGCCAGUGCUCGCCACCUCUCCUCCACCCUCCCUGGCCGCCUAUAGGGCCUGUUUGGUUCAGCUUUUUCUGACCAGCUUUUCUGAAAAUCUGGCUGUGGAAAGAAUCUGGCUGUGGGGAGAAUCUAAGUAUCAUUACGAUUACGUGUGGAGGAAGAUAAAGUUGUUUAUAGGGCUCAGGAUCUAGAAAGUGACGGAUUCCUACUAUUACAACGACUCAACCGAUUAUGUGUUUAUGUUGAUUUUGGAUGGUUUUUGCCCCAAUGAAUUUUAUAGAAGCUGGCUGAAAAGCUGAGCGUUUGGCAGUCCGCAGCAGCUUUUGGUGGCCAGAAGCUGCCAGAAGCCGAAACAAACAUGGCCAUAAAAGGGCCGCUCCGAGCUCCCCCAGCUCCUCACACCAGCCUAGGCCUUCCCACACCCCUCCCCCGAGCUCAAUCGAGCUAGCGCCGCCACACCUCCCUCCGGUCCGGUGAGUUCUGCCUCCCCUCUCUAGUAGCCUAAAGUUCAAUUAAGUUAGCUCAUGAGCUUCACCACCUCCCCAAGAUCACGAGGCACCAUCUUCGCCUCCCCUGUCGCACUGCAUGACCUCACCGGCGACCUCACCGCCGCGGAAGCCGCCACCCCGCCAUGGGCCAGACGUACCAAGCACUUAUCGGCCAAAUUGGCCCCUCCACCAUGACCCCCUACCGCUACCCAUGCUUCACCACCUCCCCAACCACCCUAAACCGGGUCGCCGACGGAGAACCGUCGCCGAGCUCCGGCGACCGGUUUUCCCUCCCGGCCGAACCCCCCGUCACACCCCUAACAUCGUUCCCCCCCUCGCUGGCACGUGGGCUCGCGCCCACGGCGCCGUCCCCGCACCGCUCCCGCUGGCGGGCCAUGUUGGGCCGCUUGCCCGCGUGGCCGCGCGCGCCCCACCUUGGCUGGGCCGAAACCCCCCGACCCAUCUAACCGAGAAUCAUUUAUCUUUUUCCUUUUCUCCAUUUUCUUUUCCUAUUUUCAUAUAUAUGUAUAUAUUAAUAUUUUAUGCACCAAAAAUAGUCCAAAUAUUUUAUAUGGCACAAAAUAAUAAUAUUUAAAACUUGGCAUACAUCACUAAGCCAACAUGGUUGAUGUAAUGUUCAUUGCCUGUUUUUGCUAGGCGAAGAGGGAUCCGAUCCUCCGGAAAUUGUAGCUCCGGAAGAAGGGCAGGAUCCUGACCUUUCGGAGAUAGACCUUUCGUGCCAAGAGAACUUCGAUGAAGGCAAGUCCAUUCUUCCCUUGAUGCAUGAAUUACCUAUUCUUUCUACCACUGCCUAAGCCGGGAUUAAGGGUUGGGUCCUUUGCAUUGUGAGUAGAGAGAUAGCCUGUAUUAAAGAACAUCUUUUGAGUACAAAAUGUGGGAAAGGGUGGUGUUUCUAAAAAGGAGUAAUGUUUUCAAAAAGUGUAUGAUGAAGGGUGUUCACCCUUAUCACCUUUGAGUGGGAUGAUCAGGGACUCCCUGGUUUAGGGGAGGGCCUCAGGUGUUGGCUAAGCCGGGUUAGGUGUGAGCCGAAGGAUUGUCCCCUCAUAUAAGGACCGGUUUGUCAUCCUUCACUACAUGUACUCACUUUAAAGUACAACCACUCAAGACUGUAUGGGCAGUCACUCAUUCUGAACUUGUACGGUCCAAACCCCAGGGUUAUGAUGGCUGGGGAGCACCGGGAGGAUAAGGAGGGGAAAUGUUUUGUCCGGUUUGGGCAUGGCGGUGGCCUGACUCCUUCCGGUAUAACCGUUAAGGUAAGGACGUGCAAGGAAGGAAAGAGAGCCGGAUUCGGGUCUCAUUAGCCAUGAGACCGCAGAGCCGGACUAGUGGGUAAAGUGUACCCCUCUGCGUAGAGUUUGAAACCUAUUCGAAUAGUGCGUGGGUGUUUUUGGAAAUGAAAAACAGUGCCAGGGAGCAGUUAGCUCAGUGGUGGUCGAGUGUGAAAAUGUGCUACUUCUCUCUCUGGGGUAAACCAUCAAAGUAUUGCCUUUCUCUAAAAAGAAGAGUGACUUCAGCUCCACCAUAUCAAGCAUGUACUAUAUAGGUCCCUCUCUCUUUACGAGUGGGAUGGGCUUGCGGAAUACCUAGUGUAUUCACCCAUAUUUAUUUAUGUUUUUCAGCAGCUGAAGACUUCUUUUCCGCUAUGUUCGACUAGAAGGGGGCUGUGUCUGCACCCAGUCUACCUGUGGCUUGGGCUAGAUGAUCUUCCACUGUGCUUUGUAUUCCAGGCUAGCUAGAGCUUGUACUUUGGUAUUGUAAUAACUUUUAUUCGAAUCUCUAUACUAUUUCAAGAAAGGAAUGUGGUUACUAGCCUCCUGGGACUAGUAAUUGUAUCCAAAGGAGCAGGACGCUUCAGGUGUUUGUCUAUUGCAUGUGCACCUCACCAAGUGUUGGACUUUUCUCCUGAUCAACAAAUCUUAUGAACACAUACAAAAGAACUAGAGCUAAGGGUUCUAGAUUGGGUCUUGUCUAGACGAAUAAUUAUUAGAAGAGCUGAAGUUACUUGAUUUAUGGAUUCCAUCUUGGAUGAGAAAUAAACCGAAAUUGACCACUAAAUGUCUAAACUGGGCUUGAGCAACGAGUUUCAUCUUCACAUAUAUCACACUACAGAAAUCCUGAAGAUUCCCGUCGGCCGGCUUAACUCCCGACGGCCAGAGAAAAAGCCGACGGGAGUUAGUUACCUCCCGUCGGCUACCUUCCAGCCAACAGUCCUUAAGUUAACUCCCGUCGGCCCAGACACAGGCUGACGGGAAUAAGUUAACUCCCGUCGGCCCUGACAAAAGCCGAUAGGGAUUAGCUUAUUUCCGUCGGCCUAUGCUCUGGCCGACGGGGAUUACUGGUUUAUGAGCGCCGCGGGGAGCCCGCGCGGGCUCAUUUCUCUCUGUUGUUUCCUCUCAAACCGCCGUCGCCAUUGCCCGCCGCCGCUGCCGCCAUAGCCGCUCGUCCGUCGCCCGUCCACCGCCGGCCGCCGCCCCCCACCGUCCCCGUCACCCCCACCGCCCCCACGACGCCCGCUGCCCCCGUCAGCCCCCACCGCCCACACCGUCGCCGCCCCCGCCCGUCCGCCGCCGGCCGCCGCCUCCCACCGUCCCCGCCGGUCCCCUACCGCCCCCCGCAACGCCCGCUGCCCCCACCGCCCCCACCACCGCCGCCGCCGCCCCAAGGGCCGCCACCGCCCCCAAAUGCCUCCCGGAGCACCGUCGCUGCCCCCGACCGCCUCCCCGAGCGCCGCCGCCACCGCCCCCGACCGCCUAUCCCAAGCGACGACGCCGCCCACGUCGUUGAGGUAUAUACGUCCUUGAACUAUUGAAUGUUAAUGCAUGCGAGUGUGAUUGUUAAAUAUGUGUGUACAUGUUUAUUUUCGUCGGUUUUUUAUGGCCGACGGGAGUUAACUUUCAUGUGAUUAGUGUUAGUUUAAUAACACAUGUGAUUAGAGUUAGUUUAAUAUCACAUGUGUGGCUUGAUGUUAGGUAAGUAUUAAUUCUAUUAUUAUAGUAGAUUUAACUUAUGCUAUUGAAUUGUUAAAUUUGAUGUUAUUUAUUGAUUAGAUUUAACUUAUAAUAUUAGGAUGUAUGAAGGUUUCGAUAUUGAUAAAUUUGAUGUUAUUUAUGUAUAUAUAUAGUUAUUUAUGUAUAUAUAUGGUUUUACUACUUACCUAUAGAUGUAUGUGUGACAUGUAGAAACGUGAUUGUCUCACACACACUCUUUACUCAUACACACAGCCGCAAUAAUGGGUGAUAGACGUGAUUGGAUGUAUGAAGGUUUCAAGAAGGGUGGGUGUCACACAAGUGAAUGGUUUGCCAAGACGUAAAUGUUUCUCGACCAUGCAGCUGCUUUGUCACAAAUAGAUAAUAUUAGGUGUCCAUGCAAUAAAUGUAGAAAUGACGAGCCACACCAAGAGGCAGGUCACACUACACCUGUGCUCAAAUGGUUUCGUGCUAGGCUAUAGGGUCUAGUACCUCCACGGUGAAGAUGUUGAACGAGCAACAGAAGUAGAAGUUCAUGACGGUGAAGAUGAUGUUGUUAGGAUGGACCAAAUGCUUGAGGAUCUGCAGCCUGAACUGGCCCCAGAUCAUCAUGAUUUACCUACACCGGAUGUUCAGAAGUUCUUCGACCUCCUCAAAGCGUCAGAAGAGCCUCUUCACAGGCACACUGACGUGACCGUCCUCGAAUUCGUGACCCGACUGAUGUCAAUCAAGUCCAAGUUUGCAUUCUCAAUUAAUUGUUACAAGGAGCUUGUGGAUUUGAUUAGCGAGGUUCUUCCUACGGGUCACAAGAUGCCCAAAGACAUGUACCAGUCCAAGAAAUUGCUUGAAGGUCUUGGUAUGGAGUAUGAGAAGAUUGAUGUUUGCCAGGACAACUGUAUGCUUUUUUGGAAGGAACAUGGCAGAGAGCAGAAUUGCUUAAAAUGUUGGAAGUCAAGGUACGUGGAGCUUGUAAAUGAAGAUGGGGAGAAGGUGGUGACAAAGGUUGCACAUAAAUAGCUUCGGUACAUGCCUCUCACUCCUAGAGUGAAACGUUUGUUUCUCUCGAGGAAGACCGCUAUGCACAUGAGGUGGCAUAAAGAUUGUACGGACAGACAAGAUGGGUUAAUGGUGCACCCGUCAAAUGGUGAUGCAUGGAAGGCUCUUGACAACUUUGAUCCAGAUUUUGCCAGCGAUGCAAGAAACGUUCAUAUCGGCUUGGCAACUGAUGGUUUCACGUCGUUCAAUAUGACCGCUGCGUCGUAUUCAUGUUGGCCUGUCAUUGCCAUACCGUACAACCUUCCACCUGCUCUUUGCAUGAAAUAUGAGUUUAUGUUCCAAUGUCUUGUUAUACCUGGGCCUAAGCAUCCUGGCGUACGCCUCAAUGUAAUGCUUCAACCACUGAUUGAAGAGUUAAAGAAGCUAUGGCAAGGUGUGGAAGCCUAUGACUGCUUCAAGAAGCAGAAAUUCAAUCUUCGUGUUGUAUAUCUGUUCUCGGUUCAUGAUUUUAUGGCGUAUGGUAUUUUCUCUGGAUGGAGCGUGCAUGGUAGAUUGACGUGUCCUUAUUGUGCUAAAGAUACAGAUUUUUUUCGUCUUAGUGCUGGUGGCAAAAUAUGUUACUUUGAUUGCCAUAGAUGUUUUCUACCCUUCAAUCACCCCUUCAGAAGGCAGAGAAAGGAAUUUAGGAAGGGCACCAUCGUCACGAAGGGACCGCCCAAGCGACGUAGUGAAAGGGAAAUGUGCCCUUGGGCCAUUUCUAUAAUGUUUUGGUGAUUAAGUGUCCAACACAUAGUGAGUGAGAUAUUAUGUGCCAAACAAGCAAAAGAUGCAAAUCAUGUAACAAGGUACGCUUCUAGACUUAGUACAUUAUUUUGAGUACUGACAUAUUUUGUCUAAGUGCUAGAAACAGAGAAAAGAAAAGAACCAAAAGACUUGGCUCGGUGCAGCCAAUUCUCUGCUCAGUCUGGCACACCGGACUAUCCGGUAGUGCACCGGACAGUGUCCGGUGGUGCACUGGACAGUGUCCGGUGGUGCACCGGACAGUGUAUAGUGCGCCAGGCUGGACUCCGACGAACAGACCACUCUCAGGAGAAUUUGGCGGCGUGCGGCUAUAAUUCACUUGACUGUCUGGUGGUGCACCGGACUGUCCGGUGAGCCAACGGUCGCCAGCGCAACGGUCGGUCGUGCAAUCCGCGGGCGACGCGUGGCCCGCGCCAACGGUCGGCAGGGGGCACCGGACUGUCCGGUGUGCACCGGACAGUGUCCAGUGCGCCAACUGCCACGAAUCUGCAACGGUCGUCUGCACCAGAAUAGGAAGCAGAUCGCGCACCGGACAUGAACAGUGGUUGUCCCGUGGUGCACCGGACUGUCCGGUGCGCCACCCGACAGAAGGCAAGAGUUGCCUUCCUUGUUGGCCUCCAACGGCUCUUUGCUGCCUUGGGGCUAUAAAAGGGACCCCUAGGCGCAUGGAGGAGUCACCCAAGCACACUCUAAGCAUUCCAAGACUUCUAGUCCUCACUUUCACGCAUUCGUUCAUCGUUCUUGAGAUUGGAGCACUUUUCGAGUUGCAAACUCCCCGCGCGUGUUUUGUGUGCUCAUAUUCUCACUUGUGUGUGUGUUUACGGUGUGGAUUUAAUUCUAGUGUGUGUUGCUCUUCCCAACCUUACUCCGUGCUUUCUUUGUGAUCAAUCUUGUAAGGGCGAGAGGCUCCAACUUGUGGAGAUUCCUCGCAAACGGGAAGAAAACUAUAAGGAAGAAUACCGUGGUAUUCAAGUUGAUCAUCGGAUCACUUGAAAGGGGUUGAGUGCAACCCUCGUCCAUUGGGACACCACAACGUGGAGGUAGGCAAGUGUUAUACUUGGCCGAACCACGGGAUAAACCAUUGUGUCUCUUAUGUUGUCUUUCUCUGUGAUUAUUGUGAUUCGCAAGAGCUCGCUCUAUAGCCACUUGGUUCUAUUGCACUAACAUCUUUAUAACCAAGCUUGUGGCUAUUUAGUAUUGAAUUUUACAGGAUCACCUAUUCACCCCCCCCUCUAGGUGCUCUCACGUAGUGGGAUAGAAAUUACAUAAGAGCAUAGGAAACUUGUCCUAGACAAGAGUGGGAAAAGGUAUCCGAAGCUUCGUGGGUACAUUUCCGAAGCUGUGUGGAAAACGUUAGCUGAAGUUAGCUAUUUCUACAGACAGUUGUGUGCUAAAGAAAUCAGAAGAGAUGUGAUGGAACAGCUGGAGAAAGAGGCACCGGUGCUUUUGUGCAAAUUGGAAAAAAUAUUUCCACCGGGUUUCUUCAAUCCUAUGCAGCAUCUCUUUAUACAUCUUCCAUAUGAGGCUAAGGUCGGUGGUCCUGUUCAGUACAGGUGGAUGUUUAAUAUAGAAAGAGCAUUAAAGAAGCUUAGAGCAAUGGUGGGCAAUAAGGCAAGAGUUGAAGGAUGUAUUGCGGAACAAUUUAAACUGAAGGAGGUAGCACACUUCACAAGUUGUUACUUUGCAGAAGAACAUAAUGUAUUUGCUCAAAAGAAAAGGUACCAUGAUGAUGAACGAGAGAUGCCUCCGUGUAGUGAUCUUUUGAUUUUUUAGACAAACGGCAAAGCCGUUGGUCCACCCAAGGCAUAUCACCUCACUAUGGAAGAACGGAAGUCUGCUUUACUGUACAUGUUCACGAAUAUGCCUGAGGUGGAGAAAUACUUUGUGUAAGACUUAUUUCCUUAAAUUGUUCAUAUGUGAAUUAGUUUAUGUUAUCAAAUAUCUCAUGUCAUACAAUAAUAUUUGACAGCGAGUUUGAUGAACAAAACAUGAGGUGUCUCGGUAGGCCAACAGCGAGAGAUAGACAAAUUGUGACACGAUGGUAUGCAUGGGCGACCUAAUUUCAUUAUGUGGCUUUGGGACCGUGUAAGUCUUUAUGUGGCUCCGAGAUCUAAUUUUAGUUAACUAAUAUUACAGAAUUUGCUAAUACUUUGUGGCAUUAUUGACAGUUUGGGGAGGAAAUGAAUUUGAAUGAUGACUUACGUCAGUUAUCUAUUGGAAGUGUAACUGCCAAAAGCUAUGGAUGUUACGACGUCAAUGGAUAUCGCUUUCGUUCAAGCAUUUUCGAAUCAAGUCAUCCUAUGGCCGCGACUCAAAAUAGUGGAGUCGUUAUUAGGGCAACUGACAUGGAAGGACACGAAGCCUGCUAUUACGGGAAAAUCAAAAAUAUAAUCGAGAUUACAUUUGCUGGAAACAAGCCUUUAGCGCUAGUUUUCUUUGAGUGUAAAUGGUAUGACCCGAAGUAUUAUAGGACCGAAUUUGGGAUGACACAGAUCCAACCUGAAAAAUUGCUUCAAGGACACGACACGUAUAUCCUUGCCCAUCAAGCAGACCAAGUUUAUUUCUCGACAUAUCCAUGCAAAAAGUUGUCUACAUGGAGGGUUGUGUACAAUGUAAAUCCCCGCGAACGCCUAUACACUCCUGGUGAGGACGAAUAUCAAAUUGGUCACCUUGAGCAGGUUGAUGAGGUGUUUCAAGAAGAAGAGUUGCCAACUAGUUUUCAUAUUGAUCCUGCACCGUCAUUAGAUUCACUAGUUGCAGACGUUAACGACUUAACUUUUCCCGAGAGACGGAGAAGACUACCUGUUAGGAGAAAAGUUACAUGGCGACCUCUGCAUAGAAGAGAACAAAUAGAUCCUGAUUUUGAUGAUAUUUAACAAGUAAAGUUGUUUUGUUAUUUCAUUUGUUUCUAUUUUUUAAGGAUUAUGUCAUUUUUGAUGCACUAUUGAAUAAUUUCUUAUUUUUGAUGCAGGAUGCCGCCAAAGUCAAAGAAGUCAGUGAAGGGGCCGUUCAAGGGCCUAGGCCUUUUUCGGGGCAGUUCUUCGAGCAGCAGCAGACGUCGAGAGCUGUUGAGCGCUGUACAUGGAGAUGAGGUAACAUAUCUUGUAUAAAUAAAUUUGUUUACAUAUUUACCUGUAUGUAAGAGACACCUAAGAUAUCUUGUACAAAUAAAUUUGUUUACAUGUUUACAAAUAAAUCUUGAGUUGUAUGUACCAGGAUGAGCAGCACACUGAGGAGCAGCACAAUGAGGAGGAGGAGCACAAUGAGGAACAACAACACAAUGAGGCUGAGCAGCACAAUGAGUAGGUGGAGCACAAUGAGGAGGUGGAGCACACGACAUGGGACCAGGCCACGCAGCAUCACCAGCCAUGGGACCAAUGGGACCACCAGAGAGAGCAGCAACAGGCUUGGGACUAGUGGGGCCAACAGGCCGAACCGGCUGACAACCCGAUGGAUGAUGGCUCAGGAGGCUCUUCAGCGACACGCACACGUUGCUCAAGAAAUAGCCACUCAGUAAAGCCUCGUCACACGAUAGAGCGAGAGGCUGAUAGGAUCUUAAUCAUGCCACAUGGAGAUCAGUGAGUGUAAUAUAUUAACUUAUCUCAUAUAACUAUUAUGUGUAUUGUUAAUGUUUUUGUGUAAUGCAGGAAUUGGGAGGACCUGUCCUUUGACGGCAAGGGACACCACACUCAGGUUAACCUUACUUUGGUUUCUCUUUGCUGCCUUCACUACCUUGGUAUAGUGAAGGUGUCAAACGGUGAUACCGACGAUGAGGUGCUCGUCAGUACCUAGGACGAGUACAAGUUUAAAAAGGAACGAAACCACACCGAUAAACAUGGACUUGUGCGUAAUGACUUUUGGGUAUGAAUUCUUUAUUGUUUUUGUUAUGUUUCUUAAUAUUGUAAUUCUAUGACUUAUACCAUUGUAUUUGUAUUCUUUAUGUUGUAGCUUCGAUAUCGGUUGCCUGACGGAGAGGAUUACAUGGGGCACGUUGAACGUGUGUUCCAAAACAAUGCAAAGAAGCUGGUGAAGGUUGCCAUAUAUUAUGCGAGAAUUCAGGCUACAAACCUGUAUUUUCAAAAUCAUCCAGAAGAAGCAGGCCCCUUGAAUAAAAAGGAAGGGUCCUCAAAGAUAUAUUUGACUGAGGAUCAAUAUCGUGAGGUUAGUAUUUAAUUUGUUUUACCCUUUUUAUUGAUUGUUGUGAUUGAUAUAAUAUGUAACAUUGUGUGUGCAGGUGAUGGUUCCAUGGAUGGUGCCCGUGUCUGAUGCGUACUAUGCUUGGUGUCGAUAUUGGGCUUCCGAAGGCUUCCAGAAAGCGUUAGCGUAUCACAGGAAAUGUCGAGGAACCAAUCCUAACCACAAGUUUGGUGGUGACGACAUGCUCCGAAAAGCUAAAAGAAUGGUAAGUUUGAUCUAGCUAUGUCGAUCAGCAAAUAGUAUGAUUGCUUAUGAAUGUUUUUUGUUUAUACAAGAAGCUACAAGUGGCCAAAAGCCUAGUGACAUUGAGGUCUACCAGGAGGGCCACAAAGGACUAGACCCUAACAACCCUAACCAGCUCUGCAGCCAGACAACCACGGAUCGGCUGGUGAGUUUUGGCCCAAAAGUACAAACGUUUAAAGUAUAGAAAUUCAUGUAUUUGUAAGGUUGUGAAUGAUGUAUAGGCGGCAUAUGGGGAGGAGAUGGUUCGUCGACAUGGCCCUGACUUCGACUGGCGACAUGAACCGGUGGAUCCCUCAGUGGUGUACGCAAGUGGUGGUGGCAAAGCGCAUGGACGGUAAGCUCUAACUUAUGAAAAUAUAUGGUUGACACUAAAUUGAUUAUGCAGUAAUCACAAUUUUUGAAUCACUUAUAGAUACGCACUCUUCAACGGAUUCAUUGACUCGUCAUCGGUGAGAUCUCAGAGGACGGGUUCAUCUUCUCGUAGCUCAUGCUCUCGUCGACCGAACGAGCAGGAGUUGGAGAUUAUGAGGAUGCGUGAAGAGAUGAGACAACAACGCGAAUUUAUGGAGGCAUGCAAUGCACAUACCCAAGCGAUGUAUCAAGUGAGUAUACAUAAUCCGAACUCUAAAUUAUUAUAUUUCAAUACAACAUCUUCAAUAGUAACACAUAUGUUUAACAAUUAAUGCAGCAACAGAGCAUGACAACAAAUAUUCCACCGCCACCACAAUGGAGCCAGUUUGCAAACACACCAGCUCCGCCACCACAGUUCAACACCCCUCCGACACAUAUACCUGCACCUGGAGAUAGGGUACGUUUGAUAACUCUCGAUUAAUUUAUACACUUGUAUACUUUUUUAUAUUUGUAUUAAAAAUGUUGAUAUUUGCUAACUUGCAUAGGUUACGCCAGAGCGGGUGGUAGUGGGUCUGAUGCCGCAGCAGGGACUGGAUUUGUUGACUCCCUCUUCACGUUCCCUCCUCCUGGUGGCAGCAGCGGUCAAAGCUCUAACCACCCAAGUGGUGGUUAUCUCUAAACACUUGAACUCGUGCACGCUAUGUUUCUUAACUCGUGGACGUUAUGUUUGUGUAAACACUUGAUCUUAACUCAUAUUUGAAAUGUUUGUGUAAACACUUGAUCUUAAGUUUGUGAUGUGUGAAUUGAUUAUCAAUGCAUGUGUUUGUAAUGUGUAUGUUUUAUGUGAUGAUAUAUAUGUUUUGUGUGUAAUUGUGGAGAAAUAGUGACCUAAUUUGGUGCUUUUGUAGCAUUAUGGUUAAUUCCCGACGGCCAGUUAAUUCCCGUCAGCUAUGGUCAAACCGACGGGGAUUAACAAUUAAUUCCCAUCGGCCCAUUUAAUUCCCGUCGGUUGGACCAGGCCGACGGGAGUUAAGGUUUAUCCCCGUCAGCCCACGUGGCCGACGGGAGUUAAGGCUUAUCCCCACCGGCUAGUACUUGGCCGACGGGGAUUUCUUAUUCCCGUCAGCUGCCGACGGGAAUAAGUUUAUCCCCGACACCUGAUGGCCAUCGGCUUGAGGCCGACGGGAGUUAGCCAGUUACCGACGGGAAAUAGUUAUUCCCGUCGGUUUAUAGGUUAUUCCCGUCGGUUUUUAGCCGACGGGAAUUAACUGGAUUCCUGUAGUGUCAUAUAACAUCGUCACAUAUAGCAUAUAACACUAAACAAGACUAAUAUGCCUAAAUUGACAACUAAAUACUCAAUAUUGGCACUAAAUUCAGUUUUUCGGCAGAAAAUGUCGAUUUGUCAGUCUAAAAUAACGGUUUACCGGUCCAAAAACGGUUUACCGACGGUUUUCGGUUUUUAUGAUUUUUUUCAAAAUUUUAAAUUUGGAACAAAUUUUGAAAAAAUGGUGGUUAACCGAAACCGCACCCUCACGGUUUCGGGUUUUGUAAACCAUGGGUUGGAUGGAGCUCACUUUUUCAUUUUAGCUGUUUUUGGGGUUUUUUGCACAACUAUGCCCUUUACAGUUUCAUUUCAAAAAAUGGACCCUUGGCUCGGCGUCGUCAUCAUUGGCGCUGUCAUCAUUCAACAAAUAUGAUGUGCGCUAUCUCGGCGCUAAUGAUGACGGCGCUGAACCAAGGGUCCAUUUUUUAAAAUGAAAUUGCAAAGGGCAUAGUUGUGCAAAAAAAUCACAAGGGCUAAAAUGCAAAAAAGUUGGUGGAUGGAGCUGCCAGCACGACUGUGCUUCGGAUGGGCCAUGAGCCUGUGCUGUGCAGUCUUCGAAUCCGAUCCUUCAUUUACGUUCGGCCCAACUAGCCCAUUAGAGCACGAACGACAUGGAAGCGGCUCGAGCGAUUUGGACCGCUUGAAAUCCAAUUCUGAUUCUCGUCAGCCUAUUGAGAUCUGACAACUACUAGGCUAGAACUUUUCGCAAACAGGCUAGAGUGAUCAGCAACAGCCUGGGCCCUUGGCAUGACCAUCGCCGCAUGCCGUGAUCGUGAAGCAUGCUUAGGGUGUGUUUGGUUGGAGAGUCAACUAGAAUAGAGCGGUUCCAUUCCAGUUUUUGAGAAUGGAGCCGUUCUAUUAUGCGUUUGGUAAAUAGAACAGAACCGUUCCAUUUUUUGUUUGAUUGAAGAGUAAAAUAGAGUGGAGUCGUUCAUUAUUUGUUUGGUUCGAGAGCCGUAUAAGUGUAGAGGAGAGGAGAUGAGGGAGAGCGCUCGCAUCCGUUCGUUUUUGUGGAGCGGGAGCGUUCCAACUACUUAUAGUAAACUAGUACGGUGCCCGUGCGUAGCAACGACAAUAAUUAUGAAAACAAGGCACAUAACUGUCGCUACCCUAUAGCGCCUUUGUCGCCACCCGCUUCUUCUAGGCGCAAAUGCGCUGCACCACCACGGCGUGCAAGCGAGCACGAAGCAGAAAGUGGUCAUUUUUUAGCAUCCAGACAAACAUGGCACCCAAUUCUCUUUAAAACUUUUGCUAAGACUUAACAAUACAUUUUGUUCUGGGGACUAAAUUAUUAUCCAACUAACUUGACCAUAAAUUAGCAACAAUUAUUAUUAUUUAUAUGAAAUUAGCACCAUACUUAUAAUCUACUCCAAUCAUUCUACCGCAGAACAGAAACAGAAAAGGAAGGCAAGAGGACCGAUCGCCACAAUUCACAAAAAGGCAAGUAAAGCAUGAAGACAUUAUACAUGCAAAUCAAAUUAUGCCGACAGAACAAUCCUUCUUACAAGAGAAAGUAGAGAUUCCGUGCAACACCAUGUUAUUUUUCAUUAACACCAAUUAUGAGACAACAAUGUGGUGAUCUCUACGCCCUUACACUUUAGUUCGAUCAUCAACAUUCAAAUCAGAUAUGUCUAAAGCCCCUCUUUUCAACUUAGCAACAAGAACCCACAUGCCUGCUAGAUCAUUCUCCAGAUAUAGUUCCUUCUUUGCCUCAUCAAACUUUUUCUUGUACUCCUCUUCAAGAAACUCCUUCUCUGCCAAAGCAGCCUCCCUGUCAGAUGCUCAUAUUUCAUCUUUUCAAUUUUAGCUUCCAGCCAAAGUACAUCAUCAAAGUUGGUUGGCUUUAAUGUCAACAAGGAAAGCAUAAAACACAAGUAGUUUGCAUAUAGCCAUCUAAUCAACAUGCAUACUAUUUCUAUGAAGUAGAAUUACAGGAAGGAUGCAGCAGAAAAUUUGGUGAAAGGUUAGUAACCAAACCAUGAAUAUUGUACGUUGAAGAAUAUGUACUGCACAAGGGGCUCAAAUACACAAAGUGGAAGAACAUUAUCAGUAAAAGAACCUUGGACUAAAAGUUGUUGCUCAACGCGAAAAACUUUUUCUUGUAAAUCGUUGAUUUCCACAUUCUGCAAUUAGCAUGAUUUUUUAGACCAAACUUUUGCCAUCUUGAAGAAUUUAAAUUGAAAAUAAAAAUAGAGAGAGAGGACCUUCUGUAGUAGCUGCUCCUAGAGGACACGAUUAUCAGCUGACUUUAACUGUCCCAAAAACACAAACAAUUAUUAAAACACUAUUUCAAGAUAUUUGAGUUUCAUGGAAUCAUAGUACAAAUUCAAGAAGAAUAUUACCUCUAACUCAAAAGGCUUCUCACUGCACUGAGUUGUUAGUUUUGUAAUAAUCUGUUUUCACGAAACCAGGCGUGUUAGUAUUGGAGAGAAAAAUUGCAGGAACCACUAAGACAGGCAUCGAUAUCACUAUAUGCUGGACAUAUCACCUGCUGCAUAUCCAUCAUGGAUGCAUUAGCAACUGAUGCCUCACCACUUUUCCAGGGCUCUCAUAUGUCUCCUGACAACCAUUAUUCUUUAAUUCUUUCGUGCUUGCCAUAGCCAACCUUCAUUGCAAGCUGAGCAGGGACUUCUCGGCCUUCCUCAGUUGUCGCACUUUCCCACCUUGUCCAUCAUGUCAUUAGUCACCGACGGAUCAACCCACACCUACAUGCUGACAUAGGUGUGCAGAUCCGGGAAAGCACGCAGCCACAUCGGCACAUGCUCCAUCCUAGUCUCCCUCCCCACCACCGCCUGGCUGGUAGAGGGAUGCGGCUGCAAGCGUUGAACGGGGAACCUUGACAGCAGCUACGCCGUGCUCAGCUUGAAUGAAACUCAUGCAGAGCACCAAGGAUUAUGCAUUAAAAUUUGUAGCUAUCAAACCAAAGGAAAACAUCACCACUGCAGAAAACCCACCACGUUCCAAUAAAGAAUAAAAUACAUCCCCACAUGCCACUAUUAGCUUAAGCCUAAUUAUAUAAAACCACAGCUAGAAAGACAUGCUAUACACAUACUUCCUAUACUCAAGUAGAAACAUUAUAGUUUUGUCCGAAGGAACAAAAAAGAUUGAAGUACUGAACCCACCUUGUUUCUAGGACUGGUCAAAAUAAAGAAGAAAGGCUCUCCAGUCAUGCGCCUUCUCCCUUUACCCAGGUUUAUUGCUGCCAUCAAGUUCAUGUUUCCUUGCAACAGCAGGGUGGAAAGGGCCAUAAACAAAGCCACUUUGUUCACCCUACCCAAGCAGGCUCCGCACAACUAAUUUGCAAUUCAUCAAGACAUCACCAGGUUGUUGUUAUACCAAACAAGUCUCAAUAAGAAACAAUUAAAAACUGAUACAAAGGUAAAAAAGGCUAACCCCUGACAAUGUUUUUAACUUAGGGAUGUUUCAAGAUGACAAUAUUCAUCAUGAUUUUGACUCCCUACUUUUCCUUGUCUCAAGCACCUCGCCUACAGAAUAACGCUCUGAAAUAUGAUCGGAUAAUACUAAUAUAAUUAAGAACUGAACAAUUGCUGCAAGUAGCUCGUGAGUUGUGUAUGGAAUUGCCAUUCUAAUUUUAUGUAAAUGUAUGCUCCAAUAAAACAAACCUUGAACCAAGGAACCAAUGAACUCAGGUGAUGCUUUUCAGUUUCUCAGUGUGCCAGACAACUGUUAUGCAGACAAUCUUUCGAAUUGUUAGUCAGUCGAAUCAGUUUUUCGGACAAGUAUUAUGCAGACAAACUGUCACACGGUUAGCCCAAACGGUUAUGCACACAAUCUGUUCUUCUCAGUUUCGCACACUUAUUCCAUUCACACAAAAGCAUCACCUGAGUUCAUACAAUUCAGUUCAGACACAUAGAAUUCACCAUCAGUUCUGCAGGCGUGAAGUAGCAUAUAUGCAGUGUUUGGUACCAGCUAGCAGAAGCAGGUGUGAAGCAGCAGCAUCUAGCUCAAGCAACAUAUAUGCAGUAGUACUUGGCUUCAGUUGUAGCAACCGGUGUCCAUGGAAGUAUGGGGUAGAGAGAUCUAACAACCUGUUCGGUUAUAAACAAAUAAAUAGAUAGCAUCAGUUAACUCAAAUAGUAGAGAAGUAAUUUACCUGAUGAUUUGAGGCCAUCAUGACAUGCCACACCACAAGUCGAAACUAUAAUAAAAUAAUCUCACUAAUGCAAUCAACUUAAACACGCCUCUAGCAUAUAAAAAUGUAAGAGAUAGAGGCUACUUAAACAACUACUAAUUGAACAAACACUUACAAGUGCCAUCUUGAUGAAAAGCUUAUCUUCGCUCGAUCUCAAAUCUGCACAACAACAACAAAUAAAAUCAGAGACAUCAAACAUGAACAAGAGAACAACAAAAAUCAAGAAAAUCAAAAGAAUUCUCUCGCUAAGAGGUGGGGGUAAGGUCAACAACGAUAAUUACCCCACUUACGAGAGCAAAGAAAUUUGUGCCACGCAUGCAUGCAUAAAUCUUGAGGGAAAUCCUUGACGCAAAUAAAGGAUGCCAUCAGUGGCCGCACAGGAAAGAAUCGAGUUCCAGGGAUCCUCCUCCUGAUGCACAUACAUGAGGAUACCGUUUGAUUGUGAAGACAAACUCCGGACCCAAAUCUACAUAAAAGGAAGACAAAUGUUUUAGGUUCUCUGAAAUUUCACAGCUCAUAGUGACAAAUGCAUCAAAUAUGUUGUUGUGCAAUUUCACCUAGUGGUAUGGAGGCACGGAUAGACUGCAAAUCGAAGGAAGAUAGGGAGAAGACGAUUACCUUGGUGGAGUCCGUCUCAAUUACAAAAAAAGGCUCAUCACUCUCCCAGUCUCCCCCACUCAUCUCUCCUGCCCCGCCAUAACCCAGCGAUGGCCUUGUGCGCUGCCGCGGCCUCCACAACCACCACUUUUGCGUCGAGCCGUCUAUCGGCCUACACGGCUCGGCCACGGGGGCCCUCCUCAAGUCCUUGCUCAUGCAUUUCUUAUAGUCCAGCGCGCGGUCCAUGUGAGGAGGCAUACGGUGCCGGCGGCUGCGGGUGUCAUGCCCCUGGAUGCUUCCAAAGACAAGGAGCGGAUCCUAAGGCGAGGCCGUCGAUGGGGUCGCGCUAGCCUGGACAAUGGCGACGAGCGCCCUGGCGGCGCGCGCGUAUGGCGGGGCUCGUGCCCGCAUGGAGGAAUCGGACGACGAGGGUGCGUGCGAGUCAGGCGAAGAGAGGAAGGGAGGUGAGGCGGAGAAGGGCUCAGCGGCUAUGAAGAGGCGGUCGUCAGGGGCUCUCGCGACGGGAAUCUCGCGGUGCGGGACAUACCCGCAUGCGGGGGCACGACAGGGGCCUAGAAGGUGGGGGAGGAGGGUGGGGGCGGAUCCUCGGCCACCUGGGAUUUGCGCGCGCCAUCGACAUCGUGGGGAGGAGGGUGGGGUGGAUCCUCAGCCACCACCUGGGAUCUACGCGCGCCAUUGACGACGUGGGGAGAAGGGUGGGGCAGAGCAGAUGGGGAGGAGGGCACGAUGGGGUGGAACCUUGGCCACCUUCCAUCGAUGGCGUGGGUAGGAGGGUGUUGAUGGCGGCCUCGGAUGAUGGGGAUCGCGGAGCAGAUGGGUAGGAGAUCCUUGACAACUUCCGUUGAUGGCGGGGUAGGAGAUCCUCGGCACCUUCCAUUGAUGGCGGCGCAGAUGACGGGCGAUGUUGCCUACACGCUUGGGUUCCAGGGCUGGCUGCCUGGCUCUAAUCAAAUGUUAUAUUUCCGGUAGCUAUAGGCCUUCGCUUUAUGACGGGUGGGCCGUGGCAGAACCGUGGGCCAGGCAGUGUUUGAAAUUCCUGCUCGGAUCGACAAUAUAAUAGUCCAUUCAGAAUAAGGGUAAGGAAAAGGAAAUAAGGGAAGGAAAAGAGAGAAACGACGGAGGCCCUGCAUUAUUUAAUAAUUGGCCAAAGCAAGUCAAGUUGCAGAUGGCUUGUAGUUUUUGGGUCAUGCAGUGGAUGAGAAGCCUCCUUUUCUGUCUCGGAAAGCCUCAUUCACAUGGGUGAAAGAGGCCCGGCAAUAUUUCAGGCACAUCACCAAACACGUCGGCCUCACCGAACAGAACAAAACUGGUAAUCCGUUUGGCGGCUCUGAGUGGGUGGGCUCUACCGUCUAUGCGUCCAGACCACUGUUUUAAAUGCUAAGGGUCUGUAACACCCUGGGAUCCAUAAACGCCUUAGAAUGCUACUAAACUACGCAUCUAACAUUCAUAUAUAAAAUUUCGACAGCAUCCCCUUUGAAAAUUGCAUAAACGGGGAAGCAACAAAGUAUAAAUAGAUAUCAUGAUAAGAAAACAUCAUAUACAUUAAUAAUCUGCUAGCAAUGGAAAGACAACCAUAACGGCAUGAACUAAAUCAACCAGUGCGCACAACUAGUUAGAAACAACAUCCUUUGACAAGAAGUUUCUAAUUAAAUCAUGACUGCGCCUAAGCAGCGUUAUUAUGAGAGUCAAGGUGGAUGUGCUGCUACUUCCCACUUCCCUUGAUGAGCAACAAGCACCUGCAUUGAGUAAUGCAAGAGUGAGAUGAAACAUCUCAGCAAGCGAAUUGUUUUGACAAGAUAUUUAAACCACAAAUUGAAUUAAUCAACAUUUUAAAAGAAUCACAAUUAAGAUCAGAAAUACUUGUAGAUAUAGAACUCAGUAGUCUCAAUAUAACCAAUACCAUCUCAUUUCCUUGAACAACCACAAUAGUUUGUAUAACACUUCCCUGCGUCAACAAUACCUGCAAAUAUCACUUCAAUGUAUGUAUAGGAACGCAAAGUGUAGGUACUCUGUCUUCAUACCUCUGAGGGUAUAAAACCACAUCAUCUGCAAAUCACUUCAAUGAAUGCAUAUGAAUGCAAUGCAUAUGUCAUCUGCCUUCAUACCUCUAAGGGUAUGAAGCCGCAUCGUACCCCUCCUCGGGCAACGUAUGAUGCUAAGUUGUACCGGUACGGUCGGACCAUAGGUCACGACAAAACUUCAGAUGCAAAUGAGUCAUGCAAUGUAUAUGGCAUGUUGCAUUUAUCAAUAAACUACACUUCCUUCAGAUACAAUACAAACCUCAAUUAAUACUUCAUCUGCUUUCAGAUACAAUACAAACGUCAAAUAAUACUCCAUCUGCCUUCAGAUACAAUACCAACCUCAAAUAAUGCUUCAUCUGCCUUCAGGGGUGUGAAUUAAUCUCAUGGGUCAUACUCGAACCAUAAUCAUCAUCAAUAUAUGAUAGAACAUCAAUAUAAUACAAUCAAGUAAAACAUCAUCAUAUAGUUCAAUUAUGAAAGUAUGCAAUAAUUCUGAAUAUUAGAGUGUAGACGAUAGAAGUAACAGGUCAAAACGGUAGCAACCACCGCUACAUUCACUUGCCUUCAUCGAAGAAGAAAAAUGUACUGGGCAUGAUCUGGAGUGUAGCCACCAGCUAGUGCGCAUAAAACUUAGUACACAUAUUUCACAAACAUUUGCCAACAAUCAACAAUUCGCUUCUACACUGGAAACCAAGACCUGAUGAAAAGACUCCCACCCUGAACCACAUGCCAUACAGCAGCAGCGCUAUUUGUUAAUUUUGUAUCUUUAAAAUUAUAACAGUGGUGAUAUCAAACAAAUACUCUAGGAUUAUCUACACAAAAUACUCUACAACUUCGGUAUUCAAUGGAUAAUUAAAUUCAGCUAUCUAUAAGUUCUAAAACAUCUGACAAUAUAACUGACUGAAUCUGUUUGAGACAGCAGCAUAGUUAACUUUAAAAUUCGAUAUCUCACAAACUACUCAGCCAAAAAUCAUGAAAUUCUACUGGAAGUAAGAACUUUUAUCCCUCUACAGAAGUCUCCAUAGUUGGAAGAGCCAAUUUGGCCAUUUACCUGAUGAAACCUACCAGUGAACAGAUCCGAUCAUUUUUGUCAGGCAAACAGGAACAACCACAGAAAAACAAACAUAACUGGAGUUUCAUAAUUCAUAUGAAUGCACUCUUUAACAAUAUGGAAAGCUUAUGAAAUUAUCUACAACGUUUCUUACAAACGCAAGGUUUAACUCUAUUGAUAAAAUUGCCUAAAUCUGAAGAGAACAGAUUCUGCACAGAAUUAAGAGACUGAAAAACUGCUAUAAUCAAACUGCAAUAACUCUCUGAUCUGAUGUCCGAUUGAGGUGUUCUUCACGGCCACGAAAAGAUAUACAAAUUAUCUACGACUCAUAUAUAGACUUUUUAUUUUUUUGAGGCCACUAAGACCACGGAAAACUAGCAUGAACAGAAACUAUCGAAUUUGCCAUUCUGCAGAAAACUAAAUUCGAGACCAAAACCUAACCCCACAUCUAAUCCAACCUCUAAUCCUUUAAUUCCCAUAAUCAACAACCUCCAAAAGCACAUAAUUACAGGGAGGAACAAGGAUCUCAUCCAUACCUAGGGUUUCCCCAAGAAAUUCUGCAAGAAGAUAUGGGGAAGAACAUCUCCUUGAUCCUCUCUUCCCCUUCAAUUCAACGUGCUCCUCCUCUUCUCGAUCCUUGCUGCGCGGGGGAGUGAGAGCACCUAGAGGGGGGGUGAAUAGGUGAUCCUGUGAAACUUGAAAACUUAAUGCCACAAAACUUGAUUAGGAGUUAGCACAAUAAUGCCAAGUGGCUAGAGAGGAGUCUUAGCAAAACACAAUAACCACAAAGAGAUCAACACAGAGAUGGCACAGUGGUUUAUCCCGUGGUUCGGCCAAGUACAAAACUUGCCUACUCCACAUUGUGGUGUCCCAACGGACGAGGGUUGCAAUCAACCCCUCUCAAGCGGUCCAAAGGCCCACUUGAAUACCACGGUGUUUUGCUUUGUUUACUAUAUCCCGCUCGCGAGGAAUCUCCACAACUUGGAGCCUCUCGCCCUUACACUUUGAUGUUCACAAAGAAGCACGGAGUAAGGGAGGGAUGAGCAACGCACACGAGACACAAAAUCAUAGCAAAUACGCACACACAAGACCCAGACUUGAGCUCAAAAGAAUAUCACGAGGUUCUCACUAGAACGGAGCUCAAAUCACUAAGAAUGUCGAACAAGUGCGCAAGAAUGAAGUGUGAGUGAUCAACAAUGCUCAAAGGAUGCUUGGUGUACUCCUCCAUGCGCCUAGGGGUCCCUUUUAUAGCCCCAAGGCAACUAGGAGCCGUUGAGAGCAUUCUAGGAAGGCAAUUCUUGCCUUCUGUCGCCUGGCGCACCGGACAGUCUGGUGCACCACCGGACACUGUCCGGUGCGGAUCUCUUUCCUUAUUUGGCGAAGCCGACCGUUGAAGAUUCAGAGCCGUUGGCGCACCGGACACUGUCCGGUGCACACCGGAUAGUCCGGUGCCCCCUUCUAGCCGUUGGCUCGACCACGUGUCCCGCGCAGAUCGCGCGGCCGACUGUUGGCUCACCGGACAGUCCGGUGAUUUAUAGUCGUACCCUGUUAAUCACUUCCCGAGAGCGACGACUUCGCCUGUGAAUGGCUCACCGGACAGUUCGGUGCACCACCGGACAGUCCGGUGAUUUAUACCCGUACACCGCCGUCGAAGUCCCGAGAGCAGCAAGUUCGCCAGAGUCAGCCUGGCGCACCGGACACUGUCCGGUGCACCCAGACUGAGCAGACUUUGGCUGAACGAGCCAAGUCAUCUCCAAAUUCAUUUCUCCUGUUUCCAGCACUUAGACACAAUACAUUAGUUCUCAAAACAAUGUACUAAGUCUAGAAACAUACCUUUAGACUUGAUUUGCACUUUGUCCAUCAAUUGGCAUAGAUUUUCACUUAAGCACUUGUGUUGGCACUCAAUCACCAAAAUACUUAGAAAUGGCCCAAGGGCACAUUUCCCUUUCAAUCUCCCCCUUUUUGGUGAUUUAUGCCAACACAACAAAAAGCAACUAAAAGAAGUGCAACAUCAAUACAAAUGAGAACUCAAAAUUGUUUUGAUUCAAAAUUGGCAUAUAUGGAUCAUUCUUUGCCACCACUUGGUUUUGUUUUUGCAAAUCAACCUCAAUCUCCUAUCUCUAAUUCAAACACAAUUGUAGAGACAUAAAGAGAGUUGUUCCAAGAGAAAUUGAUCAAAGAUUUCAAAAACUCCCCCUUUUUCCCAUAAUCAACCAUUCUCCCCACAAGAGGCCAACUUUUGACAAGAGAGACAAUAAGAGAGUUUUGACAAACCAAAAGCUCUAUUCUACUAUUUUCAAAAUUUCUCAAGUGGUAACUGAUCCAUUUAUUGCUUUGGCCUUAUUUUCUCCUCCUCUGGCAUCAAGCACCAAAACGGGAUCAAUCUUGGCCCUUAAACCUCAUUGCCUCACCAAAAUCUUCACAUAAGAGUACAAAGGCAAUAAGAAGAUGGGGAUGAACUUGGAGUGAGUUACCCUCUCAUCGGAGUGCAGUGGAAGUCUUUCAUGGUCCAAGUCCACCUUUCCCUUUCAAUCCACCUUUGAGACUAAAUCAAGCAAACUCAAGCACACGGUUAAUCUCAAAGGGUCAAGUUGUAGCACAUCUCCCCCUAAAUAUGUGCAUCACUCACACAUGGACUUUUGAGGUCCGAGGAGUGUUUGUACAACUUGAGCACCAUAAACACAUAACAAAAUGCAUAAGGGAACAUGAUCAAAGCAUAAUACACAUGUAUGCUACAAAUCAAUCCAAGUUCCGUGAAUCUAAGACAUUUAGCUCACUACGCAGCCUGCAAAAGGUCUUCUCAUCUAAAGGCUUGGUAAAGAUAUCGGCUAGCUGGUUCUCGUGCUAAUAUAGAACACUUCGAUAUCUCCCUUUUGCUGGUGGUCUCUCAAAAAGUGAUGCCGGAUGUCAAUGUGCUUUGUGCGGCUGUGCUCAACAGGAUUGUCCGCUAUGCGGAUAGCACUCUCAUUAUCACAUAGGAGUGGGACUUUGCUCAGAUUGUAGCCAAAGUCCCGGAGGGUUUGCCUCAUCCAAAGUAGUUGCGCGCAACACUGUCCUGCGGCAACAUACUCGGCCUCAGCGGUGGAUAGGGUAACAGAAGUUUGUUUCUUAGAGCUCCACGACACCAGGGACCUUCCUAAGAAUUGGCACGUCCCUGAUGUACUCUUCCUAUCGACCUUACAUCCAGCAUAAUCGGAGUCUGAAUAUCCAAUUAAGUCAAAGGUAGACCCCUUUGGAUACCAGAUCCCGAAGCAAGGCGUAGCGACUAAAUAUCUAAGAAUUCGCUUCACGGCCACUAAGUGACACACCCUUGGAUCGGAUUGAAAUAUAGCACACAUGCAUACACUAAGCAUAAUAUCCGGUCUACUAGCACAUAAAUAAAGCAAGGAACCUAUCAUGGACCAGUAUGCUUUUUGAUCAACGGACUUACCUCCUUUGUUGAGGUCGAAGUGUCCGUCAGUUCCCAUCGGAGUCUUUGCGGGCUUGGUGUCCUUCAUCCCAAACCGCUUUAGCAAAUCUUGCGUGUACUUCGUUUGGGAGAUGAAGGUGCCAUCCUUGAGUUGCUUCACUUGGAAUCCAAGGAAGUAGUUCAACUCGCCCAUCAUUGACAUCUCAAACUUUUGAGUCAUCACCCUGCUAAACUCUUCACAAGACUUUUGGUUAGUAGAACCAAAUAUUAUGUCAUCGACAUAAAUUUGGCACACAAAUAAGUCACCAUCACAAGUCUUAGUGAAUAAAGUUGGAUCGGCUUUCCCAACCUUGAAAGCAUUAGCAAUUAAAAAGUCUCUAAGGCAUUCAUACCAAGCUCUUGGGGCUUGCUUAAGUCCAUAGAGCGCCUUAGAGAGCUUACAUACGUGGUCGGGGUACCGUUCAUCCUCGAAGCCAGGGGGUUGCUCCACGUACACCUCCUCCUUGAUUGACCCGUUGAGGAAAGCGCUCUUCACAUCCAUUUGGAACAACCUGAAAGAAUGGUGAGUGGCAUAUGCUAGCAAAAUACGAAUGGACUCUAGCCUAGCCACAGGAGCAAAAGUCUCCUCAAAGUCCAAACCUGCGACUUGGGCAUAACCUUUUGCCACAAGUCGAGCCUUGUUCCUUGUCACCACCCCGUGCUCAUCUUGUUUGUUGCGGAACACCCACUUGGUUCCCACAACAUUUUGCUUGGGACGAGGCACCAGUGUCCAAACUUCAUUACGCUUGAAGUUGUUGAGCUAUUCCUGCAUGGCCAACACCCAGUCCGGAUCUAGCAAGGCCUCUUCUACCCUGAAAGGCUCAAUAGAAGAGACAAAGGAGUAAUGCUCACAAAAAUUAACUAAUCUUGAACGAGUAGUUACUCCCUUGCUAAUGUCACCCAAAAUUUGGUCGACGGGAUGAUUCCUUUGAAUCGUCGCACGAACUUGAGUUGGAGGUGCCGGUUGUGCUUCUUCCUCCAUCACAUGAUCAUCUUGUGCUCCCCCUUGAUCACACGCCUCUUCUUGAUGAACCUGUUCAUCGUCUUGAGUUGGGGGAUGCACCAUUGUUGAGGAAGAAGGUUGAUCUUGCUCCUUUUUGUUCCUGUGGCCGCACAUCUCCAAUCGCCAUGGUGCGUAUUGCGGCCGUUGGAACGUCUUCUUCAUCUACAUCAUCAAGAUCAACAACUUGCUCUCUUGGAGAGCCAUUAGUCUCAUCAAAUACAACGUCGCUAGAGACUUCAACCAAACCCGAUGAUUUGUUGAAGACUCUAUACGCCUUUGUAUUUGAGUCAUAACCUAAUAAAAAUCCUUCUACAGCUUUGGGAGCAAACUUAGAAUUUCUACCUCUCUUUAUUAGAAUGUAACAUUUGCUCCCAAAUACACGAAAGUAAGACACAUUGGGUUUGUUACCGGUUAGAAGCUCAUAUGAAGUCUUCUUGAGGAGGCGAUGAAGAUACACCCGGUUGAUGGCGUGGCAAGCCAUGUUCACGGCUUCCGACCAAAAGCACUCGGGAGUCUUGAACUCUCCAAGCAUCGUCCUCGCCAUAUCGAUGAGCGUCCUAUUCUUCCUCUCUACCACACCAUUUUGCUGUGGUGUGUAGGGAGCGGAGAACUCGUUCUUGAUCCCUUCCUCCUCAAGAUACUCCUCCACUUGAAGGUUCUUGAACUCGGACCCGUUGUCGCUCCUUAUCUUCUUCACCUUGAGCUCAAACUCAUUUUGAGCUCUCCUUAGGAAGCGCUUGAGGGUCCCUUGGGUUUCAGAUUUAUCCUGCAAAAAGAAUACCCAAGUGAAGCGGGAAAAAUCAUCAACAAUUACUAAACCAUACUUACUUACCCCUAUGCUUAGGUAAGCGACGGGUCCGAAGAGGUCCAUAUGCAGCAGCUCCAAGGGUCUCGACAUAGUCAUCACGUUCUUGAUGUGAUGAGCACUUCCCACUUGUUUACCUGCUUGACAAGCUGCACAAGGUCUAUCUUUUUCGAAAUGCACAUUAGUUAGACCUAUCACGUGUUCUCCCUUUAGAAGCUUGUGAAGGUUCUUCAUCCCCACAUGUGCUAAACAUCGAUGCCACAGCCAGCCCAUGCAAGUCUUAGCAAUUAAGCAUGCAUCUAGACCGGCCUCCUCUUUUGCAAAAUCAACUAAAUAAAGUUUGUCGUCUAGUACACCCUUAAAAGCUAGUGAACCAUCACACCUUCUAAAGACAGACACAUCUACAUUUGUGAAUAAACAAUUAUAUCCCAUAUUGCAUAAUUGACUAACGGAUAACAAAUUAUAUCCAAGUGACUCAACUAAAAACACAUUAGAAAUAGAGUGCUCGGAUGAAAUAGCAAUCUUCCCUAACCCUUUCACCUUGCCUUGGUUCCCAUCGCCGAAUAUGAUUGAAUCUUGGGAAUCCUUGUUCUUGACGUAGGAGGUGAACAUCUUCUUCUCCCCUGUCAUGUGGUUUGUGCAUCCGCUGUCGAUAAUCCAGCUUGAACCCCCGGAUGCAUAAACCUGCAAGGCAAAUUUAGGCUUGGGUUUUAGGUACCCAACUCUUGUUGGGUCCUACAAGGUUAGUCACAAUGGUCUUAGGGACCCAAAUGCAAGUUUUAUCUCCCUUGCAUCUUGCCCCUAACUUCCUAGCAAUCACCCUCUUAUCCUUUCUACAAAUAGCAAAGGAAGCAUUGCAAGUAUGAAAAAUUGUAGAAGGUUCAUUGUUUACUUUCCUAGGAAUAUGCACAACAUUUCUUCUUGGCAUAGCAUUUUUCCUAGCCAAAUUUCUAUCAUGCAUAAUAGAAGAGCUAGAAGCAAACAUGUCAUGAGAAUCAAAAGCAUCAUAACUUCUAUAGGCAUUCCUAGAAUGUCUCCUAUCAUGAUACAUGAAAGCAUGGUUCUUUUUAGCAUUACUAGUCAUAGGGGCCUUCCCUUUCUCCUUGGCGGAGAUGGAAACCUUAUGGCUUGUUAAGUUCUUGACUUCCCUCUUGAAGCCAAGACCAUCCUUAAUUGAGGGGUGUCUACCAAUUGUGUAGGCAUCCCUUGCAAAUUUUAGCUUAUCAAAUUCACUUUUGCUAGUCUUAAGUUGGGCAUUAAGACUAGCCACUUCAUCAUUCAAUGUAGAAAUUGAAGCUAGGUGUUCACUACAAGCAUCAAUAUUGAAAUCUUUACACCUAUUGCAAAUUGUAACAUGUUCUACACAAGAUGUUGAUUUAUUAGCUAUUUCUAACUUAGCACACAAAUCAUCAUUUAUGCUCUUUAAGCUAGAAAUAGAGUCAUGGCAUGUAGACAAUUCACAAGAAAGCAUUUCAUCCCUUUUAAUUUCUAAAGCAAGGGAUUUUUGUGCCUCUACAAACUUAUCAUGUUCUUCAUACAAAAGAUCCUCUUGCUUCUCUAAUAAUCUAUUCUUAUCAUUCAAGGCAUCAAUCAACUCAUUAAUCUUAUCAACCUUAGUUCUAUCUAAGCCCUUGAAUAAACAUGAAUAGUCUAUUUCAUCAUCGCUAGAUUCUUCAUCACUUGAGGAAGCGUAAGUACUAGUAUUACGAGUGCUUACCUUAUUUUCCCUUGCCAUGAGGCAAGUGUGAUGCUCGUUGGGGAAGAGGGAUGACUUGUUGAAGGCGGUGGCGGCGAGUCCUUCGUUGUCGGAGUCGGACGACGAACAAUCCGAGUCCCACUCCUUGCCAAGGUGUGCCUCGCCCUUAGCCUUCUUGUACGCCUUUUUCUUUUCCCUCUUGUUCCCUUGUUCCUGGUCACUAUCAUUAUCGGGACAAUUAGCGAUAAAAUGACCAAUCUUACCACAUUUGAAGCAUGAGCGCUUCCCCUUCGUCUUGUUCUUGUUGGGAUGCCCCUUGCGACCCUUUAGCGCCGUCUUGAAGCGCUUGAUGAUGAGGGCCAUCUCUUCAUCGUUAAGCUCGGCCGCCUCAACUUGCGCCACCUUGCUAGGUAGCGCCUCCUUGCUCCUUGUUGCCUUGAGACCAAUAGUUUGAGGGUCUUGGAUUGGACCAUUCAAUGCAUCGUCGACGUAUCUUGCCUCCUUGAUCAUCAUCCGCCCGCUUACAAACUUUCUAAGUAUCUCCUCGGGCGUCAUCUUGGUGUACCUAGGAUUUUCAUGAAUAUUGUUCACAAGAUGUGGAUCAAGGACGGUAAAAGACCUUAGCAUUAGGCGGACGACAUCGUGGUCCAUCCAUCGCGUGCUUCCAUAGCUCCUUAUUUUGUUGAUGAGGGUCUUGAGCCGGUUGUACGUUUGGGUUGGCUCCUCGCCCCUGAUCAUUGCGAAUCUUCCAAGUUCGCCCACCACCAACUCCAUCUUGGUGAGCAUGGUGACGUCGUUCCCCUCAUGAGAGAUCUUGAGGGUGUCCCAAAUCUGCUUGGUGUUAUCCAAGCCGCUCACCUUAUGGUAUUUGUCCCUGCACAAUGAAGCUAGAAGAACAGUAGUAGCUUGUGCAUUUUUGUGAAUUUGCUCAUUAAUGAACAUGGGACUAUUAGUACUAUCAAAUUUCAUUCCACUCUCUACUAUCUCCCAAAUGCUUGGAUGGAGAGAGAACAAGUGACUACGCAUUUUGUGACUCCAAAAUUCAUAGUCCUCCCCAUCAAAGUGUGGAGGUUUGCCAAGAGGAAUGGAGAGCAAAUGUGCAUUUGAACUAUGCGGAAUACGAGAAUAAUCAAAAGAGAAGUUUGAAUUAACCGUCUUCCUUUUCUCGUAGUCGUUGUCGUCGUUGUCCUUUUGGGAAGAAGAUGACUCGUCGCUGUCGUCGUAGUAGACGAUCUCCUUGAUGCGCCUCGUCUUCUUCUUCUUCCCAUCUUUUCAUUUGUGGCCCGAGCCCGAGUCGGUAGGCUUGUCAUCUUUCGGCUCGUUGACGAAGGACUCCUUCUCCUUAUCAUUGAUCACAAUCCCCUUCCCUUAGGAUCCAUCUCUUCGGGCGAUAAGUCCCUUUCUUGAAGAGAACGACUCCGAUACCAAUUGAGAGCACCUAGAGGGGGGUGAAUAGGUGAUCCUGUGAAACUUGAAAACUUAAUGCCACAAAACUUGAUUAGGAGUUUGCACAAUAAUGCCAAGUGGCUAGAGAGGAGUCUUAGCAAAACACAAUAACCACAAAGAGAUCAACACAGAGAUGGCACAGUGGUUUAUCCCGUGGUUCGGCCAAGUACAAAACUUGCCUACUCCACGUUGUGGCGUCCCAACGGACGAGGGUUGCAAUCAACCCCUCUCAAGCGGUCCAAAGACCCACUUGAAUACCACGGUUUUGCUUUGUUUACUAUAUCCCGCUCGCGAGGAAUCUCCACAACUUGGAGCCUCUCGCCCUUACACUUUGAUGUUCACAAAGAAGCACGGAGUAAGGGAGGGAUGAGCAACGCACACGAGACACAAAAUCACAGCAAAUACGCACACACAAGACCCAGACUUGAGCUCAAAAGAAUAUCAUGAGGUUCUCACUAGAACGGAGCUCAAAUCACUAAGAAUGUCGAACAAGUGCGCAAGAAUGAAGUGUGAGUGAUCAACAAUGCUCAAAGGAUGCUUGGUGUACUCCUCCAUGCGCCUAGGGGUCCCUUUUAUAGCCCCAAGGCAGCUAGGAGCCGUUGAGAGCAUUCCAAGAAGGCAAUUCUUGCCUUCUGUCGCCUGGCGCACCGGACACUGUCCGGUGCGGAUCUCUUUCCUUAUUUGGCGAAGCCGACCGUUGAAGAUUCAGAGCCGUUGGCGCAUCGGACACUGUCCGGUGCACACCGGACAGUCCGGUGCCCCCUUCUAGCCGUUGGCUCGGCCACGUGUCCCGCGCGGAUCGCGCGCCCGACCGUUGGCCCGGCCGACUGUUGGCUCACCGGACAGUCCGGUGCACCACUGGACAGUCCGGUGAUUUAUAGCCGUACGCCAUUAAUCACUUCCCGAGAGCGACGACUUCGCCUGUGAAUGGCUCACCGGACAGUCCGGUGAUUUAUACCCGUACACCGCCGUCGAAGUCCCAAGAGCAGCAAGUUCGCCAGAAUCAGCCUGGCGCACCGGACACUGUCCGGUGCACCCAGACUGAGCAGACUUUGGCUGAACGAGCCAAGUCAUCUCCAAAUUGAUUUCUCCUGUUUCCAGCACUUAGACACAAUACAUUAGUUCUCAAAACAAUGUACUAAGUCUAGAAACAUACCUUUAGACUUGAUUUGCACUUUGUCCAUCAAUUGGCAUGGAUUUUCACUUAAGCACUUGUGUUGGCACUCAAUCAACAAAAUACUUAGAAAUGGCCCAAGGGCACAUUUCCCUUUCAGGGAGAUCUAGAGGGAGGAGGAAGCCGUGGAGAGAGGCUGCCAUGGGAGGAGAGGACGGCCAUCCCAAGGGGAAAGGAGGGAGGGGCGGCCAAGUGUGGGAGGGGGGAAGGGGUGGCGGCCAAGUAGGGGCAAAAGGGGGAAAAUGCCACCACUAGGGUUUUCUUUGCGGGAGAAAAGAAGCGACGCCACAGAUGACUCCGACUUAGCAUCCAACGGCCCAAAACCCUUUUCCCACAUCCACGCACUGAAGAUCAACCUUUGGCAACAUUUUUUUGGGAUAUUACACUCUACCCCCCUUAAAAAGAAUUCAUCCUCGAAUUCGUCCACUCCAAACAAAACAUCCAAGGUAGCCCAUAUGGCACCACCAUUCCAAAACAUGGGUCCAUUAUUGGUCUUAAUUAACACAAGAACUUCUACCUUGGACUAAAUGUCUAAGGAAACUACACCACCUGACAUCAAGCAUGAACCAACAUGUAAUGAAGCUCAAACCAAAUCAUAGAUGCAAUCAACACUACGAUUUCACAACAUCGAAUUUGGAUGCAGCCAUACAUCCGCAUCAAUGUCUUAAAACGACACUCUUUUAUGAAGGGGUAAUAUGCACUAAGCACAACCUUUACCAACUUCAACAAUUCAUUUUAAUUUAAUGGUGAAACAUCCACACCAGAUGAAUGUAUAAGAAGAUCAAACACCUCACCUCAUAGCACCACGAAACAAGUAGUUCUAUUGAAACAAAACUCCUAAUCUUCCUAAACCUUGUUCUUGCCAUAAUGAAAAGAUAAUCAUGUAAUCUAACAUUCUUUGCACCCCACCGAAAGGGAGAAAAUCUACAAACUAAUGGAGCAAUAAAACCGACAAGAAGCCAAUAACAUUCUGCGUGGCACAGUUCAUCGAAGAAAUGCCAAAAACUCCACAUAGAGCACUGACAGCCCAACGACAACACAAUACUUGCUUAACCCAUGUCACUAUACUUCAUCCAACAACUCAACUAAGAAAAAUAUCCAAACUAGUAAGGUUAACCUACACAUAAUAUAAGUCUUCAUCUACUGUAGUUCAGAAACUUACAUUUCAUUCUAUCAUAUGAUGCACUCAGAGUACCAGACAUAAAGGGUCAAUACUAACCCCGUAAUCCUUCACACAUUUGGCAAACAUCCCAAGCUGAUGUAAAAACCACAUCAUUUAGGAAUAGGUGACUAACCACACACAACCAACUCUAGGCUAGGAAAUGACUUCAUUCAAACCAAUAGAUAAGUGGUCCGACAAUGGCUCCACUAACAUGUAUCGGGAAGAGAACCAUCAAAUCCUCAACGUAUUAAUACAUAAUCAAUGGAUCAAGAAAAAUCAAAGAUUUAUUCUACAAUUAGCAUGACUAACAUGCAACCACUUUAAAACCACAUCUAGGCUUUGUGGCUACUAAAACACACGAUAGAAGAGAGACAUGUAAGCCAUUCUGGCUAUGUAAAGACUUCCCCAAAAAUCCAUAUAAAAGUACCAAUAUUCAUUUCUUUCAGAACUGGUUUCUCAACAUAAACAAUCAUUCUUUGCAAAGAUAGUUGGAGCUAUCCACCAACCGCUCAACAACUUAAAUUCAAAUUGAUGAUUACCUUGUACCCCAAAACACGCAAUUCACACUCCUCUUAGAAACAUCCUCAAUCAAGCAUAUAUAAUAAUAUUAUUGUAAUAAAACUCAACCAUGAAAAACAUGGUGAAAACAACAUAGGCAUACUUGUAUAUCACAAGCAUAAUAACAACUUCAUUCUCACAAAUGGCCAGCGAUAUCUACCGCAUUAAUAAAACAAUAUCAAAAUUUCAGAAAUAAAUUAUAUCAAGCAUUAAGCCAUAAACAACUUACCACAUCACCGUAAAGGAAUAGGGAGGGGUGAGGUUAUUGUCAUCUGCACUUCAAAGACACUAACAUAUAUCAAAGAUAUUUAAACCCAUACCCUUCCUAUAUGUGUGAUUGUGUCAAAUUUAUCUUCAAAUUGCCAAGAAUCUAAAGCCUAUGCUUUGAUACCAACUGUAACACCCCAGGAUCCACAAACACCUUAGAAUGCUACUAAACUACGCAUCUAACAUUCAUAUAUAAAAUUUCGACAGCAUCCCCUUUGAAAAUUGCAUAAAUGGGGAAGCAACAAAGUAUAAAUAGAUAUCAUGAUAAGAAAACAUAAUAGACAUUAAUAAUCUGCUAGCAAUGGAAAGACAACCAUAACGGCAUGAACUAAAUCAACCAGUGCGCACAACUAGUUAGAAACAACAUCCUUUGACAAGAAGUUUCUAAUUAAAUCAUGACUGCGCCUAAGCAGCGUUAUUAUGAGAGUCAAGGUGGAUGUGCUGCUACUUCCCACUUUCCUUGAUGAGCAACAAGCACCUGCAUUGAGUAAUGCAAGAGUGAGAUGAAACAUCUCAGCAAGCGAAUUGUUUUGACAAGAUAUUUAAACCACAAAUUGAAUUAAUCAACAUUUUAAAAGAAUCACAAUUAAGAUCAGAAAUACUUGUAGAUAUAGAACUCGGUAGUCUCAAUAUAACCAAUACCAUCUCAUUUCCUUGAACAACCACAAUAGUUUGUAUAACACUUCCCUGCGUCAACAAUACCUGCAAAUAUCACUUCAAUGUAUGCAUAGGAACGCAAAGUGUAGGUACUCUGUCUUCAUACCUCUGAGGGUACAAAACCACAUCAUCUGCAAAUCACUUCAAUGAAUGCAUAUGAAUGCAAUGCAUAUGUCAUCUGCCUUCAUACCUCUAAGGGUAUGAAGCCGCAUCGUACCCCUCCUCGGGCAACGUAUGAUGCUAAGUUGUACCGGUACGGUCGGACCAUAGGUCACGACAAAACUUCAGAUGCAAAUGAGUCAUGCAAUGUAUAUGGCAUGUUGCAUUUAUCAAUAAACUACACUUCCUUCAGAUACAAUACAAACCUCAAUUAAUACUUCAUCUGCUUUCAGAUACAAUACAAACCUCAAAUAAUACUUCAUCUGCCUUCAGAUACAAUACCAACCUCAAAUAAUGCUUCAUCUGCCUUCAGGGGUGUGAAUUAAUCUCAUGGGUCAUACUCGAACCAUAAUCAUCAAUAUAUGAUAGAACAUCAAUAUAAUACAAUCAAGUAAAACAUCAUCAUAUAGUUCAAUUAUGAAAGAAUCCAAUAAUUCUGAAUAUUAGAGUGUAGACGAUAGAAGUAACAGGUCAAAACGGUAGCAACCACCGCUACAUUCACUUGCCUUCAUCGAAAAAGAAAAAUGUACUGGGCAUGAUCUGGAGUGUAGCCACCUGCUAGCGCGCAUAAAACUUAAUACACAUAUUUCACAAACAUUUGCCAACAAUCAACAAUUCGCUCCUACACUGGAAACCAAGACCUGGUGGAAAGACUCCCACCCUGAACCACAUGCCAUACAGCAGCAGCGCUGUUUGUUAAUUUUGUAUCUUUAAAAUUAUAACAGUAGUCACUACCGGAAUUUGGCUCUUUGCCGAGUGCCAUAUUCUUUGCCGAGUGUUUUAUUUCGGGCACUCGGCAAAGAGCUCUUUGCCGAGUGCCACACAAAAAACCCUCGGUAAAAGAAAACACUCGGCGAAGAAGCUCUUUGCCGAGUGUUUUAUUUUUGACACUCGGCAAAGAGUUUCUUUGCCGAGUGUAUUUUUUUGACACUCGGCAAAGGGCUCUUUGCCGAGUGUCACAAAUACAACACUCGGCAAAGAGCUCUUUGCCGAGUGUUUUUUCUCCAACACUAGGCAAAGACAAUUUAAAAAUCACAUUUUAAAGUAGUAAAUUAAUUCAAAUGAAAAAGUUUUCAACUACAAAUUUGUAUAACUCAUCAUGAUGUACAAUUUAUAUAUUGAACAUUUCUUCAUAUGACAAAAUAAAAAUAAAUUUGUUCAUAAAACCUAUAUCUCUCUCGUAGUUUAUGAAACUACGAGAGAGACGUAUAGAAUUUGUGCAUAUUGUUAGAACCAUCAUCUGAGAUAAACAAAUUACCAAACAACCAAAAUAAACUUUGUAGAUCUUGAGAAGUUAUAGAAGUUUAUAGUUGACAACUUUUUCAUUUGAAGUCAUAUUGUCAACGAAAACUACGUCUGAAUUUAAAAAAUUUAAAAUUUGAAUUUUGAAAACGACUUCGAAAGGAAAAACCACCAACAUGAAAGUUGUAGGUAUUGAAGAGUUAUGAAACUUUGUAGUUAACAAUGUUUUAGUUUGAAAUCAUCUUGUUAUGCAAAACUAUGUUUGAAUUUUGAAAUUUGAAUUUUUCAAACCGUCUCGGAUGGAAAAACCACCAAAAUAAAAGUUGUAGGUCUUGAAAUGUAAUGAAACUUUGUAGUUGACAAUUUUUUUAUUUGAAAUCAUCUUAUCAUUGAAAAUUUCGUGUGAAGUUUUUAAAUUUAAAAUUCAAAUUUUAUAAACGGUCUCGGAUGUAGAAACUAUUAAAAUAAAACUUUUAGAUCUCAAAAAGUUAUGCAACUUUAUAGUUGGUCACAUUUUCAAAUGAACUCAUUUAGUGCCUUAAAUAAUCAAAUUACUCUCGAUUUGUUAUAGUACAUGGGGAAUGGAAACGUAAUAUAAACAUAAUUGGUGUAGUAGUGUAGUGGUAUAGGAGGGUAUGCGCGAGAGAGAGGUUGCGAGUUCGAAUCUCACCAUUUACAAAACAUAUAAGUUUGAUUCAAAAUAAUAGUGAAAAUGAUAGGGCAACGGGUAAGGUAAUAGGGUAGGGUUGGAGAGUUGUUUUUAGAAUUUAAAAAAUGUUUUGUUGUUUUUUUUUAAUUUUUUCGAUUUUUAAUUUGCCGAGUGUUUUUCUUUGCCGAGUGCUUUUUAACACUCGGCAAAGUCUUUGCCGAGUGUCCGAAAAAAAGCACUCGGCAAAGAACUCUUUGCCGAUGAAAUCUUUGCCGAGUGUUCUUUGCCGAGUGUAACACUCGGCAAAGCCUUUGCCGAGUGUAAAAUAGUCUUUGCCGAGUGUCUUAGACACUCGGCAAAGAAUGCGAUUCCGGUAGUGAGUGAUAUCAAACAAAUAUUCUAGGAGUAUCUACACAAAAUACUCUACAACUUCGGUAUUCAAUGGAUAAUUAAAUUCAGCUAUCUAUAAGUUCUAAAACAUCUGACAAGAUAACUGACUGAAUCUGUUUCAGACAGCAGCAUAGUUAACUUCAAAAUUCGAUAUCUCACAAACUACUCAGCCAAAAAUCAUGAAAUUCUACUGGAAGUAAGAACUUUUAUCCCUCUACAGAAGUCUUCAUAGUUGUAAGAGCCAAUUUGGCCAUUUACCUGACGAAACCUACCAGUGAACAGAUCCGAUCAUUUUUUGUCAGGCAAACAGGAACAUCCACAGUAAAACAAACAUAACUGGAGUUUCAUAAUUCAUAUGAAUGCACUCUUUAACAAUCUGGAAAGCUUAUGAAAUUAUCUACAACGUUUCUUACAAACCCAAGGUUUAAUUCUGUUGAUAAAAUUGCCUAAAUAUGAAGAGAACAGAUUCUGCACAGAAUUAAGAGACUGAAAAACUGCUAUAAUCAAACUGCAAUAACUCUCUGAUUUGAUGUUCGAUUGAGGUGUUCUUCACGGCCACAAAAAGAUCUACAAAUUAUCUACGACUCAUAUAUAGACUUUCUAUUUUUUUGAGGCCACUAAGACCACGGAAAACUGGCAUGAACAGAAACUGUCGAAUUUUCCAUUCUGCAGAAAACUAAAUUCGAGAUCAAAACCUAACCCCACAUCUAAUCCAACCUCUAAUCCUUUAAUUCCCAUGAUCCACAACCUCCAAAAGCACAUAAUUACAGGAAGGAACAAGGAUCUCAUCUAUACCUAGGGUUUCCCCAAGAAAUUCUGCAAGAAGAGAUGGGGAAGAACAUCUCCUUGAUCCUCUCUUCCCCUUCAAUUCAACGUGCUCCUCCUCUUCUCGAUCCUUGUUGUGCGGGGGAGAUCUAGAGGGAGGAGGAAGACCUGGAGAGGGGCUGCCAUGGGAGGAGAGGACGGCUAGCCCAAGGGGAAAGGAGGGAGGGGCGGCCAAGUGUGGGAGGGGGGGAAGGGGUGGUGGCCAAGUAGGGGCAAAAGGGGGAAAAGGCCACCACUAGGGUUUUCUUUGCGGGAGAAAAGAAGCGACGCCACAGAUGACUCCGACUUAGCAUCCAACGGCCCACAACCCUUUUCCCACAUUCACGCACCGAAGAUCAACCUUUGGCAACAUUUUUUUGGGAUAUUACAGGGUCUUAGCGUCGAGCUUUUAGAUAAGCUAUAAAGUCUAUAGUCGGCUAUAGCUGCAAGCUAAUCUAUUUAGCGGGUUUAAAAAAUAUGAUAUAACUUUAUAGAUAAAUUAAAUGUUCAAUAUUUGAACCUGACAAUUCAAACUAUUAGUUCCAAUGUUCAAUAAUAAAUCAACAUACAUGCAAAUUCAACGUUCAACGACACAUGUAAAAGGCAUUUAACCACUACCUACAAACAUUAAGUUAAAGGGUCUGUCUAUAGUUUGUUUUAAUUUUGGGCUUUAAUGUUUCAAAGGUUCGAAUAGUAAAAAAUAUUGCAUGUUUAGCAGCUAAAUCGAGCUAAUGUUGCGUAUUUAGCGGGCUAAAUAAGGCUAUUAGCGGCUAAUUUUAAUUAGCGCUGAAUGGUGCUUCUCUUAGCUCCAGACCUCCUGAAAGGCUAUAGCUGGCUAUUUAAAACCUUAGUCCAGACCCCCUCUUGCAGGUUGUUGAGUGGGAGAAUGAGGCUAUCCGCGUGUACUCUAAAUUUCCCCCAUAUAUUCUACUCUGCAACCACGUCACCAAAAUUACUUUUCCUAUGUUUACUCUUCCCGUAGCGGUUCACUCUAAAUACUCUCACUAUACCCCACUACCUCUAUAAAAUAUCAUUUCGCAUACAUUUUUAUCAUCUAUACCAUUUUUACACAACUAAUAAAUAUUGCCGAGCACUGAAAUCUAGAUAAGGGGACUGCAUAGCGCUCCCCUAGAUCUGGUGAAGUACUGUGUCGUCCCCUUGCCAUGUAGCUUCCGUAGAGUGAACCGGUGCGAGAAGUAGCGUUGGUCUUCACACGCUAUAAGGGGGGGGGCGCUAGCGGGCCCGUUGCAGGUAGCCUGAAGCCUAGAGGAAAGUGAUGAGAAUCUCUCUGUCAGACAAGAAUCAAUCAAAUUGUUGAACUUCAUGCAGACAAUGUCCUCUAUAUUCAUCCUUUAUAUCCAUCCUUUACAGUUUCCUAUAAAAGAUUCUCUCAUCUAUAUCUUUUUCCUCUCCAACUACGUUCUCUAUAUCCCGUCUUCUAUACGUAUAUAUACCUAUAUCAGUGACAUAUUUUAUUUUAAACUUUUAUACAUAUGUAUUUGUCGAACUCUCAAAUAUAUUGUACAUUUUUUUGUUUUAUUAGAUCUAUUGUUUAAAGUAUUAAAAUGAAGAGAGGAAAGGAGAGAGAAAUUAUAUACAUAGAGGAUCCAACAACGUCCUUUAAAUUUAGAGGGUUGUUUAGAGGACGCUGCUAGACACGUAGAGGACGGGAAUCUUCUCCGAAAAUUUAAGGUACAUGAUCAUUUAAAGGACCUGUUGAAGAUAGUCUAAGCGGGAUUUGAAUUGGAUGUGUUGAAGUUUUUGACGACUCUGUGCAUGUUCCUAUUAGGGUAUAACUAUUCUGUUGAAGUUCUCUGCGCAUGUUCCUAUUAGGCCAUUACUAUUAUGCUAUGAGUGUUAAGACCUCACAGGUGUUUUACUGAAACGUAAUGACCAGAGGGAAAAGUUGGUAGUUAGGGUUGUAAACGAGCCAAGCUGGUUCGACUCGGUGGCGGAUCAAAUUUGACUUGGCUCGGCUCGUCCAUUCCAACUUUUUUGCUUUUUGGUCCUUUUUGCGAAAGAUUUUCACAACGACACCCUUCUAGGUUUGAAUUCAGAAAAUAGACCCUUAACUUGGCGCAAUCAUUAUUGGCGCCGAGGUUACACGUCUUGACGCCAAUAUAAAUGGCGCCGAAGUACCUGCUCACCGUGCAGAUGUGGCGCUUACAUGGCCAGAGCUCGGCGCCAUGAGCAUUGGCGCCGACCUCGUUUUUAUGCCAACACAACGACCGACAUGCAUACAAGCAAUAAAAAGGAUCAAGCAAGGCUCCACAUUUUUCGGUGUGCCAAGACCCUGUUACUGUACAGGUCGUUCUUUAUGGUGUAGCUGCAGUACUCACCCGGCGCCUACGCCUCCUUUUUCCUUGUUUGGUCACGCACUGCCUAUCCAAUCCGGCCAACUAGCUACCCAGUACCAGUACAACUGUACUGUACACAUGUAUGCAUGCUCUGCUUGCAGCCCCAAUGGUGGCAUAUGCUGAUAUGCGUGCAAGCAUAUGCAUCUAUAGGCUAUGGCGGGCUCGAAUUAUAAAGGUUCAGUAGAUUGUGUAAAAUAGAUAAUUUGUAUUGUUAAUAAUAAUGUUUGUAAAGUGGAGUUUGAAAUAGGGAAUAAGAUAAGAUAGAUGCGGGAGAUACUCUAAAAAUAUAAUUCUAAUUGAAGUCACUAAGUCAAUUAAACUAAGGUUUGGCUAUAAUUAUGUAAACAAUAUUAAUGUUUAAUGGUUAGCUACACGUACGUUGUUAUGGUUUAUAUAUAUCAUAUAUGUAGAUCUUACUUCAAUGUAAUAUAUGUAUUCAAACAUUAUUGUUUUUUAUUUUGUCAAUUAUUCGUGUAUACAUAUUUUAGAGUAACGCUACAGAUGUCAGAUCGAGCUUCAUCCUUGCAUUAGGAGGUGCAGUAGACCUUGCCGGAGCGAGAAGUUUCCCAUCCUCAUCAUAACCGCACCUCACGUCAGAUCACUCUGAACAAUUUGCAGCAGGAGUCGCCAUUGAAAAUGGACGAGCAGUACAGGAGUAAAUAGUAAAAUAAAAAAUAAAAAAAUGAAGCUAGAGUCGUGGCAAAGUUGCCAUACCAGCAGGAGGCAGCUCGGUCAUAUGAGUAAAUAAAUGGGGGUCGACGCCAAUGCUCACGGCGUCAUCCCCCGACACGUAAGCGCCAUCUCAGCGAUGGAAACGAGAUUGACGCUAUUUAUAUUGGCGUCGUGACGUGUAACCUCGGCGCCAAUAAUGAUGGCACCAAGGUAAGGUCCAUUUUCUGAAUUCAAACCAGGGCCAAAAAAGGAUUCGCAAAAAGGACCAAAAAGCAAAAAAAACGUUGGUCGUCUAUUGCACGAGCUCAAGAAUGAGGCUUGGGUCGGCUCGAAGUGGUCUCGACUCGCGAGUCGCACCCUCGUAAAUAUUAUAUAUUAUAAAAUAAAUUAAAAUAUAUAAUUGUGAAAUAUAAAAUCAUCAUUUAAUAUUAUGAGUAAUUUAAAUUAUGAAUUGUUAUAUAUUUAUCAUAAAAAGAUAAAAACGAGUCUAUUAUCUAUUGAACUGUAUAAUUGUCGGGGACCAUAAUUAGCGGUACCCUCAAGGCUCCUAAUUCUCAGCUGGUAACCCCCAUCAGCAUAAAGCUGCAAAGGCCUGAUGGGUGCGAUUAAGUCAGGGAUCAGUCCAUUCGAGGGACUCGAUCACGCCUCGCCCGAGCCUAGCCUCGGACAAGGACAGCCGACCCCGGAGGAUCUCCGCCUCGCCCGAGGCCCCCCUCCAGCGCGAACAUAUUUUUGGCUCGCCCGAGGCCCUGUCUUCGUGUAACACCUAAUUUGUAAGAAAUAAUAUAAAAGGAGAAAAGUUAUUUCCUUUAUAUAUAUGUGUGUUAUCUCUACUUAUCAUUUCAUGUGUACACCUCACUUACACAAAUAAAUAAUCAACAAGAAGGACACUCAACUAAAUCAUGCAUCAUGCCGUGAUUUUAUUUUGUGUGCAUUCUAUGACAAUAUAAAAGUAAGAAAUAUAUUAAUACCAAAAUUUGGGAAUUUCACCCUAGUUUGCAAAUUAGAGGUUAGAGAAGAGAAGGAAAAUGUUAUACAAAAAAAUAAUAAUAAAGAAAUAGAUAUAGAAAUAAUUGGACCUUUCAUAUUAUUAGGUUCAAUGUGUACAUUUAAAAUGAGUAUAAUCUUACAAUUUGAAUUGAAUUCAAAUUUGAAUUCAAAAAAAACAAAAACAAAAAGGAAAGUAAAUUCAGAAAAAGGAAAAUAAAAAAAAGGUGAAAAACGCGCAUGGGCCCAAACCACCUCUUUAGCCCACUUCUUCCUCUCGCCCCGCGUGGCCCAACUUCAAUUAUCGGCGCCGACAGCAAUGGCCCGCAUGUCAGUCCGUCCUACCGGAGCACUGCGCCGACACCUGGGAGCCACCUUGUCAGCCUCUUCCCAUUCUUUCAUCUCGCAGGCGCUUUUCUGUGUCACUGCCGCACGAGCCUACCCUGUCGGUCACCCCUUGGCGCACCCACUUCGCCCAUCGCUGAACUCGCGGACCCACUGCGCAGCGCCGCGUUCUCGGUCUGGGUGUGACUUCCACCUGGGACCCACUAGUCAUCUUGGUCACCGUGGCGAUAACCGACGGAGCGAGUCGUGCGGCGGACCUCGCUCUUCUCCUGCGCUAGCUGGGGCACUCCACGAUCCCGCGUCUCAAGGUGAUAAAAGUGAAUCCACCUUCCAUGACCCCUCUCUCCCUCUUCCGUUUCUUUCAUCAGCGAUGCCGAGCUGAAAGGGAAUUAGGCUUACACCUAGUUCCUAAAUAAUUUUGGUAGUUGAAUUGCCCAACACAAAUAUUGGACUAACUAGUUUGCUCUAGUGUAUAAGUUAUACAGGUGUCAAAGGUUCACAACAAGCCAAUUAAAAAGACCAAAGUUGGGUUCAAAAUAGAGAGCUAAAGGCAUCCAGGAAGCCUCCCUGGUCUGGCGCACCGGACUGUCCGGUGGCGCACCGGACAGUGUCCGGUGCACCAGGGGGACCCGCGUUGAACUCCUCAGCCUCGGGAUUUUUCAGGAGCCAGCGCGCUAUAAUUCACCGGACUGUCCGGUGUACACCGGACAGUGUCCGGUGCUCCAACGAAGACGCCGCUCCAGAACUCGCCAGCCUCGGGAUUUCACGAAGGCUGCUCCGCUAUAAUUCACCGGACAUGUCUGGUGUGCACCGGACUGUCCGGUGCAUCCUCGGAGCAACGGCUACUUCGGCGCCAACGGCUACCUGCUGUGCAUUUAAUGCGCGCGCAGCGCGCGCAGAAGGCAGGCGCGCCCAUACCGGCGCACCGGACAGUGAACAGUUCAUGUCCGGUGCGCCACCGGACAUCGAGGCGGGCCCAGAAGUCAGAACUCCAACGGUCAGAUUCCAACGGCACUGAUGACGUGGCUGGGGCACCGGACAUGUCCGGUGUGCACCGGACUGUCCGGUGCGCCAUCGAACAGACAGCCCCACCAACGGUCAAGUUUGGUGGUUGGGGCUAUAAAUACCCCAACCACCCCACCAUUCAUUGCAUCCAAGUUUUCCGCUUUCCAACUACUUACAAGAGCUAGCAUUCAUUGCAAAGCACACCAAAAAGAGAUCAAAUCCUCUCCCAACUCCACACAAAGCCCUAGUGACUAGAGAGAGUGAUUUGUAGUGUUCAUUUGAGCUCUUGCGCUUGGAUCGCUUCUUUUUCUUUCUUGAUUCUUUCAUUGCGAUCAAACUCACUUGUAAUUGAGACAAGAGACACCAAACUUGUGGUGGUCCUUGUGGGAACUUUGUGUUCCAAGUGAUUGAGAAGAGAAAGCUCACUCGGUCCGAGGGACCGUUUGAGAGAGGGAAGGGUUGAAAGAGACCCGGCCUUUGUGGCCUCCUCAACGGGGAGUAGGUUUGCGAGAACCGAACCUCGGUAAAACAAAUCCGUGUGUCACAUUCUUCAUUUGCUUGCGAUUUGUUUUUGCACCCUCUCUCGCGGACUCUAUUAAUCUAACGCUAACCCGACUUGUAGUUGUGAUUAUUUUUGAAAAUUUCAGUUUCGCCCUAUUCACCCCCCCCCCCCCUCUAGGCGACUUUCAAUUGGUAUCAGAGCCCGGUGCUUCAUUAGAGCCUAACCGCUCGAAGUGAUGUCGGGAGAUCACGCCAAGAAGGAGAUGGAGACCGGCGAAAAGCCCACUACAAGCCACGGGAGCACUUCAUCGGAAGAGUCCCGCACCAAGAGGAAGGAGAAGAAGAAGAGCUCCUCCAACAAAGGGAAGGAGAAGAAAUCUUCUUCUCACCACAAAGAGAAGAAGGAGAGAUCUUCCUCUCACAAGCCUCAUCGGAGUGGGGACAAGCACAAGAGAAUGAGGAAAUUGGUCUACUACGAGACCGACACUUCAUCAACAUCGACCUCCGGCUCCGAUGCGCCCUCCGUAACUUCUAAACGCCAAGAGCGUAAGAAGUUUAGUAAGAUCCCCUUACACUAUCCCCGUACAUCUAGACAUACUCCAUUACUUUCCGUUCCAUUAGGCAAACCGCCAACCUUUGACGGUGAAGAUUAUGCUAGGUGGAGUGAUUUAAUGAAAUUUCAUCUAACCUCACUCCACAAAAGUAUAUGGAAUGUUGUUGAGUUUGGAGCACAGGUACCAUCCGUAGGGGAUAAGGAUUAUGAUGAGGACGAGGUGGCCCAAAUCGAGCACUUCAACUCCCAAGCCACAACCAUACUCUUGGCCUCUCUAAAUAGAGAGGAAUACAACAAGGUGCAAGGGUUGAAAAAUGCAAAGGAAAUUUGGGACCUCCUCAAGACCGCGCACGAGGGUGAUGAACUAACAAAGAUCACCAAGCGGGAAACGAUCGAGGGGGAGCUCGGUCGCUUUCGACUUCGCCAAGGGGAAGAGCCACAAGACAUGUACAACCGGCUCAAGACUUUGGUGAACCAAGUGCGCAACCUCGGGAGCAAGAAGUGGGAUGACCACGAGGUGGUUAAGGUUAUUCUUAGAUCACUCAUUUUCCUUAACCCCACUCAAGUUCAAUUAAUUCGUGGAAAUCCUAGAUAUACUCAAAUGACCCCCGAGGAAGUUAUCGGGAAUUUUGUGAGCUUUGAAUGUAUGAUCAAGGGCUCCAAGAAGAUCAACGAGCUUGAUGAACCCUCCACGUCCGAAGCACAACCGGUGGCAUUUAAGGCGACGGAGGAGAAGAAGGAGGAGUCUACACCGAGUAGACAACCAAUUGACGCCUCCAAGCUCGACAAUGAGGAGAUGGCUUUAAUCAUCAAAAGCUUUCGCCAAAUCCUCAAGCAAUGGAAGGGGAAGGAUUUCAAAUCCCGUUCCAAGAAGGUUUGCUACAAGUGUGGUAAGCCCGGUCACUUUAUCGCUAAAUGUUCAUUAUCAAGUGACAGUGACAGGGAUAACGACAAGAAGGGAAAGAGGAAAGAAAAGAAGAGGUACCACAAGAAGAGGGGCAUCGAUGCCCACGUGUGCCGCGAGUGGGACUCCGACGAGAGCUCCACCGACUCCUCCUCCGACGAGGACGCCGCCAACAUCGCCGUCACCAAGGGACUCCUCUUCCCCAACGUCGGCCACAAGUGCCUCAUGGCAAAAGACGGCAAAAGGAAGAAGGUAAAAUCAAGAUCCUCCACUAAAUAUGAAACCUCUAGUGAUGAGGAUGAUGCUAGCAAUGAGGAGGAUAACUUGCGCGUUAUUUUUGCCAACCUUAACAUGGAACAAAAGGAAAAACUAAAUGAGCUAAUUAGUGCCAUCCAUGAAAAGGAUGACCUCUUGGACUCCCAAGAGGACUUCCUAAUCAAGGAAAAUAAAAAGCAUGUUAAGGUUAAAAAUGCUUAUGCUCUAGAGGUAGAAAAAUGUAACAAAUUAUCUAGUGAGCUAAGCACAUGCCAUGACACAAUUGACAACCUUAGAAAUGAAAAUGCUAGAUUAAUUGCUAAGAUUGAUUCUCAUGUUUGUGAUACUUCAAUUCCCGAUCUUAGAAAUGAUAAUGAUGAUUUGCUUGCUAAGAUUAAGGAAUUGAAUGAUUCUCUUGCUAGCAUUAGAGUAGAAAAUGAAAAUUUGAUUGCUAAGGCUAAAGAUUUUGAUGUUUGCAAUACUAUUAUUUCCGACCUUAGAACUAAGAAUGAUAUGUUGCAUGCUAAGGUUGUAGAAUUAAAAUCUUGCAAACCCUCUACAUCUACCGUUGAGCACACUUCUAUUUGCACUAGAUGUAGAGAUGUUGAUAUCAAUGCUAUUCAUGAUCACAUGGCUUUAAUUAAACAACAAAAUGAUCAUAUAGCAAUAUUAGAUGCUAAAAUUGCCGAGCAUAACUUAGAAAAUGAAAAAUUUAAAUUUGCUAGAAGUAUGCUCUAUAAUGGGAGACGCCCUGGCAUCAAGGAUGGCAUUGGCUUCCAAAGGGGAGACAAUGCCAAACUUAAUGCCCCUCCUAAGAACUUAUCUAACUUUGUUAAGGGCAAGACUCCCAUGCCUCAAGAUAACGAGGGUUACAUUUUAUACCCUGUCGGUUAUCCUGAGAGCAAAAUUAGGAAAAUUCAUUCUAGGAAGUCUCACUCUGGCCCUAAUCAUGCUUUUAUAUAUAAGGGUGAGACAUCUAGCUCUAGGCAACCAACCUGUGCCAAGUUGCCUAGAAAGAAGACUCCUAGUGCAUCAAGUGAAUAUAGCAUUUCAUUCAAGACUUUUGAUGCAUCUUAUGUUUUGACUAACAAAUCCGGUAAGAUCGUUGCCAAGUUUGUUGGGGGCAAACACAAGGGGUCAAAGACUUGUGUUUGGGUACCCAAAGUUCUUGUAUCUAAUGCCAAAGGACCCAAAACCGUUUGGGUACCUAAAGUCAAGAACUAAACUUGUUUUGUAGGCUUAUGCAUCCGGGGGCUCAAGUUGGAUACUCGACAGCGGGUGCACCAACCACAUGACAGGGGAGAAGAAGAUGUUCUCCUCCUACGAGAAAAACCAAGAUCCCCAACGAGCUAUCACAUUCGGGGAUGGAAAUCAAGGUUUGGUCAAAGGAUUGGGUAAAAUUGCUAUAUCACCUGACCAUACUAUUUCCAAUGUUUUUCUUGUAGAUUCUUUAGAUUACAAUUUGCUUUCUGUAUCCCAAUUAUGUCAAAUGGGCUACAACUGUCUAUUUACUGAUGUAGGUGUUACUGUCUUUAGAAGAAGUGAUGAUUCAAUAGCAUUUAAGGGAGUGUUAGGGGGUCAGCUAUACUUGGUAGAUUUUGAUAGAGCUGAACUCAACACUUGCUUGGUUGCUAAGACUAACUUGGGUUGGCUCUGGCACCGCCGACUAGCCCAUGUUGGAAUGAAGAAUCUUCAUAAGCUUCUAAAGGGAGAACACAUUUUGGGACUAACAAAUGUUCAUUUUGAGAAAGACAGGAUUUGUAGCGCAUGCCAAGCCGGAAAGCAAGUUGGGACUCAUCAUCCACACAAGAACAUUAUGACAAGUGACAGGCCACUGGAGCUCCUACACAUGGAUUUAUUCGGCCCGAUCGCUUACAUAAGCAUCGGCGGGAGUAAGUACUGUCUAGUUAUUGUGGAUGAUUAUUCUCGCUUCACCGGGUGUUCUUUUUGUAGGACAAAUCUCAUACCCAAGAGAUCUUAAAGGGAUUCUUGAGACGGGCUCAAAAUGAGUUCGGCUUAAGGAUCAAGAAAAUUAGAAGCGACAAUGGGACGGAGUUCAAGAACUCUCAAAUUGAAAGCUUCCUUGAGGAGGAGGGCAUCAAGCAUGAGUUCUCUUCUCCCUACACUCCACAACAAAAUGGUGUAGUGGAAAGGAAGAAUCGAACUCUAUUGGACAUGGCAAGAACCAUGCUUGAUGAGUACAAGACACCGGAUCGGUUUUGGGCCGAAGCAGUCAACACCGCUUGCUACGCCAUCAACCGGUUAUAUCUUCACCGAAUCCUCAAGAAGACAUCAUAUGAACUCCUAACCGGUAAAAAGCCCAAUAUUUCAUAUUUUAGAGUUUUUGGUAGCAAAUGCUUUAUUCUUGUUAAGAGAGGUAGAAAAUCUAAAUUUGCUCCUAAAACUGUAGAAGGCUUUUUACUAGGAUAUGACUCAAACACAAGGGCAUAUAGAGUCUUUAACAAGUCCUCAGGACUUGUUGAAGUUUCUUGUGACGUUGUGUUUGAUGAGACUAACGGCUCUCAAGUAGAGCAAGUUGAUCUUGAUGAGAUAGGUGAAGAACAGGCUCCAUGCAUAGCGUUAAGGAACAUGUCCAUUGGGGAUGUGUGCCCUAAGGAAUCCGAAGAGCCUCCACAUGCACAAGAUCAACCAUCCUCCUCCACACAAGCAUCUCCACCAACUCAAAAUGAGGACGAAGCUCAAAUUGAUGAGGGACAAGAUCAAAGUGAUGAGCCACCUCAAGAUGAAGGCAAUGAUCAAGGGGGAGAUGCAAAUAAUGAAGACAAGGAGGAUGAACAACCAAGGCCGCCACACCCAAGAGUCCAUCAAGCAAUACAACGAGAUCACCCUGUCGACACCAUCCUCGGCGACAUUCAUAAGGGGGUAACCACUCGAUCUCGUGUUGCACAUUUCUGUGAGCAUUACUCUUUUGUUUCCUCUAUUGAGCCACACAGGGUAGAGGAAGCACUUCAAGAUUCUGAUUGGGUGAUGGCGAUGCAAGAAGAGCUCAACAACUUCACGAGGAACGAGGUAUGGCAUUUAGUUCCACGUCCUAACCAAAAUGUUGUAGGAACCAAGUGGGUCUUCCGCAACAAACAAGACGAGCAUGGUGUGGUGACAAGGAACAAAGCUCGACUCGUGGCCAAGGGGUACUCACAAGUCGAAGGUUUGGAUUUCGGUGAAACCUAUGCACCCGUAGCUAGGCUUGAGUCAAUUCGCAUAUUAUUAGCCUAUGCUACUUACCAUGGCUUCAAGCUUUAUCAAAUGGACGUGAAGAGUGCCUUCCUCAAUGGACCAAUCAAGGAAGAGGUCUAUGUUGAGCAACCUCCCGGCUUUGAAGAUAGUGAGUACCCUAACCAUGUCUAUAGGCUCUCUAAGGCGCUUUAUGGGCUCAAGCAAGCCCCAAGAGCAUGGUAUGAAUGCCUUAGAGAUUUCCUCAUUGCUAAUGGCUUCAAAGUCGGCAAGGCCGAUCCUACUUUAUUCACUAAAACUCUUGACAAUGAUUUGUUUGUAUGCCAAAUUUAUGUUGAUGAUAUCAUAUUUGGGUCUACUAACGAAUCUACUUAUGAAGAAUUUAGUAGGAUCAUGACACAAAAAUUCGAGAUGUCUAUGAUGGGGGAGUUGAAGUAUUUUCUAGGAUUUCAAGUCAAGCAACUCCAAGAGGGCACCUUCAUUUGUCAAACGAAGUACACUCAAGACAUUCUAACCAAGUUUGGAAUGAAGGAUGCCAAGCCCAUCAAGACUCCCAUGGGAACAAAUGGGCAUCUCGACCUCGACACAGGAGGUAAGUCCGUGGAUCAAAAGGUAUACCGGUCGAUGAUUGGUUCAUUGCUUUAUUUAUGUGCAUCUCGACCGGACAUUAUGCUUUCCGUUUGCAUGUGUGCAAGAUUCCAAUCCGACCCUAAGGAAUCCCACCUUACGGCCGUAAAACGAAUCUUGAGAUAUUUGGCUUAUACUCCUAAGUUUGGGCUUUGGUACCCUCGGGGAUCCACAUUUGAUUUGAUUGGUUAUUCGGAUGCCGAUUGGGCGGGGUGUAAGAUUAAUAGGAAGAGCACAUCGGGGACUUGCCAGUUUUUGGGAAGAUCCUUGGUGUCUUGGGCUUCAAAGAAGCAAAAUUCGGUCGCUCUUUCUACCGCCGAAGCCGAGUAUAUUGCCGCAGGCCAUUGUUGCGCGCAAUUACUUUGGAUGAGGCAAACCCUGUGGGACUACGGUUACAAACUAACCAAAGUUCCUCUUCUAUGUGAUAAUGAGAGUGCAAUCCGCAUGGCGGAUAAUCCCGUUGAGCAUAGCCGCACUAAACACAUAGCCAUUCGGUAUCAUUUUCUUAGGGAUCACCAACAAAAGGGGGAUAUCGAGAUUUCAUACAUUAACACUAAAGAUCAAUUAGCCGAUAUCUUUACCAAGCCUCUUGAUGAACAAACUUUUACCAAACUUAGGCAUGAGCUCAAUAUUCUUGAUUCUAGGAAUUUCUUUUGCUAAUUUGCACACAUAGCUCAUAAGUAUACCUUUGAUCAUGUCUCUUUGAUAUAUGCUAUGACUAAUGUGUUUUCAAGUGUAUUUCAAACCAAGUCAUAGGUAUAUUGAAAGGGAAUUGGAGUCUUCGGCGAAGACAAAGGCUUCCACUCCACUCUACUACUCACCCUUCACCGUCUCUCCGCAUCAUUCUCCAUCUUUGGUAUAAUCUUUACUCAUAUGCUUUAUUUAUGACCAAAGGGGGAGAAAGUAUUUCUAAGGGCUCUAAUGAUUCUGUUUUUGGCGAUUCAUGCCAAAGGGGGAGAAAGUAUGAGCCCAAAGCAAAAGGACCGCACCACCACCUAAUUUAAUUAAUGAUUUUCAAUUGGAUGGAAAAUUUCAAAAUUGGUAUCUCUUUGUGUUCUAAAGGGGGAGCAAGUAGUAUUUUCAAAACUUGAUAUCUUAAAACCCUCUUGAACACUAAGAGGAGAAUUUAUUUGAGGGGGAGUUUUGUUUAGUCAAAGGAAAAGCAUUUGAAACAAGGGGAGAAAAUUUCAAGCUUGAAAUUGCUUUGCAAAAAAAAACUUAUUCAUUUACCUUUGACUAUCUUGCAAAAGGACUUUGAAAAGAAUUUACAAAAGGAUUUGCAAAAACAAAACAUGUGGUGCAAAUGUGGUCCAAUAUGUUAAAAACAAAGAAACAAUCCAUGCACAUCAUGUAAGUAUUUAUAUUGGCUCUAUUCCAAGCAACCUUUGCACUUACAUUAUGCAAACUAGUCCAAUUUAUGCACUUUUACAUUUGCUUUGGUUUGUGUUGGCAUCAAUCACCAAAAAGGGGGAGAUUGAAAGGGAAUUAGGCUUACACCUAGUUCCUAAAUAAUUUUGGUGGUUGAAUUGCCCAACACAAAUAUUGGACUAACUAGUUUGCUCUAGUGUAUAAGUUAUACAGGUGUCAAAGGUUCACAACAAGCCAAUUAAAAAGACCAAAGUUGGGUUCAAAAUAGAGAGCUAAAGGCAUCCAGGAAGCCUCCCUGGUCUGGCGCACCGGACUUUCCGGUGGCGCACCGGACAGUGUCCGGUGCACCAGGGGGACCCGCGCUGAACUCCUCAGCCUCGGGAUUUUUCAGGAGCCGGCGCGCUAUAAUUCACCGGACUGUCCGGUGUACACCGGACAGUGUCCGGUGCUCCAACGAAGACGCCGCUCCGGAACUCGCCAGCCUCGGGAUUUCACGAAGGCUGCUCCGCUAUAAUUCACCGGACAUGUCCGGUGUGCACCGGACUGUCCGGUGCAUCCUCGGAGCAACGGCUACUUUGGCGCCAACGGCUACCUGCUGUGCAUUUAAUGCGCGCGCAGCGCGCGCAGAAGGCAGGCGCGCCCAUACCGGCGCACCGGACAGUGAACAGUUCAUGUCCGGUGCGCCACCGGACAUCGAGGCGGGCCCAGAAGUCAGAACUCCAACGGUCAGAUUCCAACGGCACUGAUGACGUGGCUGGGGCACCAGACAUGUCCGGUGUGCACCGGACUGUCCGGUGCGCCAUCGAACAGACAGCCCCACCAACGGUCAAGUUUGGUGGUUGGGGCUAUAAAUACCCCAACCACCCCACCAUUCAUUGCAUCCAAGUUUUCCACUUUCCAACUACUUACAAGAGCUAGCAUUCAUUGCAAAGCACACCAAAAAGAGAUCAAAUCCUCUCCCAACUCCACACAAAGCCCUAGUGACUAGAGAGAGUGAUUUGUAGUGUUCAUUUGAGCUCUUGCGCUUGGAUCGCUUCUUUUUCUUUCUUGAUUCUUUCAUUGCGAUCAAACUCACUUGUAAUUGAGACAAGAGACACCAAACUUGUGGUGGUCCUUGUGGGAACUUUGUGUUCCAAGUGAUUGAGAAGAGAAAGCUCACUCGGUCCGAGGGACCGUUUGAGAGAGGGAAGGGUUGAAAGAGACCCGGCCUUUGUGGCCUCCUCAACGGGGAGUAGGUUUGCGAGAACCGAACCUCGGUAAAACAAAUUUGUGUGUCACAUUCUUCAUUUGCUUGCGAUUUGUUUUUGCACCCUCUCUCGCGGACUCUAUUAAUCUAACGCUAACCCGGCUUGUAGUUGUGAUUAUUUUUGAGAAUUUCAGUUUCGCCCUAUUCACCCCCCCCCCCUCUAGGCGACUUUCACGAGCCCUCUGUGCACCCAAGCCAUAACCCAGAAACCACGCCGCCGUCAUCAACGCAUCCGCGGUCGAUUCCUUGAUCGCAGCGAAGUGUCCUGGGAGCACCGGAAGGCCCCGCCGCAAGUGUAGGAGCCGAUCCUGGGUCGGAUUCUAUUGCCAGUGGGCGGAAAUUGCUCGUCGUCGUUCAUGCAUCGAUCGGAGUCCGCGACCGCCGUAGACAGCCUGCCACCACGCACGACUUUCGGUAUGGUUUCCUCGAGUGCGUUCGUCUUCAUUGCCAUAAUGUUUAGAGCUGGUUGGAGUGAUGUUUAGCGCGCGUAAUCCGAGGAACGCCUGGCCGGCAAUGGCGCCGCCGUGCUCGGAGUACGCGGCCGCGCUCCGCCGUCAGGAGUAGGGGGUGGUUUCAGACCGUCUGAUUCAAGAUGGACGGUGUUGAUUAGGGAGAAUGUACCGCCUCGGCCUGGGUUCGUCCUGACCGUUGGAUCUACGUGGUCGGCUACGAUUAGGCCUAGCAUACCCCUUCAGCCUUAUGAUCUGAGCCCUAGAUAUUUGAUCAAACGACCAGCAUUCGCUGAUAACCCUUCGGGCCGUUCAUUUUGCAUAAGAGCCCUUACGUUCCCCGAAAUCAACCCGCAAUCCACCUGGUGGGUCAUCUGUGUCUUAGGAUUAAUUGCAUCAGGGCCCCUGACUUCUCUGGAAUUAGAGACCCAGUCCAGAACUGAUUCAAAAUGAAUAAAUGAAUUAGUAAAUGCAUUUUUAAUAAAAAAACAAAUCUAGAAACUUGUAAAAUGCAUAGAAAAUUCAUCUCUAGUCCAAAUUAAUCCAUUCCAGUUUCUAAAACUUUGUAAUAUUAUUCUCUACCAUUUAUUGUCUCUGCUUUGUCAUGAAAACAGUAAGAAAAUUAAUUUAUCAUUUAAUCCUAUUUCAAGCACAUUAAAUCUUAGGAAAUUCAUAACUUGAAAUCUAUAACUCCAAAUUUAAUGAUUCCAGUUCCAAUGAUCUUAUUUUAAUGUGUAGAUUUUUACUGUAUAUUUUAUUUAUCUGUUUGAUGUGAUGUUAAUUUAUGCUAUACUAUGUAUGUAUUGUGUUGAUGCGAGUAGACGAGCAAGCCACUGUGGAUUCUAAAGUACAACAAGUAGAAGUAGCUGAGCAGGAGCUCAUUGAAGGCAAGUUGUGCCCUUGAUCACUUACUUUUCCCAGCCAUGUUCUUAUUAAUUAUAAUGAUCUGCAUAGGAUAAUUUUGAUGGGACCCAAUAGGUUACCCUAGUUUUGGCUAUCUUUAUACCUUGUUUACCACUGAAAUAUUUCUUUGGGUACUACCUGCUAUUGCUUUAUGUGGAUUUGGGUAUGAAGAUACUUUAUUCAUAAUUACUCCUUUAUUCUCUUUUAUUAUUAUUGUUCAUGUUAAGAUCAUUAUGUUAAUGGGAACAUGGAGCGACCACCCGGGAAAACAGUGCUACCACAAGGGUAUAAUGGGACGCCCUUGGCUGAUUAACUAGGAAAGCUAGUGGAGGUCUUCCUUACCCGAAAGGGGCAAGGGCAGUAGGGGAGUGGUCAGUGUAGGGAGGUCCUUGGGUUGAUUUUGCUGCGAUGGCGGUCAGGCAAGAACCCUGCAUUGGAGCUUCCUAUAAACUGUAGCGGGAUUUCUGAAGCUAGUGGAACUUUGUAAAGGCCUCGUAGUGUUACCCUGCCUCGCCUCCUCGGUAGAGGUGUAUGGGAUUGGCCAUCUCUUGGCAGAUGGGUAACAUGACUUGUGGGUAAAGAUGUGCAACCUCUGCAGAGUGUAAAACUGGUAUACUAGUCGUGCUCACGGUCAUGAGCGGCUCGGACCCUCACAUGAUUAAUUUAUGGAACUUAAAUUUAAUUGGACAUUUGCAUCGCAUUUGGGAUUAUUUUACUAUUACUUUUCUUUAUUAUUAUUAAGGUUUGGUAUUUACUUACACUUAGUAAUUGCUAAUAAAAUUUUGACCAACUUAUAAAAGCAAUGCUCAGCUUCAGCCUUUAUUUCAUUGAUCAGCCUUACACUUCAUGAACUCCCACCUUUGGUGAGUUCAUGCCACAUUAUUCCCCACGACUUGUUGAGCUAUGAACGUAUGUGAGCUCACUCUUGCUGUCUCACACCCCCCCACAGGAGAAGAGCAGGUGGUUCAGGAGGAGCCACAAGGCGAGGAGUUUGAUCUGAUCUAGGUGGCGUUUCUCAGUUGACAUUGGCGCCGACGAUCCUUAGUUCGUUUUAUAUUCAUUAUUUUAUUUUGUAAUAAGUCUUCCGCUAUGUAAUAAAUACUCUGAUGUUGUAUGACAUUUAUCUCUAUACACUCUGUUAUUAUAUAUGUUGUCUUCUUGGCGCAUGUAUGAGAUGCACCCGGCUUUGUUCCUUAAAACCGGGUGUUACAGAAGUGGUAUCAGAAGGAAUGUUGACUGUAGGACGAAACCUAGAUAGAAAUGGACAACCCUUACCUACUUACCUUAUUCUGAUUCAUUCUAUACUUACCUUAUCUUGAACCUGUCUCACCUUCUACUGUUCUACUCUAAUCAUUCUUACCUUUCUACUCUUAGACAAGAUGGAUUUCACACCUUGGAAUCCCUACCCCUAUGACAUUUUUAAGAGAUAGGAAGCCUAAGACAAAAUUAAAAAUUAUUUUCUCUAUUAAAAAUGUUGGUUGAUUGUUCUGAUGAUCAAUGCCUGAUUUGCUUCUUUGAUUGAUUGAAAUAGUAUAGACGGGCAUCUUAGCAUGUACCACCCUAAGGUAAUGUAUUAGCUUUAGUGGAUAACACACUAAUCUACUUAGCUAAUAAAUCCCUUGCAGUAACAUUUCUCGUAAUUACUCGCCUUGUCUACAAUUCUUCCUUUCUUACCCUGUAUUUCUAACCCAAAUGAGCUACCCCUAUAGUGUUAGAAGAGGGCACUAUAGACGUGAUCCUUGGUAUGUCAUGGUUAAGAAAGGCAAAGGCAGUAUAUACACCAUGCUAAGGGAACCGUAGAACUCACCAGUACCAAAGAAGAAAGAUUUGAAGAUGAAAUUGCAAUAACUGCCACCAUCAGAUUAGCGGCAUUCUUAGUAGAUGAGAAGUUUGUGGGUGGCAACAUCCGUGCAGUUAGGUAUUUUCCGGAUGUUUUUCCGGAGGAGUUACCAGGGAUGCCACCUGAUAGAGAAGUUGAGUUUGUUAUUGAUCUCUUACCUGGAACCGCCCCUAUUUCUAAACGGCCAUAUAGGAUGUCCGUAGAGGAGUUGAAGGAACUUAAGAAGCAGUUAACUGAGUUACAAGAUGUUGUGUACAUUCGUCCGAGUUCUUCACCUUGGGGAGCAACGGUUUUGUUUGUACAGAAGAAAGAUGGUUUGCAAGGGAUGUGCGUGGAUUAAAGGUCCCUUAAUGGUGUCACUAUGAAGAACAAGUAUCCAUUAUCCCGCAUUGAAGAUUUAUUUGAUCAGAUGAGAGGUACAAGGGUAUUCUCGAAGAUUGAUCUCCGAUCGGGUUAUCACCAAAUGAAGAUUAAGCCAUUAGAUAUUCCCAAGACGGCUUUCUCGACUCGAUAUGGAUUAUAUGAGUUCACUGUUAUGUCGUUUGGAUUAACUAAUGCACCAACCUAUUUUAUGGAUCGAAAGAAUAAGGUGUUCGUGACUUGGACAAAUUCGUCGUGGUAUUUAUCGACGAUAUUCUUAUCUGUUCUAAGAGUGAAAGUGAUCAUGAGGAACACCUGAGAUUGGUGCUACAAAAGCUAAGGGAUAAUCAACUCUACGCCAAGUAUAGCAAAUGCGAGUUUUGGAUUGACAAGGUGUCAUUCCUUGGACAUAUUAUUUCUAAUGGAGGAAUAGCAGUGGAUCCUGCUAAAGUGAAGGAGAUAAUGGAGUGGAGAGUGCCCACUACAGUUAUAGAGAUUCGGAGUUUCUUGGGACUCGCAGGAUAUUAUCGGAGAUUUAUUGAAGGAAUUUCUAAGUUUGCUAAGCCCAUGACCUCACUUAUGGAGAAGAGAAGAGAAUUCAAGUGGGAUGAGAAAUGCCAAGAGAGUUUUGAUCAAUUGAAGGAGAUAUUGAUGUCACCGCCAGUAUUUAUUAUGCCAGAUCUGCAGAAGGGAUUGGACAUUUACUGUGAUGCAUGUGGCCAGGGACUUGGAUGUGUGCUUAUGCAAGGAGGUCAUGUGAUCGCCUAUGCAUCUCGUCAGUUGCGGAAACAUGAAUUGAACUACCCCACUCAUGACUUGGAGCUGGCAGCAGUUGUGCAUGCACUUAAGAUUUGGAGACACUACAUCAUGGGAACUAAGUGCCAAGUAUAUACGGAUCAUAAGAGUUUGAAGUAUAUAUUCACUCAGAAGGAUCUCAACCUUAGGCAACGCCGUUGGUUGGAGCUUAUUAAGGAUUACGAUUUGGAGAUUAAUUACCACCCAGGCAAGGCAAAUUUGGUUGCAGAUGCCUUGAGUCGGAAGGAGCACGUUCAUUCCGCUAUUGUUGUCCAGCUACAUGAUGAAUUAGCAAAAGAUUUUGAGAGGCUCAACCUGGGAAUUGUUACACAUACGGAAGGAGUUACCAUUGAAUUGGAACCUACCUUGGAGCAAGAAAUUCGUAAAGGUCAGAUUGGUGAUGCUAAGAUCCAGGAGAUCAAGGAUCUGAUAACAGAGGGUAGAGGUCCAGAAUUCACAAAAGAUGAGCAAGGCACAGUAUGGUUCAAGGAUCGGAUAUGUGUUCCUGAGAUUGAUGAUUUUUGUGAGACUAUUUUAAAGGAAGCCCAUGACUCGGAUUAUUCUAUUCAUCCUGGUAGUACCAAGAUGUAUCAGGAUUUGAAGCAAAAAUACUGGUGGUAUGGAUUGAAGAGAGAUGUGGCUGCACAUGUGGCUAUGUGCGAUGUAUGCCAAAGAGUUAAGGCUGAACGUUAGAGGCCAGCUGGACUACUGCAUACACUAAAGAUACCCGAGUGGAAGUGGGAAGAGAUCGGUAUGGACUUCAUUACUGGAUUGCCUCGCACCUCGAAAGGAUAUGAUUCUAUAUGGGUUAUUGUGGAUAGAUUGACUAAAGUAGCUCACUUCAUUCAUGUUAAGACUACUUGUAAGUGAUCUCAAUUGGCUGAGUUAUAUAAGGCUUGGAUUGUGUCUCUAUAUGGUGUACCGAAGAAGAUCAUUUUGGAUAGAGGAUCACAGUUUACCUCAAGAUUUUGGAAAAGUUUUCAUGAGAAUAGGGAUACAAAGUUGAAUUUUAGUUCGGCCUACCUGUAACACCCUGAAUUUGGGGGUAUAAAAUUUCUUUGCUCAUAUUCACAAAUUCAGGUGUUACUUCCCUUUUCUCAUCCUUCCUCAUUCUUUUCUUUCUCAUUUCUAUAGGAGAAAAGUGCUUACUUUAUUUGUAAUUAUAGUUUAAUAGGUUAAACCCUAAGGGAGUAUGAGUUGUUGCAUCAUGUUGAACCCUAGAUUUCACUUUUGCUUGGUGCAUAAUUCUUGGAAAGUCUAAUUUGAAUUUGUGGCUUAUUUGGAUUUGAAUCAAAUAGAGAAAAUAAAAAGAAAAGAGAAAACAAAUUUCAGAAUAAAAAGAAAAGGAAAGAAGCCCAACCCCGCCGCCCCCUUGGCCUUUCGGCCCACUAAGCCCAUCCCGCGCGCGCGCCUCUCUCCCCCCGCUCUCUCUCUGCCCUGGCGGGCCCGCCCGUCAGCGCAGCUGCCUUCCGCGCGCCCGCCCCCGCUUUCCCCUCUCUCUCUGCUCACGGGCCCGGGCUGUCAGCCCUGUCGUCCUCGCGUAACCGCCGCCCGAGCUGCGCGCGGCCGCCUUCUCCGCGCCCACGUCGCGCGUGGAGCUCGCAACCGCCCCGCCCCUGGCCACUUGAGCCCAGAGCCCCACUCGCCCUCUCCCCCUCCCUCAUUUGCGCACCAGCAGACCCCUCUUCCACCUCCCCCUCGCUGCACGCACGCCCGAGAGCCGCCGCCGUAAACCCCCGCCGUCCCGAGCUCGUUUCCCCGUCGCCGUUGGAGCUCCGCCGUGCCCGUUGCCACGGUGAGCUCCGCCUCGACGUCCGCAACCCGGGACGCGCCCCAAUUUCCCCUCCCCCUCCCUAUUUCUCUCUGCCCGCGCUCACCCGUCGUUCCCCGUGCAGCCGUGGAGGUCCGCCACCGUCGCCCCGGGCCACCGUCGCGCCAUUGCCGCCACCGAGGAGUCCCCGGAGCCCGCCUUGAGGUAAAGAACCUCUCCUGCCCCCUCCAAACCCGCGUAUUGCCUUCUACUGCGCUUAAUUCCUCGCUGGAGUUGUUUUAUGCCGCCGCCGAGCCGCUCCGUCGUGAACCGCCCCCCUCCGGUGUCCCUGCCCCGACCCAGCCCCCACCGGGCGAUUCCCCGUGCCCUCCCCAACCUUCCCGCCGCUCAGGUCGCCCUAGANNNNNNNNNNNNNNNNNNNNNNNNNNNNNNNNNNNNNNNNNNNNNNNNNNNNNNNNNNNNNNNNNNNNNNNNNNNNNNNNNNNNNNNNNNNNNNNNNNNNNNNNNNNNNNNNNNNNNNNNNNNNNNNNNNNNNNNNNNNNNNNNNNNNNNNNNNNNNNNNNNNNNNNNNNNNNNNNNNNNNNNNNNNNNNNNNNNNNNNNNNNNNNNNNNNNNNNNNNNNNNNNNNNNNNNNNNNNNNNNNNNNNNNNNNNNNNNNNNNNNNNNNNNNNNNNNNNNNNNNNNNNNNNNNNNNNNNNNNNNNNNNNNNNNNNNNNNNNNNNNNNNNNNNNNNNNNNNNNNNNNNNNNNNNNNNNNNNNNNNNNNNNNNNNNNNNNNNNNNNNNNNNNNNNNNNNNNNNNNNNNNNNNNNNNNNNNNNNNNNNNNNNNNNNNNNNNNNNNNNNNNNNNNNNNNNNNNNNNNNNNNNNNNNNNNNNNNNNNNNNNNNNNNNNNNNNNNNNNNNNNNNNNNNNNNNNNNNNNNNNNNNNNNNNNNNNNNNNNNNNNNNNNNNNNNNNNNNNNNNNNNNNNNNNNNNNNNNNNNNNNNNNNNNNNNNNNNNNNNNNNNNNNNNNNNNNNNNNNNNNNNNNNNNNNNNNNNNNNNNNNNNNNNNNNNNNNNNNNNNNNNNNNNNNNNNNNNNNNNNNNNNNNNNNNNNNNNNNNNNNNNNNNNNNNNNNNNNNNNNNNNNNNNNNNNNNNNNNNNNNNNNNNNNNNNNNNNNNNNNNNNNNNNNNNNNNNNNNNNNNNNNNNNNNNNNNNNNNNNNNNNNNNNNNNNNNNNNNNNNNNNNNNNNNNNNNNNNNNNNNNNNNNNNNNNNNNNNNNNNNNNNNNNNNNNNNNNNNNNNNNNNNNNNNNNNNNNNNNNNNNNNNNNNNNNNNNNNNNNNNNNNNNNNNNNNNNNNNNNNNNNNNNNNNNNNNNNNNNNNNNNNNNNNNNNNNNNNNNNNNNNNNNNNNNNNNNNNNNNNNNNNNNNNNNNNNNNNNNNNNNNNNNNNNNNNNNNNNNNNNNNNNNNNNNNNNNNNNNNNNNNNNNNNNNNNNNNNNNNNNNNNNNNNNNNNNNNNNNNNNNNNNNNNNNNNNNNNNNNNNNNNNNNNNNNNNNNNNNNNNNNNNNNNNNNNNNNNNNNNNNNNNNNNNNNNNNNNNNNNNNNNNNNNNNNNNNNNNNNNNNNNNNNNNNNNNNNNNNNNNNNNNNNNNNNNNNNNNNNNNNNNNNNNNNNNNNNNNNNNNNNNNNNNNNNNNNNNNNNNNNNNNNNNNNNNNNNNNNNNNNNNNNNNNNNNNNNNNNNNNNNNNNNNNNNNNNNNNNNNNNNNNNNNNNNNNNNNNNNNNNNNNNNNNNNNNNNNNNNNNNNNNNNNNNNNNNNNNNNNNNNNNNNNNNNNNNNNNNNNNNNNNNNNNNNNNNNNNNNNNNNNNNNNNNNNNNNNNNNNNNNNNNNNNNNNNNNNNNNNNNNNNNNNNNNNNNNNNNNNNNNNNNNNNNNNNNNNNNNNNNNNNNNNNNNNNNNNNNNNNNNNNNNNNNNNNNNNNNNNNNNNNNNNNNNNNNNNNNNNNNNNNNNNNNNNNNNNNNNNNNNNNNNNNNNNNNNNNNNNNNNNNNNNNNNNNNNNNNNNNNNNNNNNNNNNNNNNNNNNNNNNNNNNNNNNNNNNNNNNNNNNNNNNNNNNNNNNNNNNNNNNNNNNNNNNNNNNNNNNNNNNNNNNNNNNNNNNNNNNNNNNNNNNNNNNNNNNNNNNNNNNNNNNNNNNNNNNNNNNNNNNNNNNNNNNNNNNNNNNNNNNNNNNNNNNNNNNNNNNNNNNNNNNNNNNNNNNNNNNNNNNNNNNNNNNNNNNNNNNNNNNNNNNNNNNNNNNNNNNNNNNNNNNNNNNNNNNNNNNNNNNNNNNNNNNNNNNNNNNNNNNNNNNNNNNNNNNNNNNNNNNNNNNNNNNNNNNNNNNNNNNNNNNNNNNNNNNNNNNNNNNNNNNNNNNNNNNNNNNNNNNNNNNNNNNNNNNNNNNNNNNNNNNNNNNNNNNNNNNNNNNNNNNNNNNNNNNNNNNNNNNNNNNNNNNNNNNNNNNNNNNNNNNNNNNNNNNNNNNNNNNNNNNNNNNNNNNNNNNNNNNNNNNNNNNNNNNNNNNNNNNNNNNNNNNNNNNNNNNNNNNNNNNNNNNNNNNNNNNNNNNNNNNNNNNNNNNNNNNNNNNNNNNNNNNNNNNNNNNNNNNNNNNNNNNNNNNNNNNNNNNNNNNNNNNNNNNNNNNNNNNNNNNNNNNNNNNNNNNNNNNNNNNNNNNNNNNNNNNNNNNNNNNNNNNNNNNNNNNNNNNNNNNNNNNNNNNNNNNNNNNNNNNNNNNNNNNNNNNNNNNNNNNNNNNNNNNNNNNNNNNNNNNNNNNNNNNNNNNNNNNNNNNNNNNNNNNNNNNNNNNNNNNNNNNNNNNNNNNNNNNNNNNNNNNNNNNNNNNNNNNNNNNNNNNNNNNNNNNNNNNNNNNNNNNNNNNNNNNNNNNNNNNNNNNNNNNNNNNNNNNNNNNNNNNNNNNNNNNNNNNNNNNNNNNNNNNNNNNNNNNNNNNNNNNNNNNNNNNNNNNNNNNNNNNNNNNNNNNNNNNNNNNNNNNNNNNNNNNNNNNNNNNNNNNNNNNNNNNNNNNNNNNNNNNNNNNNNNNNNNNNNNNNNNNNNNNNNNNNNNNNNNNNNNNNNNNNNNNNNNNNNNNNNNNNNNNNNNNNNNNNNNNNNNNNNNNNNNNNNNNNNNNNNNNNNNNNNNNNNNNNNNNNNNNNNNNNNNNNNNNNNNNNNNNNNNNNNNNNNNNNNNNNNNNNNNNNNNNNNNNNNNNNNNNNNNNNNNNNNNNNNNNNNNNNNNNNNNNNNNNNNNNNNNNNNNNNNNNNNNNNNNNNNNNNNNNNNNNNNNNNNNNNNNNNNNNNNNNNNNNNNNNNNNNNNNNNNNNNNNNNNNNNNNNNNNNNNNNNNNNNNNNNNNNNNNNNNNNNNNNNNNNNNNNNNNNNNNNNNNNNNNNNNNNNNNNNNNNNNNNNNNNNNNNNNNNNNNNNNNNNNNNNNNNNNNNNNNNNNNNNNNNNNNNNNNNNNNNNNNNNNNNNNNNNNNNNNNNNNNNNNNNNNNNNNNNNNNNNNNNNNNNNNNNNNNNNNNNNNNNNNNNNNNNNNNNNNNNNNNNNNNNNNNNNNNNNNNNNNNNNNNNNNNNNNNNNNNNNNNNNNNNNNNNNNNNNNNNNNNNNNNNNNNNNNNNNNNNNNNNNNNNNNNNNNNNNNNNNNNNNNNNNNNNNNNNNNNNNNNNNNNNNNNNNNNNNNNNNNNNNNNNNNNNNNNNNNNNNNNNNNNNNNNNNNNNNNNNNNNNNNNNNNNNNNNNNNNNNNNNNNNNNNNNNNNNNNNNNNNNNNNNNNNNNNNNNNNNNNNNNNNNNNNNNNNNNNNNNNNNNNNNNNNNNNNNNNNNNNNNNNNNNNNNNNNNNNNNNNNNNNNNNNNNNNNNNNNNNNNNNNNNNNNNNNNNNNNNNNNNNNNNNNNNNNNNNNNNNNNNNNNNNNNNNNNNNNNNNNNNNNNNNNNNNNNNNNNNNNNNNNNNNNNNNNNNNNNNNNNNNNNNNNNNNNNNNNNNNNNNNNNNNNNNNNNNNNNNNNNNNNNNNNNNNNNNNNNNNNNNNNNNNNNNNNNNNNNNNNNNNNNNNNNNNNNNNNNNNNNNNNNNNNNNNNNNNNNNNNNNNNNNNNNNNNNNNNNNNNNNNNNNNNNNNNNNNNNNNNNNNNNNNNNNNNNNNNNNNNNNNNNNNNNNNNNNNNNNNNNNNNNNNNNNNNNNNNNNNNNNNNNNNNNNNNNNNNNNNNNNNNNNNNNNNNNNNNNNNNNNNNNNNNNNNNNNNNNNNNNNNNNNNNNNNNNNNNNNNNNNNNNNNNNNNNNNNNNNNNNNNNNNNNNNNNNNNNNNNNNNNNNNNNNNNNNNNNNNNNNNNNNNNNNNNNNNNNNNNNNNNNNNNNNNNNNNNNNNNNNNNNNNNNNNNNNNNNNNNNNNNNNNNNNNNNNNNNNNNNNNNNNNNNNNNNNNNNNNNNNNNNNNNNNNNNNNNNNNNNNNNNNNNNNNNNNNNNNNNNNNNNNNNNNNNNNNNNNNNNNNNNNNNNNNNNNNNNNNNNNNNNNNNNNNNNNNNNNNNNNNNNNNNNNNNNNNNNNNNNNNNNNNNNNNNNNNNNNNNNNNNNNNNNNNNNNNNNNNNNNNNNNNNNNNNNNNNNNNNNNNNNNNNNNNNNNNNNNNNNNNNNNNNNNNNNNNNNNNNNNNNNNNNNNNNNNNNNNNNNNNNNNNNNNNNNNNNNNNNNNNNNNNNNNNNNNNNNNNNNNNNNNNNNNNNNNNNNNNNNNNNNNNNNNNNNNNNNNNNNNNNNNNNNNNNNNNNNNNNNNNNNNNNNNNNNNNNNNNNNNNNNNNNNNNNNNNNNNNNNNNNNNNNNNNNNNNNNNNNNNNNNNNNNNNNNNNNNNNNNNNNNNNNNNNNNNNNNNNNNNNNNNNNNNNNNNNNNNNNNNNNNNNNNNNNNNNNNNNNNNNNNNNNNNNNNNNNNNNNNNNNNNNNNNNNNNNNNNNNNNNNNNNNNNNNNNNNNNNNNNNNNNNNNNNNNNNNNNNNNNNNNNNNNNNNNNNNNNNNNNNNNNNNNNNNNNNNNNNNNNNNNNNNNNNNNNNNNNNNNNNNNNNNNNNNNNNNNNNNNNNNNNNNNNNNNNNNNNNNNNNNNNNNNNNNNNNNNNNNNNNNNNNNNNNNNNNNNNNNNNNNNNNNNNNNNNNNNNNNNNNNNNNNNNNNNNNNNNNNNNNNNNNNNNNNNNNNNNNNNNNNNNNNNNNNNNNNNNNNNNNNNNNNNNNNNNNNNNNNNNNNNNNNNNNNNNNNNNNNNNNNNNNNNNNNNNNNNNNNNNNNNNNNNNNNNNNNNNNNNNNNNNNNNNNNNNNNNNNNNNNNNNNNNNNNNNNNNNNNNNNNNNNNNNNNNNNNNNNNNNNNNNNNNNNNNNNNNNNNNNNNNNNNNNNNNNNNNNNNNNNNNNNNNNNNNNNNNNNNNNNNNNNNNNNNNNNNNNNNNNNNNNNNNNNNNNNNNNNNNNNNNNNNNNNNNNNNNNNNNNNNNNNNNNNNNNNNNNNNNNNNNNNNNNNNNNNNNNNNNNNNNNNNNNNNNNNNNNNNNNNNNNNNNNNNNNNNNNNNNNNNNNNNNNNNNNNNNNNNNNNNNNNNNNNNNNNNNNNNNNNNNNNNNNNNNNNNNNNNNNNNNNNNNNNNNNNNNNNNNNNNNNNNNNNNNNNNNNNNNNNNNNNNNNNNNNNNNNNNNNNNNNNNNNNNNNNNNNNNNNNNNNNNNNNNNNNNNNNNNNNNNNNNNNNNNNNNNNNNNNNNNNNNNNNNNNNNNNNNNNNNNNNNNNNNNNNNNNNNNNNNNNNNNNNNNNNNNNNNNNNNNNNNNNNNNNNNNNNNNNNNNNNNNNNNNNNNNNNNNNNNNNNNNNNNNNNNNNNNNNNNNNNNNNNNNNNNNNNNNNNNNNNNNNNNNNNNNNNNNNNNNNNNNNNNNNNNNNNNNNNNNNNNNNNNNNNNNNNNNNNNNNNNNNNNNNNNNNNNNNNNNNNNNNNNNNNNNNNNNNNNNNNNNNNNNNNNNNNNNNNNNNNNNNNNNNNNNNNNNNNNNNNNNNNNNNNNNNNNNNNNNNNNNNNNNNNNNNNNNNNNNNNNNNNNNNNNNNNNNNNNNNNNNNNNNNNNNNNNNNNNNNNNNNNNNNNNNNNNNNNNNNNNNNNNNNNNNNNNNNNNNNNNNNNNNNNNNNNNNNNNNNNNNNNNNNNNNNNNNNNNNNNNNNNNNNNNNNNNNNNNNNNNNNNNNNNNNNNNNNNNNNNNNNNNNNNNNNNNNNNNNNNNNNNNNNNNNNNNNNNNNNNNNNNNNNNNNNNNNNNNNNNNNNNNNNNNNNNNNNNNNNNNNNNNNNNNNNNNNNNNNNNNNNNNNNNNNNNNNNNNNNNNNNNNNNNNNNNNNNNNNNNNNNNNNNNNNNNNNNNNNNNNNNNNNNNNNNNNNNNNNNNNNNNNNNNNNNNNNNNNNNNNNNNNNNNNNNNNNNNNNNNNNNNNNNNNNNNNNNNNNNNNNNNNNNNNNNNNNNNNNNNNNNNNNNNNNNNNNNNNNNNNNNNNNNNNNNNNNNNNNNNNNNNNNNNNNNNNNNNNNNNNNNNNNNNNNNNNNNNNNNNNNNNNNNNNNNNNNNNNNNNNNNNNNNNNNNNNNNNNNNNNNNNNNNNNNNNNNNNNNNNNNNNNNNNNNNNNNNNNNNNNNNNNNNNNNNNNNNNNNNNNNNNNNNNNNNNNNNNNNNNNNNNNNNNNNNNNNNNNNNNNNNNNNNNNNNNNNNNNNNNNNNNNNNNNNNNNNNNNNNNNNNNNNNNNNNNNNNNNNNNNNNNNNNNNNNNNNNNNNNNNNNNNNNNNNNNNNNNNNNNNNNNNNNNNNNNNNNNNNNNNNNNNNNNNNNNNNNNNNNNNNNNNNNNNNNNNNNNNNNNNNNNNNNNNNNNNNNNNNNNNNNNNNNNNNNNNNNNNNNNNNNNNNNNNNNNNNNNNNNNNNNNNNNNNNNNNNNNNNNNNNNNNNNNNNNNNNNNNNNNNNNNNNNNNNNNNNNNNNNNNNNNNNNNNNNNNNNNNNNNNNNNNNNNNNNNNNNNNNNNNNNNNNNNNNNNNNNNNNNNNNNNNNNNNNNNNNNNNNNNNNNNNNNNNNNNNNNNNNNNNNNNNNNNNNNNNNNNNNNNNNNNNNNNNNNNNNNNNNNNNNNNNNNNNNNNNNNNNNNNNNNNNNNNNNNNNNNNNNNNNNNNNNNNNNNNNNNNNNNNNNNNNNNNNNNNNNNNNNNNNNNNNNNNNNNNNNNNNNNNNNNNNNNNNNNNNNNNNNNNNNNNNNNNNNNNNNNNNNNNNNNNNNNNNNNNNNNNNNNNNNNNNNNNNNNNNNNNNNNNNNNNNNNNNNNNNNNNNNNNNNNNNNNNNNNNNNNNNNNNNNNNNNNNNNNNNNNNNNNNNNNNNNNNNNNNNNNNNNNNNNNNNNNNNNNNNNNNNNNNNNNNNNNNNNNNNNNNNNNNNNNNNNNNNNNNNNNNNNNNNNNNNNNNNNNNNNNNNNNNNNNNNNNNNNNNNNNNNNNNNNNNNNNNNNNNNNNNNNNNNNNNNNNNNNNNNNNNNNNNNNNNNNNNNNNNNNNNNNNNNNNNNNNNNNNNNNNNNNNNNNNNNNNNNNNNNNNNNNNNNNNNNNNNNNNNNNNNNNNNNNNNNNNNNNNNNNNNNNNNNNNNNNNNNNNNNNNNNNNNNNNNNNNNNNNNNNNNNNNNNNNNNNNNNNNNNNNNNNNNNNNNNNNNNNNNNNNNNNNNNNNNNNNNNNNNNNNNNNNNNNNNNNNNNNNNNNNNNNNNNNNNNNNNNNNNNNNNNNNNNNNNNNNNNNNNNNNNNNNNNNNNNNNNNNNNNNNNNNNNNNNNNNNNNNNNNNNNNNNNNNNNNNNNNNNNNNNNNNNNNNNNNNNNNNNNNNNNNNNNNNNNNNNNNNNNNNNNNNNNNNNNNNNNNNNNNNNNNNNNNNNNNNNNNNNNNNNNNNNNNNNNNNNNNNNNNNNNNNNNNNNNNNNNNNNNNNNNNNNNNNNNNNNNNNNNNNNNNNNNNNNNNNNNNNNNNNNNNNNNNNNNNNNNNNNNNNNNNNNNNNNNNNNNNNNNNNNNNNNNNNNNNNNNNNNNNNNNNNNNNNNNNNNNNNNNNNNNNNNNNNNNNNNNNNNNNNNNNNNNNNNNNNNNNNNNNNNNNNNNNNNNNNNNNNNNNNNNNNNNNNNNNNNNNNNNNNNNNNNNNNNNNNNNNNNNNNNNNNNNNNNNNNNNNNNNNNNNNNNNNNNNNNNNNNNNNNNNNNNNNNNNNNNNNNNNNNNNNNNNNNNNNNNNNNNNNNNNNNNNNNNNNNNNNNNNNNNNNNNNNNNNNNNNNNNNNNNNNNNNNNNNNNNNNNNNNNNNNNNNNNNNNNNNNNNNNNNNNNNNNNNNNNNNNNNNNNNNNNNNNNNNNNNNNNNNNNNNNNNNNNNNNNNNNNNNNNNNNNNNNNNNNNNNNNNNNNNNNNNNNNNNNNNNNNNNNNNNNNNNNNNNNNNNNNNNNNNNNNNNNNNNNNNNNNNNNNNNNNNNNNNNNNNNNNNNNNNNNNNNNNNNNNNNNNNNNNNNNNNNNNNNNNNNNNNNNNNNNNNNNNNNNNNNNNNNNNNNNNNNNNNNNNNNNNNNNNNNNNNNNNNNNNNNNNNNNNNNNNNNNNNNNNNNNNNNNNNNNNNNNNNNNNNNNNNNNNNNNNNNNNNNNNNNNNNNNNNNNNNNNNNNNNNNNNNNNNNNNNNNNNNNNNNNNNNNNNNNNNNNNNNNNNNNNNNNNNNNNNNNNNNNNNNNNNNNNNNNNNNNNNNNNNNNNNNNNNNNNNNNNNNNNNNNNNNNNNNNNNNNNNNNNNNNNNNNNNNNNNNNNNNNNNNNNNNNNNNNNNNNNNNNNNNNNNNNNNNNNNNNNNNNNNNNNNNNNNNNNNNNNNNNNNNNNNNNNNNNNNNNNNNNNNNNNNNNNNNNNNNNNNNNNNNNNNNNNNNNNNNNNNNNNNNNNNNNNNNNNNNNNNNNNNNNNNNNNNNNNNNNNNNNNNNNNNNNNNNNNNNNNNNNNNNNNNNNNNNNNNNNNNNNNNNNNNNNNNNNNNNNNNNNNNNNNNNNNNNNNNNNNNNNNNNNNNNNNNNNNNNNNNNNNNNNNNNNNNNNNNNNNNNNNNNNNNNNNNNNNNNNNNNNNNNNNNNNNNNNNNNNNNNNNNNNNNNNNNNNNNNNNNNNNNNNNNNNNNNNNNNNNNNNNNNNNNNNNNNNNNNNNNNNNNNNNNNNNNNNNNNNNNNNNNNNNNNNNNNNNNNNNNNNNNNNNNNNNNNNNNNNNNNNNNNNNNNNNNNNNNNNNNNNNNNNNNNNNNNNNNNNNNNNNNNNNNNNNNNNNNNNNNNNNNNNNNNNNNNNNNNNNNNNNNNNNNNNNNNNNNNNNNNNNNNNNNNNNNNNNNNNNNNNNNNNNNNNNNNNNNNNNNNNNNNNNNNNNNNNNNNNNNNNNNNNNNNNNNNNNNNNNNNNNNNNNNNNNNNNNNNNNNNNNNNNNNNNNNNNNNNNNNNNNNNNNNNNNNNNNNNNNNNNNNNNNNNNNNNNNNNNNNNNNNNNNNNNNNNNNNNNNNNNNNNNNNNNNNNNNNNNNNNNNNNNNNNNNNNNNNNNNNNNNNNNNNNNNNNNNNNNNNNNNNNNNNNNNNNNNNNNNNNNNNNNNNNNNNNNNNNNNNNNNNNNNNNNNNNNNNNNNNNNNNNNNNNNNNNNNNNNNNNNNNNNNNNNNNNNNNNNNNNNNNNNNNNNNNNNNNNNNNNNNNNNNNNNNNNNNNNNNNNNNNNNNNNNNNNNNNNNNNNNNNNNNNNNNNNNNNNNNNNNNNNNNNNNNNNNNNNNNNNNNNNNNNNNNNNNNNNNNNNNNNNNNNNNNNNNNNNNNNNNNNNNNNNNNNNNNNNNNNNNNNNNNNNNNNNNNNNNNNNNNNNNNNNNNNNNNNNNNNNNNNNNNNNNNNNNNNNNNNNNNNNNNNNNNNNNNNNNNNNNNNNNNNNNNNNNNNNNNNNNNNNNNNNNNNNNNNNNNNNNNNNNNNNNNNNNNNNNNNNNNNNNNNNNNNNNNNNNNNNNNNNNNNNNNNNNNNNNNNNNNNNNNNNNNNNNNNNNNNNNNNNNNNNNNNNNNNNNNNNNNNNNNNNNNNNNNNNNNNNNNNNNNNNNNNNNNNNNNNNNNNNNNNNNNNNNNNNNNNNNNNNNNNNNNNNNNNNNNNNNNNNNNNNNNNNNNNNNNNNNNNNNNNNNNNNNNNNNNNNNNNNNNNNNNNNNNNNNNNNNNNNNNNNNNNNNNNNNNNNNNNNNNNNNNNNNNNNNNNNNNNNNNNNNNNNNNNNNNNNNNNNNNNNNNNNNNNNNNNNNNNNNNNNNNNNNNNNNNNNNNNNNNNNNNNNNNNNNNNNNNNNNNNNNNNNNNNNNNNNNNNNNNNNNNNNNNNNNNNNNNNNNNNNNNNNNNNNNNNNNNNNNNNNNNNNNNNNNNNNNNNNNNNNNNNNNNNNNNNNNNNNNNNNNNNNNNNNNNNNNNNNNNNNNNNNNNNNNNNNNNNNNNNNNNNNNNNNNNNNNNNNNNNNNNNNNNNNNNNNNNNNNNNNNNNNNNNNNNNNNNNNNNNNNNNNNNNNNNNNNNNNNNNNNNNNNNNNNNNNNNNNNNNNNNNNNNNNNNNNNNNNNNNNNNNNNNNNNNNNNNNNNNNNNNNNNNNNNNNNNNNNNNNNNNNNNNNNNNNNNNNNNNNNNNNNNNNNNNNNNNNNNNNNNNNNNNNNNNNNNNNNNNNNNNNNNNNNNNNNNNNNNNNNNNNNNNNNNNNNNNNNNNNNNNNNNNNNNNNNNNNNNNNNNNNNNNNNNNNNNNNNNNNNNNNNNNNNNNNNNNNNNNNNNNNNNNNNNNNNNNNNNNNNNNNNNNNNNNNNNNNNNNNNNNNNNNNNNNNNNNNNNNNNNNNNNNNNNNNNNNNNNNNNNNNNNNNNNNNNNNNNNNNNNNNNNNNNNNNNNNNNNNNNNNNNNNNNNNNNNNNNNNNNNNNNNNNNNNNNNNNNNNNNNNNNNNNNNNNNNNNNNNNNNNNNNNNNNNNNNNNNNNNNNNNNNNNNNNNNNNNNNNNNNNNNNNNNNNNNNNNNNNNNNNNNNNNNNNNNNNNNNNNNNNNNNNNNNNNNNNNNNNNNNNNNNNNNNNNNNNNNNNNNNNNNNNNNNNNNNNNNNNNNNNNNNNNNNNNNNNNNNNNNNNNNNNNNNNNNNNNNNNNNNNNNNNNNNNNNNNNNNNNNNNNNNNNNNNNNNNNNNNNNNNNNNNNNNNNNNNNNNNNNNNNNNNNNNNNNNNNNNNNNNNNNNNNNNNNNNNNNNNNNNNNNNNNNNNNNNNNNNNNNNNNNNNNNNNNNNNNNNNNNNNNNNNNNNNNNNNNNNNNNNNNNNNNNNNNNNNNNNNNNNNNNNNNNNNNNNNNNNNNNNNNNNNNNNNNNNNNNNNNNNNNNNNNNNNNNNNNNNNNNNNNNNNNNNNNNNNNNNNNNNNNNNNNNNNNNNNNNNNNNNNNNNNNNNNNNNNNNNNNNNNNNNNNNNNNNNNNNNNNNNNNNNNNNNNNNNNNNNNNNNNNNNNNNNNNNNNNNNNNNNNNNNNNNNNNNNNNNNNNNNNNNNNNNNNNNNNNNNNNNNNNNNNNNNNNNNNNNNNNNNNNNNNNNNNNNNNNNNNNNNNNNNNNNNNNNNNNNNNNNNNNNNNNNNNNNNNNNNNNNNNNNNNNNNNNNNNNNNNNNNNNNNNNNNNNNNNNNNNNNNNNNNNNNNNNNNNNNNNNNNNNNNNNNNNNNNNNNNNNNNNNNNNNNNNNNNNNNNNNNNNNNNNNNNNNNNNNNNNNNNNNNNNNNNNNNNNNNNNNNNNNNNNNNNNNNNNNNNNNNNNNNNNNNNNNNNNNNNNNNNNNNNNNNNNNNNNNNNNCUUUUAAGUAGGGAAAAUAAUACAGAAUGAUAAUAAGGCAUUUUCCACUAAACAUGAGCAACCCAAAAAUGUGAUAAUGGGCAACCAAAAUUGCUAAGUCCAUGAUGAGAUAAACCACCAGAGAAAAAUACAAACCAUGAAAAAGAAGUGAACCCAUGCCUUUUGCUAGUAAUUUGUGAGAAAGGCCAUUUAGCUCAAAUAAUGCAAACCACCCCUUCCCUUAAGGCAAAAGGAAACCAAACUCCAGAAUGAUUGCUCUUGCACAAAAUACUAGCUAAAAAAUAAGAACUCUGUGUUUUGAUGUUUUUCAAAUAUAGUGGUAGUAGAAAGCACCCCUUUGGCUAAUAGCAGAAACCUUAAGAAAAUCUUAGGAAAAGAUUAAAGGUAUUAAUGACUAGAAAUUUGUAUCAAGUAUGUUAUAACACCUAAAAGCCAGCAAAAAUAAGUUUUUGAGAAUUACCCACUUUAAAUAAUAGUUGUAGUUCAAAGUACCCCUUCUGCCCAAAAUUUGGUAAUUUUGUCCAGAGAAAACAUUCACUUUCUGAACCCCAAAUUUUUGAGACAGAGAAUCAUACACCAGUAACAAGCCACUGUAAUUUUUGCAAAUUUUUGGAAUUUAUAAAAGCAACUUGUAGUUCAAACCUACUCCAAAACAUUAAAGAAAUAAAAGAAAAGAGAAGAAGGAAUAAACCUCACCCCAAUAAGACUAACCCAAUUUACCAAGUAUACCACUAAAGGGUUUUACAUAAGUAAAGUUAACUGUUUAACUCAAAAGAUCUACAUCUUUAAAGUUAUAAAUUCUAAAGCACAUAUCAUAUCAUGCAUAUAUCUUACGCAUUGCAUUCAUUAGAUUGUAAUCUUGCCGACGGAGAGCAUUGCAUUCAUUAGAUUGUAUCUUGCCGACGGAGAGUACGUGCCUCUCCCCGAGCAAGGACCUAUCAAAGGAGGACCAGAGCAGGCUUCAGAGGCUGCUAUUGAGGAUCUCCCCGCAGCCCCAGCAAUUGAAGGCAAGCCCCGUUUUAGCUAACCAUGUAUUAUAUGCUACUUUACUACACUUAAUGCUUGUAGGAUUGCAAUGUGCACUAAGUGUAGGAGUUGCUUGAAACCUCUAGUUGCAUGAACUUAGGAUUCCUUUUUGAGAUGAAUACUAGUAUGCUAGGUCGAGUAGCUGCUUGCUAAUCAGACUCUCGGAGAAGUCGAGUGAUUUUCUACACUCGCGCGAGGUCAGGAAUUGAUUGUAUUCAUCUUGAUAAUGGAUAUAUGUUAGUCCUGGACUUGGUCCAGGGAGGAUGCAUGUCCAUGAAGACGGGAAAAAAUGAAUUAAGGAUUAAUGUGUGGAUACCUGAGUCAAGCUUUUGAACGUACUAAGCACAUGCCGGGAAAAUGGUAACCGGUAAACCUAGUACCUGAGUGAAGCCGGGCGCGGACUUUUCCCUCAUGCGACCUGAGACAGGGUCUCCAUGCUAGCUAUGGUGGGUACAAGUGCGGCACUGCACGCGGCAGCCGGGGUCAGUGGAGCAUUGUAUGCCAAGGCGGUGAGGCCUGGACGCGAACGGGAAUCGAUGGGGACGGUUGUCAUGUGUGGGGUCGGAGUACCCUGACAUGCCGUGUGUUUAGGUUUACCUUGCAAGGUUUAAAAACUCGAUUCGAAUCGUCUGCUUCUCGCAGCUAAUGAGACUGCUUGAUUCCUUGUACUGCAUCGAGUAAGAAGUGAAAUGUGGAUCAUAUGAGAUAACUUGUUGAUUGAACUAAUUGAUUGUUACCAUGUAUGCUUAGAGGAGCAAAUCUAGCUAAGUUAAUGAUGGUAGAAUUUGAAAAGCUAAAAGUUGAUUUUAGAAACAGCUAGUGCUUUUGGCAAACCAAACCCCUCAGCCAAACAGCUGCAUAGUCUAGAGGUAGAGGAGUAGACUCUCACACCGGUUAAGUCUAGCUGAGUAUUAGUAUACUCAGCCUUGCUUGUGGCACCAUUUUUGCAGGUACCAUGCAGGAUGUAGUUGAUGGUGUGACUUGGCCUACCACCCUGCCACCGGGUUGGACGGUCGAGUGGGAUGUUGCUCCGGCAGGAGAGGAGCAUGAGGAGUAGUGGGCUAGGCCUUGCCCAUUUCCUCAUUACCGACGACAUCGAUUAUCCGCUGCACUUUAAUUUAUGAACUUUAUUCGCUACUCAAAACUCCGAUUUAUGUAAUAACUCAGUACUUAAUUUGAGGUUUCCUGUUUUAUUGUAUUUCUUCUGUGACUCACCUUCGAGUGAGAUUGUGGGAUUUGAUCCUGGUUAAGUGGCUUCAUCAGACUAGAUCUGAGGGACUGACGGGUUAUUCCGAUUUAAGUGUGUUACGGCCCCUGAGGCGUGACUUAGGCACUUAAGCUGGAAUAAUUCGGGCGGUUCUGCCACAGCUGGUAUCGGAGCAAAUUCCACCACAGAGAAGGGCAAUAAACCAUGAAUACCAAUUUUCAAAAUCUAAAACCUGCCUAGAAGCUACUACGGAUCGUCAGGACUAGACCGCUAGACCUAGGACGAAAGGCCUUAGGCAUAGAGGGAGAAAUAGGUGCUAACUAAUUAGGCCCUGUGGGCCAAUACUUAUAUUUUAGGAUGCCCUAAAAAGGCACCCUAUUUUCCUUUUGAGAGGCAACGUUUCUUUCCGCAUGCAUGCAUUAUAAAACAUAAAGAGGAAUUAAAAUUGAGCUAACCCCCUUUUCUUCAAAAUCAUCCGGGCUCUCUUUUUCUUUUUCCUUCCACCAUAAUCUUUAUCUUUGAUUCCCUUCCGCAGAUGAAUUCACCCACCCCGCCAGUGGAGGAGACUCUCGUUUCAGUUCUGACUUCCUUUCUCGCGAUGGCUUCCCUUCCAUUUUGUGGGAAGUGCUUAAUUCCGCCGGUUACCCUACGCCCCCUUUGUACACGGUGCAGUUGUAUGAGGAGCAUCGGGUACCUCGUUGUCGGGUCUGGCUAACUUUGGAGGCUCAUCCCCUUCAGCCGGGUUGGCAUUCUCUUGACUCUGAGACGAUUGGACUCAGGACGGACGACACCGUUGAGGCAGCAGCCAUGAAGACUCUGACGACUUUUUGUGGCUACCAUCCCCUGGAGAUGGUGAUGCACCCCUUGGGACUCUUCCCGCUGAGAAGAAGGAUGAUCCCAUGUGGUGUAACCGCGUGAGCCAUGUGAAGGAUGUGUGGGCAAUGUAUCCUGACUUGGUUGGGAGGUCACUGUUCAGUGCAUGAGUGCGCUGUACCGCCUUCAGGCCCUUCAGAGCGAUGCUAUGACACUUCUUGCCAACACCGCUCAGGCUGCCAAGCUCACCCUCGACAGUCGGGAAGAUUUUGUGGUCGACCUAUCCACAGAGUUGGUGGAAAAGGAUCUGCAGGUGGAGAGGCUGAACCAGCGUAUUACCACCCUGGAGCAGCAAGUGGAGAUCCGAGAUAACACUAUUGAUGUCUUGGAGAACCAGCUUCACGACGUGCAGAGGGAACUCGAGGAAGCAAAUGACCACUUGGACAUGCACCACCUGGAGAUGGAGGCCAAUGAAGCAGGAAGCGAGGGAGAAGAGGCUCCCGAGGAGCUAGGACCAGCCCCUGGUGCCCAUGGGACUACCUCCGCGAUACCUCCUUCACCCGUAUCCAGUGUCGCUUCCACCGCUCAGGGUUAAGCAGUCGCUUUGACAUUUUUAGGCGGAUAGAAACCUAUGCGAGCUUAGUGGUAUCACAUUUUGGACUAGGCUUGUGGGUACCUUCCCCUGAUUAAUGUAACCCUGUAAACUUUUGAUAUCUGUGGGAUCCUUGUCACCAUGUUAUCUUCAUUCGAACCUAAUAUUAUGAUUAUGGUAUUUUCCUUCCAUAUGAGAUGAUAUCUUGUCGUUCGGAAAUGUGAAUUGGGAUAACAAUGGCGACAAUCUCUGUUUUCAGAUGGCAGCGAGGCAGCGUCGCGGGCAAAAUGAGCAAGCUCCCCCGCCACCUCCUCCAGCUCCCACAGUGCAGGAGCUGAUGGCCCAGCAGAAUGAGAUUCUGCGACAGCUCUUGCAGCGCCAGCCCCACCCUCAGCAUCCUGGUGGAGGCCAGCAUCAGCGACCUCCGGCUAUGGCAACAUACCAGGAGUUUCUGAAAACGCAGCCGCCCUUGUUCACCAAGGCAGAGGAUCCGUUGGACGCCGACGUGUGGCUUCGCGUCGUCGAGUCCAAGUUUCCCCUCCUCACAGGAGACUGCCCUGAUGAGGCCAAGGCUCGCUUCGCCGCACAGCAGCUUCGCGGCCCUGCUCGGACUUGGUGGGAUCACUUCCGUGCUAUGCUCCCCGGUGAUCGUGAAGUAUCUUGGGAGGAAUUCAAGACUGCCUUCAGAGGGCACCACAUUCCAGCUGGCAUUCUUGAUCGGAAGUUGAACGAAUUCCUGGCCCUCAAUCAAGGAACCCGCACGGUACUGCAGUAUGCGCAAGCCUUCAACGACUUAUGCCAGUAUGCAGGGUAUCAUGCUGAUUCUGAUGAAAAGAAGAGGGAUCGCUUCCGCAGGGGUCUCAAUACCAAGCUGCGGGAACGACUCAACACUGUCCGGGCCGAUAGCUUCAAUGAGUUGGUCAACAUGGCCAUCUCUCAGGAGGAUUGCAUUGUUGCUCACCGGGCAGAGAAGAAGAGAAAGGCACCAAUGGCAGCACCAUCCGCUCAGGCUCAGAGGUUCCGGAUUGUUUCUCACAAUCAGAGCAGGGGUUUUCAGCAGCAGGCAGGCAGAUGGGUGAUCAGGCCACCUCAGCAGCAGCAGCAGCCGGCACCCAACCGCUAUCCAGCUCCCGCCCCAAGAAACAAUCAGCCUCCGCAGCAGCAGCAGUUCCGCCAGGGCAAUGGGAACAAGUGUUUCACUUGUGGCAAUGUGGGCCACUAUGCCAAGAAUUGUCCCAGGAACCAGCAGAGGCAGAUGCCAGCACCAAAUCAAGACAAGGGAAGAAAGCAGAAGGUGCAAGUCAGGCAAGGGAAGCUCAACUUCACUGCUCUAGAGGAAGUGCCAGAAGGAGCUCCUAUCAUGACCGGUACCUUUUCAGUUUAUAAUCAACCUGCUUUAAUUCUGUUUGAUUCUGGUGCAUCUCAUAGUUUCAUUAGCCAAAAGUUCAGUGCUAAUUGCAAACUGCCAUUCUCUCACUCAAAAGGGUCAUUCAUGAUAGUCACACCUGGGGGUAAAAUUGCAACUAAUCAAUUAAACCAAAGUGUGCCUAUUCAACUGGGAAGCCACAUUAUCAAAACCACUCUUCUUGUGUUGGGAUUGGAAAAUGUGGACAUUAUUCUAGGAGCAAAUUGGAUGACCUUGCACCAAGUUGUGCUCGACGUAGCCAGUCGUACCGUGGAAGUUAAUUCUCCCUUCUGCGGGAAUUUCACUUUGAUUCUGCCUAGUCAGGGUUCUUCUCAGUCAUGUGCUUUCUCUAUGACGGAAUUACCCCUGAAGAAGAUCCCAGUGGUCUGUGAGUAUGCAGAUGUCUUUCCUGAUGAAUUGCCAGGAAUGCCACCGGACCGGGAUAUUGAGUUCGCCAUCGAGUUGCAACCGGGAACGGCCCCAAUUUCCAAGAGGCCCUACCGAAUGCCACCCGCUGAGUUGGCAGAGUUGAAGAAGCAGUUGCAAGAGUUGCUGGAUAAGGGAUUUAUUCGCCCAAGCACUUCGCCUUGGGGCUGUCCAGCACUGUUUGUGAAGAAGAAGGAUGAAAGCUUGAGGCUGUGUAUAGAUUACCGCCCUCUUAAUGCGGUAACUAUCAAGAACAAGUAUCCUUUGCCUCGUAUUGAUGUUCUCUUUGACCAGUUGGUCGGGGCCAAGGUGUUUUCCAAGAUAGACCUUCGCUCUGGCUACCAUCAGAUCAAAAUACGAGCAAGUGAUAUUCCGAAGACGACAUUCUCAACCAGAUAUGGGCUAUAUGAAUUCUUGGUGAUGUCAUUCGGGCUGACGAAUGCACCAGCAUAUUUCAUGUAUCUGAUGAAUUCUGUUUUCAUGCCAGAAUUGGACAAGUUCGUGGUGGUUUUCAUCGAUGAUAUUCUGGUGUACUCAAGGAACGAAGAAGAACAUGCCGGGCAUUUGCAUGUAGUACUUCAACGUCUGCGAGAUCACCACCUUUAUGCCAAGUUAUCCAAAUGUGAUUUUUGGCUAAAGGAAAUCAAAUUCUUGGGUCACACUAUCUCUCAGGCUGGAAUAGCUGUUGAUCCUGAUCAAGUGCAAGAGGUGAUGAACUGGAGGCCACCAACGACUGUUCGCCAGAUUCGGAGUUUUCUGGGAUUGGCUGGUUAUUACCGAAGAUUUAUUCCGGACUUCUCUCGAAUUGCGAAGCCUAUUACUGAGUUGCUGAAGAAAGAAGUCAAGUUUGUGUGGAGUCAGAAGUGCGAAGAUGCCUUCCAUGCAUUAAGGCAGCAUCUGACCACAGCACCAGUAUUGGCGCAACCCGACAGCAGCAAGCCUUUUGAUGUAUAUUGUGAUGCCUCUGGCACCGGGCUAGGUUGUGUCUUGAUGCAAGACAACCGAGUCAUUGCUUAUGCCUCAAGAGCACUCAGGCCUCAUGAGCAAAAUUAUCCUACUCAUGACCUUGAGUUAGCAGCAGUGGUUCAUGCAUUGAAGAUGUGGAGGCACUAUCUAAUGGGAACCCACUGCAACAUCUUCACUGAUCAUAAGAGCCUUAAGUACAUUUUUACUCAGGCUGAUCUCAACAUGAGGCAGAGAAGAUGGCUAGAGCUGAUCAAGGAUUAUGACCUGGAGGUACAUUAUCACCCAGGGAAAGCUAAUGUGGUAGCAGAUGCCUUGAGUCGGAAGUUGCAGUGCAACUGUAUUCUGAUGGAUUCUCGUGUUAACACCUUGUGUGAUGAGUUGAGCAAGAUGCAAAUUGAAGUGAUUCCUUCUGGUUCUUUGUCUCACAUUGCUGUUGAGCCAGCCUUGCAAGACCAGAUUAUCAUGGCCCAGCUCAGUGACAAGGGAGUGCAGAUUAUCAAGAAGAAUCUCCAUCAGAAGGUUGAGAAGUAUAAUUGUUUCCGCCAGGAUGAGAAGGGUGUGUUAUGGUUCAAAAGCAGAUUGGUAAUUCCUAAGGACCAGGAUCUCAAGAAGAAAAUUUUGGAUGAGGCUCAUCUCUCCAAAUUCUCUAUGCAUCCGGGAAGCACCAAGAUGUACCAUGAUUUGAAGCUUUUGUACUGGUGGACCAGAAUGAAGAGGGAGAUAGCCCAGUAUGUAUCAGAGUGUGACACCUGUCAGAGGAUAAAGGCAAGCCACUUGAAGUCCGCUGGAGCUUUGCAACCACUGUCCGUACCUUCGUGGAAGUGGGACGACAUCAGCAUGGAUUUCAUUGUGGGUCUACCCAACACCUCUCGUCAUCAUGAUUCAAUUUGGGUUAUUGUGGACCGAUUGACGAAAGUGGCACAUUUCCUUCCUGUGCACACCACUGAUAAGGCUCAGAAGUAUGCAGAAUUGUAUAUUGACCGAAUCGUGUGUUUGCAUGGAUUACCUCGGACCAUUGUUUCUGACCGAGGAGCCCAAUUUGUUGCCAGAUUUUGGGAACAAUUGCAAGAGUCUUUGGGAACUAAGCUAAUCAGGAGUUCAGCUUACCACCCACAGACUGAUGGUCAGACGGAAAGGGUAAACCAGAUUCUGGAGGAUAUGCUGAGAGCUUGUGCGAUCGAUUGUGGCAAGAACUGGGAUAAGCACCUCUCCUUGGCAGAGUUUGCUUAUAACAAUAGUUACCAAUCCAGCCUAAAGAUGGCACCUUUUGAAGCUCUCUAUGGAAGAAGGUGCAGGACACCACUCAAUUGGUCUCAGCCUGGUGAAAGAGAAGUUUUUGGACCUGAUUUGGUGACUGAAGCCGAAAGGAGGGUCAAGUCAAUCAGGAAGAAUCUAGAAGCUGCUCAGGCCAGGCAGAAGAGCUAUCAUGAUAGAAGAAGGAAACCUCUCCAGUUCGAGGUGGGAAGUUUUGUAUACCUCAAGGUAUCACCCACCAAGGGAGUGCAGAGGUUUGGGAUCAAAGGCAAGCUAGCCCCUCGUUACAUUGGACCUUAUGAGAUCAUAGAAGCGUGUGGACCCGUGGCAUACAAGUUGAAGUUACCUUCAAAGAUGUCUGCCAUUCACAGCGUAUUCCAUGUAUCUCAGCUGAAGAAGUGUGUUCGAUUGCCGACUGAGAUCAUAGCAGAGCCAGAAUUGGAGAUAGAGCCAGAUCUCUCGUACCAAGAGUACCCCUCCAAGAUUCUGGACUGCAAGGAAAGAUCAACUCGGGCUAAAUCAAUCAAGAUGUUCAAGGUCCAGUGGAGUAAUCACUCAGAGGAGGAAGCUACUUGGGAAACCGAGGAAUUCUUAAGAUCCAACUUCCCCGAUUGCCUACCUAAGGAAGCUGGUAUGUAAUCACCCCCAACUCCUCCUCCUGCCUUUCGAAUCUAAUUUCCAAAAAUAUGAUCUUAAUUCAGAAUGAAGUAACUAUAAAGUAAAACUUAAAAGGACUUCCUUCUGAAGUUGCAAAGAGAAUGACAUUCGAAGAGCAGUUUUGCCCUAAUAAUAACAAUCCCCACCCUUGUCCUAUCAGUCUCACCCUUCGCUUCACCUCGAAAGGACUCUGGCCCGAAUCUCGGGACGAGAUUCCCUUAAGGGGGGAAGGCUGUGACACCCCAGUGUCACCUAGGGUUUCUCUUGAAAAGCCAAACCAAGGACCAUUAUUUUAUGUGAACCAAAGUAAGCAUGAGCAUCAAAAUAACUUAAGUAAGAAAGAAUUCACCAAGUAUAUGCUUAAAAGUGUCAUGAUCAAGACAAUUGAGUCUCUUAAAGGAUAAGAAUGUGCAACCCUAAUUAAGAACCCUAAGUGAACCCCAUGAACAAAAUUCAAGAAAAUAAGCAAAAGGGAAUGAAAAGUUUAAAAUUUUGAGUUGAGCCAAUUAUAUAAGUUAAAGUAUAUUUGAUAAGCAACAAGAUAGAUUGAGAAAGCUUAGCCAAAAUAAUUCAAGAAAACCCCCAAAUCAAGCUUCUUUUGUUGGGACUCAUUGGGAAUUCUGAAUUUCAGAAUUCUGAAAUUCAGACCUUGAGCCAAAGAUCAGGGAUGUUCACCUUGAUCCCUAACUCGAAUCCUAAUGGCCCCAUUGACAAAAUUGUGUCUAACUAACCCCUCUGUCGUGUGCCAGAAGAUGGCAUUGGGACGCGAGCCCUAGACACGACAAAACUUGGGAUUUGCCUCGGGUUUGGGCAGGGAGACAGACCAGAUUUCCUGGCUCCAUAUCUCUGCAACCAAUAGGCAAAAUCCUAUGACCUCCACACAAGAAUGGUAGCUUGUAGGGAGGAGAAGAGGUUUUGUGCACUGACCAAGGCGAGAGCAGGCUCGGAUGAGCGACCACACGCGCCAGAGCUUGGGCAGAACGCACGGGCACACGUGUUCGACCCUGGUCGGCACGCCAGAGCUCGCCCAACCCGCGCGCGCGCUCGCCCCGGCGUCCGGUCAAGUCCGCCGCGCGCCCACGCCCUCGGCCGUGCCCGCCCACGCCUAUAAAGCCUCCCCGAGCGCACCUCUCUUCGCCCCGCACUCACCCUCACCGGCCAGCCACCGUUCCUUAGCUCCGGCGAGCUCAUUUCUGCCCGCCAUUGCCGCCAGAGCUACGGCCGCCGUGGCCAACCCACUCCAGCCACCCUCCAGCCCAACCAGUGCUUCGGCUAGCUCCGCCAGUAGCCCGUGAAGCUUGCCAAGCCCUCGGACCCGACCGGACUUCACCGGAGGCCCGAGAUCAACCUCACCGGACUUCGGUCUUCCGCCGCCGCGCGUGGACCGAGCUAUCCAGUGAGUCUCCGCCCGAUUCCUUUUGCUCAUGUCUUCUCUGGCAUCCCGUGGACCUCCCUGACCUAUUUGAUUGAACUAUCUCGCCGCGACCAGGCCGGUCUCCUCGCCGCCGACGAGCAUCCGCGCCUGCGCGCGUGGACCGACCGACUCCGGCCAUCUCCGACGGUGUUCCGCACACCGUUGUGAUCCCCGCGACCUCCCCUUCACCCUCGGCCACUUCACCGGAACAGUCUCGCCGCCGGUAAGCCCCUCCGCCCUUUUCUUCGCCGCGGCUACUGUUUAAGGUAGAAGAAGGACCUCGGGUUAGGUUCUGUAGAACCCGAGGGGUUUUUCGUAAUGUCAGCGACUCAUGUGAAUAGUAACCUAAGGACUGAAUUGCGAGGAAAACUUAGAAAACCGCCAGGGACCCCAGUGCAAAGUGGAUUUCCAUUCAAUCAAUUUUGUUAUUUCUUUUUAAAAUGACCAGAGAACUUAGAAAAUCCAUAACUUGAUGAAAUCUUAAUGAAAAGCUGUCAAACCAAUUUUGCUAGCUCUGGAAUUUUAUGACCUAUCAUUUAAAAAUAGUGAACCAUAUGCUUUCUGUCCUAAAUUUUAGAGUUUAAAAUUAAAAACAGAAACCCCCUAAACCUUGUUUAAUUAAGGAAAAUUAGUUUUUCUUUUGUGCUGAGCUUAAGAAAAUUUGUAGAUGCUUAUACCUUAAUUAGACACUGUUUAAAAAUAGUAGGAGCCCCAGCAUUAGAGUUUAUGAUGUAGUUAUUCAUUUAAAGCCAUUUUGUCUAAAACUUAGAGAAAAUCAGAAAGACCUUAGAGAUUAAUGAACAGUGAUUAGUAAUAUUUUUCCUAGAUUACUUGUGCAACAGAGAACCUAGGAAAAAUGCAGAGACCAUUAAUUUGGACCAGUUUCUAAUUAAGAUGCUUUAAUUAGCAUUAUGUAGACUGAAAAUCAAUUAUUAGAAUUGCAAAACUAUAACCAAAGUGGUUAACAAAAAUCCAGUGAACUUAUAACCACCAGAGCCCCACUACAAAAAUACAGAGCACCCCAGCCUAACUUUUUAAGUAGGGAAAAUAAAUACAGAAUGAUAAUAAGGCAUUUUCCCACUAAAUCAUGAGCAACCCCAAAUAAUGUGAUAAUGGGCAACCAAAAUUUUGCUAAGUCCAUGAUGAGAUAAACCACCAGAGAAAAAUACAAAUCCAUGAAAAAGAAGUGAACCCAUGCCUUUUGCUAGUAAUUUGUGAGAAAGGCCAUUUAGCUCAAAUAAUGCAAACCACCCCUUCCCUUAGGCAAAAGGAAACCAAACUCCAGAAUGAUUGCUCUUGCACAAAAUACUAGCUAAGAAAAAUAAGAACUCUGUUGUUUGAUGUUUUUCAAAUAUAGUGGUAGUAGAAAGCACCCCUUUGGCUAGAAACCUUAAGAAAAUCUUAGGGAAAGAAUUAAAGGGUAUUAAUGACUAGAAAUUUGUAUCAAGUCAUGUUAUAACACCUAAAAGCCAGCAAAAAUAAGUUUUUGAGAAUUACCCACUAUUAAAUAAUAGUUGUAGUUCAAAGUACCCCUUCUGCCCUAAAAUUUGGUAAUUUUGUCCAGAGAAAACCAUUCACUUUCUGAACCCCAAAUUUUGAGACAGAGAAUCAUACACCAGUAAAAAGCCACUGUAAUUUUUGCAGAAUUUUUGGAAUUUUAUAAAAGCAACUUGUAGUUCAAACCUACUCCAAAACAUUAAAGAGAAUAAAAGAAAAGAGAAGAAGGAAUAAACCUCACCCCAAUAAGACUAACCCAAUUUACCAAGUAUACCACUAAAGGGUUUUACAUAAGUAAAGUUAACUGGUUUUAACUCAAAAGAUCGUACAUCUUUAAAGUUAUAAAUUCUAAAGCACAUAUCAUAUCAUGCAUAUAUCUUACGCAUUGCAUUCAUUAGAUUGUAAUCUUGCCGACGGAGAGUACGUGCUCAUCUCCGAGCAAGGACCUAUCUAAGAGGAGGACCAGGAGCAGGCUUCAGAGGCUGCUAUUGAGGAUCUCCCCGCAGCCCCAGCAAUUGAAGGCAAGCCCCGGUUUUAUGCAUAACCAUGUUAUUAUAUGCUACUUUACUACACUUAAUGCUUGUAGGAUUGCAAUGUGCACUUAAGUGUAGGAGUUGCUUGAAACCUCUAGUUGCAUGAACUUAGGAUUCCUUUUGAGAUGAAUACUAGUAUGCUAGGUCGAGUAGCUGCUUGCUAAUCAGGAUCUCGGCAGAAGUCGAGUGAUUUUUCUAGCACUCGCGCGAGGUCAGGAAUUGAUUGUAUUCAUCUUGAUAAUGGGAUAUAUGUUAGUCCGUGGACUUGGGUCCAGGGAGGAUGCCAUGUCCAUGAGACGGGAAAAAAAUGAAUUAAGGAUUAAUGUGUGGAUACCUGAGUCAAGCUUUUGAACGUACUAAGCACAUGCCGGGAAAAAUGGUAACCGGUAAACCUAGUACCUGAGUGAAGCCGGGCGUGGACUUUAUCCCUCAUGCGACCUGAGACAGGGUCUCCCAUGCUAGCUAUGGUGGGUACAAGUGCGACCACUGCACGACGGCAGUCGGGGUCAGUGGAGCAUUGUAUGCCAAGGCGGUGAGGCCUGGACGCGAACGGGGAAUCGAUGGGGACGGUUGUCAUGUGUGGGGUCGGAGUACCCUGACAUGCCGUGUGUUUAGGUUUACCUUGCAAGGUUUAAAAACUCGAUUCGAAUCGUCUGCUUCUCGUAGCUAAUGAGACUGCUUGAUUCCUUGUACUGCAUCGAGUAAGAAGUGAAAUGUGGAUCAUAUGAGAUAACUUGUUGAUUGAACUAAUUGAUUGUUACCAUGUAUGCUUAGAAGGAGCAAAUCUAGUUAAGUUAAUGAUGGUAGAAUUUGAAAAGCUAAAAGUUGAUUUUAGAAACAGCUAGUGCUUUUGGCAAACCAAACCCCUCAGCCAAACAGCUGCAUAGUCUAGAGGUAGAGGAGUAGACUCCUCACACCGGUUAAGUCUAGCUGAGUAUUAGUAUACUCAGCCUUGCUUGUGGCACCAUUUUUGCAGGUACCAUGCAGGAUGUAGUUGAUGGUGUGACUUGGCCUACCACCCUGCCACCGGGUUGGACGGUCGAGUGGGAUGUUGCUCCGGCAGGAGAGGAGCAUGAGGAGUAGUGGGCUAGGCCUUGCCCAUUUCCUCAUUACCGACGACAUCGAUUAUCCGCUGCACUUUAAUUUAUGAACUUUAUUCGCUACUCAAAAACUCCGAUUUAUGUAAUAACUCAGUACUUAAUUUGAGGUUUCCUGUUUUAUUGUAUUUCUUCUGUGACUCACCUUCGAGUGAGAUUGUGGGAUUUGAUCCUGGUUAAGUGGCAUCAUCAGACUAGAUCUGAGGGACUGACGGGUUAUUCCGAUUUAAGUGUGUUAUGGCCCCUGAGGCGUGACUUAGGCACUUAAGCUGGAAUAAUUCGGGCGGUUCUGCCACAGCCACCGUCGCCCCGGGCCACCGUCGCGCCAUUGCCGCCACCGAGGAGUCCCCGGAGCCCGCCUUGAGGUAAAGAACCUCUCCUGCCCCCUCCAAACCCGCGUAUUGCCUUCUACUGUGCUUAAUUCCUCGCCGGAGUUGUUUUAUGCCGCCGCCGAGCCGCUCCGCCGUGAACCGCCCCCCUCCGGUGUCCCUGCCCCGACCCAGCCCCCACCGGGCGAUUCCCCGUGCCCUCCCCAACCUUCCCGGCCGCUCAGGUCGCCCUAGAGACCCGCCGAGCGCCCGCGCCCCUCGUCUCCGGCGAGUCCUCCGCCGCGGGGACGAGCGCCGCCGCCCCAGCUAGUCGUAGGAGAAGCCAAGGCCGCCCACCCGAUCCCCGUCGUCCGUCCCAGAUCGGGCAGUCCCGUUUUGAUUAGGCCGAGCCUAAUCCCGGCCGUCCGUCGGAGAUCCAGCGGCCCAGGCCCGCUUCCCCCACACCCCGCCUCCCUGCCAGUUGGGUCCCGCCUGUCAGCCCGCCUGUGCCCGCGCUGCCGUUUGGGCCCCACCUGUCAGCCGCGUGCUCGCGCUGCCCGCCCGGCCCCGCCUGUCAGCCGCCCAGGCCGCCGCGCGCUCGCGCGCCCGCCCGCAGGAUCUAAUCCUGGCCGUUCGCCUUAGAUCUGACGGCCGUAGGAGCCCGAUACCCCUUCGCCCGCGCGUUUUCUUAAAGAGACCCCCGGUUUUCUGGAAUUUAAACCCGUCGUCCCUGGUUUCUCUCAGUUAGGUCCCUGGGCCUUUUAUUUAAUUCAAAAUAGGUAUUUAGGGUAUAUUUUUAACCCCUAAACUUGUAAAAUCCAUAACUUUGUCAUAUAAACUCCAAAUUAGGUGCUUCAAAUUGCAAAAUGCUCAUGAUGUUUUUGUCUGUCUAUUUAAACAAUGUUUCCCUGCUGUUUCCAUGUACCAAUUAAUGAUUAAUCAUUAGGAUAGGAUUAAGGUUAUUGGAACCCUAUUUGUGAUAAUCAGAAGUUGGUAGACUUUAAUAAAAGUUGGAGUACUUAAGUUCAUGGACUUAAACACCUAGGUUUAGGAACUUAAAACCAUGUAAUGAUUUAAUCCCACCACCGACUUAAACCUGAUUAGUGGAUAAUGAAUCACUUUGUAUAGUCCUCUACCCCAGACCUAGGGAACACUAGAGUGCCUAUCUCUUUUCUACUAUGAACUUGUGAUCUCUCUCUGCUGCAUAUGUUUGGUAUGUUGCUUUCUGUUUGUUAUGUUCCCAAGUGCAUAGUGUGAAUGAUUACUUUACGUAGACAACGAGCAGUCUGUGUUUCCCGAGGAAGUUGCAGAGGAAGUCCCUGAUCAGCAGUUUGGUGAAGGCAAGUGUCCUCUGUCCCAUUAUGUCCUAUUCAUUUAUAACUUACUACCCCGCAUUACUUACUUGAAACCUAAGGAUUGACUAGCUUUACACUUUACUUUAUCCUUGAUGACCUUAUGGGCUGUUAUGGUUAGCACUCUACUAUUGCCUUAACUUAAUCAAUGAACAUGAUGUGACUAUUUAUGAUACUGUUAUCCUGAUAAUGUUGAUGAUCUGGUGAUACUCUAGGGGGCUCAGGCUGUUUCCUGAGUACCUCUCCGUAAGGACUUGUUCGUUGAGAGACCACCCGGGAUAACAGUGCAACCAUGAGGGUGAAAUGGGAUGCCCUUAGCUGAUUAAUUGGAUGAACUAGAGGUGUAGUUGCUUAGCCGUCGUGCCGUCAAUGGGGUCCAGGCACAGUGCUUGCUCUGCCGAGGCUGAGUGCCGAGGUUCUUUCGUUUUGCUCUUUGUUAGUCACUCUCCUGCGGGGAGGGGUACUGUGUUUAUCAAACUGGAGAAACCUAACGGGCAGCUAUGAUCUCUGGGGAAUCUUUGUAAAAGCUACGUAGUGAUGCCCUGCCGGACCACCUAGGUAGUGGUCAAUGGGGAUUAGCUCUCCCCGGGUAGAAAGGGAAUCAUGACUCAUGGGUAAAGUGUGCAACCUCUGCAGAGGGUAGUGAAACUGGUAUAUCAGCCGUGCUCACGGUUAAGAGCAGCCUUGGGAUCCUCUUUGAUUAGAGAUACAGAUGGUUCGAGAUACAAGGAUUAUGUUAUGGUUUUGGUUCGACUAUGAUGGUGUUGUUCCUCAAUGAGGAAAUGGUUUACGGGUUGGUUAAUGCUAAAAUCUGGCUUCUACUAAUGAUAAAUACCUGACCAACUAAAAGCAACUUCUUGAGCCUAACCCCACAUAAAGCUAGUCCACUUCAGCCAAACGGGACAUUUGCUGAGUACGUUGAUGUGUACUCAUCCUUGCUUUACCACCAAACACCAGGUUGCCCGCAUUGUAACCACUGCUCAGGAGAAGGCGAAGUCGUGGAAGGAGACUUCCAGGAGUUCCAAGAUUACGACGAAUUCUAGGUGUGGGUUGGCGGCAACCCCCAGUCAGCUGCCUGUGGAGGCCUUAUCUUUACUGCGUUUUGCUAGUACUUUGAUUUACCUGUUAAGACAAUGACUAUGUGGAUGUCUAUGACUCUGUGAUGUAAUAAGUUAUUACUCUUUUAUGUUAUUAUUCGAGCAUUGUGCGAUGAUGUUCAUUUAUGUAAUCGCUGUGUACGUGAGUUCUGAUCCUGGCACGUACAUAGUUCGCAUUCGGUUUGCCUUCCAAAACCGGGUGUGACACUACCACCCCCAAACUGAUGGGCAGACAGAGAGGACUAACCAAGUGCUGGAAGAUAUGUUAAGAGCUUGUGCCCUUAAGCAUGGUGGUAGUUGGGAUAAGAGUCUACCGUAUGCGGAGUUCUCUUAUAAUAAUAGCUAUCAGGCCAGUUUGAAGAUGUCGCCGUUUGAGGCUCUGUAUGGCAGAAAGUGCAGGACACCACUGUAUUGGGAUCAAACUGGAGAGAGACAGUUCUUUGGGCCUGAACUUAUACAAGAGGCAGAAGAACAAGUUCGAAUGAUAAGAGAAAAUUUGAGAAUUGCACAGUCCAGGCAGAAAAGCUAUGCUGAUACCCGGAGAAGACUGCUUGAGUUUAAAGAGGGAGAUUAUGUCUAUUUGAAGGUGUCACCACUCCGGGGUAUGAGAAGAUUCAAAGUCAAAGGAAAGUUGUCCCCUCGCUUUAUUGGACCCUUCUUAAUCUUAAAGCGAGUGGGAGAGGUAGCAUAUCAAUUGGAGUUACCGGAUCAUCUUGCGGAUGUUCAUGAUGUAUUUCAUGUAUCUCAGCUGAAGAAAUGUCUCAGGGUGCCUGAAGAACAAUUACCAAUGGAAGACCUUAAUGUUCAAGAUGACCUGACUUAUGCUGAGUACCCCAUCAAGAUUCUUGAUACAUUGACUCGAGUAACAAGAAAUAAGGUUAUAAAGAUGUGCAAAGUUCAAUGGAGUCACCACGGUGAAGAUGAAGCUACUUGGGAAAGAGAAGAAGAGCUUCGCAUAGAUUUUCCCCACCUUUUCCCUAGAUCUUCCUAAAUCUCGAGGACGAGAUUAUUUUUAAGGGGGGUAGGAUUUGUAACACCUAAUUUGUAAGAAAUAAUAUAAAAGGAGAAAAGUUAUUUCCUUUAUAUAUAUGUGUGUGUUAUCUCUACUUAUCAUUUCAUGUGUACACCUCACUUACACAAAUAAAUAAUCAACAAGAAGGACACUCAACUAAAUCAUGCAUCAUGCCGUGAUUUUAUUUUGUGUGCAUUCUAUGACAAUAUAAAAGUAAUAUAAAAAGAAAUAUAUUAAUACCAAAAUUUGGGAAUUUCACCCUAGUUUGCAAAUUAGAGGUUAGAGAAGAGAAGGAAAAUGUUAUACAAAAAAAUAAUAAUAAAGAAAUAGAUAUAGAAAUAAUUGGACCUUUCAUAUUAUUAGGUUCAAUGUGUACAUUUAAAAUGAGUAUAAUCUUACAAUUUGAAUUGAAUUCAAAUUUGAAUUCAAAAAAAACAAAAACAAAAAGGAAAGUAAAUUCAGAAAAAGGAAAAUAAAAAAGGUGAAAAACGCGCAUGGGCCCAAACCACCUCUUUAGCCCACUUCUUCCUCUCGCCCCGCGUGGCCCAACUUCAAUUAUGGGCGCCGACAGCAAUGGCCCGCAUGUCAGUCCGUCCUACCGGAGCACUGCGCCGACACCUGGGAGCCACCUUGUCAGCCUCUUCCCAUUCUUUCAUCUCGCAGGCGCUUUUCGGUGUCACUGCCGCACGAGCCUACCCUGUCGGUCACCCCUUGGCGCACCCACUUCGCCCAUCGCUGAACUCGCGGACCCACUGCGCAGCGCCGCGUUCUCGGUCUGGGUGUGACUUCCACCUGGGACCCACUGGUCAUCUUGGUCACCGUGGCGAUAACCGACGGAGUGAGUCGUGCGGCGGACCUCGCUCUUCUCCUGCGCUAGCUGGGGCACUCCACGAUCCCGCGUCUCAGGGUGAUAAAAGUGAAUCCACCUUCCAUGACCCCUCUCUCCCUCUUCCGUUUCUUUCAUCAGCGACGCCGAGCCCUCUGUGCACCCAAGCCAUAACCCAGAAACCACGCCGCCGUCGUCGACGCAUCCGCGGUCGAUUCCUUGAUCGCAGCGAAGUGUCCUGGGAGCACCGGAAGGCCCCGCCGCAAGUGUAGGAGCCGAUCCUGGGUCGGAUUCUAUUGCCAGUGGGCGGAAAUUGCUCGUCGCCGUUCAUGCAUCGAUCGGAGUCCGCGACCGUCGUAGACAGCCCGCCACCACGCACGACUUUCGGUACGGUUUCCUCAAGUGCGUUCGUCUUCAUUGCCGUAAUGUUUAGAGCUGGUUGGAGUGAUGUUUAGCGCGCGUAAUCCGAGGAACGCCUGGCCAGCAAUGGCGCCGCCGUGCUCGGAGUACGCGGCCGCGCUCCACCGUCAGGAGUAGGGGGUGGUUUCAGACCGUCUGAUUCAAGAUGGACGGUGUUGAUUAGGGAGAAUGUACCGCCUCGGCCUGGGUUCGUCCUGACCGUUGGAUCUACGUGGUCGGCUACGAUUAGGCCUAGCAUACCCCUUCAGCCUUAUGAUCUGAGCCCUAGAUAUUUGAUCAAACGACCAGCAUUCGCUGAUAACCCUUCGGGCCGUUCAUUUUGCAUAAGAGCCCUUACGUUCCCCGAAAUCAACCCGCAAUCCACCUGGUGGGUCAUCUGUGUCUUAGGAUUAAUUGCAUCAGGGCCCCUGACUUCUCUGGAAUUAGAGACCCAGUCCAGAACUGAUUCAAAAUGAAUAAAUGAAUUAGUAAAUGCAUUUUUAAUAAAAAAACAAAUCUAGAAACUUGUAAAAUGCAUAGAAAAUUCAUCUCUAGUCCAAAUUAAUCCAUUCCAGUUUCUAAAACUUUGUAAUAUUAUUCUCUACCAUUUAGUGUCUCUGCUUUGUCAUGAAAACAGUAAGAAAAUUAAUUUAUCAUUUCAUCCUAUUUCAAGCACAUUAAAUCUUAGGAAAUUCAUAACUUGAAAUCUAUAACUCCAAAUUUAAUGAUUCCAGUUCCAAUGAUCUUAUUUUAAUGUGUAGAUUUUUACUGUAUAUUUUAUUUAUCUGUUUGAUGUGAUGUUAAUUUAUGCUAUACUAUGUAUGUAUUGUGUUGAUGCGAGUAGACGAGCAAGCCACUGUGGAUUCUGAAGUACAACAAGUAGAAGUAGCUGAGCAGGAGCUCAUUGAAGGCAAGUUGUGUCCUUGAUCACUUACUUUUCCCAGCCAUGUUCUUAUUAAUUAUAAUGAUCUGCAUAGGAUAAUUUUGAUGGGACCCAAUAGGUUACCCUAGUUUUGGCUAUCUUUAUACCUUGUUUACCACUGAAAUAUUUCUUUGGGUAGUACCUGCUAUUGCUUUAUGUGGAUUUGGGUAUGAAGAUACUUUAUUCAUAAUUACUCUUUUAUUCUCUUUUAUUAUUACUGUUCAUGUUAAGAUCAUUAUGUUAAUGGGAACAUGGAGCGACCACCCGGGAAAACAGUGCUACCACAAGGGUAUAAUGGGACGCCCUUGGCUGAUUAACUAGGAAAGCUAGUGGAGGUCUUCCUUACCCGAAAGGGGCAAGGGCAGUAGGGGAGUGGUCAGUGUAGGGAGGUCCUUGGGUUGAUUUUGCUGCGAUGGCGGUCAGGCAAGAACCCUGCAUUGGAGCUUCCUAUAAACUGUAGCGGGAUUUCUGAAGCUAGUGGAACUUUGUAAAGGCCUCGUAGUGUUACCCUGCCUCGCCUCCUCGGUAGAGGUGUAUGGGAUUGGCCAUCUCUUGGCAGAUGGGUAACAUGACUUGUGGGUAAAGAUGCGCAACCUCUGCAGAGUGUAAAACUGGUAUACUAGCCGUGCUCACGGUCAUGAGCGGCUCGGACCCUCACAUGAUUAAUUUAUGGAACUUAAAUUUAAUUGGACAUUUGCAUCGCAUUUGGGAUUAUUUUACUAUUACUUUUCUUUAUUAUUAUUAAGGUUUGGUAUUUACUUACACUUAGUAAUUGCUAAUAAAAUUUUGACCAACUUAUAAAAGCAAUGCUCAGCUUCAGCCUUUAUUUCAUUGAUCAGCCUUACACUUCAUGAACUCACACCUUUGGUGAGUUCAUGCCACAUUAUUCCCCAUGACUUGUUGAGCUAUGAACGUAUGUGAGCUCACUCUUGCUGUCUCACACCCCCCCCCCCCACAGGAGAAGAGCAGGUGGUUCAGGAGGAGCCACAAGGCGAGGAGUUUGAUCUGAUCUAGGUGGCGUUUCUCAGUCGACAUUGGCGCCGACGAUCCUUAGUUUGUUUUAUAUUCAUUAUUUUAUUUUGUAAUAAGUCUUCCGCUAUGUAAUAAAUACUCUGAUGUUUUAUGACAUUUAUCUCUAUACACUCUGUUAUUAUAUAUGUUGUCUUCUUGGCGCAUGUAUGAGAUGCACCCGGCUUUGUUCCUUAAAACCGGGUGUUACACUUCGCCAAGAAGCAACCCUGACCAAAUCGCCGCACCGACCGACCAAAUCGCAGGAGCAUUUAAUGCAAAGGUGGCCUGACACCUUUAUCCUGACGAGCGCCCCUCAGCCGAUAGAGCCGAGUGACCGUCGUCACUUCGCCGCUCCACUGACCGGUCUGACAGAAAGACAGCGCUGCCUGCGCCGCUCCAACUGCGGUGCCACUUGACAGAGUGAGGCUGACAGGCAGUCAGGCCCGACCUCAAGCACCAUAGGAAGCUCCGCUCCGCCCGACCCAGGGCUCGGACUCGGGCUAAGCCCCGGAAGACGGCGAACUCCGCUCCGCCCGACCCAGGGCUCGGACUCGGGCUAAGCCCCGAAAGACGGUGAACUCCGCUCCGCCCGAUCCAGGGCUCGGACUCGGGCUAAGCCCCAGAAGACGGCGAACUCCGCUCCGCCCGAUCCAGGGCUCGGACUCGGGAUAAGCCCCGGAAGACGGCGAACUCCGCUCCGCCCGACCCAGGGCUCGGACUCGGGCUAAGCCCCGGAAGACGGUGAACUCCGCUCCGCCCGACCCAGGGCUCGGACUCGGGCUAAGUCCCAGAAGACGGCGAACUCCGCUCCGCCCGACCUAGGGCUCGGGCGGGCUAAGCCCCGGAAGACGACGAACUCCGCUUCGCCCGACCCCAGGACUCGAACUCCGCCCUGGCCUCAGCCAACGGCCUCCGCCUCGCCCGACCUAGGGGCUCGGACUCGACCUCGGCCACAGAAGACGGACUCGACCUCGACCUCGGAGGAGCCUUCGCAUCGCCCAACCUAGGGCGCGGGCCAGCCACGUCAACGGGAGGCGCCAUCAUUACCCUACUCCAAGCUGACUCAGGCUACGGGGAACAAGACCGGCGUCCCAUCUGGCUCGCUCCGCUAGAUGGGCAAUGAUGGCGCCCCGCACGCUCCCUGACGAUGGCGGCUCUCGGCCCCCUUACGGAAGCAAGAGGACGUCAGCAAGGACUCGACAGCCCCGACAGCUGUCCCUCCGCCAGGCUCCAGCGCUCCUCCGACGGCCAUGACAUCACACAAACCAGGCGCCAAAAUCUCUCCGGCCGCCACGAUGGCGUGUACUUAGGGCGCUAGCUCUCCCCCGCUAGACACGUAGCACUCUGCUACACCCCCAUUGUACACCUGGAUCCUCUCCUUAUGCCUAUAAAAGGAAGGACUAGGGCCCUCUUAGAGAAGGUUGGCCGCACGGGGACGAGGACGAGACAGGCGCUCGCGCAAGGCCGCUCGCUCCCUCUCCCGUGUGGACGCUUGUAACCCCCUACUGCAAGCGCACCCGACCUGGGCGCGGGACGAACACGAAGGCCGCGGGAUUUCUACCUCUCUAUCGCCCAUCUCCGGCCACCUCACUUCCCCCCUUCGCGCUCGGCCUCGCGCCGACCCAUCUGGGCUGGGGCACGCGGCGACAUUUCACUCGUCGGCUUAGGGACCCCCCGGUCUCGAAACGCCGACAGUUGGCGCGCCAGGUAGGGGCCUGCUGCGUGUUGACAAACAGCUUCCCGUCAAGCUCCAGAUGGGCAGUCUCCAGCAACCUCUCCAACCCGGGACGGUGCUUCGUUUCGGGAGUCUUGAGUUCGUGUCCCUCGACGGCAGCUACGACAUGAUACUCCUUCCACCGCCGUGCGACAGCGACAAUGGCGGCCGACAGCUCGCCCGCCGGCGGCGGAAUCGACGACGUCUUCCCCGCGUGGUGGAAGAACAACAUUCGAGCUCACCCCGUCCUCUCCCCGGCCGACGGAGGAGGAGGCGGGGCAACCAAGGCCAAGCAGGAGGCAGCGCCUCGUCGGCUGUCGAGCGAGUCGACGGCGCCAGCGCCCUAACGGGGGGCGCGUCGGGCAUCGACCUCGCGUUUGAGACGAGGAUGAGCGCCGUCUCCCCGCAACGCGCCGAUUCCGGGCAAACAGACGACGCCAGCGCGCUCACGAAAGGCUUGCUGGACGUCACCCUCGUACCUGAGACGACGGUGCGGUCAGUCCCCGACGUGACUUCAUCGCCGCCCGUCGACCAAGAGGUACCGACCGAUUCCCAUCUCACGCCUUUCAGAUUCAGCCUCGAACCGCCAAGCGACCUCGCUUUGGCGGACGCCCUCGUAGAGGCGAGUCCAAACCCUCUGGGGUAUCGUGUGCGGUCACCCUGGGACCGGCUGACGGACGUCUCGACCUACGGGCCCUCUGGGUCCGAGGAAGACGACGCGCCCGACUUCUGCUGGGAUUUCUCUGGACUUGGCAACCCCAGUGCCAUGCGGGACUUUAUGACCGCAUGCGACUACUGCCUUUCCGACUGUUCCGACGGUAGCCGCAGCCUCGGCGACGAGGACUGCGGCCCAAGCCGCGAAUGUUUCCACGUCGAUCUAGGGGGUCCCUCCGAAGGCAACCAUCUCGGCAUGCCGGAGGGCGGUGAUCUCCCUAGGCCGGUGCCUCGCGUUGACAUCCCACGGGAGCUAGCUGUGGUCCCCGUUCCGGCGGGGGUCACGACCCACAGCUCGAGCAAAUCCGCGGGGUGCAGGCCAGGCUCGACGAGGGAGCAGGAGCGCUUGAGCCAAUCCGCCGGGACGUCGGGCAGGCAUGGGCGGGCCAGCCUCCGGCCGGAGAAAUACGUCAUCUACCCUAGGGCUUCCAGCACCGCAUCGCCGAUGAUGUCAGGGUCAGGCUGCCACCCACAUCCAGUGGGGUCGGCCAGAACCUGGCUGCAGCAGCAAUGCUUCUUCGUGCGAUGCCAGAGCCAUCAACCACCGAGGGGCGGCGAAUCCAGGGAGAGCUCAAGAAUCUCCUGGAAGGCGCCGCAGUCCGACGGGCCGAGAGCUCCGCCUUCCGAAGGCAGGGGCACCCCUCGGAACAUCAUGCCGCGACUUCCCGAUUCAUGCGGGAAGCCUCGGUCUACACCGGGCGCACGCGCAACACAGCGCCUGCGGCCCCGGGACGCCUCGGCAACGAGCACCAUCACCGCGACCGUCGGGCCCACCCCGACGAGAGGGUGCGCCGAGGCUACCACCCCAGGCGUGGGGGACGCUACGACAGCGGGGAGGAUCGGAGUCCCUCGCCCGAACCACCCGGUCCGCAGGCCUUCAGCCAGGCCAUACGACGGGCGCCGUUCCCGACCCGGUUCCAACCCCCGACUACUAUCACGAAGUACUCGGGGGAGACGAGACCGGAACUGUGGCUCGCGGACUACCGUCUGGCCUGCCAACUGGGUGGAACGGACGAUGACAACCUCAUCAUCCGCAACCUCCCCCUAUUCCUCUCCGACACCGCUCGCGCCUGGUUGGAGCACCUGCCUCCGGGGUAGAUCUCCGACUGGGACGACCUGGUCCAAGCUUUCGUCGGCAAUUUCCAGGGCACGUACGUGCGCCCCGGGAAUUCCUGGGACCUCCGAAGCUGCCGACAGCAGCCGGGAGAGUCUCUCCGAGACUACAUCCGGCGAUUCUCGAAGCAGCGCACCGAGCUGCCCAACAUCACCGACUUGGAUGUCAUCGGCGCGUUCCUCGCCGGCACCACCUGCCGCGACCUGGUGAGCAGGCUGGGUCGCAAGACCCCCACCAGGGCGAGCGAGCUAAUGGACAUCGCCACCAAGUUCGCCUCCGGCCAGGAGGCGGUCGAGGCUAUCUUCCGGAAGGACAAGCAGCCCCAGGGCCGCCCAUCGAAAGAUGCCCCCAAGGCGUCAACUCAGCGCGGCGCCAAGAAGAAGGACAAGAAGAAGUCACAAGCAAAACGCGACGCAGCCGACGCAGACCUUGUCGCCGCCGCCGAGUACAAGAACCCUCGGAAACCCCUCGGAGGUGCUAACCUCUUCGACAAGAUGCUCAAGGAGCCGUGCCCCUACCACCAGGGGCCCGUCAAGCACACCCUUGAGGAGUGCGUCAUGCUUCGGCGCCACUUCCACAGGGCCGGGCCACCCGCGGAGGGUGGCAGGGCCCGCGACGACGACAAGAAGGAAGAUCACCAGGCAGGAGAGAUCCCCGAGGUCCGCGACUGCUUCAUGAUCUACGGUGGGCAAGCGGCGAACGCCUCGGCUCGGCACCACAAGCAAGAGCGUCGGGAGGUCUGUUCGGUGAAGGUGGCGGCGCCAGUCUACCUAGACUGGUCCGACAAGCCCAUCACCUUCGACCAAGCCGACCACCCCGACCACGUGCCGAGCCCGGGGAAAUACCCGCUCGUCGUCGACCCCGUCAUCGGCGACGUCAGGCUCACCAAGGUCCUCAUGGACGGAGGCAGCAGCCUCAACAUCAUCUACGCCGAGACCCUCGGGCUUCUGCGUAUCGAUCUGUCCUCGGUCCGGGCGGGUGCUACGCCUUUCCAUGGGAUCAUCCCCGGGAAGCGCGUCUAGCCCCUCAGACAACUCGAUCUUCCCGUCUGCUUCGGAACACCCUCCAACUUCCGAAGGGAGACCCUGACGUUUGAGGUGGUCGGGUUCUGAGGAACCUACCACGCGGUACUGGGGAGGCCAUGCUACGCGAAGUUCAUGGCCGUCCCCAACUACACCUACCUCAAUCUCAAGAUGCCGGGCCCCAACGGGGUCAUCACCGUCGGCCCCACGUACAAACACGCGUUCGAAUGCGACGUGGAGUGCGUGGACUACGCCGAGGCCCUCACCGAGUUCGAGGCCCUCAUCGCCGACCUGGAGAGCCUCUCUAAGGAGGUGCCAGACGUGAAGCGUCAUGCCGGCAACUUCGAGCCAGCGGAGACGGUCAAGUCCGUCCCCCUCGACCCCAACAACGACGCCUCCAAGCAAGUCUGGAUCGGCUCCGGGCUCGAUCCCAAAUAGGAAGCAGUGCUCGUCGACUUUCUCCGUGCGAACGCCGACGUCUUCGCGUGGAGUCCCUCGGACAUGCCCGGCAUACCGAGGGAUGUCGCCGAGCACUCGCUGGACAUCCGAGCCGGAGCCCGACCCGUCAAGCAGCCUCUGCGCCGAUUCGACGAAGAAAAGCACAGAGCUAUAGGCGAGGAGAUCCACAAGCUAAUGGCGGCAGGGUUCAUCAAAGAGGUAUUCCAUCCCGAAUGGCUUGCCAACCCUGUGCUUGUGAGAAAGAAAGGGGGGAAAUGGCGGAUGUGUGUAGACUACACUGGUCUAAACAAAGCAUGUCCGAAGGUUCCCUACCCUCUGCCUCGCAUCGAUCAAAUUGUGGAUUCCACUGCUGGGUGCGAAACCCUGUCUUUCCUCGAUGCCUACUCAGGGUAUCACCAAAUCAGGAUGAAAGAGUCCGACUAGCUCGUGACUUCUUUCAUCACACCCUUCGGCAUGUACGGCUAUGUCAGCAUGCCGUUCGGCUUGAGGAAUGCGGGCGCGACGUACCAGCGGUGCAUGAACCAUGUGUUCGGCGAACACAUUGGCCGCACGGUCGAGGCCUACGUCUAUGACAUCGUAGUCAAGACGAGGAAAGCCUCCGACCUACUUUCCAACCUUGAAGUGACAUUCCGAUGUCUCAAGGCGAAAGGCGUCAAGCUCAAUCCCAAAAAGUGUGUCUUCGGGGUACCCCGAGGCAUGCUCUUGGGGUUCAUCGUCUCCGAGCGGGGCAUCAAAGCCAACCCAAAGAAGAUCACAGCCAUCACCAGCAUGGGGCCCAUCAAGGACUUGAAAGGCGUACAGAGGGUCAUGGGAUGUCUCGCGGCUCUGAGCCGCUUCAUCUCACGCCUCGGCGAAAGAGGUCUACCUCUGUACCGCCUCUUAAGGAAGGCCGAGUGCUUCACUUGGACCCCUGAGGCCGAGGAAGCCCUCGGGAACCUGAAGGCGCUCCUCACGAAGGCGCAUAUCUUGGUGCCCCAGCUGCCGGAGAAGCCCUCUUGGUCUACGUCGCCGCGACCACUCAGGUGGUUAGCGCCGCGAUUGUGGUCGAGAGGCAAGAAGAGGGGCAUGCAUUGCCCGUUCAGAGGCCAGUCUACUUCGUCAGCGAGGUACUGUCCGAAACCAAGAUCCGCUACCCACAAGUUCAGAAGUUGCUGUACACGGUGAUCCUGACACGGCGGAAGUUGUGACACUACUUCGAGUCUCAUCCGGUAACUGUGGUGUCAUCCUUCCCCCUGGGGGAGAUCAUCCAUUGCCGAGAGGCCUCGGGUAGGAUUGCAAAGUGGGCGGUGGAAAUCAUGGGCGAAACAAUCUCGUUCGCCCCUCGGAAGGCCAUCAAAUCCCAGGUCUUGGCGGACUUCGUGGCUGAAUGGGUCGACACCCAGCUACCAACAGCUCCGAUCCAACCGGAGCUCUGGACCUUGUUCUUCGACGGGUCGCUGAUGAAGACAGGAGCCGACGCAGGCCUACUCUUCAUCUCGCCCCUCGGGAAGCACCUAUGCUAUGUGCUACGCCUCCAUUUCCCGGCGUCCAACAAUGUAGCUGAGUACGAGGCUCUGGUCAAUGGGUUGCGGAUUGCCGUCGAGCUAGGGGUCCGACGCCUCGACGCUCGCGGUGACUCGCAGCUCAUCAUCGACCAAGUCAUGAAGAACUCCCACUGCCGCGACCCGAAGAUGGAGGCCUACUGCGAUGAGGUUCGGCGCCUGGCAGACAAGUUCUACGGGCUCGAGCUCAACCACAUCGCUCGGCGCUACAACGAGACUGCGGACGAGCUGGCUAAAAUAGCCUCGGGGCGAACGACGGUUCCCCCGGAUGUCUUCUCCUGAGAUCUGCAUCAACCCUCCGUCAAGAUCGACGACGCGCCCGAGCCUGAGGCACCCUCGGCCCAGCCCGAGGUACCCUCGGCACAGUCCGAGGCACCCUCGGCUCAGUCCGAGGCACCCUCGGUUCGGCCCGAGGUACCCUCAGCCCCCGGGGGCGAGACGCUGCACGUCGAGGGGGAGCAAUGCGGGGUCACGCCUGAUCAAAACUGGCAGACCCCGUACCUGCGAUAUCUCCACCGAGGAGAGCUACCCCUCGACCGAGCCGAAGCUCGGCGGUUGGCGCGGCGCGCCAAGUCGUUCGUCUUGCUGGGAGAAGGGAAGGAGCUCUACCACCGCAGCCCUUCAGGCAUCCUCCAGCGAUGCAUCUCCACCACCGAAGGUCAGGAACUCCUCCGAGAAAUACACUCGGGGGCUUGCGGCCACCACGCAGCACCUCGAGCCCUUGUCGGAAAUGCUUUCCGACAAGGUUUCUACUGGCCAACGGCGGUGGCCGACGCCACUAGAAUUGUCCGCGCCUGCGAAGGGUGUCAGUUCUACGCAAGGCAGACCCACCUGUCCGCUCAGGCUCUGCAGACGAUACCCAUCACCUGGCCUUUUGUCGUGUGGGGUCUGGACCUCGUCGGCCCCUUGCAGAAGGCACCCGGGGGCUACACGCACCUGUUGGUCGCCAUCGACAAAUUCUCCAAGUGGAUCGAGGUCCGACCCCUAAACAGCAUCAGGUCCGAGCAGGCGAUGGCGUUCUUCACCAACAUCAUCCAUCAUUUCGGGGUCCCGAACUCCAUCAUCACCGACAACGGCACCCAGUUCACCGACAGAAAGUUCCUGGACUUCUGCGAAGAUCUCCACAUCCGGGUGGACUGGGCCGCCGUGGCUCAUCCCAUGACGAAUGGGCAAGUAGAGCGUGCCAACGGCAUGAUUCUACAAGGACUCAAGCCUCGGAUUUACAACGACCUCAACAAGUUCGGCAAGCGAUGGAUGAAGGAACUCCCCUCGGUGGUCUGGAGCCUGAGGACAACACCGAGCCGAGCCACGGGCUUCACGCCGUUCUUUCUAGUCUAUGGGGCCGAGGCCAUCUUGCCCACAGACCUGGAAUACGGUUCCCCGAGGACGAGGGCCUAUGCCGACCAAAGCAACCAAGCUAAUCGAGAAGACUCGCUGGACUAGCUGGAAGAGGCUCGGGACAAGGCCUUACUACACUCGGCGCGGUACCAGUAGUCCAUGCGACGCUACCACGCCCGAGGGGUGCGGUCCCGAGACCUCCAGGUGGGCGACCUGGUGCUUCGGCUGCGUCAAGACGCCCGAGGGCGGCACAAGCUCACGCCCCCCUGGGAGGGGCCGUUCGUCAUCGCCAAAGUUCUGAAGCCCGGAACGUACAAGCUGGCCAACAGUCAAGGCGAGGUCUACAACAACGCUUGGAACAUCCAACAGCUACGUCGCUUCUACCUUUAAGAUGCUUUCAAGUUGUUCAUAUACCUCGCUCCCACGCAAAGUUUAGUCGUCAAGGAAGGGUCAGCCUUGCCUCGGCAAAGCCCGACCCUCCCUCGGGGGCUAAAAGGGGGGGAACCCCCUCUGCGUUGAAUUUUUUCCGAUCUUCUCCGCCAGAAUGUCUUUCGUGCUUUUCGACUACUUCGAAAGUGGAUCCUGAAAACGACGGAGUACACGUAAGCAGCCAAGGCUGACCGAGCCGAGGGACUCCUACGCCUCUGGGAUACGGACACCUCACUCAUCACCUUCUGUGAUAAGUAACUCACGUUCGGAUAAGUGAUUCCGCGGACCGAACAAGUCUUCACGUUCGGAAGCCCUUCUGCCAGAGCGAUUCUUCGAGCCUUCUCGACUGCGUCGAUGACAGAACCCCAUGGACGGGAAAGAGUGCGCGUAAGCGGCAAGGCCGACCGAGCCGAGGGACUCCUACGCCUCCGGGAUACGGAUACCUCACUCAUCACCUUCCGUGAGAAGCAACUCUCGCUCGCACAAACAAUUCUGUUACCGACAAAAAGGUCCAGAUACUCGAAACAAGAGGAAAGGAGACGCGGCUUUACAACACGGCAAGGGUGUGUUUUGGCCUCGGCGGCCGCAGAAAACACACGCUACAAGAUAAUCCGAUCCUGCAGGCUCGAAUCUUGACGGCUAAAGGGAGCAGCAGCACCCUCGGCGUCGACAACACCUUCGGCGAGGUCCGACCUAGCCUCAGACGGCGACGCGGUCCAAGGGUCUCCGCUCUGAAGGACAACGUCAUCACCAAGCCUGGGCCAUCACCGCCAGGGUCUUCUCCGAGAAUCCGGCCCGAGCAGGCGGAUCGGCCGGUCACCCCGGGGCCUCGGCCAGCUGUCCCCCAAGGACAUCAGCCCGGCCCGAGGCCUCGGUAGAUCAAUUCCGGCGUCGGUCCCGCUAACGGACGACCCAGCCAGGCUCCGGCCGACCAGGUCUUCUUUUUUAGCCAACUCUGCCUCUGUUCGCGCUGACACCGCUACCCUUGGCCUCGGCUCAUCGAAGAGCGGCUGAGGGGUUCCUCUAACUAAGCAAGGGAAGCCUCGGAUAACAAGGCUGACCGAGCCGAGGGACUCCUACGCCUCCGGGAUACGGAUACCUCACUCGUCACCUUUACACGGGGCGACUCACGCUUGGUGAAGCGGUUCAGACAACCAACAGGCGAGUCUUAGUGCUCGAAAAGGAGGAAAAAACACGGCUCCGUGCCGAAAUUACAUACAUGUUCAGGCCUCGACAGCCACAAUGAACAAAAACACUGGCAUUCGAAGUGCCAUUACAAACGGAACUUCGGUUCCACCUCCGCGGGUACGAACAACCCCACUCGAUGGGGGGGCCUGCGGAGCAACAGAAGACCGACGGGCGGCUCGCCGUCGCCCGCUCCGGCAGCAACGACAACGACCCCCGCUCCGGGUGGCCGAACUGCAGCAGCGAGGGCCUCAGGGCGAAUGCUGCUGCAAUCUUGCCCUCGCCCACGCCGACGCUCGAGGGGCGAGGACAAGCACAAAGAGCCGGGGGCCCGAAGCGCGGAUGGUGGCGGUGAUCCCGUCGACAACGGGGACUUCUCGAGCCACCUCCACCUCGGCACCGACGACAGGGGCCGUCAGCCUUCCGGCAAAUCCCCACUCAGAUCCUCCCGGACGAGUGGGGCACCGACCUCCGCGCGGAGGCGCCAUACCGGUGCAAAGGCAGGACCGCCCCAGAACAAGAACGCCGCCCUGGCAGCGCGCGAUAUCUUGGACGGUCCUCCCGUGCACACGGCGCGGCAGUCGCCUUCCGGCAGGAGGGGGCACCGGGAGCUAAGCCGACGAGCCCGACGCGCUGAGGCUGACGACGCCCGCCGUCGACCGGCCCCGCGUUGUCGAAGUCCGACCCGCCCGCAGGGCCAGUGAGCGCCCUCUCCCUCGAACGCCGAAGGAGAGGCCGACCCACGAACCCGCGCGGGAGGUAGAGCUCCGGCUCAGCCCGGCCUCCACCCCAGCGAGGAUGAUGAACAUCCUUGAAGCUGAGGGUGGGACCAAGAUCGCAGCCCGGCUUGCUUCUCCCCACCCAGGGGCUGGUGGUCACCAUCUUGGGUGACCGCCGGCGGAGGGGUGCAACCGGGCUGCAUGAUGAAAAUCCUUGAAGCCGAACGAUGGCUGAAAGGUACCAACUCCCGUGGAGUUGCGUUCCUCCAACGACGAGGCGGAAAGACGGCGGGUAUCCCCCAUCCGGAGGCUUGGAAGGUGGAAAGACACGAUGCAUAGGGGAGCGCGAAGACAUGGUCGCCUUCCAAGAGGGUCACCCUCCUUUUAAAGGCGACUCUCCCUACUUGCGUCCCCAGCUGUCGUGGGCUGAGUCUUCUCCAACACGCUCCAAGGUCCUCCCCUACGGCGCGGGGGCUGGGUCCCACACGUCAUGCAAGCCGGCCCAGAGCAGAAGAAGCCAAACUGCCGUGCGCGGUGCAUGCAACCGCCCAGCGGUUACAAGCGGCUCUCCACUUUUGCCCAGACCAGCAAGCGAAAGGGCGGGCAGCCAUGCAGGCAGCAUGCAACCGCGCCAAGUAGGCGCACUUCUCCGACUCCCAACACGCCCAGCAUGGAGGCCCAGACCCACGCGCCUCCUCGACUGCGGAACCAAUACCGCGACUCGAGGCGACCCAGCGCACGACCCAGCAGCGCCAGCCUGGCGCGACGGUCAAUGCGGCCAAAAAUGGGCCGGCAGUAAUGGCGGUGGCAGGCGGGCAGGAGCAGCGGUCACGUCGUCAGCCAAGCUUACGUCCCAUCCGGGGGCAGCGAGAGAACCCUCUCUCACGGCGUGAAGACAACGCGCCCGUGUUCCGCUCCUCGAACGGCUCGCGCACGCGCAACGGCCGCCCCGCGAACCACUCACCCCGUCGCAUUAACUCCGCGGCGGGACAGGCGGCGCCUCUGGCAGGAGAAGCGAGCGACGCUUCGCCUUUGCCAUAAUGACUGCGUCAAAAAAAAGGUACGCCGCGUCGUUCGAUUUCGUAUCCUUUUCCUUUUUUCCUCUUUCUCUCUCUUGCAACAGGGACCGGGAAAGGGGGAUACCCCGAAAAGGAUCCUUCCCCGUGAAGGAACCAGGCUCCGAGCCUCCCUACUGAUCAGAGGUUCGAAGGCUGGCCCCUCGGAAGGGUCCAACAGCCGCCUCAGAGCAUGUGGGCUCACACACCCACUACUGGUCAGAGGUUCGAAGGCCGGCCCCUCGGAAGGGUUCAACGGCCGCCUCAGGCUACUCGGGCUCCGCGCCCACUACUGAUCAGGGGUUCGAAGGCUGGCCCCCGAAGGGUUCACAGCCGCCUCAGACACAGAGCGAGGGAUGACCAUGGGUACGUUCGAUACAUAACCAAGGCUCGGGCUGCGCUCCCGAGGUACCCUAGGACAUUUCCGAGACCAGCAGGAACGAUCUUGUAACGGAAUCCCAUCAGAGGGAGGCAUCGAGCCCUCGGACCCCGUCGCCAGGGGACCGGGUCCGGCAGAUCACCCGUAGGUACUUUUGGGCGCGCCUCUGGGCCCCUAGCCGACCCCUAACGAAUGGGGCACGGACGUCCGCUCGGAUCACCCGCCUGCAGCUCACCGGAGACACCAUGUUCUGCGCCCACCGAGGGCAACAUGGCGCUCUCCCCCCCCUCCUUGCGGAAAGGCGACGCAGGGGCGUAUGUAAAAAAGUCGAGUCUGUCCCUGAUCGCCCUCUCGCCCUGUGCAGAGGCUCGGGGGCUGCUCUCGCAAACCCGGCUCCGGCCAAACCGUUGACAGCGUCAACAUACCAGCCCGAGAACUUGGGACCCGACCGUACACCCGGGCUACGGCCAGCUCGCAUGAGGGAACGACCAGACCAGCUGAAGCAUUGUGCGAGGCAUUAAGACCUCGGAGGAGUCAAACCACUCCUCCGAGGCCUCGGGGGCUACACCCGGCGGGUGCGCUCGCGCGCACCCACCGGAACAAAACGCAACCGAGAAAGGCUGGUCCCCUUGCAAAAAAGUGCGACGAAAGCCUCCAAGCGAGUGCUAACACUCCCUUCGAGGCUCAGGGGCUACUGUCGGGGACCAUAAUUAGGGGUACCCUCAAGGCUCCUAAUUCUCAGCUGGUAACCCCCAUCAGCAUAAAGCUGCAAAGGCCUGAUGGGUGCGAUUAAGUCAGGGAUCAGUUCAUUCGAGGGACUCGAUCACGCCUCGCCCGAGCCUAGCCUCGGACAAGGACAGCCGACCCCGGAGGAUCUCCGCCUCGCCUGAGGCCCCCUCCAGCGGCGAACAUAUUUCCGGCUCGCCCGAGGCCCUGUCUUCGCCAAGAAGCAACCCUGACCAAAUCGCCGCACCGACCGACCAAAUUGCAGGAGCAUUUAAUGCAAAGGUGGCCUGACACCUUUAUCCUGACGAGCGCCCCUCAGCCGACAGAGCCGAAGUGACCGCCGUCACUUCGCCGCUCCACUGACCGGUCUGACAGAAAGACAGCGCCGCCUGCGCCGCUCCGACUGCGGUGCCACUUGACAGAGUGAGGCUGACUGGCAGUCAGGCCCGACCUCAAGCACCAUAGGAAGCUCCGCUCUGCCCGACCCAGGGCUCGGACUCGGGCUAAGCCCCAGAAGACGGCGAACUCCGCUCCGCCCGACCCAGGGCUCGGACUCGGGCUAAGCCCCCGAAGACGGCGAACUCCGCUCCGCCCGAUCCAGGGCUCGGACUCGGGCUAAGCCCCGGAAGACGGCGAACUCCGCUCCGCCCGACCUAGGGCUCGGACUCGGGCUAAGCCCCGGAAGACGGCGAACUCCGCUCCGCCCGACCCAGGGCUCGGACUCGGGCUAAGUCCCGGAAGACGGCGAACUCCGCUCCGCCCGACCCAGGGCUCGGGCUCAGGCUAAGCCUCGGAAGACGACGAACUCCGCUUCGCCCGACCCCAGGACUCGAACUCCGCCCUGGCCUCAGCCAACGGCCUCCGCCUCGCCCGACCUAGGGGCUCGGACUCGACCUCGGCCACGGAAGACGGACUCGACCUCGACCUCGGAGGAGCCUUCGCAUCACCCAACCUAGGGCGCGGGCCGGCCACGUCAACGGGAGGCGCCAUCAUUACCCUACUCCAAGCUGACUCAGGCUACGGGGAACAAGACCGGCGUCCCAUCUGGCUCGCUCCGCCAGAUGGGCAAUGAUGGCGCCCCGCACGCUCCCUGACGAUGGCGGCUCUCGGCCCCCUUACGGAAGCAAGAGGACGUCAACAAGGACUCGACAGCCCCUACAGCUGUCCCUCCGCCAGGCUCCAGCGCUCCUCCGACGGCCACGACAUCACACAAACCAGGCGCCAAAAUCUCUCCGGCCGCCACGAUGGCGUGUACUUAGGGCGCUAGCUCUCCCCCGCUAGACACGUAGCACUCUGCUACACCCCCAUUGUACACCUGGAUCCUCUCCUUACGCCUAUAAAAGGAAGGACCAGGGCCCUCUUAGAGAAGGUUGGCCGCACGGGGACGAGGACGAGACAGGCGCUCGCGCAAGGCCGCUCGCUCCCUCUCCCGUGUGGACGCUUGUAACCCCCUACUGCAAGCGCACCCGACCUGGGCGCGGGACGAACACGAAGGCCGCGGGAUUUCUACCUCUCUCUCGCUCAUCUCCGGCCACAUCACUUCCCCCUUCGCGCUCGGCCUCGCGCCGACCCAUCUGGGCUGGGGCACGCGACGACAUUUCACUCGUCGGCUUAGGGACCCCCCGGUCUCGAAACGCCGACAAUAAUAUUCAUUAUUAAUUUGCAAAUUAAUUAAUUUGAGAGAGCUCGUGAGUCAGAACGAGCCAACAUAAAUGACACUAUGCAACACUUAUAGCGUGUUUGGUUUGAGGUGAAGUGAUCUAUCUUUUUCUCACUCCUCACUUUUUUAUUUGGUUUGUGGAAUAGAAUGGGUUGAUCCAUCACCACCCCAUUCCUCAUAAGCUAAUAAUUACUAUAUACAUGAGGAAUUGGUUGACUCCACCAAAAUUGAUGGAAUGAACUUAUGAUGCAUAAUCUCAUGAAGCAUAUAGUGACUCUACAAACCAAACACACCGUUAAUGAUCCUGAAGAGGGAGAUUUGUUACUUCCUAAACCAUCGUUGUAGUAAUUUUAGUUUUCCUAUGUUGAAUCCUUAUUUAAAGCUGAAUGCUAGCUUACAUCCUUAGGUGAAAACUGUGAAGGUGAUGCUGACCCACUUUAUCCAGCGAGAAGCAAAAGGGAAUCAUUUGAGGUGUUGCAUUCUCUCCACUCAUAUCAAGGUUGUUACAUAGUAAUGAUCUGCUCUUAGAUUAAAUACACUAUAUAUAAAUUAGGAAAUGUUUUCUUAUCACCGGUGAUUUUACGAAUUGUUUUCUAGACGAGCAGGGCGCGCACAAGUUACUAGUGUUUACGGAAAAGAUUAGAAGAAUGUGGAAGUAACGGAACGGAAACGUUGAGCCCUCCAAAAUAUCUUCUGGUCGGAGUUCGGACAGGCACAGAUAGGAGCAGCAGGAGGCACGUGGCAGUUGCCACAUCCAACUGACAUUUGGGCCCAUAAAACUCCAUUAUCUCUACUACUUAUUAAGUAAGCAAUAGUAGUCUGCCUCCCAUCGUUCUGCCGUUCUGCCUCCCAUCUAUCUGGACCGUACGUUUCUAUUUCCUAUGCCAUCCAGCCGCACGCGCCCCUUCCCUGUCCAUGAUCCAGCCGUGCCACAGCAUCGGUCGUGCGACGAGGCGUACGAGCCGCAGCGUCGGUCAUGCGACGUGCGCGGGCGGAGCACUCUCUGGAGAGAACCGCUCGCCGACCCACCCACCGCACUGCUCUCCCACCCAAAUCGCCGACCGAUAGGAGAGAACCCGAGCUGAGAAGAGAGAGGGCAGCAGGCGGCGGCGCGGAGUAACACGCGGAGGGGAAUGCACAGCCCGUGUGAGCCUCUCGCCCCCGCGAAACCCCACCGAUUCUGAUUCCGCCGGCGAAAUCGGGCGCCUCGCGGCUCGGCCGGCUAAGCGGUGGACGGCGGCGCCGAGGGGCUCGUUCGACACGGUGGGGUGAGCUCGUGAGGAGCAGCAGCCACGGCGAAGGGGAUGAUGAAGGGAGGGGGCGGGAAGGAGACGCUCCUCCGCUUCCUCCUCCUGCUUCUCCACCCCCUCACCGCCCUCUACUUCUUCUACACGCUGCACCUCCUCUUCACCUCGGCGUCGUCGGCCGCCUCCAACUGCGCGCCUGACGCCGUCUCGGUCUCCCGGAUGUCUGCCAACCUCACGGCGGUGGCGGAGAAGCAACUGCCCCCUUCCGCCGUGGCUGGGUCCACGUCGACAACGCUGCAGCAUGAAGUUUUCGGCAUCGCGGCGUCGUCGCGGUUAUGGGACAAGCGUAAGGAGUACAUCAAAGUGUGGUGGCGCUCGCGCGGCGCCAUGCGGGGCUACGUGUGGCUGGACCGCGAGGUGCGCGAGUCCAACAUGUCCACGGCGCGCACGAGGCUCCCAGCCAUCAGGAUCUCGUCUGACACGUCCGCCUUCCCCUACACACACCGCCGUGGCCACCGCUCCGCCAUCCGCAUCUCCCGCAUCGUCUCCGAGAUGUUCUGCCUCGGCCUCCCCGGCGUGCGCUGGUUCGUCAUGGGCGACGACGACACCGUCUUCUUCCCGGACAACCUCCUCACCGUGCUCAACAAGUUCGACCACCGCCAGCCCUACUACAUCGGCUCCCUCUCCGAGAGCCACCUGCAGAACAUCUAAUUUUCCUACGGGAUGGCGUACGGCGGCGGCGGCUUCGCCAUCAGCCGGCCGCUGGCUGAGGCGCUCGCGCAGAUGCAGGAUGGCUGCCUCCGCCGGUACCCGGCGCUGUACGACAGCGACGACCGGAUCCAGGCGUGCAUGGCGGAGCUGGGCGUGCCGCUCACCAAGCACCUGGGGUUCCACCAGUACGACAUGUACGGCGACCUCCUCUGCCUCCUCGCGUCCCACCCGGUGGCGCCGAUUGUGACGCUUCACCACCUCGACGUAGUGAAGCCGCUGUUCCCGGAUGCGAGGUCGUGCCCCUCGGUGGUGCGACGGCUGUUCGACGGGCCGGUGAAGCUGGACACGGCGGGGCUGAUGCAACAGUCCAUCUGCUACGACAGCACGAACCGCUGGACGGUGUCCGUGGCGUGGGGGUUCACGGUGCUGGUGGUGAGGGGCAUAAUGUCGCCUCGGGAGAUGGAGAUGCUGGCGCGCACGUUCCUCAACUGGUAUCGCCGCGCCGACUACACGACGUACGCCUUCAACACGAGGCCGCUGGCGCGCAGCCCAUGCCAGAAGCCGGCGGUGUACUACCUAUCGUCGGCGCGACACGAGGCCUUGCGCGGCGGGGAGACGACGGUGACGCGAUACGAGCGGUGGCGCCAUCCGAAUGAGACGCGGCCCGCGUGCCGGUGGGACAUAACCGACCCGGACGCGCAUCUCGAUCACAUCAUCGUGCUCAAGAAGCCUGACCCCGGGCUCUGGGAAAGGGUAAUCUUUUGUGCCACAUCAUUCCUUUUUCUUAUCUUGCAUCCAUAAACUGCAACGCAUGAUGCAUUGCCGUUUACGUUUAGAGAGGACAGACAACUGGCCGAUGCACAAACAGGCUAGCAUUGCUGUACAUAUAACCAAACUCUUUUAAAGCACGGAAUCAACAAAACUGUAUCGUAGACCAAUAUGUUGCUUGGAUUAGAGUAUUGUGUACGCAGCCAGGUACUCACUCCGUAAGAGGCAAGCUUAUAAGCAAAAAAAUAGAGUUUGCAAUGCCAAGAUGUAACUUUUAUAAUAUCUGAUGCUGUUUAUAAAAAGCUGGACCUGGAUAGUACUAGGCAAAGGCAACCCCGAUGUUUCAUGUCUAAAUAAUCGUGUCACUGAUUUGAUGUAACAUGAUUUGCAGUCUCCGAGGCGAAAUUGCUGCAGAGUGGUGUCUUCGCCCAAGGAUGGGAAGAGCUGGGAGAAGACGAUGACCAUCGAUGUAGGCAUAUGCAGGGAAGGCGAGUUCAGCCAAGUAGCAGGAGCAUUAGCUUUUAUUAGAGAUAGAUGAAGAUAGGAAGAUUUCAAAUUCUUUUCUUCUUCCUUUUUCUUGUACGAAUUCGUUCCUCUUGGAGAGUAUGAACUUGUAUCGUUUCAAAUCCCUCUUUUUGCAUGGUGCUUUGCACCUCACGUGCGUGUGUAACUACAGUUCGCAAAGCGACAGAAGGCCAAGACUUGAAGUUUUGGCCGGGCGUCCCGCCAUGGCGACGGCGAGUCAACCCGCUGCCCCCACGCCCAACGGCUACGGCGGUGGUAUUUUGGCUGGCGGAGACGGGGUGCACGACACUGGCACGGUGUCAGAUCAGUCUGGGUCACCGUGAGCCUGUGUCGCAGCACUGCUGCUGUUGCACUGUGGUAGUGCGGUGGGGCUAUUGUCAAAGGCUCAAAGCGUGGCUCGGCAGUCGGCACCCGCGCGAUCAGGGCAGCCAUCACUCAUCAUCGCAGGACAUGGCGGUGGAGUGGCUACAUAGAAAUCUGUCCUGGUCUGGGCCUGUGUAGGGUACGUACAGCUGAAAUCAGAUCCGCCGCGUGUCAAUUUCUGCUUCGUUUGACAGUGUGUGCCCACGCCGCGGAGCGUGUUCGGUGGCCUUUUUCGGCGUUCUAGCGGAAUGGGCGACCGCAUUUAUCGGCUAUGCUUCAUUACAUAAAACCAAGGCUCUGUUUUUUAGUACAUUAGUAGUAAUGUUCAUUGACUGCGCCGAACUGUCCGUAUCAUGGCACAGAUGCUCGUUGAUGACAACCUCAACAGGUGGCAGCGUUACAACACGCCAUGCGACGGUGUGUUCCCCUCAUGAUGCGCAAGUUGCAGGCAGCAGGUAGCAAAGCACAUGGUUCACUGGGCACGAAUAGGAUGUUUCCAUGCCGACGUCCUAAUCUCGUACAGUACGUAAUCUCUACUACUUAAGUAAGAGUAGUCUACCAUUCCAUGUUCUAUCACCAUUCCCUGUUCUUCUGCCAUUCCUUAUUCUGCCUCUCUCAUUCCUAUUCUCUAUUCUGCCUUUCUCAUUCCUCCUCCCCGCACAGCCUAUUUCCAUAUUCUGUCAUUUCCUAUUCUGCCUUUCUCAUUCCCCCUCCCCACAAAGCAUAUUUCUAUUCUCAUUCCCGCGUACAGCCCACGUUUAGCUAAAAUAAAAAAACACAAAUGACCCCAAAGGGAUUCAAACCCGUGACCUCUCAAACAAAUGCGAGCAGUUGCUACCGCUACACCACAUGUGUGUUUAUGUCUACAUCUAUAACAGGAAAAAUAUCUACUACAUCUCUCCCCAAACCUACCCUACUACCCUUGCACAAUGCGUAGUACUAGAUAAGUAUCAUCGAGAUUCUUAAAUUAUAUUUUUAGAUGGAAUGAGUAAUAUCUAAAGAAGAGCCUUGCAUGCAAUUUCUUUUGUUUGAAUAAUGUUUUCAACUUAAAUUUCUUUUUUUGCAUGCGUGGCAUUUAUUCUCCAUAAUAUUUUUUCCAUGGAUCUGACUUGUGAGUCAUUUUCAUAAACCAACGCCAAGGAUAAAUCCAUGUUUCUUGCUUGGAAACCACGAACAAACACCACUAGCAGGAGGCGCUCACGUUGGCAUCGCUCAUCGACGACGAGAAGAAGCUUGACGAUUGUCAGUUCGACCUCUGGAAGCAGUCCUACCUGGCCGCAUGAACCGCUGUGUAUGACAAGCUCCGACACAGCCGCCGCUUGGAAUCGGUCCAAAGCGACUGCACCGCGUUGUCCAUCGUCAAGCAGGGGGACCUCAUGGUUGUUGCCAACGUCGGUGACUCUCGGGUUGUUCUGGGCACCGCAUCCAACGACGGAGCCAUCACACCGUCUAGCUCAUCGUCCAUCUGAAGCUCAACCUGCCAUGUAAGUUGCUACUGACCGGCCAUAAAUUCUUGUGCGCUCGGACGACGGUCGUUGCUGAUGUUGUGUGAGUGUCCUCGAACAUGAUGUAUGUAGAGGAGUAGCGCAUCCGGUGGUGCAACGGUCAGGUGUACUACCUUGCUGAUGAACCCGAGGUGCACUUCAUCUGGCAGUCCAACCAAGAGUCAUCGGCACUCGACAUGUCGCGCGCGUUCGACGACUACUAUACUGUGACGUCAUCUCGGCACCGGAGGUGACGCAGAGGAGGACCGACAUCAAUGAUCAGUUCUUCAUCCUCCCCACCGUCGGGGUAGCUUUUUGUGCUGGUCUGUCUGUAAUUCUCUUUACAAACACACACAAUUGCUUUUUUUGUUUGAGCAAGCGCGUAUGGUGGUACGUGCCUGAUGACUGACGAUGUACGAGGGAACUUCUUCCGGCAGGCGUGGGGCAUGCUCACCAAUGAUGAGACCAUGAAAAUCAUGGCAUAUAUCGAAGUCGGUACUGAUGGUUGCAAUGUAGUGGUGAAACAACUAGAUUAAAACAACAAAAUUUAUGUAUGACCAGAAUCACAAAUAGAUUAUGAAACAUUUUCUCAUAACAGUAUAACACACAUUUUGUAUAUAAGUUACCGUGGUGUUAUAUGUCCCCGUUGCAACGCACGGGCACUCACCUAGUCUAUAUAGAAAGACCCUACAAAGUAGUACAAAGACUCUAUUUUAUUCUGGACUCUUCCGGAUAUACAUGUACAUGUGGGCCGGCCUGGCCCGGCACGGCACAGGCCCACAAAAGCACGGCCCACAAAGGCACGGCCCAUAAAAGCACAUAUCUAAUUAUGGGCCGUGCCGUGCCAGCACGUGUGCCCAGUCAUCGGCCCACGGCACGGCCCACAAUUAGUUAUGUGUGCCAGGCCGGCCCAAAUAGCCCAAAAUACCUUAAUAUGCCAGACCGGCUCAUAUACAUACAACAGUAAUACAUCAACAAAAAGUAAUAUAUAUAUAUAUAUAUAUAUAUAUAUAUAUAUAUAUAUGACCAAAAUAAAACUAAGAUGUUUUAUGGAUGCACAUUAUAAACCUUUGGUCAGAAAGAAAAAAACAACUAGCUCAUAAAUAAUAUUUAGUUCUCUGUUUAGUGUUUAAUUGAGUACUAUACAUCCAUACAGAAUACAUAUACAAUGAUCAUCACUAUUCACUAUCCAUAUCUAGGUAUUGGUUCUCGAUGGCUUAUUGAAGCUCUAGAUUCUCCAAAUUAUGCUAGUCAUGUGGGCUUUGACGAACCUUAGUUAAAUACUGAGUCUAUAUUUAGUGGGCCUCGGUGGGCCUUAGUUAAAUGGGCCGUGCCAGGCCGGCCCGUGGGCUUGACAUGAGGCCCAGGCACGGCCCACAAUGUGGGCCGUGCCGGCCCAGGCCCACAAUUAGGUUGGGCCGUACCAGAUAUGGGUCGUGCCAGAAAUUGUAUGAUUAGGCACAGCACAAAUGUACACCUAUACUUCCGGAAUCCCGACCAUCCCACGGAGCCACCUUUCAGAACCUUCCUUCGCCUUCCAGAAGCCCACCCGUCACCACCAUAUAAACCGCCCCUGUUCGCGUCGGCAUUCCCCACACCGAGAAUCACAAUACGAAACGAAUUAAUCCCCAAUCAACACAGCAAGUCAGCAACAAGCAAAGCAGCGACCCGAGAGAUGGACGCGAGGAUGUUCGGGCUGGAGACCCCCCGGGUGGCGGCGCUGCAUCACCUGCUGGACGUGCCCGACGGCGACAAGGCGGGCGGCGGCGCCACGCGCACCUACGUCCGCGACGCGCGCGCCAUGGCGGCCACCCCGGCCGACGUCAAGGAGCUCGCGGGAGCGUACGCGUUCGUGGUGGACAUGCCGGGGCUGAGCACGGGCGACAUCAGGGUGCAGGUGGAGGACGAGCGGGUGCUGGUGAUCAGCGGCGAGCGGCGCCGGGAGGAGCGCGAGGACGCCAAGUACCUGCGCAUGGAGCGGCGGAUGGGCAAGUUCAUGCGCAAGUUCGUGCUGCCGGACAACGCCGACGUGGACAAGGUCGCCGCCGUGUGCAGGGACGGCGUGCUCACGGUGACCGUCGAGAAGCUGCCCCCGCCGGAGCCCAAGAAGCCCAAGACCAUCGAGAUUAAGGUCGCCUGAGGGGAGACCGUUGUCGGAGCAGUGCCAGUGAGCUGGGUGGCAACCUGCGGGACUCUGGUGAGGAAGAGCAAAUGGUAGAAAGCAGUAGCUGUGCUUCUGAACAUUGUGUGUGUUUGUUUCCCUUGUUACCGCCAAUCAUCCUACCUGAUGUGUCGUCUGGGGUUUCGUUUGAACCAUGCUGGGUUUGGAGCUUUGUGAUGCAAAGCAGAAUGUCCUGAUGCUUUCUUUCUCCAUAGAAUAAAUCUCUCCUGUUACCUAAAUGUCACUUGUUAUCUUUUCUUCGCGACCGAGCACGUUCUUCGUUAACAAGGGUUAACAAGGAG
rnacentral:lncRNA from 1 species